rnacentral:lncRNA from 1 species
UCGAUGGCCUCAUGACGGUGCUGCAGUACGCGCAGGCCAUGCUCAACAACACCCGUGGCAGGGAGAUCGACAACCCGGCCCUUAACGACCUGCUGCUCAAGCUGCGUCUGCUGGCCUACGACGCCGACGACGUGCUCGACGAGCUCGACUACUUCCGCAUCCAGGACGAGCUCGACGGCACCUACCAUGCCGCUAACGAGCACGCCGGGGGAUGCGCCCGUGACCUCCUCCUCAAUGCUCGUCACACUGGAAGAUACGUUGCCAAUAAAUUCAAGCUCUCCUCAGGCUCGCCUGAUGCUACUCCUGGACGACGAUUUCUAUGUGGUGCCUGGCCGUCCAAGGUACCGCAGAGAAGACAAACUGCACAGAUACCAAAAUUGAAGUUUGAUAGGGUGGAUGUAUCUACAAGGAUGACAGAGAUCGUAAAGAAGCUCAAGCCCAUCUGUGCUAUGGUCUCAACCGUUCUUAACCUAGAGCUGAUAGGCUCCAAAGGUAUCACUACCGCCACCAUGGAACGGCCCACAACCAGUGAGGAAAUUACAGAGCCUAAAUUGUAUGGGAGGGAGACAGAGCUACAGAGUGUUGUAGGUUCCAUUACCCAUGGUGAAUGUUUUGCCAAUGAACUUACUGUGCUUCCAAUUGUUGGCCCGGGCGGUAUUGGGAAGACAACUUUCACACAACAUGUAUACCAAGAAGUGAGGAGCCAUUUCCAAGUUACAAUUUGGAUAUGCGUCUCUCUGGAUUUCAAUGCAGAUAGAUUGGCGCAAGAAGCUGUGAAAAAGAUUCCUGAAGUUAAAGAUGAAAACAAAAGUGGUAGUGAUCAAGAGCUAAUUGAGCAAAGAUUAAAAGGUAAACGGUUUUUGCUUGUCCUGGAUGAUAUAUGGAAAUGUCAUGAGUAUGAGUGGGAAAAACUACUAGCACCAUUUAGAAAAGGUGGAGGAACAGGUAAUAUGGUUAUAGUCACAACUCGAAUGUCAGAUGUGGCCAAAAUGGUUAAGACAGGUGAUUCUCAAAUACAAUUGGAUCAUUUAGGAGCUGAAGAUUUUAGGGCUUUCUUUGACGCAUGUGCAUCUACCAAACAUGAGUCAUGGUCAGAUCAUCCUGAGUUAAUUGAAACUGGGGAAGAAAUAAUGGCCAAACUGAAACGUAAUCCUCUUGCAGCAAAAACUGUAGGGAGAUUACUAAGAAAACAGCUCACUUUGGAGCAUUGGAGAAGGGUUCUAGAGAGCAAAGAAUGGGAACUCCAAACCAGUGACAAUGACAUUAUGCCAGCGUUGAAGAUUAGCUAUGAUUAUCUUCCACUUAACCUAAAGCAAUGCUUUUCCUAUUGUGCUUUGUUUCCUGAAGAUUACGAAUUUGACAGCAAAGAGUUAGUUCACUUUUGGAUAGGACUAGAUGUUUUACAUCUGGGUGAUCAGAGCAUAAGAAUAGAAGAUGUUGGCAAGAGUCAUUUGAUUGACUUGGUCAACUAUGGAUUUUUCAAAAGGAACAAAAAAGACAAUGGCUGUCAUUAUUAUGUUAUCCAUGACCUAUUACAUGAGCUGGCCGUGAAAGUUUCACGGUACGAUUGUCUUAGCAUACAAAUAUCUAAAGUGAGGUCUGCACAUAUCCCGGCAUCAGUACGCCACUUGUCUAUCAUUGUGGAUAACAAAGAUGUUGAGGAUAUAAUUACUUAUAAAGACUGUGAGAAGGAUCUUGGUGGACUUGAUAAAAGGCUGCAAAUUGAAAGCAUACGUACAUUGAUGUUGUUUGGUGAAAAUGUGGAGAGUUUUUCCAAAACAUUUGGUAAUUUGUUUAAGAAAGCUAGAGCGCUCCGCGCUAUUUUUUUGCCUGGAGCAUCAUAUAUUGUGGAGGAUAUGUGGCAGAACUUUUCAAAGCUUGUCCAUCUUCGCUACCUAAGGAUUAAGGGGAGAUACCAUUUUCUGGAAACAGACCUACCAGGAACAAUUUCAAGACUAUAUCACUUGAAGAUCCUAGACAUUAAAGAUUCCUGGGGCUGCCCUAUGCCAUCAAGAUAUUUAAGCAACCUCGUAAGCAUGCAACAUUUUCUUGCCCCUGGUUAUAUGAGGCUUCACUCGGACAUUCUCAAUGUGGGAAACCUGAAACUUCUACGAGAACUAAGAUUUGAAGCUAAGAAAGAAAAUAAAGGUUUUGAGUUAGAGCAACUAGCACAACUACUAGAGCUUGAAGUACUGGGCAUUUACAAUCUUGAAAAGGUUAAAGUAAAGGAAGAAGCAAUUGCAAUGAAACUAAUACAAAAACACCGUUUACAAGUGCUCAUGCUAGAUUGGGAUAUUAAUCGCUCCGAUAAGGAUCCUAUUGGAGAAGAGAAUAUCCUUGAAAGUCUUAUGCCACAUAGCAAUCUCUACAAGCUAUCUAUUAGUGGGCAUGGAGGUGACACUUGCCCUUCAUGGCUUGGUAUGAACCUCUCGGUAAAAACUUUGGAAUCUCUUCGGCUGAGUAGUGUAUCUUGGAAAAUAUUUCCACCUCUAGGAGAGAUGUGGUUUGUCGGUGAACAUUGUAAAAGCUGUAUACCAGAACAAAGCUUCAAAAAAUUGAAGAGGCUAGAACUGGAAAAGGUACCAAAAUUGAUAAAAUGGGUUGGAAAUGGCCCUUCUGAUUUGUUCUCUCACUUGGAAGUACUCGUCAUCAAAGACUGCCCAGAACUCAUGGAAUUGCCAUUUUCACAUUGUGCUGGAUAUGAACAAGACGUUGAGGAUAACAUGACCUGGUUUCCUAAACUAGAAAAGCUCGAAAUUACAGAUUGUCCAAAGCUAUCAUCAUUGCCUUGUGUUCCAUGGUCUAGCUCUACUUGCAGAGCUAAGAUUGUACAAGCUGGUUCGGGUAUUGAGGAGCUGUCUUUCGGUGGAUAUUCCUUGGAAAUCAAGGGAAAGGACACAUUGGAUAGUGCUUUUUGGAGGGUGUUAGCCUUUCAUAACCUAUCCAAACUUGAAGUAUUGGAGGUGACGAGAUGCCCUCCUUUGUCACUGGUUCACCUCGAAAAGCUAUCAUCCCUAAGGAGCCUCCGGAUGUAUGAUAUGGGUGAUGCCUUUUUUUCGGCUGAAGGUGAUGGUCAUGCCGGAUAUCGAUUUCCAGUUAAAGACGUCACGAUUGGGCGAUAUGGUGGUAGUGGGCAGCGACUGACACGACUGCUCUCUUACUUCCCAAACCUCCUCUGGUUCAGAAUGUUCCAUUGUGAGAAGUUAACAGGGUUAGGCGUUGUGGGCCUGCAUAAGAGGACGGAAGCACUGCCAAGACCGCCGUCAAUUUCAGUUAACCAAGUUGGACAGCACGAGCAGCGACUGACACGACUGUUCUCUUACUUCCCAAACCUCCUCGGGUUCAGCAUUUGGCUAUCUGAGAAGUUAACAGGGUUAGGCGUUGUGGGCCUGCAUAAGAGGACGGAAGCACUGCCAAGACCGCCGUCAAUUUCAGUUAACCAAGUGGAGGAGGCACAAGUUGGACAGCACGAGCAGCAGGGCGCAAGAGCAGAGGAGGAAAUAACAUCAGAAGGGGUACUAUUGCUGCCUCACCAAUUACAACGUUUGUGGAUCGAGGACUGCCCAAAUUUGGUCCUCUGCCCAGGUUUACUCGACCACGACGAAGACGAAGGACGAACCGGAGGUGGAGGCCUCCAAGGUCUGACCUCCCUCACUACAUUAAUUAUAGAGAAAUGCCCCAGGUUCCUCUCCUCCUAUUCGUCGUCCUCCUCUUCUUCUUGUUUCCCUUUCCCAACCUCCCUGGAAUACCUCUGUCUGGAAGGCGUGGAGGGCAUGGAAACGCUGCUCCCUCUCUCGAACCUCACCUCUCUCACAGAGUUACGCAUAUCGGAAUGUGGGGAUCUUAAAGGCGAGGGACUGCAGUCUCUCCUCGCCCAAGGCCGUCUCACCAAAUUAAAUGUCCUCAAAACCCCCAAUUUCUUCACUGGUUCCGAGCCCUCACUGCCGCGUGAACCAGAGCUUCCAUCCUCUUCAUCCAAACUGCAGGAGCUUGACACGGAAGACGUCGCGGGUGUCCUUGCUGCGCCCAUCUGUGCCUUCCUCUCUUCCUCGCUCACCGAAUUGAACUUUUCGUGGGUCAAAGAGGUGGAGCGCUUCACAAAGGAGCAAGAGGAGACCCUUCAGCUCCUCACCUCCCUCGAGGGGAUCAGAUUUUGGUGGUGCGACAAGCUGCAGUGCCUCCCUGCAGGGCUGCAUAAACUUCCGAACCUCAAGAGAUUAAACAUCGACACUUGUAAAGCCAUCUGCUCGCUGCCCAAGGAGUGCCUCCCAAAUUCACUGCAAAAACUAGUGAUCAGAGGCUGCCCAGGCAUCCGGUCUCUUCCAAAGGUGGAAUACCUUCCAAGUUCGCUGCGAGAAUUGGAUGUCGGUGAUAGUAACAGCGAGGAACUAAGAAGGCAUUGCCGCAAGUUGAUAGGAACCAUUCCAAUAGUCAGAGCCUGAUUUACCCAAGGUAACAAAGAGGUGGAACUUCCUAGUCACCAAUUUCCCUUGCUUUUCCUAACCCUAUGAACAUCAGUUAAUCUCUUUUUGUUUAUUUGACUACAGUUAUGGUUUCCUUCCGAGUAACUCACUUGUGUUUCACCUACUGUGCAGGGCUAUUGUUUGAAUUGGGAUUUCACUGUAUCCAUACAUGAUUCUCAGUUGUCAAGCGUGAACAUCGCAGGAUAUAUCUAACACCCUGUACAUGAACAGGUUAGUAUCAUAUAUGCAAAAUCAUCCGAGAGCCCCACAAAAUAUCUACAAAUUUGAUCCAUAUUUUUUCGUUAAUCCUCCGCCUAUUAUUUUUGCUAAUUAUUUGGAUGUCUUUUUCUUAUAAUUAUUGAGGAGUUUAAACUUUUCGUAUUAGAGUUGAUAAAAAACUAUUGAUAGACAAUUUUCUCACUCACCGAACCCUGAUGUGGGAGUUUAUCAGCUUAAGAACAGCUUGUUGCUCCAACUUUCAAGUUGUCUUGGUGUACUGCUACAGAAAUAGGCUGCAUCCACAACAUAUUAACUCUGAAUUUAUCUAUUGAUUUUGCCAGUUUUCCAGAAUAGUACUUUUGGGAAUGUAUAGGACCUUUUUUAACUAAUUUUUUCUUUGUUUUCUGAGGUAUUGCUGCAGAAAACCUGUUUUAUGUUUUCUUUUCUUUUUUCAAUGCAGUGAACCUUGAUGGAAAAAUAUUUACGAAGGUUUUAUAAGAUAUCCAUUCUCAAACACCUAAGGUAGCAUUACAGAUAGUUAGAUAUUCAUAGUUUUUUCUUAAUUACCAUGAAUUAUGUUUUAAGUGUUAACCUUUCCAUGUCACAGGAGAGCAAUUUAUUUUUCUGAUAAGCGACGAAAUGUAUGCUACUCAACUGCGCAAGUGUAAACCUGCCUAACUGUUGCUACUGACAACAGUAAGACCCUACUCAAUCUGUGAAUUCAGUUACAAAUAUCAUAGUCAGCUAAUGUGAAAACUCUCAUAGUGUUCCUCUAGUUUUCUAGAUCAAGCUUGGCAUGCAAGCUGUGUUGGCACAAAGAUUUGGUUGAUUCAAGGAAAUUUCUGGCACUUCAGUGAUCAACAUAAAACUACUACUCUAGCUGGAGCAACUUCAGAUAUUCCUAGUGGUUCUAUGAUUGGCAGGUCCGGCCAGUGCCAUCUUAAGCAGCUGUGAACAAAGUGUUCCUUCACAUUGCACUCGUCUAGAUCAACAGAGUAUCUAAGGGUGGGCGCUCAGUCUGACCGAACUGAACCGAUCGGUUCUUCAGGUUUUAGCAGAUUUCGGUUACCUAAAACUAGGAACCGAUUGGUUCCAAAAGUUUCCAAGACUGAGUAGCUUCGUGCAUUCUAUGCUGCUCACACUUGCUUGCUUGUAUACGAGGUGAUUGUUACACUUUCCCUGAGGUCCUUUUGUGAUGCCAGUAGACAUUGUAAAUGCCGUUCUUCUCUUGGAGAAAUAUUGAUCAAGCUUUUUUCCUCGGUGACCUUGCUUGCAGGAAUUAUGUCUCAUUGGAAGCUGACAUUGAGGGCGGGCACUGUACCUCCCUGCAUGCCCUGCUGCCCACCUACUGCAUCCUGACCACGGUCCGUGUGCGGGAUGGCUCGAGCACUGCAUUCUGGGAAGAUUCAUGGCUUCCGGAGGGGCCGCUCUGCGACGUUCUCCCGGCGCUCUACAGCCAUGUGGUCACUUCGGGCGCCACGGUGCGCGAUGUUCUACAAGGGGGCGUCGACCACUUCCUACGAAACAGGGCGCCACGGUGCAGUUGAUGCUGAACGGCAUGCAACUGAGGGACGGGGACGACACCCGGUGCUGCCCGCUGCAAGGAACCCACGGCGAGUCACUCUGAUGGUGGCCACGGACCUCUCUCCCUGCCACUUCGCCUCCUACGUCUGGAAGAAUCGUGCUCCGCCACGAGUGAAGUUCUUCAUCUGGCUCUUGGUCUAGGAACGAAUACCAUUACCGUGCAGGGGCAAUUUGGCCGAGAAGCACAUGGUGCCGAACGCCAGGUGCGACCUCUGUGGCCACCUGGAAGAGUGUCCGACAGCUCUCGCUCUCUGGGCACGCCUGGGGUACUGCGCAGGUUGCUGCAUGCGCUCCUGCCGUGAUGAUACAAAGCUCUGAGCGGCGCGGGUUCCUGGUGCUCGCUCUUUUCUCCCAUGCAGAACGCCGAUGUGAUAUCUUUCAUCCGUCCUGUAACCCCAAACUGCUGUAAACUGAACUGAUAUAGCCCUGUUUCGGACCUGAGAUCCUAAUGGAAGUUUCAGGUGGGGGAGUCUCCCCCGUGUCGACCUUUCACAAAAAAAAGUACGAUACUUAAAGUUUUGAAUUACAAUAUUUGCAAAACAUUUCAUCAAGAAAAAUUUAAGUGCAUAUGAAGGGAAAAAAAGGUCUUGACAUGAUAGCCAAACAAUUUAAGUGCAUACGCAGGGAUCUCCCCUGUGCACGCCCCCGGAUUUUCAAACGACGCCGACGAAGUCCAAAUAGCAGACCGCGCGCGUUCUGCAAAUGACCCACGUUCUGCAAAUACGCGCGCGUUUUGACCCAAAUGACCGCGCGCCGGCACCAUUAGCGAAUACAAAAAUUGAACGAAGCCGGAGAACCGACGACCCUUGCCUCGGCCUAUAAAUAGAUGGAGUUUGGAGAGGAAAGCAAUCGCUCCCAGGCUGCUACGCUAAACACGAAACGCCGCCGCCAGGCUGCUGCGAUCCCUCGACGGAGAGCGGCACCGGCAAACACCACCCCAGCAAGCACCGGUGAGGAAGGAGAUCCGGCAAGGUGAGGAGCCUGAUGGCCGGCGUUCCUCUGACCAUCUUCCCCUCGUCCUCCCUCUUUCUUGCUUCCCCAUGAUGCAAAUCAGAAAAAGGCUCAAGGCCCUGCCCGUCGGUUUGGUCUUUUGAUACAAACCACAACGGGAUGCAAGAAGGCCCCAAUCCUCGGCUCGGUCCGUUGAUAGAUACGACGUCAGGAUGGGAUGAGCUCUUGUUCUUCGAUUCGGUCUGUUGAUACCAACUCAUGGACAAGUGCUAAUGACUGCAUGUUGAAAGCGGUUGAACCAGGCUCUGUCUGCACUCCGAUCCGUAUACGGGGUUGGCUGAUCAUGAAUCCCUGCAACGAGUGGCAGCGGCAACAACACAUAUAAAGUUACCUGCAUGCUGAUUAUAAGUGGUUGCCUUAUGUAUACUACACGUGUAGGCUCUCCCUAUAUACUGGAGCAUACUGUCUUGUUAGUAGUAAAGCAGGUCGAUCAACCACCUCCAAAGAAACGAUCAUCUCUGUAUAAACUAUUAGAUGGCGUCAAAAGAAACAGUCAUGCGCUGCAUCGUCCGCAUGCAUGCAAGUUCAGUUUAGUAGUCUCCUAUCCAUGCGCCCCAUUGCCUAGCAGGAGCAUCAACUAGCAUCAUCUCAAUUUAUAAAAUUGGCUACAUUAAUUGAUUCUGUGGCCGCAUACUCAACUGCUCUAUGUCAAAAUAAUUAGCAUGCAUCGAAAUCUGCAGCUGCUUCAAAUCCUAUGCGUAGCCAAAUGCUUAGAUACUAAUGUAAACGUAGUCGAACUAAGAAAACUCUGCCACAUGCAUGAACGUCGUCUCUGCGUCUUGUCCUGAUCAGCCAGGAUGAGAUAAACAAAGCUUACAAUAGCGACGCAAUACUCGUAGUAGCUGUGAGUUAAGUAAUGACAAAUCAUGCCUAAUCUAAAGGAACAGGCAGUCACGAUGUUUCCCUGAGAAAUACUAUAACCUGUCUCAUGCAAAUGACAGAGAAAAGGGAAACGUUAUAUAUCCGACAUCUGCAUCUCGGGUUCGAUAAGCGUACAAACAAACUAGCAGUAACCCAUGUGUACACAGAAUGUACCUCUGCUAAACCAUGCAUGAAUUCCAAAUAAGUGCAUGAGCUUGAAUUUUGUUUAAUUUUAAUGGAUCCUAAGUUUGAGCUAUAAUUUUAACAUAGAAAUCUAUAUUCUCACCAGUUUCUCUAUGUAUUUAUAAAUGGUGACACACAUCAUGUGUAUAUACCUUAAGUAUUGUAUUAUAUACCAAUGGUGUAAGAAUAGAUAAUUUAAAAUCAUAUAUUGGUGUAUAUUGGGGUAUAUUUUUAAUGAAUGUGAUUUAGAUUCAUUUUUAGAGUUACCUCAUGUUAUUUUUAAUAAUGAUAUAAGUGGGUAAUAUAGAUGCAAAUUUAAGGGUUACUUUAAGUUAUUUUUUAAGUAUUGGUGGUGGGCAAUUUAGUUGAAAAUUUAGGAAGUUAUGUUAAUUUUUUUAUAAUGGCAUAAGUGGGUAAUUUAGAUGAAUAUUAGGGGUUACUUUAGUUUAUUUAUAUAAUGACAAAGGUGGUUAUUUACAGAGGUUACUUUAGGCUAUUUUCAUAAUGGCAGAGGUGGGUAAUUUUUUAGAAAAUAUAAUAGAUCCAAUGGUAACGAUGAUUUGAGUCUAUCGAUUGAUUGCCGGAUGUUUUGCUUUUUUUUAAGAAUUUUUAGGAUUUCUCUAUUUUUUUUAGAGUGUCCACCUAAGAUCCUAGGUGGCUUCACCUGAAGAAGCCUCCAAUUAGUAAUAGUAAGAUGCGAUCCCAUGUUUUUUUACUCCUUGCAUUGAGGAGGUUUUUCCACGCAAAUCACUUGUCUUUGUGCAUGCCACUUUGAGUUUUUAUUGAUUUUCCCAAUUCCCAUGCUUCGAAUUCUUCUAUAAUGAUGUGUACUAAUGGAAAUUAAAGUCACAAUUUUCUAUUGCGCCAUGACAUUUCCUAAUAGAUAGCAGGUGAAUGGUCCAUAUCUAGACAUGCAUGGAGUCGCCUCAGGUAUUGAGGUAUCAUUAAACCAGCAUGCUCAAUAUGUUCUCACACAAAGUUGCAUUGUUUCUGUUUUCCGAUGAUGGGUACUCCAUAUUAUUGUUUAAUGUUCUUUCCGGGGAAAAAAAACUAGGGACACGAACCAUUCUAUAUUUCUGGACUUUGAGAUCUAGUGCUCUUGGGUUGCCUAUAUGGUUGUUGAAACUUGAAAACCAUAUUGACAGUAGUAGCUCUGAAGGUGUAGAAUUCUAAAUUAAACCUUCAUGCACUGCCCGAACUCUGAAAUAAAGUUGCAUACUACUCCACUUGAAUCCACCCAAUGCAUGAUUAAGCGUUGCGUGCAUAUAGGCAAAAUGGUCUGUUCUAUGUCUGAUUAAUUAGCAAAUGCAUCUGGUGUGUGCAGUGGAUAGUAGUUGUUACGUUGCAUCCCAGUUCCUAACAGCCUCCAUCAGACUUACAGUUAUUACGCCAGGUCAGCCGUAUAUUUUUUUUUUUUUUGUCGUUGCUCCGCACCAAGAACGUGGAACGCAGCUUCGAAUCCCCAUUCCAAUUCCAUCCUCAUCGCGGCAGCGGGAGGGGAACUGGGGCAAGAGUCCAGCAGCAAAAUAAAAUACGCGAGGACGUUCUGCUUGGCAAAGAGAUUUCUUUCCGGAUCUCUAGCCGGACGUUGAGCAGGGUCUCCUAAUUGAAAGCUUUUUUUUGGGGGGCAACUCCUAAUUGAAGGAUUGGGCACUUGUUCCCAGCUCGCUUCUUGAGGUUGAGAUCAGUGCGUUGCGUGAGUACACGUGGAAUUAUUGGCUGGCUGCGAAACAAACCAAGUGGUAAGGAAAAGAUCUUUGGACCAAGCAUCUGUCAUUUGUGGUCGGUCAUCAACACGCGAGAAAUUAAAAUUCCCAUCUGCUUUUGGGAUAUUUUGAUGAUCAGGCGGACCAUCCGGUGACCGAGACAAUAUCUGUCAUACGUUGGGCCCAGCCCGUGCCCACGCAAAAAAAAAAAGAAGAUCAUGCUCACUGUUGUUAAGCAACAAAGCGACAACAGAACGUAGGAUCAAGUGCAGCCUAUAUGGUCACCAAGGGCAAGCAUCACGCCAUCCCCGAAGUAUCUCAAUGUACUUUUACUUGACACAUGCCUAUAAUUACAUACUGUAACGUCGAGUUCCUGACCCAUAAGCUUUAUGGACAAGCCGGAGUCAGGGGGGACAAGACACCUCAUUUUUUAUGUCGCGACAUGUCGCCGCGAUGGCUUGACAGCGGCCCGUCACCGGCUUGUGGCUGCCGGUAAUGGAGCGGCUAGCUGGCCAGCCGGGCCAGCGAGACCUGAAGGUGAUGCCUCACCAUCACCGCGCUGGCAUGACAGCGACCCGGCACUAAUAAUGGAGCAGCUGGCUGUAGUGGCUUCACUUGGAAGCUGGUUCCGUUCAUCAGCUCAGUCCUUCCACGCUGCCAUCUCCAUUGUUCUCACUUCUCAGCACUGUAGCACACUGUAGCGUUUCGUUUGUAUUUGUGAAUUAUUGUCCAAAUAUUGACUAAUUAGGCUCAAAAGAUUCGUCUCGCAAAGUACAACAAAACUGUACAAUUAGUUUUUAAUUUCAUCUACAUUUAGUACUCCAUGCAUGUACCGCAAGUUUGAUGUGAUGGGGAAUCUUCUUUUUGCAUAGUGUCAAAGUUGGGAGUUGGGAGUAACUAAACAUGGCCCAAGCAUCUGUCAUUUGUGGUCGGUCAUCAGCACGCGAGAAUAAAAUUCCCAUCUGCUUUUGGGAUAUCCCAAAAGUGAUCGAGACAGUAUCUGUCAUACGUUGGGCCCAGCCCGUGCCCACGCAAAAAAAGAGAUCAUGCUCAGUGUUGUGAAGCAACAAAGCGACAACAGAAGGCAGGAUCAAGUGCAGCCUAGGCCUUGUUUAGUUCCUAGGAGUGCCAAAGUUGGGAGUUUGCCAUAAAUGCGCAACUGUAGCAUUUCGUUUGUAUUUGUGAAUUAUUGUCCAAACAUUAACUAAUUAGGCUCAAAAGAUUCGUCUCGCAAAGUACAACAAAACCGUGCAAUUAGUUUUUAAUUUCGUCUACAUUUAGUACUCCAUGCAUGUACCGCAAGUUUGAUGUGAUAGGGAAUCUUCUUUUUGCAUAGUGUCAAAGUUGGGAUUUUGGGGGAAACUAAACAUGGCCCUACACGUAUGGUCACCAAGGGCAAGCAUCACGCCAUCCCCGAAGUAUGUCAGGGGAGGUUUGAAUACACCGCUAAAGUUUAGCAUCAGCUAGAUGUUUGGAUUCUAAUUACGAGUAUUAAAUAUAGACUAAUUACAAAACUAGUUGCAUAGAUGGAGUCUAAUUCGCUUAGCAUCAGCCAGAUGUUUGGAUUCUAAUUACGAGUAUUAAAUAUAGACUAAUUACAAAACUAGUUGCAUAGAUGGAGUCUAAUUCGCGAGACGAAUCUAUUAAACUUAAUUAAUCCAUAAUUUGAUAACGUAGUGCUACAUUAACUAUUUGAUGGAUUAAUUAGACUUAAUAGAUUCGUAUCUCCUCCUAAUUAGUAUUCGAACGACACUCCUGCUUUUACUUGACAUGCCUAUAAUUACAUACUGUAACGUCAAGUUCCUGACACAUAAGCUUUCUGGACAAGCUGCAGUCAGGGGAGACAAGACACCUCAUUUUUUAUUUCACGACAAUGGUCUCUGAUCGGCUUUACCUGCAAUUUGCAGCAGUAUACACAUGUGGGAGGUAAAGGUGAGCUUUAUUGGUAAUGGCUAAAGUUCAUGAAAGAUUCGCUGGAGCGCAUCAAGCGGGGGAAAAGUUCUUUUGAAAGUGGCUGCUGGUGGACGCGGCUGGCUAUGGUGGCUUCACUUGGAAGCUGGUUCCGUUCAUCAGCUCAGUCCUUCCACGCUGCCAUCUCCAUUGUUCUCACUUCUCAGCACUGCACCCUUGGGAACGUAUGCGGUAUGCUCAACACACUGCCGCUCUCAUCUUGUGAGUUUGCAUCCUCCUCGUUCGUCAGCUAGUUUGGCCUCUCGUAGGUGCUGAUUGUUGCCUGAUUCCAAACGAUCUUUCAUUACCAGAUUCCAGCCUCCUCUGUUCCGAAAAGCGACGCCCAUGAGAAUUGAGAUGGCAUGGCACUACUAACCAGGAGGGAUUUGGCAUCGACGACUCCUUGUCCGACAACGUCUUCUCCGCCCGGCGCGACCCGGUCCUCUGCUGUACGUCCUGUUUUCGGAUCUGGGCGUGUCUUCCCCAACACCUCUGCUCUGCGCGUUCCUCUGCCGGAUCUUACUCUUUUGAGGAAGUCUCUACAGAUUUGAGCACACGCUCUGGCUGAGUGCCAGCCCUGGUGUGCAUCCGUUUUGUGGUAGGUACACGUACAGCUCUGACCUCGAAUGAAUCCUUGUCACGUGUUACUGAUUUGAUCUCUGCGAUUGCAAAUGCCUUUCUCUCUGCCUUCAGAUCCAGAAGGAACCUGAACCACUGCGUGACUCGUGAAGAUGGAGUUCGGGUUCAGCGCGGCGCAGUGGGUGGUGGGCAAGGCGCUCGCCCCCGUCGCAGACGGCUUCCUGGAGGCGUGGGCGGCCAGCAAGAAUCUCGGCUCCGAGGUCGAUGGCCUCAUGACGGUGCUGCAGUACGCGCAGGCCAUGCUCAACAACACCCGUGGCAGGGACAUCGACAACCCGGCCCUCAACGACCUGCUGCUCAAGCUGCGUCUGCUGGCCUACGACGCUGACGACGUGCUCGACGAGCUCGACUACUUCCGCAUCCAGGACGAGCUCGACGGCACCUACCAUGCCGCUAACCAGCACGCCGGGGGAUGCGCCCGUGACCUCCUCCUCAAUGCUCGUCACACUGGAAGAUACGUUGCCAAUAAAUUCAAGCUCUCCUCAGGCUCGCCUGAUGCUACUCGUGGACGACGAUUUCUAUGUGGUGCCUGGCCGUCCAAGGUACCGCAGAGAAGACAAACUGCCCAGAUACCAAAAUUGAAGUUUGAUAGGGUGGAUAUAUCUACAAGGAUGACAGAGAUCGUAAAGAAGCUCAAGCCCAUCUGUGCUAUGGUCUCAACCGUUCUUAAUCUAGAGUUGAUAGGCUCCAAAGCUAUCACUACUGCCACCAUGGAACGGCCCACAACCAGUGAGGAAAUUACAGAGCCUACAUUGUAUGGGAGGGAGACAGAGCUACAGAGUGUUGUAGAUUCCAUUACCCAUGGUGAAUGUUUUGCCAAUGAACUUACUGUGCUUCCAAUUGUUGGCCCGGGAGGUAUUGGGAAGACAACUUUCACACAACAUGUAUACCAAGAAGCGAGGAGCCAUUUCCAAGUUACAAUUUGGAUAUGCGUCUCUCUGGAUUUCAAUGCAGAUAGAUUGGCACAAGAAGCUGUGAAAAAGAUUCCCGAAGCUAAAGAUGAAAAGAAAAGUGGUAGUGACCACGAACUAAUUGAGCAAAGAUUAAAAGGUAAACGGUUUUUGCUUGUCCUGGAUGAUAUAUGGAAAUGUCAUGAGUAUGAGUGGGAAAAACUACUAGAACCAUUUGGAAAAGGUGGAGGAAAAGGUAAUAUGGUUAUAGUCACAACUCGAAUGUCAGAUGUGGCCAAAAUGGUUAAGACAGGUGAUUCUCAAAUACAGUUGCAUCGUUUAGGAGCUCAAGAUUUUAAGGAUUUCUUUGACGCAUGUGUAUCUACCAGAAUUUAUUCGUUCUGGUCAGAGCAUCCUGAGUUAAUUGAAACUGGGAAAGAAAUAAUGGCCAAACUGAAACGUAAUCCUCUUGCAGCAAAAACUGUAGGGAGAUUACUAGGAAAACAGCUCACUUUGGAGCAUUGGAGAAGGGUUCUAGAGAGCAAAGAAUGGGAACUCCAAACCAGUGACAAUGACAUUAUGCCAGCGUUGAAGAUUAGCUAUGAUUAUCUUCCAUUUAACCUAAAGCAAUGCUUUUCCUAUUGUGCUUUGUUUCCUGAAGAUUACGAAUUUGACAGCAAAGAGUUAGUUCACUUUUGGAUAGGACUAGAUGUUUUACAUCUGGGUGAUCAGAGCAUAAGAAUAGAAGAUGUUGGCAAGAGUUAUUUGAUUGACUUGGUCAACUAUGGAUUUUUCAAAAGGAACGAAAAAGACAAUGGCUGUCAUUAUUAUGUUAUCCAUGACCUAUUACAUGAGCUGGCGGUCAAAGUUUCACGGUACGAUUGUCUUAGCAUACAAAUAUCUAAAGUGAGGUCUGUACAUAUCCCGGCAUCGGUACGCCACUUGUCUAUCAUUGUGGAUAACAAAGAUGUUGAGGAUAUAAUUACUUAUAAAGACUGUGAGAAGGAUCUUGGUGCACUUGAUAAAAGGCUACAAAUUGAAAACAUACGUACAUUGAUGUUGUUUGGUGAAAAUGUGGAGAGUUUUUCCAAAACAUUUGGUAAUUUGUUUAAGAAAGCUGGAGCCCUUCGCGCUAUUUUUUUUGUCUGGAGCAUCAUAUAUUGUGGAGGAUAUGUGGCAGAACUUUUCAAAGCUCGUCCAUCUUCGCUACCUAAAGAUUAAGGGGAGUUACCAUUUUCUGGAAACAGACCUACCAGGAACAAUUUCAAGACUAUAUCACUUGAAGAUCCUAGACAUUAAAGAUUCCACGGACUGCCCUUUUCCAUCAAGAUAUUUAAGCAACCUCGCAAGCAUGCAACAUUUUCUUGUCCCUGGUAAUAAUAGCCUUCACUCAGACAUCCUCAAUGUGGGAAACCUGAAACUUCUACGAGAACUAAGAAGAUUUGAAGCUAAGAAAGAAAAUAAAGGUUUUGAGUUAAAGCAACUAGCAGAACUACUAGUGCUUGAAGUACUGGGCAUUUACAAUCUUGAAAAGGUUAAAGUAAAGGAAGAAGCAGUUGCAAUGAAAUUAAUACAAAAACACCAUUUACAAGAGCUCGUACUAGAUUGGGAUAUUAAUCGCUCCGAUAAGGAUCCUAUUGGAGAAGAGAAUAUCCUUGAAUGUCUUAUGCCACAUAGCAAUCUCUACAAGCUAUCUAUUACUGGGCAUGGAGGUGACACUUGCCCUUCAUGGCUUGGUAUGAACCUCUCGGUAAAAACUUUGGAUUCUCUUCGGCUGAGUAGUGUAUCUUGGAAAACAUUUCCACCUCUAGGAGAGAUGUGGUUUGUCGGUGAACAUUGUAAAAGCUGUAUACGAGAACAAAGCUUCAAAAAAUUGAAGAGGCUAGAACUGGAAAAGGUACCGAAAUUGAUAAAAUGGGUUGGAAAUGGCCCUUCUGAUUUGUUCUCUCACUUGGAAGUGCUCGUCAUCAAAGACUGCCCAGAACUCAUGGAAUUGCCAUUUUCACAUUGUGCUGGAUAUGGACAACACGUUGAGGAUAACAUGACCUGGUUUCGAAAAUUAAAAAAGCUCGAAAUUACAGAUUGUCCAAAGCUAUCAUCAUUGCCUUGUGUUCCAUGGUCUAGCUCUACUUGCAGCGCUAAGAUUGUACAAGCUGGUUCGGGUAUUGAGCAACUGUCUUUCAGAGGACAUAUCUUGGAAAUUAAGGGAAAGGACACAUUGGAUAGUGCUUUUUGGAGAGUGUUAGCCUUUCAUAACCUAUCCGAACUUGAAGUGUUGCAGGUGACGACAUGCCCUCCUUUGUCACUGGUUCACCUCGAAAAGCUAUCAUCCCUAAGGAGCCUCCGGAUAUAUGAUAUGGGUGAUGCCUUUUGUUCGGCUGAAGGUGGUGGUCAUGCCGGAUAUCAAUUUCCAGUUAAAGAUGUCACGAUUGGGCGAUAUGGUGGUAGUGGGCAGCGACUGACACGACUGUUCUCUUACUUCCCAAACCUCCUCUGGUUCAGGAUGUUCAGGUGUGAGAAGUUAACAGGGUUAGGUGUUGUGGGCCUGCAUAAGAGGACGGAAGCACUGCCAAGACCGCCGUCAAUUUCAGUUAACCAAGUGGAGGAGGCACAAGAGCAGCAGGGCGCAAGAGCAGAGGAGGAAAUAGCAGCAGCAGCAACAUCAGAAGGGGUACUAUUGCUGUCUCACCAAUUACAACGUUUGGAUAUCUCGUACUGCCAAAAUUUGGUCCUCUGCCCAGGUUUACUCGACCACGACGAAGACGAAGGACGAACCGGAGGUGGAGGCCUCCAAGGUCUGAGCUCCCUCACUUCAUUAACUAUACGGAAAUGCCCCAGGUUCCUCUCCUCCUAUUCGUCGUCCUCCUCUUCUUCUUGUUUCCCUUUCCCAACCUCCCUGGAAUUCCUCUCUCUUCGCGGCGUGGAGGGCAUGGAAACGCUGCUCCCUCUCUCGAACCUCACCUCUCUCACAGAGUUAGACAUACGGGAAUGUGGGGAUCUUAAAGGCGAGGGACUGCAGUCUCUCCUCGUUCAAGGCCGUCUCACCAGAUUAACUGUCCACGAAACCCCCAAAUUCUUCGCUGGUUCCGAGCCCUCACUGCCUCGUGAACCAGAGCUUCCAUCCUCUUCAUCCAAACUGCAGACGCUUGACACGGAUGACGUCGCGGGUGUCCUUGCUGCGCCCAUCUGUGCCUUCCUCUCUUCCUCGCUCACCAAAUUGGACUUUCGGUGGGUCAAAGAGGUGGAGCGCUUCACAAAGGAGCAAGAGGAGGCCCUUCAGCUCCUCACCUCCCUCGAGAGCAUCGAAUUUUGGUUUUCCAACAAGCUGCAGUGCCUCCCUGCAGGGCUGCAUAGACUUCCGAACCUCAAGAGAUUGGUGAUAAUCGAUUGUCAAGCCAUCGGCUCGCUGCAGGAUGGCCUGCCAGGUUCCCUGCUAGAGUUGGUGAUAUGCGAUUGUCAAGGCAUCCGGUCGAUACACAAGGAGUGCCUCCCGAAUUCACUGCAAAAACUAGUGAUCUCGAACUGCCCAGGCAUCCGGUUUCUUCCAAAGGUGGAAUACCUUCCAAGUUCGCUGCGAGAAUUGGUUGUCGAUGAUAGGAACAGCGAGGAACUAAGAAGGCAUUGCCGCAAGUUGAUAGGAACCAUUCCAAUAGUCAGAGCCUGAUUUACCCAAGGUAACAAAGAGGUGGAACUUCCUAGUCACCAAUUUCCCUUGCUUUUCCUAACCCUAUGGACAUCAGUUAUUCUCCUUUUGUUUAUUUGACAACAGUUAUGGUUUAUUUGACUACUUGUGUUUCACCUACUGUGCAGGGCUAUUGUUUGAAUUGGGAUUUCACUGUAUCCAUACAUGAUUCUCAGUUGUCAAGCGUGAACAUCGCAGGAUAUAUCUAACACCCUGUACAUAAACUGGUUAGUAUCCUGUAUGCAAAAUCAUCCGAGAGCCCCACAAAAUAUCUACAAAUUUGAUCCAUAUUUUUUCCGUUAAUCCUCCGCCUAUUGUUUUUGCUAAUUAUUUGGAUGUCUUUUUCUUAUAAUUAUUGAGGAAUUUAAACUUUUCGUAUUAGAGUUGAUAAAAAACUAUUGAUAGACAAUUUUGUCACUCACCGAACCCUGAUGUGUGAGUUUAUCAGUUUAAGAACGGCUUGUUGCUCCAACAACUUUCAAGUUGUCUUGGUGUACUGCUACAGAAAUAGGCUGCAUCCACAACAUAUUAACUCUGAAUUUAUUUGUUGGUUUUGCCAGCUCACCAGAAUAGUACUUCUCAGAUUGUAGGACCAACAUAUUAACUCUGAAUUUAUUUAUUAGUUUUGCCAGUUUACCAGUAUAGUACUUCUCAGAUUGUAGGGACUACUUGCCUUUGUUUUCUGAUGUAUUGCUGCACAAAAUAUUGCAUCCUUAGCUUUUCUGAUAUCCUAAUUUCUUUGCUUAAUGCUGGACUAAUUUGCUGUACCAACAUGGUAUCAGCGAUGUCUCAUUUUCUGUAUUCCAAGUUAGCAUACUUAUUGGAGUUUGAUGGACUUAUGUCCAUAUGUAUUCUCAGUAUCUGCAAAAGUCUCCAUUGGAACAUAUGUAAGCAAAAGAAGUUGCAGAAGCUAACCUAGAAAGAAAAAUAUAAAACUUCUUUUUGUACUGCCACAUAGAGUUCCAAAAAAAAGUCUCCAUUGGAACUUAUUUUGCUAAUUAUUUGGAUGUCUUUCUCUUAUAAUUAUUGAGUAGUUUAAACUUUUUGUAUUAUAGUUGAUAAAAAACUAUUGAUGGGGAGUUUUCUCACUCACAGAACACUGAUGUGUGAGUUUAGCAGUUUUAGACCAGCUUGCUGCUCCAACAACUUUAAAGUUGUCUUGGUGUGCUGCAACAGAAAUAGGCUGCAUACACAACAUAUUAACUCUGAAUUUAUCUAUUGAUUUUGCCAGUUUUCCAGAAUAGUACUUCUCGGAAUGUAUAGGACCUUUUUUGACUAAUUUUUUUCUUUGUUUUCUGAGGUAUUGCUGCAGAAAACCUGUUUUAUGCUUAGUUCCACUUUUUGAUAAUUCAAUUGGAAUUUCUUUCACAAGUUUUUCUUUUCUAUCUUCAAUGCAGUGAACCUUGAUGGAAAAAUAUUUACGAAGGUUUUAUAAGAUAUUCAUUCUCAAACACCUAAGGUAGCAUUACAGAUAGUUAGAUCUUCAUAGUUUUUUCUUAAUUACCAUGAAUUAUGUUUUAAGUAUUAACCUUUCCAUGUCACAGGAGAGCAAUUUAUUUUUCGGAUAAGCGAUGAAAUUUAUGCUACUCAACUGCGCAAGUGUAAACCUGCCUAACUGUUACUACUGACAACAGUAAGAGCCUACUCAAUCUUAGAAUUCAGUUACAAAUAUCAUAGUCAGCUAAUGUGAAAACUCUCAUAGUGUUCCUCUAGUUUUCUAGAUCAAACUUGGCAUGCAAGCUGUGUUGGCACAAAGAUUUGGUUGAUUCAAGGAAAUUUCUGGCACUUCAGUGAUCAACAUAAAACUACUACUCUAGCUGGAGCAACUUCAGAUGUUCCUAGUGGUUCUAUGAUUGGCAGGUCCGGCCAGUGCCAUCUUAAGCAGCUGUGAACAAAGUGUUCCUUCACAUUGCACUCGUCUAGAUCAACAGAGUAUCUAAGGGUGGGCGCUCAGUCUGACCGAACUGAACCGAUCGGUUCUUCAGGUUUUAGCAGAUUUCGGUUACCUAAAACUAGGAACCGAUUGGUUCCAAAAGUUUCCAAGACUGAGUAGCUUCGUGCAUUCUAUGCCGCUCACACUUGCUUGCUUGUAUACGAGGUGAUUGUUACACUUUCCCUGAGGUCCUUUUGUGAUGCCAGUAGACAUUGUAAAUGCCGUUCUUCUCUUGGAGAAAUAUUGAUCAAGCUUUUUUCCUCGGUGACCUUGCUUGCAGGAAUUAUGUCUCAUUGGAAGGUGACAUUGAGGUCGGGCACUGUACAUCCCAGCAUGCCCUGCUGCCCACCUACUGCAUCCUGACGACGGUCCGUGUGCGGGAUGGCUCGAGCACUGCAUUCUGGGAAGAUUCAUGGCUUCCGGUGGGGCCGCUCUGCGACGUUCUCCCGGCGCUCUACAGCCAUGUGGUCACUUCGGGCGCCACGGUGCGCGAUGUUCUACAAGGGGGCGUCGACCGCUUCCUACGAAACAGGGCCAAUAGAGUGGCUGCGGCGGAGAAGGUGAAACUGUAGUUGGUCGUUGGGCCUAAACCAAACAGAAGGUACGAAGAAGGAGUAUUGAGAGACAAAGAUAUCUCAAGCAAAGGUAACUGUGGCUGUCCUAUCAAUGAAUAGUAUCCGUUCUAGGGAUGGUUCACCUCGCUUUAUAGGGCCAUAAAAUUACAUUUCCGCAUAUCCGUUAUACUCAUGCUCAACAACUACCUCCUAGACAUAUCCCGUACAAGACAGUAACUUGGCCCCUACUCAAGAUGUCGCUUUCAAAGUGAGAUUACAUUUCUAACCCUUUCUAGGAUCUUUAUUACAAAAGUGACCCCUAAUAAUGUGGUUCCAGGACUGUCCUGAUUCCUUCCUUCCCUACUCAUUAGCUUCGUCGGUACUAAGAACGCCUCCGCAUGCUCUCCACCUUCAUUGGUCGAAAUCAGCUAACCUCGGGCUUUGGUCAUGGGGCCUCCCCGAGAUCAAGUCGUCGGGAGUUCCGUGGGGGCUUCAACUUCAGGAAUCUUCACCUGCAAAGUCACAGAACGGGCAUCUUCGGACCAGUUAACUUUGGUUAAUUGUUAGCUUCGUGGAAGAGUAUAGUGACGAAGUCAGCGCUGGUGUCGAGGAGAGGUCCGCGCCAGCUUUGUUCAAGAUGCGAUGUGGAGCGGUCCCCAACAUUGGUGCUGCCCGCUGCAAGGAACCCACGGCGAGCCACUCUGAUGGCGGCCACGGACCUCUCUCCGUGCCACUUCGCCUCCUACGUCUGGAAGAAUCGUGCUCCGCCACGAGUGAAGUGCUUCAUCUGGCUCUUGGUCCAGGAACGAAUACCAUUACCAUGCAGGGGCAAUUUGGCCGAGAAGCACAUGGUGCCGAACGCCAGGUGCGACCUCUGGCGUGAUGAUACAAAGCUCUGGGCGGUGCGGAUUCCUGGUGCUCGCUCUUUUCUCCCAUGCAGAACGCCGAUGUAAUAUCUUUCAUCCCUCCUGUAUCCCCAAACUGCUGUAAACUGAACUGAUAUAGCCCUGUUUCGGACCUGAGAUCCUAAUGGAAGUUUCAGGUGGGGGAGUCUCUCCCGUGUCGACCUUUCAAAAAAGAAAGUACGAUACUUAAAGUUUUGAAUUACAAUAUUUUCAAAAUAUUUCAUCAAGAAAAAUUUAAAUGCAUAUGAAGGGAAAAAGAAGGUCUUGAUAUGAUAGCAAAAAAAGGGAAAAUAGAUAGUGAAAAAAAACCAAAAGAAAAAACAUAAAGGGGUACAUGGGCCGCAUGCACCUAAUAGGCCGUCCAUUCCGGACCGCGGAGCAGGCCGCCGUGACCCAGAGAAAAUAGAGAGAGGCCUUCUCCUAAACCUGUACUGUCGAGGCCUUCUCCUUCUCGGAUACGGCGAUCCAAACAGAAUUACGGGGAUUAAUUAGGAGGAUCGGAAUUGAAGAAUUAAUAUGGAACAUGAAUUGAAUUUCGGGAGCAAAUUAUCUUCGCCCCAUUAUGAUGGACUUGAAAGAUCUUCCGCGGAUGGUUAACAAGCUGAUAGAUCACACGACGACCUCAUGGGACGUCCAAAGCUUCAUGCUGUUUUCUAUCCGUCUGAUGUUGAGGCAAUUCUGAAUAUAUCUCUCUGCACUUGGAGACAAGGGGAUUUCUGAACAUAGCACCAUGAAAAGAGGGAUAUUUUCUCAAUUCGUUCAGCUUAUAGGAUGUUGGUUGUAAACAAAGAACGAGCUACAACGUAUCUAGAGAAUAUUGCUGGGAGAUCAAAUUUAAUGUUUGAGGAAAAUGAAUGAAAGUCGCUAUGGCAGGUUAAGGUACCAUCAAAGAUACAUGGGUUCUUGUGAAGGGUUGCUCAUCACUCCUUGCUGGUAAUGUACUGCACUAUAGGAACAUGGCUACUCGAAGCACUUGUUUUGUUUCGAUCUGUGGCAUGUCUAAUUCUUGGAAGCACUCAUUAAUAGAGUGCAAUAUGGCGAAAUGUGUGUGGGCUCUAAAAUGCGAGGAAAUUACAGAGCUAGUGAGCAAAACUUAAAAGACUGAGCCUAAGGGAUGGUUAGCGACUAUUGUCAGCUCGCUAAAGCAUAAUGAUCUGAUGAGGAUGGUGGUCACUCUUUGGGUUAUCUGGUAUGCUUGCAGGAAGACGAUCCACGACGGUUUUUUUUAUAGUACUUUGUCUACUUACUGUUUUGUGAACAAUUUUUAUAGCUGACUUGGAGAUGAUCAAGACGGUGCAAGCGGCACCGGUGAGACAAAACCAAGGUAUCCCACCUCGGUGGAUCCCUCCACCACCAGAUCUCGUUAAAAUCAAUAUCGAUGCAGCCACUUCGAAGAAUUCAAGCAAGGCAGUGGCUGUUGCAAUUUCUACUUUCUGAGAGCAUCUGCGCUAGUGAUUCGUGGACUCUCAGAUGCAGAGAUCGUCGAUGCUAUUGCGUGCAGGGAAGGCUUGGCGUUGACGAGUAACCUCAUGGUUCAACUUCAGGCUAACCUCGGACAAUGUUAAUAUGAUAAGAGGAACCAAGGAGGAAGAAAUGGUUACCGGUCAUAUCAUCAAAUAUAAAUGCUAUAGCAGCGUAGUUUAGUACUAUUAAUUUUUUGUUCAUGAAAAUAGACGCUCGAACGUGGAUACUCACACCAUAUAAGGAACGUGAUUUUCGCUGAAUUUGGUAGACGAAUUUGGCUGUUAAAUCCGUCAGCCCUAUGUAAUUGUAACUCUGCCUUAAAAAAAAGUCAACGACAAGACGCAACACGACGCCACGACGGCGACGGCCAUGGCUUCGCCGGAGCUCGGCGGCGGCGACGGCAGCAGCUACGAUUUCCAUCUCCGCUCGCUCUCGGCAGCCUCACGGGACUCCGCUGCGGCCGCUGACCCCGCCUCCGACCCAACCUCCUCCAAUCCGUAAUCGCAUCUCCCUUCUAGCCCUUCUCCCCAUGUCCGGUUUCUUGGAUGUAUACAUAAGGAUUUUUAGUUUGUUGCUUAUUGCGCCAUUUUUCUUUUCCCGCGUGAAGGUGAGGAGGGUGUGCGAGAUGUGCCGGGAGGCGAAGGAGGCGAGGGACGAGAUGGUGGCACGGGCGUUCCCGGUGAUGAGCAAGCUGUUUCAGCGAUGCGCCGCCGCUCCGACGCAGGCCGUGGCCUCCACCGGCACGCUGCUUCUUCUAAGCAGACUUUUCUCAGUCUUGCUCUGCAAAGAUCUUAUUCUUAACAUUUUGAUGGAUAAAUGCUCGGAUGUCAGGAACUAUGGGUCCUUUUCCGUAGAACUGUACUUCUCCCUUACAAUUUUAUCGAAAUUUCUCAGUAACGUGCGUAUAUCAUUUGGGGAGAGAGUUAAUAUAUUGCUAAGCGCAUGGUAAAUGCAUUACUUCCUGAUUCACCCAACAGUCAAUUUUAUCUGCACGGUUAUUGGUGUCAGAUUACUUUUAAAUGUUUCCUUAUUUCAUAAAGAGUUCAGUUAUACUUCUAGCAAGAAUUGUUUAGACUUUAGAGACAUGUAUUUUUCCUUCACAGACCAUUCUGCAAUUCUUCCUGAACUUUGGGGAGGCAGUCUUGCAUGAUGCUGAUGGUAGUUUGAAAACCUUCUUCCGCUCUUGCUUAAGUAGGUAAUAUUGCUCUCUGUGUUUGUCUCUUGAUGUAUAUAUUAUGUGUUGCUUUCAAAAGCUUCUAAAAUCACUCCAAUUUUCUUUCUUAUAAAUAGGGAGUUCGCAGAUCCUAUUGUUGCAGAGCGCACACUUGAAUUCCUUAUAGCAAACAAGACAAAGAUCCUUGGUUCUUUUCCCACCUUGAUUCCACUGGUGCAUACACACGAAAUGAUUACUUACUUCGAAAUAGUAAAUAAUGCAGCUCAUGUUGUUGCAAAGCAUUGCUUUUAAAUAUAUCAAUGUGUCAAUUAAGCCUCCUUGUUUGUUUUUAAGCAUAUGUAUCUCUUCUCUUUCUAUUUUCCAAAUUGAUCUAAGCAUGUUAGCAUUUGACAAUGCUUGUGUACUGUUGUUUAUAUGCAGUUUUAUCCGUUGCUGUUGAAGUUAAUUGCAUCAAAUGGUGAGAAGUAUGUCCCCUUUAUUGCUGGAACUUCUGAGAGUUUUAUGUGCAUGUUUCCUGACACUGGUAGCAUAAAUAUUUCAUAUGAAUCCUGUCGAGCUGCCUAAUUUGUUUGCUAACAUUCUAGACUGGAAAAGAAGUUUUUGGAAGUACUUCCAUUAAUGAUGUCAGCAGGAUCUUUUCUUCCACUCUUCCUGUCCCUUAUGGAUCUGCCAAGUAAGCCUGUUGAUUAUGUGCUUUCAGGACUUCCUUGAAUUUAUUUUAAGCCGCAUGAUUUUAGCAGCUAAUUAACUUAUGACAGGGGCGGAGCCAGGGCAGUUUAUAGCUGACCCCGAUGAUUUUUGUAUUUCAAUGGAAAACCAUGGUUCACAGUAACUAAAGACCCCCAUCCUGCAUUCAUAUAGUGAAGACGACCCCAGUCAUUAGGUGCCCUAGCUUUGCCCCUGGCUUAUGAGUUGGUCUUUGUUCUAUUUUCAUCAGGAGCGCAUAAUUAAAUUCUUGUUUCUGCUUUCAUCAGGAGCGCAUCCUUAAAUGUGAGGGAUUUGCGAAUGGGUAUAGCAUGAUUACAUAACCUAGUCCCUGCGUGUCAUGAUUUACUUUUUAUUUAUGAACGUGAACAAGACUAGUUGUCACACUAUAGAUUUCUUUUAAUAAAGAACUAUUUUUUAUCUUUAAGUUUUAAUAUGCUGCACACAUUAUCAAGCAGCUCUGACUGAUCUUAAUUAGAUAUUGCAAAAAUUGGUGGUUUGCUUUUGAUAUUUAUCUCUUUUUCGAGUGUUUUUAACUUUCAACCAUGCAUUGUUGGUCUUUGUUCUGUAAUAACGGUUGAUUUCAACUCCUUUGUUCCUCUCUCACUGCUGCGGCAUCCAGUGUUGGUGGUGGCACUGGAGAAGGUGGAAAGAAGUUCUGGAACUCUUAUUGGUAGUAGUAUAGCUACAAUUCAGAAGAGCGCUGCUCCUGAGGUUAUCAUCGAAUGAAUUCACGAAGUAUGAAUUACCUAGUCCAAAUUGGCUAAGCCACUUUUCUUUUUUGUUGUGCAGAUGCUUCUUGCACUGAUGGAUGAGGCAUACACUGGUUCUGCAAUAGAAGAUUCUAGUGGUAUUUCAGGUUCUGAUGAUAGUAGCCCUCUAGACCUCGCUGACCCGAUGUUCCUAGACCUUCUAAAAGAUGAGAAUGAUGGCAUUGCUGUAAGUAGUUUCUCCUAUACAAUAGUGUAUGUUCGAUAUUUCUAUAUUCCCCCUUAAUUCUUAGUACUAAUGGUAUCUUUUUCUGCUGUUUCCUUCAGGCAAAACAUUGGAUAUCCCCUACAAUAUCUUCGACACUACAAGCAGCAGUUAACAGCACACAAUCAGAUAGAUUAAAACAGUCACUGGAAAUGGCACCUCGCUUUCUUUCUUUAUAUUUUGCAACUGCAUUGUGGGAUGUUAACGACUGUAGGUUUCCUAUCUUUUUAAAAUUAGAUUGCUAUUGAUACACAGACUAAAUUACCAACAUUGUUCAUGUGAAAAUUCUGUGUUUGUUGGUUCAGCGCUGUUGUGUGCUCUUAUUCCAGUAGUUAUGUCAAGAUAUGCUGCAAUGUUCCCAGACAAGGUUUUCUCAUUCGAGGUAGACAACAUAAAUUUAUUUCGAAUUUUCCUUGUCUCUUAUGUGUCAUACUGAUAUUUUUUAAGCUGGGUGCAGUUUACAAGCAAGGAUAUUUUUCCAAUAUCUCUGUUUGCUUGAUCUGACGUAAUUGAUUAAUUCUGUUGGAAACCAAUUGAUAAGCAACUGGUAAACAAUGUCGCCAGAUAAAGUUGAAGGAUUCAUCAUAUAUGUUGAACUAUUGCAGCUGUUGUUUUUGUUUUUGCCAAACUUAAUAAUUCUGAAAGCCAUCCUAAAUGAUCCUUUGACCAACUGAUGGAGCAGUGAUAUGUUAAGUCCAUCUAUUUUUUGUUGGAACGUGUUGGAAGAGCUAAAUGAAAGAAGUACAAAACUUAAAAGUUAAAAAUUCUGACAUACCCACCUUCACCCAUAAUCCACAAUGAUGCUAUGUUCUUAUGUCUUGUCUGGCUUUGGACUUGGUUAUUUGCCUAACAUGACUUCUAUAAGUUCCAACUUCCAAUUGUAUAUCCUAGGUUCCCUGAUAUUACAUUCUUGUAGGUUAGGAAAAGACUGUCAGAUUUCAUAUUGGCUGCCUUUCAGCGAUCUUCUGACAUCAUUGCGAUACUAAAGGUAAUGGGUGUAAAUAUUUCUUACUAUACAUACAAGUCAGAAAUCCGAAGUCUGAACCAAAUAAAUGCCCAUCUUAUGUAGUACUUAGCAGCAAUAAGGAGGCCUUUAAGAAUUUCCUUUAUAUGCAGAAUUUUGUUAACAAUUUCGCAUGAUAACUUUCAACCAUUCUGCAGAAGCCUAUUACUGACAGGCUUGGUGAGGCUUAUGAUGAUCCUGCAAAGGCAAGUAUAUCUUCCGAGUUCUUACAUCUAUGUUCGAGUUCAUGGUACCACUGAAACUGCUGCAUCAUCACUUGCUCAAAUAACUGUUAUGUCCUUUCAUUGCAUCUGAAUUUUCUUAUGGGCUGACCUAUGCAGACAGAAUUAGCAUUGCACUUGUGCUGGGCCAUCGGUGAGCAUGGAGCUGGAGGGAUAAAUCGCACGGAUGUAGCUCGUGAACUAUUUGAAAAUUUGGAAUUGUUACUGUAUGAAAACCUGGCAACUAGGUGAGGCCGCAGUCUACUGUCUUUGUUUUCUAUACUUGCAUGGCAUGACACAUGAUUGGACUUAUUUUAUAUCUUGUCAAGUCGUUUGGCAUUAAGCCAGGAACCAGGAUUUGAUUCAAUGGGUGUAGCUUCUAGAAAAUCAUCCCAAGCUAGGCUCCUCUGCUUUGUGGUGACCGCCAUUGCAAAACUAGCAACAUGCCACAGUGAGUUGCUUCCGAGAGCACGUGUAUCAUUGGCUAAGGUGCUGACUCAGUCCUUCCUUUAUGUGAUAAAUGAUCAGUGUUAGAUGUGUUUACAUCAUCCAUCAGUGUUACUUCUCGCACAGCAUCUUAACUGCUUUGUUUCCUGCAGGUUGCUCGUACCAGAACCUCAGACAGGAGAGUCUGGCAACGUGCCUGUGACUAUUUGGGGCUCAUGAAUGAACCGGCCAUCUGUUUAUCUGUACUGGGACCGUCCACUGCCCAAGGAAAUGGUCCUGGUAUUGUUGACUGGAGCGAAGGGGGAACAAAGAUGCUAGCUCAUGUUCCCUUUUACCUUUUAGCCGAGCAAAAAGGUAAAAUUCUGCAAACCCUUCAGCAGUUAAAUGCAGGAUGACCAUCCUUUCAUUUUCUUAAGAGAUAUGCUUGCGAUUUAAGUACAGUGAGAUGAAAAAUUGUGCAUUUUAACUAAGGAUAAAACUAAAGUUUUAUAGAAUCAAGUGAAGAACGCUGCAUUGUAAACUGACUUGCUAUUUCUUGCUUCAAAUAUUUUCAGGUCCACCAUUUCAUGAUUUUUCAUUUGCGGACCUCCUCCCAGGACAGAAUGAAGAGAAAUUACCUUCAGGAAUAUAUCAUGAGGGCCAUGGUUCAGGCACUGAUUUCGCUAGCAGAAUACCAUGUCUAUAGAGAACUUAUUUCGUUAUCAUAGCAUGCUGAGGAUCCAAGCUCAUUUUCAAGAAAAGGGAUUGUAUUGUAUCAGUUACAUGAUUUUGACUAUUUGAGAGGCACUCAGCACUCGAGUUUGUACAUGAAGUGACUCCUGCUUCUUCUGAGGGGAAAACAGUGUUGUAAAUGUAACGUCUCUGCCUUUGUACAUCUGAAGGAUAAGGUGUACUAUAUGAAACGGCUCCUAAACAUGCUGAGAUGCCUGGCAAAUAGUCUCAGACAUUGAAGUGGUGGCAUGGCCAUGGAAUGCAGUCAUUUUACCCAGCAUAGCAUAUUGUGACAAAUAUAAAGGCUGAUGUUCCUUAAAACUGCGGGAACAUAACUGAGAAAUUGGCAUUCCAUGGUCAUGGCACUAUAACCGAAUAAAUCGAGAACAACUUGAAGCAACAAAGGCACGCUGCAGCAAUGCAAUUGCAAGCACAUCAAGCACGGCACAUUUGGGAUUGAAAUGGUGGCCCACACCAGAAACGCUACAAAGUAUAGAACUGAAGGCCCACAAAUAUCUAUUCUGGAACUCUCCUACCAGGAUGCUGGAGAAGUCUGAACAAUUAACAGCAGCAGCAGCACAAAUUACAGGCUAAAUUACGGUUUUGUACUCGACAAGAUAAGAACCCUAAAAAUCACAGGUAGCAGCAUCCGAGAGGCCAACAUGAAGAGGAAGUCAAUACCCGAACCAACUGCCCUUGCGUAGUGGUGACGCAUUUUCUUUGACAACUGAAACAUAUCUUGGAAUUUCCGGAAAUUUUGCGGAAACUAGGCGAAAAUUAACCCAAACUAUGAGCACCACAUGGCAAGGAGAGUCUGAGGUGCGUUCUUGACUUCCCACUGAUGAAAGCUCUAAAAUUUGCUGCUCCUGCAAAAGGAUUAUUGGUAAAUUCAUCAGUAUUCUGUAUUCAGACGAAACCAAAAUGAUGAAAUUUUGCAUAUUCUAACAUGCUGUAGUGGUUUAACAUGGUGCGUACCUCCAAUGCAAGGAUAAGAACAUUUUUAGAUUCAACGAAGCUAUUGGGGAUUGCUCUCGCCUGAGACCGCGGCCUUGAUGCGCUCCACGGUGCAAGCAAUGAGGCUGUUCACCGUUGCCACUGACCCCAGCGAGAGCUUGGCUGUGGGCACAGAGUCCACUAGUAUCUGGAACGCCACUGUCAGGAGCGAGCCACCUGAGCCGACGCCGCCGUCGCCUUGCAUGUUGCCCCCGGCUGGGCCGUCGGGUAGGAUGGCAAAGCCCGAUGGCAGGAGGGCCACAUAGUCAGGAUCGCCGCCGUUGAGGACAACGUUCAUGGCCACAACGUCUACCGGCGCGUAGAUGACAUAGGAACCCGACGCGUCGGUGCAGCUCUCUUGCAGGAUCAGCAUGUUGCUUUGGUUUGAGUUUGUGCUCUGCGACGACGUGCAUCAGCAAACACAAUUAACACUUAUCAACUACGCGUUAUCGCAUGCACAGAUGAAGAAUCAAAUAAUCUAUUUAUAUGCAUGUGCUUACAUUGACACGAAGAAGCGAGACGCAGUUGCCAUGAUCCCGGCCAUUGGCGAUGUGAGCCAUUUCUUGAACAACACCGCCAUUGGAGAGGAUGUCCCACUGCAAAAGAUCAUUUCCAGGAAAAUGUGUCAAGCCUAUGCAUACAUGUUGGUAAUGAGUUCAUUUGAUGUGAGUGUCACAUGCCUCGCUGCGAGAGCUCUCGUCGCGGAGGAAAUCGAAGACGCGCUUGGGUGGGACGGGGAGCCAGAAGGAGGUGGCUGCAUUGAGGACGAUGCCCGGCGGCCUGCCUGGGUCGUCAACGCUCUUCCUGGUCAUGACACGGACGUCCUCAGCGCCGCUGCCUGACAGCGUCGUCCACUGGUGUGCUGCAGAGGCAGUCACGCCACCGCAGAAGCUCAUCACCAUCCUCUCUGCCAGCUUCAGCAUGCUCUUUCUCCCUUCCGUACUUGUGAUCACUGCAACAAAACAAUGCAUCCAUGACAGACACGCAGGUUAGUAAACAUUUAAACUAGCAAAUGAAGUUUGAAGAAGAGCAGGGAGCUUACCACCAAUGUCACUGGUUGGUAUAUUGCUGGCCAUGACGCUGGCGAGGCGCUCGCACUGGCGGUCCAGCGUCCCCACCCAUCGUCGUGCACCAAAGGCGAGCCCUGAGUUCACAAGCAACUUGUAGAUGUUGUGCACCGACCUGUCAUCCACCUCUACGUGCUCGACCCAAGUCACCUGAUGCAUUGACACCAAGUACAAAUAUAUCAUGAUCAGUCUCUGAACCAUUACCUACUGAGAACGUGUGAAAACUGACAAAUUCGGGCAUGUACCUUCGAGUAGCCAUUGGGCAUUUCCUGGAUCAGGCAGCCAGAUGGCCGGCGCCGGCACUUGAGGACUGAUCCGGGGCGCAGGCUGUCCAGCGAGACGUCAACGACAGCCCAUGUCCCAUCAGCGUUCUGCUUGCAAUACCUCACGAAGUAGCUUUCCCUGGUCGGCACCAGCGGGGAAGGCACCUGAAACUCCACUGACAUCUGCAACAUACACGAAAAUCAGACAUGACUCGUUUCAGCCAUUAUCAGAUUGCAUCACCUCAGCUAUAGAAUUAUUGAUCAGAUAUAUGUAGUAACACGCACCACUUGCAAUGCACCGUUGUAGUUCCCGGCCACGCCAGUGGACAGCACCUCCAGUGUCGCUGCUCUCGACACCAUGCUCGAGAACACUGUCGCGUACUGAUUCUGCACAUCAUAAAUUGAAUCAGAAUUCAGUUAGAACAGGCACCCAUCAGAACAUCCUGAUGUUUAACACGAGAGAUUCAAACUUCAAAGCGUCCACACAUACCACGUCCAUGAGGAUCUCGACGAGGUUGGCAUGUGUCAUUAUAACCACCGAGCUGUCGCGGGACGCUUCAGACUUGAGCCCAUACUGCUUAGGGCCAAGCCCGCGAGGGAACAUGCGCGAGUACUCCUCCUCGUUCAGUGUCUCGCUCGAUCCGUCGAGCCCCGGUGCAUUCCAAAGCGGCUCGUCCAGCUGCGCCAUACGCACCAGCUCCUCCAUGGCCGUGACGGCCAGCUCCACGAUCAUGGGCUUAUCCGCGUCUGACUGCACGGCACCCCUCAGCAGCUCCCCGGCACCAGCAGUGACGCCACCGAAGAUGUCAGUAGCACCAUACGCGCCGGCACCCACGCCGAUGUCCAGCGUCGAGGCGCGCGCCGCAGCCAGCGGGCUGGAGAGCACGGGGAAGGACACCAUGGGCUUGCCCACGUACUUGGCCGCGAUGGCCGAGAUCCUGUCGAUCUCCUCGCGGAGCCGGGCAUUCUCGAUGCGGAGGUGGUGCUCGUCGAAGGACAUCUCGCCGAGCGCGGCAGGCCCGCCGCAGUUGGGGCAGGACGCGCUGCUCAGGGCCUCCUUGUACCGCAUGUUCUCGGCCCGGAGCUUCUCGUUGUCCGCCCGCAGCUGGGAGUUCUCCUGCCGCUCGUGCUGGUUCUGCAAAUCAGCCAUUCACACACACACACACUUCAGUCACAACAAUGCCAUUGAUCACCACAAGCAUGCAUUACAUGACGGGGUAUCUGUACCUGAACUAUCUCGUGGUUAACACUUGAGCAUUUAGCACAGGUUGUACAGGAUUAACAGCAACAUAUGCAUAUAUGCUAUGUGCAGCUGCUAGCUGUGCCUUGGUCAGAUGAACAGUGCUGUAAACGUAUGCCAGGUAGGCAGCAGCAGGAGUGAGGAAGACACUUGCAUGGGGUGGGGUUUGACUAUGGCUGGUGGCACUGCCUGGCAGCCUGCUGGGCUGUGGCAGCACAUUUGGCAGUGUGCAUGCAGAAGAGGACAUGGAGGUGUGUGGGCAACCUUUGUCCAGUUAUAGUAAUAGGCCAUGACCAUGAAUGCAGCUUGUCAGAGGCUAGGUCAGAGGCUUAAAUGAAGUAGUUGUGACGAUGCCGGCUUGGAGAAGCAAUUUUUCCGAUCGAAAUGCAUAUGCCUUUCUCCAGAGAAAUGAUGGGAGUGAAGAACUGAUUGAUUGGGAUUAAGGAUCAUCACCUUCAUUUGCGUGCGUUUGUUCUGGAACCAGAACUUGACCUGGAGUGGCUCCAGCCCCAGCUCCCGGCUCAGCUCCUUGCGCUGCUUGUCAUCCGGGUGUGGGCACUCCUUGAAGAAACUGGCGAUCAAUCAAUUUCAAAGAGAAAAGAACAAUGAGUAUUUUGUGAGUGUUGACUGACGAAUCAAAAAUGUUCCAGGAAAAAUAUGGAAUGAGAAAGGAAGUUCAGUGUGAACGCUAUAUACAGUCCUACACUCCUACUUCUUGAAUGCUUUGUUUGGUUCAGAGCAAAGGAACAAAAACGGUUUGGGUCAACGUAUACAAUACUCGUGAAGAAUCUGGACGAGCAAGAACUCAAUUUGACUUGUUCGCAAGCUUACAUCAGUAGUCUCAGUGAAUGCUAGUAGUAACCGACUGCUGGCUAUCCCUUGUCCUCUCCUCAUUAAUUUCAGCAAACCACCAACAUUUUAUGCAUAAUUUUUCCAAACUAAACACUGAUGGACGAAAUUGAUGUAAAAUUAAACAUGGACAGCAUUCCAAGAACAAUCUAAGCAGAAUUAAGGAAACAAGAGCAGAUUAAUGAGUACAGUAGGGUAUGGUGUCAUUACGCUUCCAUUUCCUGGAUCUGGUGCUGGGUGUGGCGGUGGUAGCGUUUCUUCUUGCUGGGCCGCUGGUUGGGGUCCUGGUCGUCCACGGAGACGCCGUCCACGUUCUCGCUGCCUGACUUGCUCUCGAACUCGUCCCCCAGAGGGUCGGAGCCCCGGCCGCCGCGCAUCAUGUCGUCGCCGCUCUCCGCCGUCGUCGCCGGGAUCUGGUCCAGCAGAUGCUGCUGCUGCAGCGCCUGCUGGAGCUGCGGGUUGUCCAGCAGGUUUGGCUGCAAUCAAGGAAGGGGAAUGAAGAACUUAGGAAAUCCAAAUCACUGUACUGGUGCACAAAUCAGUUGAAAUUAAUACACCAACUAAGUGCCAAGGACCGGGACGUUUGCCUAUCAUGCAUAUUGGGGCAUUCCGUGCGUUUCAUCUUCGCCAUUAAUUUGUAUAAAGUUUCAUGGGAAAAGAGAAACGGAAAAUAAUGGUUGCAAAAAAAGCAUUUUAUCAAGAAAAAUAAAUGAUUCCAUUGAGAGAAACAAGUCAGAUAAAAUGAAGGAGUUGCUCCAAAAUAAUUUCAGGAAAGGGGAUGGAGAGGGAGAUGUGAAAGCAAGCUUGCAAAGGGGGAAGAAGGAAGAAAUGGUAGGUCGUUUCUUGUUGAAGGGCCACAAGACGACCCAAAGAGCAGCUGGAAGAGCUACACGCCAACCUGUUGAUCUCCACAGCCUCUGUGUAUGUGUGUAAGACCAGGAACCAAGGGAUCGAAGUCUCACCUCUCUCCAAGCAUCUGUCCCAUUCAUCUGCCCCUUUAUAUAGGAGCAAGUCUUAAAGAAAUGGGGCUCAUGUACUCUGAUGACCUAAUCUAUGUGUGAACAGCAGUACUUGAGAUAACACCUCUCUCUCUCUCUCUCUCUCUCUCUCUCUCUCUCUCUCUCUCUCUCUCUCUCUCUCUCUCUCCUGAGACUUCUCGGUUUCCAAGGAAAAAGCUACUAAUCCUCGCAGGAUCAGUACAUGUAGGAGUAUAUUGCAGACAUGACCCUUCUGUUUCUAUCGCUAAUCCCAAGUUCUGAAACUGAAACCUCAAAUUGAAAUGAAACCUUUUACCAAGAGUGAGAAAGAGAAGACGAAAGGAAACAAGAAACGGCAACAAGUACAAGCUGAUCUUUCCGAAGGAAAGACAAGAAUUUGCUUUUGCCUCACUCAGCUCAAAAGAAAGCCACGAAUUAAUUACCUGACCGAGUGACAGUGCCGACGAGGACCCGUACGCCGCCGCCGCGCUGUUCCGGCCGAUCAUCAUCGACGGCAUGUGCCUCGCCGGGAUCAUCAUUCUCCUCUGACCACCUCGCAAACCCUAAUUUCUUGCCGUCUCAUUCGUUUCCAUUUCUUCAGAGACACAUAGGACAACUCUCUCUCUCUACAGCCAAAGAACAGGCGCUAAUCCUAUUCCUAUAUAGAGAUACCUUGCCUGCCAAGCAACAACACAGCCAGCAACAGAUCUAGGGGCAAACUAGCCCAAAUAAACCUUCGCUCUGUGAGACUGGCAGUGAGAUCUAGCAGAAGAACUAUAUAUGUUGUGCGCCUUUGCAAAAAUAGAACUCUGAUCUCUCUCUAUGUCUGCCUGCAAGUUGCAGCUCUCGAGAUGAUUCUUUACCGCGUGCAAGCUCAGAAGGGUAGCUAGCAGGAAGUGGAGAGACGGAGAGAUCCUGAGGAGCUAGACAGCCAUGGAAGGGGAAGGGAGGAGGAGGAGGAAGAGGAAGAGAAGAAAGGGGAACGGAGGUGGAAGAGAAUGUGGAGGAAGAGGGGAAGGAGUUAUUGCGGACGAGUGUUGAGGUGGUGCAAUCCGCAUUUAUUGAGAGGGCGUAUCGUAAUUGCUAGGAGAGAGAGAGCGAGACGGGUGCAUGAUUUUUAUAUUAUUUUCGUCAACAAUAUGUGUGCUACAAUACGGCGAAAUAUGCGAAAUAUGUCAUGUAUUUUGGAUUUAUUGGACGUCAUUAUAUACUUUUUUUCGUGGAAAAUGUGAAAAUAAACGUUCAUAUAUCUGCAUGUCAUACAUAUUUAUUUCAAGCUAUAUAUGUGUACAGCCAUAAAGGAGAAAAUUGACGAAGGCAGCAAGCCCAAUCAUGCAUUUUCCAUGUAAAGAUAGGCUUACAUAAUUUAAUUUGCCGGUGUAUUUUUCAUUUUUUUCUUGGUUAUUUAAUUUCCGGCUACGAGAUUGUUUGGCAGUGGACGUACGUCCUGUUCAUGAAUAAUGCACUGUUGACAAAUUUUUAAGACUAGAUAACCGCCGUAGUUAUUGAGUGAUGGAGAAGGAAGAGGUUCUCGGUUCUCCACUGCUACUUUUACAUUCAUCGUAUAGCAUAUGGAGCGUCCAAAUUAGGUGCCUCUUCCAUUGUAGCCAAGUAUAAGAGCAAAUGUUUAAAGCAGUGCUUCAUUUCUUUGAUGACCUGUGUGAACAGCAGCCAACUAAGCACUGCUCUCGAUGUCGACGGUGUUUCGCAAAAACAAAAAAGCUAGUCCAGUGCAAGUUUCAUAGAAAUUUCAUAUACGUUAAAUACGAUGACACAUUGAUAACAUGGCAAGGUAAUUAUGAAGUGAGAGAGGAAAAGAGUUUCAUCAGAGCAAGUAUAAUAAGAGGCUGUAAGCUGGCUGAAUGCUGACGUGGAGGAGAGAGAAGAGGUGAGAGAGGAGAAGCGGGCUAUAAGCUUAUAGCCGACUUGGGCACAGGAACCAAGAAACUUUGUGAGAAUGACUUGUGGAUCAUGUAUUAAUGGUGAAGAGUUAACCAUUGUACGAGUGGGCUAGGAAAAGGCUGAGAGAAACCUUGCAGCCCGCUUGCUAGCUGCGUUAUUAAACUUGCUCUCAAGAUGAAACUGUGUAUGCACUGUUUUCAAGACUACGAAACCUGUUGAAACUUGCAUUUGGGGCUAUAGAGUUUCAUUUCAUCUUAGCAUAUCCAAUCACAGGCCUCACAAUUAAAUGGUAUGGGUGUGAAAUAAAACUCUGCAUUGGGGGGUAUUGUUUCAUUCAUCAACUCAAACCUCUUUUGAUGGCAUGUCAUUCUUGGAAACUGUGAGGUGAAACUCUCCACUAGAAAUCAAACCUCUUUUGAUGACAUGUCAUUCUUGGAAACUGUGAGAUGAAACUCUCCACUAGAAAUAGCCUGAGUGAAAUAGGUCAGGUAAUUACAUGCAUGAUGCAUCAUCGGCUUGUGAUAGUAAUACAAUAACAAAACAAGUCAAAACUAAAAAAAAUGAAUGCCUUAAAAAGGACAAAAAAAUGUAUAUUAUGGCAUCUAAAAUGCAAGGUGUGUGCUUAAACACAAGUACUUGAAGGGUCAUAAGAGCGGUUUGAAGUUAAUUCCCAUGAGGAAAGCUACCAUGUGUACCAAAGUACGGUGCAAAUUUAAGCAUCUUAUCCACUUCUAAGAUGCAAUUCGCUAAUCAUCUUGGAUAAGCAACUACCACUCCUUUAUACCUUUAUAGGUCGUUUUGACUUUUCUAGGCGUAUAGUUGUUCUAUGCACUAGAUAUAGUGUAUGUCUGGAUGCAUAAUAAUAUUAGAAAAGCUAAAAUGACCUACAAUUUGAAACGGAGGAAGUAGUAGUAUUGUCAAUGUUGUUGGAUGAAGGUAUAUUUACUUCGGGUUUCAAGUGUUUGUUUUACACCGUUGACGUUUGGACUCUGCACAUGAUAAUCGUCUUGUUCAGAUUUCAGAAACCUAUAAACCUAUGUAAGGAGUAUAGUUUAUUUAAUUGUGACUUGUUUUAUUAUUAAAUAUAUUUUAAAUAUAAUUUAUAUUUUUACAUAAUAUAUUGAUUUUUAAUAAGACAAAUUGUUAAAUGUGGUUUUGAAAAUCAUGUCAAGCAUUUUAAAACGGAGGUAAUCCUCGCGAUGAAAUGCAUGCAUGCAUGCAACUAAUCCAAAUUUGACCGAGGUUUUCUCCAUCUUUUUAUAUCUCGACUUUUCAGGAGAAGGGGCGAAGAAAUCGAUGCUGCACUGCUGCAGAUAGUAGUGUACUGUUUCCAUAUAUACCUCGGCACGGCUCUUGGCGUGUGGUCUGAUCUUUCUGCGCACAAUAGGAAACACAGCCUUUUACUGGUCAGAGAUAAAUUAGCGAAAGAUUAGUAUAAGUAGAGAAAAACCUGAGUAUGUAUAGCAAAGAAAACGAUCCUUCGUGGCUGUAAAUGUCAUUACACCUGUACUGAUUUUUUGAGAGACGUCUGUUUCUGUCGCUGUACGGAGUGGACUGAAAAACGACGUGCCUAUCCUUUCCAGAAUUCUAUAGUUACGCUAGCAGUUUCCGUCGUUCAGUCACGACCCGUAGCGUCAUCACAAUGCACAAGAGCUCCGAUCCAGCCGGGAAAAAACAUUCAAGAUUACUCCAUGCGCUUAGUGUGGUCGAAACAAACAACGCAAUAGUCAAAAUUAAUCUGUUCGCACGUACAAGCUAGCAUCAUUUAAGUGGCAGAGAAACCACAAUCAGAACACACAUAAACCCGGCCUUACCAAACAGGUGUGGGCAUGCAUGGACGUCAUGUCGUCAAUGUUUUCAUUUGGAGUAAGUACUUCCUUCUUUUGUCAAUAGCUAGCGAUCCAUCAUCUCCUGGCCUGCCGUGCUGGCUCAAGUCAUUUGUCUUUUUUCGCACGGAUCGAUCGGCGAGAUCCUACGUACCAAACUAAUCAUGCAUGUGUGCGUGUGUGUGAAGGGAAACGAAUGUCAAUCUUAAACCUUUUGGUGCAUAUGGAUGCAUGUUGGCUCGUCGUUGACCGUGCACCGUCCUCUUGUGUUUCUUCCUUGUGUUUUUUUUUGCUCUCUCUCUCUCUCUCUCUUAAAAAAUAUAUGUCUGUUUACAUUGUGUCAGUGUCACUACGCAUGAGCGUCAAGCCGUCAUCUAAUUUAAUUUUCUCGAAACAUACAGACGUGUCCAUGCACAUGUACACAUGCACCCAAUCCAGUACCCACAUUCAGAGGCCAUACUUGGUUUUGUGAUGAAACGAAAGUACCCACACGCAUUGAACAGUUUACUAGUUUUCAAUUUUAGUUGGUAAACAUACUACACUAAGAAUCCCAGUAUCGAAAUCUGUGCUAGACGCUUUUUUCGUCCAAAACAUCAUUACAUUUUUCCCUAAAAUUUUGUCGCUCUGUACGGGACGGUAGGUGCUGGUGAGUGUACGUACGAGUAGUGCUCGGCGUGAGCUGGAGCCGCGCUUAUUUCCCCCCCUCUCCCCCCUUCUCCUGACUCCACAGUCCACCGCAUUGAAUUGAAUGGCCUCCUGAGCAACACCGCGUGAGGUGGGAGCCCACGCCACGCAGUCGCCAGCACCAGCCACCCCUACUCGACCGCCGGGCACAGCACUGCACCGGGGGGCUAGGCUAGCCGGCCCGGCCAGCAUUAACUGCGUUCAUGCCUCCCCCGCGUCGCCCAACGGCACCACCCGCCGGCAGCCCGGCCCCGCACCGCCGCGGAUCGGAGGGGCCUGGCCACGGGAUUCGGCCGAUCCGGUGGCGCCAGUACCGAUCGCCGCGGCCUCGUGCAGUGCAUGCGCGUUUCUGAUCGAGGUCGAGACCCUCCAUCGGCCGUUUUCAUCUCACCCAGAUUCAUGAGGCCAAGUCGUACGUCGAAACAAACACCCAAGAUUUCUCCUGAAAUCGUCCAAUGCAUAUGUAGUCUCUGACUACGAGGUUCCCCCAAAUAUCGUGGAUCGGGCAUUGACCUCACUUUGAAAUGUUAUCUCCAAAUUUCGUGGAUCGGGCAUUGACCUCACUUUGAAACGUUCUUUCCACCUGUGCCAAGAAUUCCACUGACUUCAACCGUAUCGAUCAAAUUUUAAUAAGCUCGGAAAGGGUCAAUCGAUCGAUCCUGCGUGAUCAGUGGCUGCACGAUCCGUCGAGCUCAGGUUAACCUGGACUACUGCUGCUGACACUGUAGAUGAUCGGACGAAUGGCAUUGGAUUUUCACCCAAUUGAACAAUUGAGUUCAUUGUUCCCGUUCCGUACCAAUACCUGUGCCUCCUCUCGGAAACAUGCGAGGCUCCACUCCACUCCACCUCGAAGUUUGCGCCAUGGCAGGUGGUGGUGUACACUGUACAGGUCAAAUUUCCGGUGAAAUGCUCUCAUUACAUGAACGCAAGUACACUUCUUCAGAUGAAAUACUACAUCACAGCAAGCAUGUUACCUGCAGUACCCAGAAGCCUCUUUCCUUUUCCCUUCGACGAGGGCGACGGCCAGGUCAUCGUAUGCCACGAAAUCUUCUUCCCCAUGCAGCACCGCCAAGGCAGACUCGGUCAGGCAGGCACACACCAUGUCCGUAACAAACACCCCUGGUCAAGAAGGAACACACACGCACCGUCUGCAGAAAGCUGCAGCCUUCCAACCGAUCUGGACCCCCAAUGACGACUCCAAAAUCAAAACCUGUUCGCAAAUCCAGUUGCCUCGAGCACACGUACACCGUCUAGAACCUCAGCCCACCCGAGCGUGCUCGGCUCGCAAGACCGGCCGGCUGGCGGCUGCUGCUCGCAUCGGCUUCUCUGAUCCAUCUCAAUUCAAGGACGCUGCCGCCUGCCUGCCUGCCUGCGAACGCUUGCAGUGGGGGCUCACUGGUCGCCGUCAACAUUGCAUCAAUCUUCGGGCAUGUGUGCAUGGACCCAUACCACACUCUGACCAUCUGAACAAUGGGACAAGGGCACAUUUACAAUGUAGGGUCCGGUCCAGCUGCACCCAUCGAAUUGGAGAGUCCUUGUUUAAGGGUUUCUUCCUUUUCUCUCUGCAGAAAAAAAUGGAAACAAGAGGGAAGAAAGAGAAAUGAGUGUUGAUCAUUAUAGUAGCCUGUCAUUUAUGAGAGUCAACUGCUAGCUUCUCAACUAAGCCGGGUUGGUGAUUAGUGUACUUGGCGAUUAGGUUUCAGUUUCAACAUUUAUACAGUAGUGCCGCCCGAUAAUCAGGUUUCAUUAUCACGGUCAAAUAUGUGGAGUCGAUGUCAAUCAAGAAAGGACUGUCAGAAGGCCGUACGGGGCUAUAUGAUCCAACUAAUGAUGGCACCAUUAGGCUUUCUUUGGAAGGAAUAGGAUUUUAUUGCAUUGAGGAGAAAGAAUCGCAGGAUGCUUACUUGUCAUUCAUUGAGAAGUUAUUAUUGCUAUGAGCCCUUGUGGACUGUCUUUUCCUUUCCUUUUGUUCAGUGCAGCCGGCCGUGCUUCCCUCGCCAUUGCCCUUCGCCGCCUCUCCUUGGAUGCAAGCUCCCUGUGCAAAUCCGUCCUUACACGUGUCCUGUCAAAAGAAAUAAAUCUCCUUUACAAGCCAUUACUGACAUCAGUUGCAUGAUUGAUUGGACUUCUUAACUGUAACAGCUUAUGGGAUUUAAAAAGGGCAUUGCGGCUAACAAAGGCUCGCAGAUUGCCAUUGUACAAACAAUAUCAGAAUUAAACUGAUGUGGAAGGUACAAUGAUCAAAGCACCUGAUUGUGGAAAGUAACGGAUAAUUAAUAGGCCCGAGUACUAAGUGCUCCACCAGAUACCCAUUAACCCAUCAAUAGUUGAGAUUUGAGAAUAGAUAGAUCAGAAUGAUUUAACAUCGAUUAGUACCGUCACAGGCAACUGACUGGGUGAAGAUCAACUUUUUUAGAAAAAUAUGCAGACAGCUGGAGCUCAAAUAGCAUGGUUUCUUAGCCAUCUUUACUGAUCACUACACUUAUGAAUACACUUCCUACUUUAGAUUUAUUUGUCUAGUCCAAGAAAAGGAAUUGUCCUUUAUAUGCAACUUUUACUGAUUACAACACUUCAUAUACACGGUAUAUUUACAGUCCCUAAUAUCCAUUUGUAUGUCCAGUCCACUAGCUAUCAUAGCUGUCUCUGUUGACAAAUCUCACUGUGCUUGUUUCAUACCUUUCCAUAGCGAUGGAAUCCAUCUGUUUUGUAGGGGACCACUCAUCAUCACCAGCCGUGGAGAUGGCCUAACGGGAUUCUAAUGAUAUUGGUGACAUAGUGUAAUUACCAACAACUCAACAAUACAUUCUUAUGAUUCAAAUGUACACUUUGUGGCUCUACUCUAUGUCAUAGCGCCUAGGUAUAGAGUUUUAAUGUGUGGAAAAGAUACUCGCACCUAGAAAGCAUAACACAACCACACAACUGUAGGCUACAGAUCAUUCUCAGAUACCCUGUAGGCGAACACGUAUGUAGAUCAACAAGCAACACUCAUCAACAAGAAACCAUUACCUAUGAAAUAUACUCAGCAUAAUCCUAGUGUGCAGACCUCUCUACCGCAUCAAGCAACCUAGAUUUAGAUGGAACCCAUUCAGUUGGCUUGGCGUUUACAAAUAUAAAUCUACUUCUCUCUCUUUCCAUUUCAUUGCAUGAAACUCAUACAGCUGGUCCUGCAAUUUCUCCAAAUGAUUAUGGAAAUUUUCAAGAGAGAUCGCUAAGUGUGUGGUAGGCUAGGUACGCCAGUCUUUCAGAUAGAGAAACCUCUAACCAACCCUAGCAUUAAGCCAUGAUGAUGGUGAUAUCUACCGCUCAUGAGUGCAACUUGCUCCAAUGGAUAAAUUCCUGUCAAGAAUUGAAAUAUUCAAUGAUGAAGGGAGGACAAUAAAUCCAGAAAGUGAAACAAGCCCUAUUCUCCACCCAACCAGCACACCAAGGCGUCUUCAUUUCCAUACAGUUAACCCAUGGAUGCAGUGCAUGACAAGUAGCUUCUAAUUAUCAGGCACGUAUCCAUCUUUCUUUUCUCCAAAAUGGCUAGAAGUCUAGAACUGAAGAUGUGGCUGCAUUCUGCGCAUGCAUUACUGUCCUGGGACCCAUAACCAGGAAUUGCCAAUCCUAAAUUCAGCUUAAUAGUUAUCUCUUACUUUGCAUAUAAAGUAUAUUUCCUAGCUGUCAGCAUCACAAUAAACACACACUAUGCAGAUGAUUGUAGUAAACAGAGUAAAAACUACCAUUGCGUAAAGCCAACACUAAAGGUUUGUUGAAGAAACUUUUAUCAUAAGUUAUGUGGCAACUUUUAUCAUAACUUUUAUCUUACCACAGAUGAUAGAUCUGAUUAGAUGAUAAAGCUGCAAGUAUUGCUUCCUAAUCCAUACAUAAUUCGACUUGUACCAUGAAUAAUGUCACAUUGACAUUGAGAUGUUGGGACCACUAAAUUGUAUUAUUGUUCUGGCUGAAGUAGAAAUGUCAAUUGCUGUUUCUUCUGUUGCUUAAACUCUAUAUCCAGAAACAGAGUGGUAUUGACACUGGAGCCCCUGCAGUUAUUAUAGUAUGCCCUAGAGAGAAGGUACUAAAAGCAAUACAUUAUGACUUAUGCCUCGUGUCUCACUCCUAGACUUUUGGGGGAUCAAGCGCUUUACUACACCUUUUCACAUUAGUAUGUGUAUUAAUAAGGCCUUCUCUGUGCACCCGUUAUUUGCCUCCCUUUAAGGAAUCUCCAUGGUAUAGGAUUCCAAGGCUGUGCUUAAAUGUUUGAUGUAAUAGUCAAAGACAACAGUCUUUAAAGAGUGUCCUAACAAAAGGCCGGCAUGAUGAUCAAUUUCACUUGGUCGUAUUUAUAAGGGUUGGGCCCAUGAUUGUUUACUUAAUCAAAAACAGAUCCCCCCCCCCCUCCCUUUUGGAUCAUCGCCCUUUAAAGCAAAAUCAACAUGACACUUGAAUGCCAGCAACAUUUGCUUUAGCUCCAUAAAUAUAGUAUAGGCAUCAUUGUCAUAUUCCUUCUACUCAAUUGAUGAAUUAAACAACCACAUAACUCCCAACACUGUUUCAACUAUCCAAAUCAAAGCUAGGCUGCCAAGUAAUAUGAAGGUUAAUCAGCAUUAGAAAGGCAAAUCAUUUCUUUCCUAGUUUAUAGUUUCACCUAAUUGCAAGCAGGUACAAAUGCAAAUAUUGAGUUUAUAUCAAACUACAACCAAUCAGCACUUGGGGUUGCAGAAGCUAGGCUAGAAAGGAAAAUCAACACUAAGAGGCUAACCUGCUAUCUAAAACUUGUGCAUCUUUGGACCUUGGAAUUUCCUUUUUCAGUCAAGUGAGUUCUCUCUCUUUACUUCACAAGUCAAACAUAAUUAAGAUUCAUGUCCUGAAAAGAAUAGUAAAAGAGGUAAAUUUACCUCCUAAUAUAUGAAGGGAAAAUUUAAAGAAGAAUUACUAGAAGGAAAAUAUUCUGAAUAUAUUAACUAUAUGCAUGACCUACAAGAGUAAGCAAAACAAUCAUUGCAAUUUUUCAAGAAACGAAAUGAAUCUCUUCUGAAGCAUCCCUUUCCUAGUCAUGUACUCUUGGUGCUUAUAUGCAUUCCGCCCUUUCACACCACUCUUUCCAGAUCCACGAACCCUUAAUUGUAACUAAUUGUGAGGGUAUGUCUAUAAUAAAUGGAUUUUCAUAUGCCAAGGCAUUCUAAGCUAUUUUUUGGUGAUUUUAUCACUCAACUUAGUUCUGGUGUGUUGUGUAUUGCACGGAUACAAAAUAGUAAAAGAUGAAAGAAAAGAAAUGUUGACCGAAGAUACAAAACAAGGCAAGCGCACUAGAGACGAUCUAAUUUUAAGUAAUCAAAACUGCUAAAGCCUUUCAACUUCAAUCAUAUUGGACCAGAUAGCCAAAAUCCUAAUAAAAUUUCAUCCACAAAAAGGCCAUUUUCUUUUUGAACAUAGAAUGAGCAGCAGUCAACUUAACCAAGAUCCAGGCAAAACCUGAUCACUUGCGAUAUGAAGAUUGGUUCAAAUCCUGAUCCAUUGUACAAAGAUUCGACACUAGAAACCUCUAGACCGGGGCCUAGAGAAGUGGUGACAACCAAACAAAAUACAGCAUAAGAACAGCAUGCAUUUAUGUAGUAUUGGUGGCUCCGUGCUGGCCUGGGAAGUAAUUUAUACCUUGUCUUGAAUAGUGGACCAGCUACCUCCAGAAUGGGGUCACAGAGCACAUCCAAUGGUCCCCAGAGACUUAUUUCUGCUGCAUUCACUGCUCUUUUCUUACAGCCUGCACCAGUGUACUGUGAGAGCAAACACAGGACAAUCUAGUAUACCCGAUGCACACAUCGGAUGAUAAAGAAAGAAAUUCAGAUAAAAUCACAAAAACAUAUCAAUAAUGUGCAGAGUUCUGUAAGACUUACAUUGUUCUUUGGCUUUCUUUUCGCUGUAUGAAGACAGAUCUCUGCAUGAUGUAUAAAUUUCUGCAGAUACUAUUUCUUAAAGGUUAGAAAGAAGCACAUGGUUAAAAAAAGAAAUCACAAUAUAUCAAGCUGUUUGUACAUAUAAUAAAAGGAUAAUAUAUCCAGAAUGAUAAAUAACAGAAGGUGUUAAUUAAACUUGGAACAGCUAGAAGUUGGCAGGUAAACCAUCUAUUAAAUCAAUAGUAAAGAAUUUACAUAGAUAUACAGACUAUAUUUCUAUCGACUCCAUGGUUGGCAUUGGUUGGCGACAUCAAUUUCUUAUUCAAAGUUUCAAACUUCCCACAAGGAAGUCACUCUGCUUUUAUAUCAGCUUUUGCUUCCAGAAUCAGAACAUUUCAAUUAUUGCUGAGAAGUUCAACUUCAUAGGACAACUACAUAUAUAUAAGAAUUAUUACAUUAUGUUUGAAAACUACAUUCAAGAAAGAGAAAAGAUACUUCUGGCAGAAAUGUAAGUGAAUGUGCCCUAAACAGCGUGCUAUGGAUUGACACCUGAAACAGCUUACAGAACACAGAAAUUUUAUUGGUAUUCGAUGGUACACAGGGGGUCAGAACUGUUUAAUAAAUUUGAAGAGCAAGCUACUUCCUCAAGAAAACGUGUGGCCUCUAUUUACGAAUACACCAUAUUAGAAUCUUUUUCAGCAGACAAGGAUGGGUGGGAGCACUGAAUAACCAAGUACACAUUGUACCAAUGGAAAAAAUGCUAUUGUGGCUCCAUUUUGUCCAGAGUGUGCAAAAUAUGCAUGCCAAUUGCCAAUCAGACACCAUAAAAAUAGUCUGCACGACUACAUGACAUGGAGACAAUGUAUUGAUCUUUCUUAUUAUGUUCUGACAUGCACUUCGCAAUGUGGUUCUCACUACAGCACAAGUCCAGUUGGACGACUGAUUUUGAUACUUAGUUUAAUAUCCAAUCAGUAAGUUCUCAGUAAAUCUGCAAGGUACUGCCUAUCCUGACUUACACAUAGCACUCGAAAAAAAUAGAAAUGCCUCAACUUGAAGAAAUGACUUAUUUCUCAGAAUUCUGCUUGUACAAUUAAAACUAGGAUUAGCUUGCUAGAGAAGUAAACUUGCUGAUUUAUGCAGAGGAUUCCCAUGAGCACAAACGAUAUGUAAACUAAGGCUGCCAGAAGAGAUAAACCAAGUGGAUAACUAUUAAAUGCAGAUCAAACAUCGUUUAUUUAUCUGUUAAACACGACAUCACAUUUUGGAAAUGCAGCCAGCCACUUGUACUGAACAUAUUGCGGUGACAGGAAUAGCUGCACAAAGAUUUCUAAGCUGUAAAAUUAUAAACAGGAUCAGACUGAACGCGGAUGUUAGGACAUAAAUCAAUGUUAAUCGAUGCAUAAAAGUGUGAGAAAACAGAUGUUCCUAAACCACACAUCAGUUACCUGAUCCUGUACAAAGGUCUGCAAAUUUGGUCAAGGUUCCCGGUUUGCACCACUUGAAGCUUCAGAUGGGAUAAGCAAUUCAUCAGUAAAACCUACUGCACCAUGAAUAGGAAACAAAAGAAGAUUCCACCAGCAAGUAGAACACAUGGACCAAUGCAUCAAAACCAUGAUCACAAAGAACAGCUCCACAUAUAUCAACAUUGUGAAUUUGUUGUCCAUGUUUUCCCGAAUAUAGAAUCACAAACGCAGCACCAGCCAAAAUUGCUCCAACAGCAUUCAGACAGAUAGCCGGAGAAGAAUUAGAGAGAUACAGCUAAACUCCUGUGCUCACAUUGACAUCAAUGGACAAGAUCAACCAGCGUCUUCCUCCGGGGGAACCUCUGCGGAAGCCGAAGGGACAUGGAAUCCUCAAUCUCGAUGGGCAGGUGCGUGGCCACGAACACGAUCCCACCCUUCUUCCGGUGCUCCGCGAUGAUGUACUCGAGCAGCCUAGUGCCAUCCGCAUCCAGCGCGACGGAGGGCUCAUCCAGCAGCCAGAUCGGGCGGUCGAUGGCUAGCAGCCUAGCGAGCUGCAGCCGCUUCCGCUGCCCCAUGGAGAGCAUCCUGGCCUUCUCGUUCAUGAGCCUGCCGAGCCCCAUGAGCUCGAUGGCCGGGCCCGCCCUGCUGCCGUCCUUCCCCUCGAGGAGCUCGAACCACUGCACGUUCUCCAGCACCGUGAGCUUCUCCUUGACGGCGUCCUUGAGCGACAUCCAGUUGAGCUGCAGCUUGUACUGCUGGAACACGCCCGAGGAGGUGACGUCGUGGCCGUUCCAGAGGAUCUCCCCCGCCGAGGGCCGCGAGAAGCCCGCCAGCAUGCGGAGCAGGGUGGUCUUGCCGGAGCCGUUGGCGCCGGUGAGGACGAGGGCCGUGCCGUCGUGGACGCUGAGGUUGAUGUCCCGGAGCACCGUCUGCGCGUUCCGCAUGCACGAGACGUUGUUGAGCAGGAGCCGCGGCGGCGGGGGGCGUAGCGGCGGCAUCUGGCCGAGUGGUCGGGUGGCUCGGGAGCCGGUCAGUCGGUUGGAGGUGGACGGACGGGCGCGGCGAGGUGGGUGGCCCCGGGGUAGGGAUGGCAACGGGGCGGGUCGGGGUCAGGUGGAGCUUCAGCAGAACCGCCCCCGAAACCGGAGAAUAAAACUCGCCCCGAACCCGAACCUCAUUUCGGAUGACAACGUGCACCCGCCCCCGAAACCCGCGCGUGCCCGACACCCGACGGGGUCCCCGAAACCCGAGCAACAGUGAANNNNNNNNNNNNNNNNNNNNNNNNNNNNNNNNNNNNNNNNNNNNNNNNNNNNNNNNNNNNNNNNNNNNNNNNNNNNNNNNNNNNNNNNNNNNNNNNNNNNGUGAAUUAUGUACCGUCACACAUUUAGUAGUUAGAUAACCUCUAAGUAAAUAGGAUGACCGGCAACAUAGCGAUUUCUUGAAUCUAACUAGCUCUUCUUGGUGAGGGGGGCAGUAGAAGGGCACAUGCGACUGACCGCGGGGGGGCGAGGGCGGCCGACGAGGGGGCGCGGGCGGCCGGCCGGCGGGGGGCGCGGGCGGCCGGCGAGGGGGCAAGGGCGGCCGGCGAGGGGGCGAGGGCGGCCGGCCGGCGGCGCUCGCGGCCAGUGGUGGAGACGGAGUGAGUGAUGGUGGGGGUGGGUGUUGUUGGAGAUUACAUGUUUCUCGUUGGGCUGGGCUUAUAUUUAAUUGUUGGGCUGAAAUAUAUACUUGGGAUCCAUGGAUUACUCGCGAGGGAAAUUUUAAACCCACCUGCCCCCGCCCCAUUUCGGAUCCCGAACCCACGGGGGAAACACAGACCCAUCACUGCCUCCAUCGGGUCGAAAACCCACGAGUUUCGGAUUUAAACCUGCCUGACUGCCAUCCCUACCCCGGGGUGGAGGCGGUGGCGAUGGUUGGGGGAGUGCGGCGGCGCGCGGCGCGCGAAGAGGCCGUAUGGGAGGGCUGCUGAGAGGAGUGAGGCCGGUGUUGGGCCGUGCGGACUGGGGAGUACCUGAGUUGGUUGGUUGUGGGUGGGCUCAGUGUGGUUUGGUAACUGAGCCUAAAGUGGAGAUGGUAAUUGGGUCGCCUUCUCCCAAAUCUUGAACAUUAACAUUUCUACAAUUUAACGAUUUGAGAUGAAAAUAGACAUGAAAAAUGGCGGCUAAGUACUAAAGUUCGAAACAGAAAGAUUUGACAUGAACAAAGCUGAACAGGCGUGUCUGUACGCGCGCGCCUCGUCCUUUGAUUGUAAAGGCGUAGUAAUACUGAAGUUUGAAGAUAGCUUUUGAGUUGUCAAAAAUAGUAGUGAAUGUAGACGGCUACUGCAUGACCCAAUAGCAGGUAGUAUAAGAACCUUUAUCUUGAAUUCAUGAUGAAGACAAAAGUUAAGUUUACGGGUUGAACUUGAAUUGUAAGGUUACAAUGAUGAUCACGUCAUUAGCUAGUUUAACUUGCAAUGCAUAUUGUGCAAAUUUACCGGUAGAGAAACGAGCAGUAGUCCCGGUUGGAAAAUCUCGUAGAUUUCGAUUCUCCCUACCGGGACUUAAUCAUGAGAAUGGCAGGUGCAUGGCGAGAUCGCGAGAGAUCCCAAGGAUCUGCGCCAAUUUGAGGUCGUACGUGGUGAGUUAUGGACGGGUAUCAGCUAACAUGAUCCAUCGGUUAUGAUACCACGCACGAUGAUUUGGGCGUUAUUAUUAGCCGUUGGGCUCUAUCUGCAUGGUGCUGUGCCCAUCCAAAGCAUGCACGGGGGCAGCAUGUAGUGAGACGAGGUGACGAUGAUGGAUGAAGUCAGCCGUGAUGCGUGCGUGACGUAGGCAGCGGAGGCCACGUUGGUUGCUGGACCUGGUGCGGCAGACAUGUGGACUGGGUACACAUAUACACAUGCAUAUGCUAGUACACAAUGCAAUGUGGCCCAUGAGGUCCCAAUAGCCAAUUCCCCGGCGGUACAUGGAACCCAAGAAUUCGUCGACACCUGCUGCUUGGCCAAAAAAGAAAAGGAUCGGAGCUGACUGUUGCUACCUUUUAGGGAUACACGGCCGAUCGCUUGGCGUGGCUGAAUCCACGGCGAUGGCCACCUCUGAGCGAGACCUGAUGGGACUUUGACGCGGUGUUUACGCGAUCGAUCGACAGUAACCUCCUCAGAGACAGAGCUCCUCGUGGUCGUUAAUAAUUGAACGCAACAGACGAUGGUUUUUUUUUUAGAACCGUACCCAUCCAUCACUUCAGCGGCAGCAGCAAGUAAACAAAAGGAAAAUCUCGGCAAGUUCUGAUCGAGAGGCUGCGGCGGCAUUGUUAAAGUCGCCGUCGCCGUCGCCGGCGAUCUCUCGAGGGGCGUGACGACCGCGAGAGCACAGUGCCAUACGGAUUCGUCGUCCGGCCGGCCGUUGGCUAGCUUCAGAUAAUACUCGUGUAUAUCCUUUGCGUGUUGCGUGAAACGUGAUCCACCAAUGCAAUCCGCUGUGAUCGCCGCCGGAUCGGAUUAGGUGCCGCGCGCGGGCGCAGACGUGCUCGAUCAGUCGCCGCCCCCAUGCCCCCAUGGACGUGACCCCCGGAUCUCGUUUUCCUUUCGCCGGCUCUCCACCAGCACGAUCGCCCACAGCCGCGCAUCGUGAUCUCCAUGCCCCCUCUGAAUCUUUGCCUGAUUCUUCCGCUCCGUGUCCGAGGCAACUUUUCGCCAUUACUGCACUGCUACUACUACUACCGAUCCUGCUCAAUUUUCGACCGAGUUGAUGGAACGUAUGGCCACAUGGGAAAACAAAAGCUGUUUCAUAAUCCAGUUCACACAGACCAGAAAACCUGCAGCAGCUGCAGCAGCAGGUGAAGUGGAGCUCUCACUGGGAAUACACGUCAUUGGCCAGUGCUGAUAUACAUCACAACCGCCUCAUCGAUCGACUCAAUCAGCUGGAAAAGUAGUACACUAUGAUAGUUAUUAUCAUUAUAACCGAUACAAUAUACGCCACAUGGUACUGUGCCUAGAACAAUUCUUGAUCAUUACAGAAUAAAGUAUGCAACGGGAAGAUUCUCGGAGAGGGAUUUUUCAACUGUAUUCCACUGACAGACUGUUCAAACUCAUGUACUGCACCCACUAUUCUUAUCUGUUCCUUCCCUGCAGCUAUAAUAGCCACGGACUAUAGCGAGCCUUCACUCGACAUCCAGAGCUACCAAAGCAGAACAUCAGAGAAGAAAAGCUUCAGCUUCGGCUCCUUCUUCUUCUUCUUCUUCUUCUUCUUCUUCUUCUGCUACUUCAUUCAUACAGGCACUGAACAAACAAUGGAGAACAAAUCACCAUCCUCAUGCGUCAGCCCAGCACCCACAUCCACCAUGUCAGCCGGCGAGAGCAGCUGGGCGGUGCACAUCGCAAGCUUCCUCGCGUCGUCACCGCAAGACAGAGGGAUGGAUCAGCAAGCAGCAGUCUCUGGUGGUAGCUUCUCCUCCGGUUUCUCUUCUUCGUUCAAUUCCUUCGACGACGAUGUAUCCUUCAUCACGUCUGAGCUGAUGUGCGAUGACGACGAAGAAGAUGAGUCUCUACAGGACACUGCCUGUUCUUCUGCAGCUGCCACAAAGGUUAGCAAAACUGGAAAAGAUUCUUUAGUUCAUAGCUUGUCAAACAACAACAUUACGUAGCUUGCCUUCUAACGUGAUUGAGGUUUGUAUAUACACAGGUAGCUACCAUGGAAAAUUUUGAUAUCAAGGCGAUGCCAAUCAUGGAUGCGAAAGAGUUCAACAUGCCCCAGCUGGUAUAUGCUUCUGAAACAGUCUCUUCACUUUCUUUUUGCAGAUGAUGAUUGCUUGCCCCUAGUUUUACUUACAUUUGUGUGUUCUUGGGAUAUUGCAGGCCAAGUACUUUGAAGCUGUGGGUUCACAACAACCAGUGACCAAAGCGGAUCAACAACUGAUCAAUAGUUAUAGUAACAACGCGAAGGCACUGUAUGAGAGUAACGAGCUAAGGAAGAAAGGGCUUUGCUUGGUCCCUAUCUCCAUGUUGAUAAACUAUCUCGGAUGAUUAAAGUUCAUGUACUACCAUUAUUCAAUGUAAUUGUAUACAAUUAUAUAAUAGUUCAUACAUCGCACUCUUCUGUCAGCUAAGAGAACCUACUCCCAUCCAGCUGUUGAGCUUUUCUGAUCAUACCAUUCAAACUAAGAGGAAAAGAAGUAUUCAACUAUGAAAAAAAAGAAGCAAAUAAGCAAAACAAGAUAAUCGAGUACAUGGCGGUGAGAAAAACUUCUGAGGGAUAAGGGUACCCACGACCCCCACCAAUCACGCCCGACUGUGCCGUGUGGGCUAAGGUAUGAAGACGCGUGGAGCACAAGCCAGGAGGCUGGGCGAAUCAAUUCAGCCCGUAUAUCACGGGAUAUUUGUUGUAAACCGACUCAGAUUGCUUUCCAUGUAACAACCGACUAGGAUUAGAUCCUAUCCUAUCCGAUUAUAACCCUAUGUCAUCAGCCUAUUGACGCCCCUGAGGGCAGAUCGACUCUUCGCAUCCCAUACCAGCAAUACAAUCCACCAGAACAUAGGACGUAGGGUAUUACCCUCCGGAGGUCCGAACAUGUCUAAACCUUGCACCCCUGUGUUAACAUUCGAGCUCUUGGUCUCACGAUCUCCCCCGCCUACAAAUCUACCACCUGAGUAACCCCCUGGUGGACUGUCGAUCACUAAAUCUGAUAGUUGGCGCACCAGGUAGGGGUGAUCGUAAGAUCCUCCCCAGCGAGCUCGAUGGCAUCCCGACUCGGCGUCAUUUUCCCCAAGAGCAUAAAGGACUUCCUCGCCAAUCCGAUCCAGCUCCGCUUCGGGAGCGGUGGACUCCGACUCCACCGCCUCCUUCGCCGUCUCGGCGUCCGCCGCUAGCUUAGCAUCCGUCGGAUCUGCUUCGAUGGAGUAAAGUCUUCACCCGAGGUUCAUCAUGCCGCUUGCCCAACAGGUCGGCGAUCUCUCUUAGAGGGUAAACCGUGCAGUGUAACGCGUUGGUUGCUUGCAAGUUCGAAACAUGUAUCACAGAGAAAUUUGUCAAACUUUAUGGUAUAAUAUAUGCCCAUCGCACAGAAACACAGGUGAUUAACCAGCAAUUAGUAUAGCGUAACAGCUUAGUUACGGUGUGAAUCACGAACUUAACAAAUUAAUAAUAUGAUUAGCUGCUUCAGUCAGUUUGAAGUCCACAUGGUUAGGGAUUCCCUUGCGUUUGUGCACACGUCAGUAAUAUGAUGACCAACUAGAAGCAAGCUGUAAUACUGACCUCAUGACACUGGAAGCUAGCAUAUCUUUAAUGAGUGGCUAGUACAAAAAACCUGCUUAAUUAGUUAGAAUAAGCAUAAGCGGCAUCUCUGACCUUCCAAAAAUACAAAGUCCUGACUAAAUCAAAACAAGUAAUUUAGUCUUCAUGGAAAAGUUCUGUUCAAUAAUUCAUACACUCAUUGCAGAGGUUCCAACUAGCAACAUUUUUCUCUCACAAAAUAAGAUAUUUGCAUGUGCUACUACAAGGAGACAGUUAGCAUCAAGUGGACCAUGAAUUCUGGACAAUGUAAGAAUAUUCUACGGAAUUCCCCUAAAUAGUACCAAGCAUUGGCAUUUUAAAGGACAUGAGUGUCCUAGAGACAUGCUUCUCAUUCAUCUUACUGGAAUUUACAUAAGCCCUUCAGUUUUCGAAAGAACAUGAACCUUUCUGACUGUAAUACCUGUUUAGAGUUCUGAAAGUUUGGCAACCAAGUGCGCCCCUCUAUCAUUCAAAUGCAGAACAGAAUCAAAGAUGGGCUCAAAUACUAGUUUACUCCAUGGGAAAGAUAAAUAUGCACAUUGCAUGGCACAUUUCUGUGCAUUUAUGAUCUUUUGAUGUCCCACGACACUUAUACUGAGUAGAGUAGCUAGCUGGAAAAGGCAACGGUUAUUUUAAUUUGCAAGUUGUGACUAUUUUUCUGUUCCACUAUACAUCCCUAGUGUUUCCAAACGGACAUUUUCCGUAGAAGAGCUCAUUGGAUAAGUCUUUAAUUAAAAAAACCCACUUGGCAUGUCUGACUGGCAUCCUCAGUAUUCAUCUAUUCGAUGGACUUUUUGGUGCCAACCUAGCAUUUGUAGAUUUAAACAUCACAGCUGUUGGGAAGUUCUUUAGAAUACAUAGUCACUUACAGGAGUCCAUGAUAAUCACUAUAGUUGACAACUGAACUAAAGUGCCAACAAUCUGAAUAGUGAGGCAUUUCAGAGAUAUUUAAUGCGAAAAUGUAUCAUUCGAGAAAAAUGAAGAAAGAAUGACAAAAGGCUGAUACAGAGAAGGGCAUCUUUCAUUUAACUGAAAAUACUAAUCAACGCAUAUGCCAAGUUAGAAUUUGGAAUAUUGGCUACUACCAAGCUGGAGUACAUCAAGCAUAUGGUUCUUCUCUAUCUAAAAGGGAUUCCCUGUUCAGUGUCACAUUGCUACUACUUGUAAUUAGUAGGUGACCUUGGGACAUACUGAAGUGUGAAUCUAAUCGCAGGCCAGUGACAACCGCCGAUGCCGAACUGAAAGGCCACUGUCAAUUUUCUACUCAUCGUUGACCAAAGAAGAGAAUUUUAGCUAGACCCUUCUCCUUAGUCAAGAUGGCAACAGACUAACAUAAUACUCCAGACGUUGGUAUGAUAUAGCACAAGGGCCAACCAUAGCCGGGGCAGGUUCAUAGAACGCAGUGGUGCCGGAGCCAACCAAAGGCAUCGGAAUCAGCAACGGCUAGGGAUCACCGGCUCCGAAAGAGACAAGGAACCGAUUAUGUGUUGGAACUGACAAAAUAAUUCGCAUUAAAAGAAAGAAAGAAAGAAAGAAAGAAAACCUCCAGUCCAGUGGUUAGAACUUUGUAACCUUCCGCAUCGUUUGAACGAAUCUCGAUCCCCUCGCAACUUGCUCCAAGCCAUGUACUUUUCUGGCGCCACGCGCAUCGCUGGAGGCUGCAGCCGAUGCGGGCUCAUACCAUACGGCGCGCUGGCACAUGAGUAUUCGACUGCCGCCGCAUCCGUGGAUGGUUUUGGAGCACUAAUCCAUUUGCAACAUGUAUUGUAAUAAUCUUUCCAGACGUCUUGGCUCUAGGCAAAUAUUUAGUAAGCUCACAGUCACAGAUCCACUCAUUGAGAGCAUACUUUUUAGCAGGUUGCUCGCCAAUCUGCAAGUGUUGGUAGGAAAAUAUGGAGCAACAAUUCAAAAUCGACUCAUGGGGACCCCACGCUCCACUGGACAGGGAGAAAAUGGGGGAAAGAAAGGAGGAUCGACAGUUGCUACUUGCCACGAGCGCGAGAGUGGAACUCACUUGCGUGGCUUAUUCGACGACGGCGGGAUGGAGUACCGCGCGACGGAGCGAGCUCCGGCGGCCGGCGGCGGUUCCAGCUUCGGGGCAGGGGUGGAGUCGUCUCAGUAAAAGAUGGGCCGGCCAACGCGGACUACCCGGCCCAUAAUAACAAGGCCAUGGGCUGAUUCUUCUUUUCUCCCGGACUAAAAGAAAGACCAUGAACAGACUGGACCUGAAGAAACGAUAAAAUGCCCAGUUCCGGGGGAAACAGUUUGUGACACUCCAUUCCGUUGCAUUCAUUCCAUUUUCAUCUGCAAUCCAAUCCCAGUAAAACAAAGUCGAGACAAACAGUCGUUGUACCAUUUCCUACACAAACACAACAACACGGAAGACCGGAACACGGUUUUGGAUCAUUGCGUGCCAUCUGCAGCAACGCCGACGGCAGCCUCAGCCUCGGCGGCUGCUGGCGGUGGCGGCGCCAACUCGUCCGUGGACGUCGGCGGCGCCGCCGGUGAACCGUCCUCCGGCUUCUUCCCCCUCGCCUUCCUCGGCGGCUUUGGAACGUCCGGGCACGUAGCCGUGUCCUGCCGGCCGGUGCUCUCUGCAACCGCGCCGAAAGCCGGUGUGCCCAAUGGCUGCGGGUCGAAAUCUGUGAAAACAGCCGCCACAGAACGCGUGUCAGCGACUGGCAAGAAAGAACACAAACGAGUCCUUGCUCAUCUAGGAAGCUGAGGAAAAACAAAAUCAGUGUGUGAUCUUGGAAGAAGCAAUGUGCUUGGCCUGCCGCCCCGUCCCCGCGCGAGGGGCGGAGGAUGUCUGCCGGUUGCCUGAUCGCGGUCAGCGCCUGUCGUCUGAAACACCAACCACUGGUUCUCUUUGGAGUCGGACCGCGUCAGGACCAAGCGUUUGGGGAACCCAGGCAUGAACGACACCAAUUGAUCGUGUCCCCAUCACAGGAAGCUUCAGGUUUGCCUUCGUUACCGUCUCAUGAAGCAAGAACCAAGAUAUCUUCAAGAGAAGUCUCCCCCAUUGUUUGCAUAAAGCACGAGAAGAAUCGUGUCAAUCGCCAUUUGUCUGCACGACCCAUUGCCUACCACCAGCAAUUCAGAGAUGCUGCUGGUAGUUCAGACUUCAGAAACCUGAUGAAGCCUGAUUUUUUUUUCUUACUAACAUGUGCUCUGCGAUUACAGAUACGGGAUCGAGGAACCAACACAGAAGUUGCCAAACACGGUGACAAUCACGUGUUCCUUAGAAGAAAUAGGCUGCAACUACACCGAACGGAGCAGUGUAUUCUGUACUGAAGAGCAGGACGCAUGGCCAUACCUUGAGAAGCCCAGGAGGUCCCUGUUGAUGCUGCGAAGUUGCCCAGCGACGAGAUGUCGGGGGCAGCCAUGAUGUUGUUCAUCUAGGGUAUGCAAGAUACGCAAAGCAAAAAAGAUAAACUAAUCAGACAUUUGGAACAAGAAGUUCAGCAGUGCACUGAAAAAAAUUCAGGCGUGGCGUGGCGUGCUUACCCAGCUCGGAGAUGCAUUGCCCGCCGCGCUAUCCCAGCCGAUGUGCGCUACGUGCUUCACGUCCGUCGGAUAACCGAUCUCCAUCUCGUGCUCCUUCGCCGCUGCAAAGAACGAUGCAGAGAGCAGUCACUGAAGAUACAAGAUGUGCAUUGUGCGAGCAGGUAGAGGUAGGCAGGCCUCUGUCUGUCCUUGUUCACCGUACGUGGCCAAUGUUCAGAGUUCACAUGUGAAGGACGGGAUUCACUUACCAAACAUCCGGGAGAUGACCUUGAUGCCCUUGAAGAACCCUUUCGCCUUGAACGCCAUUGGAGGCGAGGGGACGCUGCACGGUGGCCUCCAGAAACAAUGAGGCAGAAAGGAGAGGGCUCUGAGCAAGGAGAGGCAGUAAUCCAAAGUUUCAAAGGCCUUUCUGGCUCUGACAAAGAUGCAGCAUCAACCUGGUUUUGUGACCUUGAAGAAUGAGUUAUCAUCGCACGCACAGUGAUGGAUUGGUGAUACAUGUCUGCAAAAGAGCUGAUCUGCAUCCUCUGGAGUUGUUGGCGAUGUUGACAUCAGCUGUUUCGGCUGAAAGAUUUGCAUAAACAAUAAUUCUGUAUGCACCCGUGAUUAUUAUUUAUUUUGUUUAUCGCCUCGCGGAAUUCUAGUCUUAUAUUGAAAGAUUGGUGAUAAGCGAAAAUUCUAUAGCAACCAAUAAUUAAGAAUGGUAAACUUGCAUUAGAAGGCAGAAUCAUCGUAGAAUCCUGUCAACUCCUUUUCUUUUGCGACUGACAGCAAAAUUUAAUGGGUUUCGUAGUUGACAGGUUGCCCCUUCUAGAUUCAAAUUUAUGUCAAAACGAAACACAGCUUGCAAGCUACAUGAGGAUAUAAGUAUUUUGCCAUGAUUACUCACAAGAUGCAAGAUAAAAAAAAAGAAAGAAAAAAAAAAAAGAACCUGUCAGACAACCUGAGGGCCACCCCAGCAAGGCAAGCCUGACCAGGAACGAUCCUCUACAGCCGUGGAUGGAGCAUCAAAGCUCAAUCCAGGCCGUUAAUCACGCUCUGGCCCACAGGUCUUGAAUCAUCAACCAGGCUUAAGUGCUUGCCUCCUUAUUAGUCAAGGAUGCAGCGGUACGAUCCUAUAGAACAGAUCCUGUUCAAGUAAGGUCGUGACGCAACAGCAGAGGCUCAGCCAUAUAAGCAGGGCGAAACCAGUCUGCGCUUCCGAGGUGGUACUAAGCGUUUCGUCUGGGUUCAGCUCACAGUGCUACUAGCUAGCAUUCUAUCUUGGGCCACAGCCCACAGGGUUCGGUAAAAAGGCCCAGGCCUUUGGAGGCAAUCCACCAGCAGCAGAAUUGGCAGAUACAGAUUUUCCCCACUCUGUCACUGCCUCACUGCCAAAUCCAGUCCACCGCAUUCGCAUCGCGUGCUGUUGGAAGCGAAGGCUCAAGCAAGAAAACGAUGUGCCUUUGCAUUGCAGUUUGACAGUCUGCGACUUUUAGAUUCACUCACUGUCUGAAUUUUUUCGAAAUUGAUUCCAAAGUCGAAAUUAGAUCAAGUAUUCCAAUGUCGUAAGCUUGCACGACAGCAUUAGAACUGUCCAAGGUCCAUAGAGAUUCAGACAUUAGUAUCUCUGCGCUAUGUUUAUGUACGAAGCAUUAUGGCGUGCCUUGCGGAGACAGAUGCCAUGUACAGUCACAAGUUACAAAUCAAAUCCAGUGCACAAUAUUUUCUCCUUAUCUCAUAUAUAAUCAUAUAGAUUAGCAUCAUUGCCAGCAGAAACACUUGUCAUAUAUCAAACUCAUUCAGCUUUCGAGUAAACAAAGAAGAUCAUUCAGCUUUGCAGCUUUGGACUACAGAUGUCAGCAAAUGUGACUGGAAUCAUCAGUAUUCAGUACAGCAAAAAGAACACAAGUGAAAACCUGCAUGCAAAAUUACAGCUUUAAGAAUGAAUUGCUGCGCAUUGUGACAGCAGUGUACAUAGAUAAUACAGAAUAUGGCAAAUUCUCUUGAAUGUUCACAUGGCUUGCACACAACAAAAUUGCCCAUAAGGCUAGCAGAGACAAGCAGAUAACCGAGUGAGGAGGGGAAACAAUCUAAGGUACAGCACUGUGGUGACAUGACCAAUCAAGGUAAUACUCUUUGCAAAAUAAAGAUAACAAUGAAAACACUGAUGUUACAGUAGCUGAGUUGAGUAACUGAAGAACAGACAGCAGGCUAGUCCUAAAGCUCUACCUCCAUUCUAGAGAAGCGUGAAAAACUGCACAAAUGAAGGGCAACGAAGUGAUCUCUUCUAAUAUUUUACAACCCACAAACAAUUUUCCCUUAUUGUCUGAGGAUCUUCAAAUCAGUAGUUUUGUUUAGUACGAACCUUCUGAAUUCUGAUACACUCGAGAGUUGAGAACUUCAAAAUGGUGUAUCUGCUUAUUUGGCCAUUACUGUUAACUGAUGGCUUCUACCAGAGCAAUCUUCUGCACCCUUGAAAUCCUUCACAAAUAAAAAUAUUUUGGUGUCCGAUCUAUACAGUUCCUGUCUACCACCAAAUAUAAAUCUAACUAGGCAAUCAACUUUAUAAGACAUCUGGUCUCAUCGAACAGGUGGUGCUAAGCCGUGUGUCUUCAUCAUGCAAUGGUAUUUCGGGGGUACUCUUGCACCAACUUGCAUGCAGAGCUCAAUGACAGCAGGCGCAUGGCCAUAAUAAUCCCUCCCGCCGUCCACCAGAACUGGUGGGUCAUGAGGCCGCCGAUGCCACACGAUCUUCUGAGGAACUAGGUCAUCCACUCCGGCCUUCUUCCACUUGUGCAUCCCUUUCCAGCCCUCAAACUUAAAUACUCCACACAUUCUGGCCUUGUGCCCUGAUGGCCCGACAUGCACUUCAGAGCAAUGCUCACAAACUUUAGAUGGGUACACCAAAAGGAGUUUCGUGACACCUAAUCUCAGGCUUUCCCAUGCAUCCAGUGUUGUCUGACCGAUAUAUCUGAGUUGAUCUGGCAAAAUAGGAGCAGGUUGUUGGCUGUGGCCUCUGACCGUUGUAGAUAGCUGUUCACUUCUGUAUAAAACCUCAUCAGGUAUAUCUGCACCUGCCUGAUGGCAGAGCUCGAGUACAGCUGGGACUCGGGCGUAGUCAAACCUCUGGUCAUGCUUUAUCUCAUCCUGAAACAUUUCUCUCAGGUGGAAAGCCUGGACAGGGAUAAGGAUGUCAUUCAAAUUGCCAGGACCCCAUUUAUGUGGUCGGUCCUUGAUCAUACGCUUGAAACCAUGGCAUGUUUUCAUCUCAUGACCCGUUGCUCCAAUGUGAACUUCAGGACAAAACCUUCAGCGCAAAUCAGCACAGAAGGUGUUAAAAGGAUUCAUAAGAUGCAGAAAAUUUCAGGGCAGGAAUCAAUAAACUGACAUCAGAUAGACAGAACCUUGACCGGCGAAUCAACACUGAGAACAGGCAUAAAUAUCACAGAACUGUUAACUUGGUAUCGCGAGAAUUGGAUCAGACAACCUAAAAUUGUGACGAUACACAACACCAACACUAAUUUAUGAAUACAGUAGUAUUUCUACUCAAGUUUCUUAUGCCAUUUCUACCUUUUUUUGGGAGAUUGCCUAAUCAAAGAUGCUGUACUUCACAGAAAGCAUUUUUUUAGCAAACAUAUAUUACUGAGUUUAUUAUUUCUGUGUUAAGACAAGAACACUACUAAUUUCACAUUUCUUUCCCUUACUUGCAUGAAUGCACAGGAACAGCUUUGAGCAGUGUGGAGACGCCCUCAGUGACAAUCUCCCUAGCCCUCAUGACCUCCUCCGCGACCGGGAUCAUCCGCUUGAUUGGGUACUCCUUCGACCGGCUCUUAAUUCUCUUGAGAAUCAUCGGCCGCAGCUGCUUCCAAUCCACCCUCGAAGAAGAGUGCCGCCUCUGGUUCAGAACUGAACCGCAUAGCUCCAAGCAUAUGUAGCUCCUGGCUCUUCGCCCAAGAAACGCCAUUGGAGACCAUAAACAGCAAGCCUACAAUUUUGCAUAUGUAGUUCACAAUUUCUUUAUAAAAAAAAAGUUCACAAUUUUGCAUAAGCGGAUGAAACAAACGCUGAAGGGUAUUGACAUAGAUAGAAAUUCCUUCCUACAACGGCUGAUUAUGUUAGAACUAAGAAACACUACUGGAUCAGAAGAACUUACAGGUCGGGGAGGUCGAUCUGGCGAACCGCGCCAGGCCCCUAGCAGAGGAGCCGAGGCCAAGGCCGCUUGCGUGGUGCCACCUGAAGACGUCGUAUCUUCUAGGGCACGAUUCUGCUACCUGCGCCGCCCGCUCGCUGAUACCGCCAGCAGGAGGCGUUUCCGCGUCGGCGCCGGAGAGCAGCCGAGGAAGUGCCGGCGCCGGGAGCGGCGAGAGGCGGCGCUGGAGAGAGGGGGCGGCGCGCGGUGAGCAGAUGGGACGCGGGGUGCUCGGGGGAGGGGCGGCGACGCCGGGCGCGCAGAGAUGAGAGGGCGGCGAGGGCACGGCCGCGCCGGGAGCCGCCGUGCGGGAAGGAAGGGGCGGGGGACCGGCGCUUGCAGGAUCCUGAAAUGGGCUUGGCCAACUAGGGAUCGAUGGAGCCGUGAGAGAGUUGGGCUGCAGUCUGUCGGUUUACUUGGGCUGCAUGGGCAAGGUAAUUGGGCCAAUCACCUGGGCCAGUCCAUAUAACUUCUCCCAGCUUCAGUCUUUCAGCCCAAACAUGGCGUGCCGCGAGCUUCUCUGGUGGUCUGAUAGGAUACGAACGGCUGUGAUCUGACCCUGCCGACUCCGUCAGGGGAUGCGGCCGUGCCGGAUACGGACAAGUCACCUGGUGCCACGUGGUUGGUACCUAUUGGCUGGUACACGAGGUGCCCGAGGCGGUAACCCCACAGAAAAUCUCUUGGCACCGCCUCACCCGAGCUAUAUAUUGCGAGGCCCCUCACGGGCUCUUCUCAUCGAUCGCAAUCGCCGUCUAAUCUCGCCAAGGAAAGAACUCUUCAGCAGCUAAUCGACUCGUCAAGGUAACUAAUCCCCAUCAGACUCCCGCUUUUAAGGUUUCUCGCGAUUCAAUGUCCAAACCUUUCAGUCGAGUUAUAACGCUUCGCCGGAUUUGAUUGGUGAAAAUUGUUGAGAACCUGAAAAUUGUUGGGAACCAGUCGGGGUUUGCGCUUUAGGCAUCUGAUGAUAUGAUCUCUCGGUUUUGUAGAUCGAUCUAAAUUAUUGUGUAGAGUUACUGCGAAAUUUGUGAAUGUUCUAUUAUAUUGUGAGUAGAUUCAGAUUUGUUUAGCUCGUCUAUCAUGAUUCUUUUUUGUUUAGCAGAACAUUACGAUUAUUUGCAGUGUGUUUCAUAUGAGAUUGAGAUGUCUAUCGAUGAGCUCCAUUGCUGAUUUUUUAUCUACAGUCUUUUUUUGAUUAGUCUUGGCCUUAGUUAGUUCACUAGUUGUGACAGCUCCUAAAUUCAUGUUUAUAUCUUCUGUUCAUACUGUACCUGGACAUGUAUGAUUAGUGCUGAGCUUUGUCCUAGUUGCAAUUUAUUAAUCUGGAAUGCUGGAGUUGGGUUCUUCUGUUGUGGUUGUGUAUUUCAUUCAUAGGCGAGUCUUCUAUGUAGCUCAUGUGUCUCUCUUAUUUCUUUCUUUUUUUUUUGUUGCUAUUGCUAGUUUGGGAACAGCUUCUCUGCUUUUAACUUAGUCUACAAUAAUUAUACUGACCCAUGUCGAUUCAGAUGUGAGCUUGUGACAUUAAUUGUACACCUCAUGCCUUCUGCAGAUGCAAAUCUUUGUGAAGACCCUGACUGGCAAGACCAUCACCUUGGAGGUCGAGUCCUCGGACACGAUCGACAAUGUGAAGGCCAAGAUCCAAGACAAGGAGGGCAUCCCUCCGGACCAACAGCGCCUUAUCUUCGCUGGCAAGCAGCUUGAGGACGGCCGCACCCUUGCUGAUUACAACAUCCAGAAGGAGUCCACCCUGCACCUUGUCCUGCGUCUCCGCGGUGGUAUGCAGAUCUUUGUGAAGACCCUCACUGGCAAGACCAUCACCCUGGAGGUAGAGUCGUCUGACACCAUUGACAAUGUGAAGGCCAAGAUCCAGGAUAAGGAGGGCAUCCCUCCGGACCAGCAGCGCCUCAUCUUUGCCGGCAAGCAGCUUGAGGACGGCCGCACCCUUGCGGACUACAACAUCCAGAAGGAGUCCACCCUCCACCUCGUUCUCCGCCUGCGUGGUGGUCUGUGAGCUGUUGCUGUAGUGCAUGGUGUCAUCGUGUCAUGGUUAAAUUGGAGUUUCGGGUUAGCUAAAUAAGUACUUUAGGCCAUCGUUCUAGUAUGGCAAUAUGUGUAAGGCUGUGUGUGCCUUUUGGACAAGUAUUAUAUUUCAUAUAUCAAUGUUCGUUCUUAAUAUCCUCUGGCGAUACUAUCUUUUUGUUUGCUUGAUGAUUGAUCGAGUGCUGAUGUGGUUAUUUUUCGUCUCCUUUUUUGUGCUGUUUUUAUCAACCUUAAGCUGUUGAUGUGCAAUCAUGCAAUUAGUGAUAUUCCAGUGCAAUUUUGAUUUAUUCUGCUUCUCAUGUUCUUGUGGUUUCUUUCUUUGGGGUUGUAUAUUUGUAUUGUCCCAAAUUUUUAAUAGUGAUGUCUUAUUAAAACUUUAGUUCUAACAUUUGUCAACCUGUCCACUUUCUCUGCUACCUGACAGUUUCACGUUUGGAAGUUCUAAAAGUUUCUGGAACAGAGUGUGCUUGGCAAUGCAGAGUUAUUUCACACUCGGUAGCGUCAAGUUGUAGUGUGCUUGGCAAAUGGCAAUGGACAUCGAUCAUGAUCUGUUGUGCUCCUUGCUUAGACCUCGUGCUAAUUUAGAAUCAUUCAGAUUCCUAAAAGGCACAACAGGUAUAUCUUACAAGCCUCUGCGUCUUCUUUGAAUGCUGACCACUCGGAUCAUCUUCUCGGUUGAAUCAUUAGUGUAAGUGCAUUCUUGUGAAUGCCAAUUUUCUUCAUGGUUAUGUUCCUCGUGUCUUGAAUUGUUCCUUGUAAAUUGUCCUCCGCAUUCUGUAACUCUCUGUUUGGCCAACGAUGGCCCCUCAUCAAUGAAAAAUUCAGGCGGUCCAUAAUUCCUUUCUUCAUAUUCGAGUGGUCUUGAUCGAAUUUGAUUCCCUAGAAUAUGCAGUAGCCAACUAGAUAUGCAGGAAGUAACCAAACUGUUAUCUUCUGUAAGUAUGAUUGUUGUCUUAUAACCAGGCUGUAACUUUCCAUGGAAAUAACUGAAUCUGCAGCUGUUUACAAUUCGUGAAAAAUUUUCAUGGCACGAAUUCUCUUGUACACCAUAACUAGUGUUGAGUGAAGCAGUCAUUGCAAGCCACGAUUGGUCAACUGAACAAGUAUGUAUGAUCUGUUAAAGACUUAGACUUUAAGUUUUGAACAACCAGAAGCAAUCACGUUAGUUACUCAACAAACAGUUGGAUGCAUUGUACAAUUCAUGUCAUCAUAAACAUCAGAUUGUUAGUUUCUUGAUUUAGUUUCACUUGUAAAAUAUCUUUAUACUCAUUAGUGGUGGUCUAAAUACAACCAUUAGAACUGGAGUUUGUUUAAAAUAUGGGUGAACUUUGCUUAUAUUUGUUGAAGAUAACAUUUCAUCAGUAGCAGGUGGUUGUAUAGUCCGACUGAUACACCAAGUUUGCCAAUCAUGAGUUCAUGACAGGGCAUAGGUUCUGUAUGAUUUGUUACACAAGUCUCUAUGCUGUGUAGUCUUCGGGCUUGAAGCAAUCUUUCUUGAGUUACAUAUACGUUUGACUACUGGACCUAAGCUUUUCUUCAAAACAAAGCAGUCUUUAUGUAUACCAACUUGGUAAGGUUAAUGAUCAAGUAGCACACUGAUCUUAUCCUGGUGAUCUCCUUUUUACUUGAUGAUUUUCUCCUGCGAGAUGAGCGCAAUCAGCACGGGCUUGAAAUGUCCUCGGAAUCCUACAAAAACAUGCGCUAGGAAUAUACCUUUUGCUCAAUUUUAUUUGGAAAAAGAAAAUAUGUUUGUCAAUGCAUUUGUGUUUCAGUAUAUUUUGUUGAUAUAUUGUUGUUUAAUUAGGAGUUGAUAAUCCAACAGACAUAGUAUGUUUUCGGUAUCCAGAACUGUAAGGGUUCCUACGAGAUAAGGUACCUGUCAUAUUGAAUAAAUUAACUCCUUUAAACGAGUAAAGGAGAUAAAAGUUCCAUUUUCAUUUCUUUUCCCUUUGCAUGCAUAAUUUGUUUUUUCAGAACAAACACUGAAGGAUAUAGUGAUAAUCCAUAGCCUAUUUUCCUUCCAGAAAAUAUUCAUUUAGUUGAUAACCGUAUCCUUAAUUUUCAGUACCUAAAGCUUCAAAAAAAAUUCAGUAUUUUUUAAACAUAUAUGUAUAUGCAAACAAGAGAUCGUUAUAAGUUUGUAGAAAAAAUUCCUGUAAUAAAGUCCAUAACCAUUUUCCUCCUCUUGUAACUACUACUAUUAUACUAAAGCUCGAAGAUUUGGAGCCUCCUCAUGCAUCAUGGCUCCACAUGGAACCCACGUAUUGUUCCAUGUGGGAUCCACACACUAUUCAAGUGGGAUCACGUAUUGUUUAGGUGAAACCCACGUGGGAUCCAGACACUAUUCAAGUGGGACCAACAUCGUUUGUUGGGAUCCACUGUACUGUCGAGUGGGUUCAUGAUAUUUUUUUAAAAAAUUAUCGAUAAUGUUUUUUCUAUUUUUUGGAUUUAAUCGUAAGGAAGUAUAAAAUAUAUUUAAUUUUUUCCUACAUAUAAAAAUAAUAACUAACCUUUGUAUACUUUGUUCAUCUGUGGUAGCCCCACUGCAUUUUUGGACUUCGCUUUCAAAUGAUUGAAUUAUUCAUUCAUUGCUAAUUAUAUCUUUUAUUUCUGUGAAAACCAAGAAUCAGUGUAACAUAGCAUGUUAUUCCAUUAGCUAUAUCAACUAACAUCUGAAAGUCAGUGAAUUCCUAAGAAAAAAACUAUACAAUACUUGAAUGACCAUUAUGAUAAAAAAAUUGUUUGAAUUUAAUAUUAGAUGCCAUCCAUUUGAUUUAGAUUAUUUUUUAAUUUGGUUUGAUCCAUCAAUGCGAUGCUACUUUGAGCAUAGAGCAUCUCCAAGAGAAAGGCUAUCUCAUUCUAUCUCAUUCUCUAAGCCAAAAUUUGUCAAGUCUGCUGGAAAAGUAUGCUCCAACAGAGUUGCUAUCCGGAUGGCUAUCCCAUCCAGCUUGCCAAAUACUCACCCACACUAUUCAAACUUGGCAGGUAGGUUUGGCUUACCAAAUAUGGGUCCCACGUCCAAAAUGGAGAGUGCAAAAUGGAUAGUCUGUUGCAGUGUGAAAUGAAGAGGCUGUUGGAGUGGAUGGAGAGUGUAGAUUUUAGAGAGGAACCUAGCUAUUGAAAUUUAGAGAGCGAGAAAUGGAUAGUCUGUGGGAUUGAGUAACUUAAUAUGGAGAGGAAUCUUUUUACCAACUUGGUUAGAGUCAAAAAUAGAUAGUUUGUUGGAGUUGCUUUAAGAUAACAAAUUCCCAUUUCAUCAUUAUUUCAAGUUAACAUUUUUUAUAUGCGUGCGAUAACUAGUAUUUUUAACCUUUCAUCUAUCUUCGAGUUUUCAUAACCAUCAGAAUACAGUUUUCAUUAUUGGUCUGGUAUGGAAUCUGAGAAUAUGUAUGCAUCAGAAUCAAUCUACCCCCAAAUAUAUUAAACUAGAAACACAGUGUGAGAUCACAGCUAGCAGCUUAGAGUUCAAGUCUUUGAUGUUGCACUUUUUAGCAACACGCUGUACUCUCUGCAUCUCUUUGAGAGUGUCAAUUACACAAGUGACUGGGCACGAAGAAUCUCCACCCUAGAACUAAUACUGUCGGCGAUGCAUAAUUUGUAAUCGGUAAACUAGCAUCCCUUCAGUUAAUGGGAAUCAUGUGCUUAUUUACCGAAUGAGAUAUGCUCCACCUGACCCAAGACUUGCACAUACUGUUGAGGUCCUAUACAUGAACACAUGCCAUAGGGCUCCUGAAAUACCGAUCCCUAGGCACAUGACUAACUCCUAGGCCAUAUGCUGACUUCAUCACAUAAGAAUAGAAUGCAGCUUCAAGGGCAUCUGGGCUUCUGGAGCCACUACACUAAUACUGAAGAUAAUGGCUGGCUCACUAUCAUUUAUGUGCAACCUAAGCAACUGGACUAUAAAGCAGGCUGCAAGUUCCAGCUCACCUCAAAUUCAGCAAGAACCUCUCAUCAAUCACCAUGCCUAGUCGCUUUGCAUCACUCAUGAUGCACAGCAUGAUUUUCAGACUCCUCUUUGGACUUGUCCUUGCCCUAUUCCUACAAUCCUUAUCAGUGCUAGCCAAUCCAUUAGAAUUAGGACUACAAUCCUCAUCGUCAGGGCUACCCAAUCCAUCGGGGCUGAGGGUUGGAUUUUACCAGUACACAUGUCCGAAUGCGGAGGCCAUUGUUCGUGAUGAGAUGACCAAGAUCAUCUCUCAAGUCCCAAGUCUCGCUGGCCCGCUGCUUCGGAUGCAUUUCCAUGACUGCUUUGUGAAUGUAAGUGUGAUCAUUUUAUUCUGUUCUGAACUGUUUCAGCUGUGUUCAGACUUCAAAAGGUAUGUGACUGAAGAAUUGAAUGUGCUAUGCUGCAGGGUUGCGAUGGUUCAAUUUUGCUGAAUAGCGUAUGGGGAUUACCAUCCGAGAAGGAGGCGAUACCGAACCUCAGCCUGCGAGGCUUUGGCACGAUCGACCGCGUCAAGGCGAAGCUGGAGAAGGCCUGCCCUGGAGUGGUGUCCUGUGCUGAUAUCCUGGCUCUGGUAGCAAGGGAUGUCGUUGUACUGGUAAGAGAUUAGUACAAGUCUUGUUUGUUGAUCUUCGUUUAUCAGUUCUUUUCUUAGGGGAAUUUGGCUUGUUAAUUCUUCAAGUAGGAGAUGUUAACCUAUUUUGCUUAAGUGACUCCCCUAAUUGGCUGUGUCAAUGGCAGCAAAAUCUUUCACUGAAUUGAGUUUGAUCGUCUUCAUGUAGUUAGUGGCCAGUAGUCUCCCUUACUUUUGACAAUGACUCUUUUUUAAAAAACUUUUGACAAUGAAUCAAUGACUGACGUUAAUCCAAUGUCUGUUUACCUUUUUCCUGUGCAACAGACGAAAGGGCCUCAUUGGGAUGUCCCAACUGGGCGUAGAGAUGGGAGGAGAUCAGUGAAGCAAGAUGCCUUGGACAAUCUCCCUCCUCCCUUCUUUAAUGCCGGUCAGAACCUGUACCAGUUCUUCAUCCCCAAGGGCCUUGACGCAAAGGAUCAGGUGGUUCUACUAGGUAAUACACUACUCGCCACAUCCUCAACUUGAUGCAUUAUCGUCAAUAAAGAAAGAGAGUACCUAGAUGAUUGGUGCUGGCUCUUUCCUGGUUUUUGUUUAAACCCCAUGCUGAUCCCAACAAAUCCGUGGUAGUAGCGCGCGUUCUCCAAUAAAGGUGAUACUUUGUAGAGCAACUGUGAAGCAACUUGUUCAUGAAAAGAAGGCAAAGUCAACAGAAUCGGGAUUAAAUUCUUGUAACUGUAACAUGUGCUUACCGUGUUGUUCAUAUAAUCAUGUACUCUCUCAUAGUCUCAUGAUCAUGUUCAUAUCUGCAUGGUUACUGAAACUGAGAGACUCCUGUGUCUGUUGAUCUGCAACAGGGGGUCACACACUUGGGACCUCCCACUGCUCGCAGUUCGCCGACCGGCUCUACAACUUCAGCGGCACGACGAUGCCGGACCCGUCCCUGGACAAGCGCUACAUCCCGCGGCUGAAGAGCAAGUGCGCCAGCCCCGGCGACACGACGACGCUGGUGGAGAUGGACCCGGGCAGCUUCCGGACGUUCGACGCGAGUUACUACAGGCACGUGGCCAGGGGCAGGUCCCUCUUCACCUCCGACCAGACGCUCAUGAACGACCCCGCCGCCGGGGCCUACGUCCGGCGGCAGGCCGCCGUGGCCGACGCCGGCGCCUACCCGGCCGAGUUCUUCGCCGACUUCGCGGCGUCCAUGGUGAAGAUGGGCGGCGUGGGGGUGCUCACCGGCGCGCAGGGGGAGGUCCGGAGGCACUGCGCGUUCGUGAACUAGGAGAUGCGUGUGUAUAAAGAUGCCGGCGGUAAGGUAAUUUGUGUCGUGGGUGGAUCGUGAGGAGGGUUGCUGAUUAGUGGCUGAUUUUCUUGCAUGUGUAGAAAGAUUGCUGUGUUAAGUUACAGGGUGUGCAUGCGCCAUGUGUUCAUCAGUUCAUUUGUAAUAUUUUCAUGACAUCAAAUAAAACAGCUUUUGGUUUAAUUCAGUGAUGAAGCCAUGGCGUUUUGUUGCCUCGAUCAGUCAAAUGCACAGGCUUGGACUGCUGAAGUUGUUGGUGUUCUGAAGGAACAUCUGUAACAGAGUUGCAAGCUGGCACAGAAGUUACAGAGUGAUGCCGUGACGGUAACAGGGCAUGUCGAUCAAUGGCUGCAUGAAUAGGAAAACUUGAGGAUGAAAUAUUCUCUGUGGCCACUUGGCGAGUAAAGUGCACAUCGUGCAGUAGAUGUAUACUAUUUCAUGAAGUGACCCUAUCUAAGGGAUGAAGCAUAAGAACCAAGAGGUCGUUAAGCUACCUCCACAUGGUCAUGGACCAUAUCCUCCGGUCAACUUUCUCAUUCUUACCUCGCACUCCUCCCAGAGUCCCAGGUGCACUUUCCAGCCUAUGAUCAUCGCCAUCAAAUUGAGUAUUACUCUCCUCAACUAAUUCAUCAACAGUUCAUAAUAGUUUAUCUUACAUUCACUCGUGGUGUACUAGGAACGAAUUACCUUCUGUUAUGACUGAUGGAUGAAUCAAGUGCUAUAAGUUACCAAAGUAAGCUUUGUAUUUUACUGGAGCCUUUUCACCACCUUUGUGUGCUCCUCCAAUCCGAGCCGAAAGAGCCAAGAAAGUUGUGGAAUAUGCCCUACACCAACACACGAAGAAAACUACCACCUAGCCUAGCCGCCAUGGCUUCCUCCUCCUCUGCCUUUUGUUCCCUCCCCUCUCGUCAAGGAAUCACCAUGUGAAAAGGAAACCUUUCGGAGCCGCAACAAAUCGCUACUACUAGUAAACCUGUCACGUAAACUUGGACGACGAGACGAUCAGGGAUGCACUGCCAGAGUGCACGGCUAUACAAACGCCUACAGAUCAAGCACGCAAGCUGCAGUACGUGCUGUACACCGCCAUGCCGCCGGAAGCCGCCGCCUCGUCGACGGGCUUCGUCGCCGGCCGCUUCCGCCGCCCACUGCCGGCGGAGCGGCCGCACCUGACGCGGUGCACCAAGCUUCUGUGCUCGGCGUUCCUCACGCUGCUCCUCGUCGCCGGCGUGGUCAUCUUCGUCGUCUACCUCGCCGUCCGCCCGCACCGGCCGCGGUUCCACGUGACGUCCUUCACCGCCGCCGGCAUCCCGUCCGGCGGGCCCGUCGUCCUGUCGGGGCAGCUCUCCGUCCGCAACCCGAACCGGGACAUCGCCUACUUCUUCGACCAGUUCUACCUGUCCGUGGAGUACCGCGGCGCCGACGUGGCCAAGGACCGGCCCCUGACGGCGGCGCCGAUGUACCAGCCGCCCAAGACCACGUCGCCGCUGCCGUUCGAGGGCGUCGAGCUGGCGCCGCCGUCGGCCGGCCAGGACAUGGCGAAGGACGCGGCGGAGGGCGACGGCAGGGUGGAGAUGACGGUGAGUGUGCGGUCGCGGAUCAGGGCGCGGCUGGCGUUCUGGGGCAACCGGCACUGGCACCCGCUCCACGUCAGGUGCGAGGUGGCAGUGGGGCCCGACGGGCAGCUGCUGGCCGAGUACCUGCAGAAGCGCUGCAGCAUAGACUUCUUCUAGGCGUCAUUGCUACGAGCUGUUAGUGAUUAACAACUGACAGUGUGUGAUGAUGCCCCAUGCGUGCGUGAUUUUGUAAAGGAACGAGUGGUUUGUUGCACGACGAGCGAUGACAACAGCAUCUUCUUUCAUCAACCUAGGACUGCUCCGUAAGGAACUAGGGUUCAUCAACAAAGCAUGUCUGCGACAUUACAUUAGAGGCAUGAAAAAAACAUCUGCAACUACAACAAGCAAAUGGCACGGGCUGAUAUAUACACAUCUAAUUGGCAAACAAGUCAGCAAGAGCUAGCAUGUCUGGUACUCUGGUUCACCACCAACCUAAGCAGGGGACUGGAUCACCGGCAGGGUUACCUUUAGAAGGCGCUGCAGACAUGUCAUAGACUUGUUCGGAUCAUCCCCUGACCAAAACUGCACCACGUCCUAGUUGUUCACACUUCACAGUUCACUGCGGCAUGGCACAUACCCUGGGAUCGAAUAUUACAAGUGAUCAGCACAUCGUCAACUAUCAUGUGUUAGCACGAGUGUGUUGGUCUGCUAGGUAAUAUUUGAUCAAUCAAAAUUUACCUGGGAUACAAUGACUCUAGGUAACGAAUAGAAGUGUCUCAACUCUAUUGAUACAUACAAGAGGAUUAAGCAAAGGAUAGGAGGAUCUUACUGCCUUAUCUCAUCCAAUCACGAGUACAAACAAGUGCCUCGAUUGUCUUGAUGCUUAACGUACUGUGGUGCUUGGGAAUCACUGGUCCGCUGCUGGUGAAUGCCGCUUCAGAUUGAACAGCAGAUGCUGGCAUAGCCAGGAUGUCCUGUGCGAUAGCAGCAAGCCUUGGGUACUUUGUGGUAUGGCACAUCCACCAGUUCAGAAUAUCGAAAUCAUCCUUCCUUGGAACUAACCCAUCCUCAAGGUAGUUGUCAAGUUCCGUAGAUUUUUGACUACUUGCUUGCUCAUUGAGGUGCUGAUCCCAAUCGUCCAAGGAGUCGUUAUCAUCUGCAUCAAAGGCUUCGCUUUUUGUAGCACCUCCGUUCGGCUGAUCCACAGAAUUGCAGUAUUCAUGGAAGAGUUCCUGGAGUGUUUGGCGUAUGGCAGAUAAGUAGCUCGCUGAUUUUAAUCCAAAAGCUCGUUUCAGACGGAACUCAAUGAAACUGAUUUUGAAUCUAGGAUCUAGAAUAACAGGUAAACAUAACCACAAGUACGAAUUUUGCCAAUACCGAUUGAACAUUUCCUGCAUCUCCGUAACCAUUGUAGCAAUUUCUCCAUGCUCAUUUGAUGCUUCCUCUUGCAAAACUGUUCUCACUUUCCAUAUCUCAUUGAAGUACAUAUUUGCUGUUGGACAAUUAGGACUAGAAAUAACUUCAAUAACACGAUAAAACGUCCUCAAAAUCUUGCAAAUAGACUCAGCAACUCCGAUAUCUUCUGGAGACGCCACUUCUUCAGAAGGAAAUGAUUUCUUGAAAUGCAAAAGAACUUCAAGCCUAAAAUAAAAUUUGUGCCACCACUUGGCAUCUUCCUGUGGGCACUUCAAACUCAUCUGCGAAAUGACUUCCACAAGCUGGUGUUGUUUCGAUGAUGAAGAUGUAUGUACCCCAAAAAACUCAGUUACCAUGUCACUGACGAGGUGAAUGAUAUUUUGUUGCACUUCAGAAACAAUAUUGUUAAGGAAAUCAUCCACACAAGCAAUAUCGUAUAUCUUGCCUCUGAUAGGAAGGCACUUCUUCUCUACAAGUGUUUCCUUUAACUUUGAGGUGCUUGUAUCAUCCCUAACCUCGCCAACAUAAGUCAAGCUCAAAAGCUUCUGAUCAAGAUUCCAAUCUCUAAUAGCAUCCCAUAUGACGUUGUAUGCUCCACUUUCAGACUCUGGGACACAGGCUUCCUUACAAUGUAUCAUCCUUUCCACAUUGGCAGGUGAGGACUGAAACAUGCCAAAUUUGAUUACCAUUCUGUUAACUUUCCAGUCUUUAUCAAUAAAAUGUGCUGUCAGACAAAGGUAAUUUACUGCUGGCUCAGCUCCAUCAGGAGUCCAGAUGCUUGCUGAAAGAGAGACACGCCGGGAGGAAAGGGCCAGUUUAUUUUUAAGGUUUGCCUUUUCCUUCUGAAAUAAAGCGCAGCAAUGUCCUUCCAUAUCAUUAUGAGAGACUGCGUUAACCAUAGGGUUGAGGUUCUUUACAAAUCUUCUCAUUUCUUCAUGCUCUACAAUUGAUAAAGGAUAACCGUGCAAAGCUAUCAUUCUGGCUAGCUCUUGAUAAGCAGUUUCCUGAUCAACCUUCCUUGUGCCUAUGUCAGUAGUUGUAGUCAUAAAUGAGGUCCUCUGUUUCUUCAGGCUUGGAAAAUCUGCCGUUGGCAGAGGUUGAUGUGCUGGAACCACUUGAAUGGGCCGGACUAUAGGUGAAUUGUCACCAGAGCUACCAGACCUGAGGAGCUUGCUGUUGUAUUCUGCAGUCUGAAUCUUCCCAUUUGUCAAGGAAGGAGAGAGCUCAUCUUGCCCCCUGGACUUCAAACUAGGUAAACUAGAAGGGUAAAACACACCCUUCUGACUCCGUGCUUGACAGGUCUGAAGAUGCCGACUAAGAUGGCUUCUUCCCCCAUACUUAUUUGCACUGAGGCGCUUGUGACAAUGCACGCAGUCUGCAGCCUGGAGCUUCCCCUCAACAUAGAUAGGUGAGAACUCUUUCCACACCUUCGACUUGAAUCUGCCAGGAAUCACUGAGUUUAUGUCAUCAAGUGUCUCUGAAAUAAUCUGAUUUACUGGAUCACCUGGUGUAACCGGUUCAUUCUCAUUCACCAAAACUGCAUAUAAUAUAGAUAGGUUACAUACAUGCCGUGAGCAAAAUCACCUUUAUGAAAAAGAAAUAUCUACGCAAUUAGAUCCUAAUCUACACAAUGCUAACUUAAACCAGCAGAAUACUAAUAGACUCAAGUCGCACAAGAGAACAUCAGAAGUCAUCUAGAAUCUAACGCACAAAGGGAAAUUGAAGUAUACCACAUGGGAAGUAGGAAUCCUUCAGCCGCCGCCGCACCACAUCCUCCUUGCCUGGGCAGAUCUUCUGAUGCCGCCACAGAUGGCUGGUCCCAUUGGAAUCCUUGCAGCUCAUUCGGCUGCGGCAGUACAGGCACUCUGCGAACUGAACCUUCCCAUUCAGGAAGAUUGGCUUGUACUCCUCCCACACCUUGGACCUCUUCUUGUGCUUGAACCUGAACGUACUGUGACUGUGCACCCCGCCGAAUGCCCCUUCCACUCUCAUGCUGGCAUCCUCCUCCUCCUCCUCCUCCUCCCCCUCCUCCUCACGCACUUCGGGAUGCUCCACAGCUUGCUGGAUUAUAGGGUGCUCCAUAGCUGCCACACAGCGCAACACCAAAGUAUCAGACAAGUGGAUGCAAUCACCAGCAUGCUGCUAGCUACAGAAUGGACAGAGCAGAGCAUACAUCUCCAACAAAACACACUAAACCACUAGACGAUUAGCAAGAUCUGCAUACGCAUAGUACUCCGCCAUAAUCACCAAAACUAACGGAUCGCGUCACAAGCAGCACACGGGAAGUCCAAAUCGUGCAAACACACGCGCAUACAGGCUGCUAAAUCAAGAAAUUUUCUGGGAAAAUCAGGCGAAAUCGAGGCGGAGGGGUCACCUGGAGAUGGAGAACCUUGGGGGCGCCAGAGCCUCACUGGGAGGGGAUCGAGACUCCGGUGGGCACGGUUAGGGCAUCGAGCUGGAUCUGCGGGCGGGGCGGCGGGCGGGCGGGGCGGGUAAGGGUAACCCAUUCCUUGCCUUGGGUCGGGUAAUGGGCCAACUCCAAUGGAUGGGCUUAUAUGGGCUUACUCUUCUGUGGGGCUUCAGCCUGUUUUUUUUUUUUUUUCCCUUUUUCGACACGGGCUUCAGCCUGGUUGGCUUGUGCUGAGCCGAUCGAUCUGUUUAACAUCACCUUCUCCUUUCGAUUUUAUUUUUGUUGUGUUUGGUUUUCUUUUUUGCGAUGCUCCUUCAGUUUCAUUUUACCGCUGUCAUUUGCCAAUAUACUCCUUCCACUCCAUUUGAUUCAUUUAACUUUAAACUGAUAAAAGAAAUCUUGGUGUCGACACUUGGAUGAAACUACAAAAAUUCGACAGUACAAACAAAACGCUAGUGCGCCAAAAGCUCUCUGCACAUUAUACAUAUAACGAUACAAAUCAUAAGUGCAGCACUCUUCCUAAUGACCCGUUUGAUCAUGAUGCAGUGCUACACAGCAUCCUUCCAGUUGCCUACAAAACUUUCUUCCAGCUGCCUAUCAACCCAUUAUUCCACCCCCCUUCUGCCUUUAUACACCCUCACCCCAAGGAACAUAUAUAAAUGUACACAAAAGAAUAACUGAAUCAGCCACCAGGAAGUGCAGCAUUGGCCACUUCCAAGAUUUGGACAGAACGACCUUGUGUACUGUACACAAAAACCCAUGUACAAACUCAGAUCAGAGUUCUCAACCGUGUCACCAACGAUUGCAUGCUCUCGAGCUUUUCGUUCAGUUGCCUGAUAUCCUCGGCGUGGUUCUGAUCUUCCGUGCUGCUUGCCUGGGAAAUCAGUGCCGCACAUUUAGCCUUGGAUUCAGAAAUUUCGACUUGCAAUGAAGAAAUGGUCGCUUCUAGUGUGUUUUUCGAUCCCAUAACAUCUGCAAUCGCUUGCAUAGUUGGAGUCCUAGGAGUGCCUAUACUGCCAAAACUGUUCUGCCUGCUCAGCCUCCUGGGGCUAAAUAUAUUGUCCAUGCCUCCACUUCCUGUAAUAGGACAUCGAAAGACAUUUGAAUCCUCUAGAUAUGGACACUUGCAAAGCUUUUUUUUUUCAAGUGAAAGAGAAUGAAAGAACAGAAACAAUAAACAUUACAAGAACCCUACAGCCACUAAGAACCAUGAAAAAGGAACUUGUCUUUCAUGAUGCAAACUUAGUAGAAACAUUUUAAUUUUGCAAUAUCAAGGAUAUUUUUUGGCAGGAGAAAGCAUGUCCUGUAAAUUUUCUAAUAACCUACGUUCUAAUAAGCUUGCAAAACUGUAUUAAACAUUUUAUUUUAUUUUUUCAAAUGGGCCUAGAAGGAACUAGAUAUUUUGCAAUUGCAUAUAGCUGCACAACCUCAAACCAAUAGUGAACAAUUAUCAAUUAUGACAAGUCAAAAGGUGCCAAAAAAUAACUUGUGGAGAGCUCCAUACCUAGGUUACGAAGCUGUUCUAUGGUGCCCUGUCCAAGAGAUUUGUCAAGCUUAAGGAGACGAAGAAUUCCAGCAGUGAUUCUCCCCAUCGCAUCAGCUUCAGAUCUGCAAAGCAUGGCGAGGUGCUCUAGUUCUUCUUUCGUUGCAACUGCCUCGAUCUGUGCUCUCAAAUGGAUAAAAUAGCUCAGGAAGCAUGUUUAAAUUUGCGACAGGUUUAGACAAGUAGCUGAAAUGUGUUCAUACCGGUUCUUUGACGGAAAACUUAACAUUAUCCAUUGUCCACUUGGCACCCUCAAUCUCAUCUUCGCCAAUGACCAUGGUAGCUUCAACAUCAACACCAUGGUCACCAACAGAACUUGCAUUAUUAAAUCCACUGCCCAUUUGAUGAUUGUUUGACGUUCCUUUUCCAGCAUGUUGAUCUCUCGGGCGAGGUUUUAUUGCCUGCAAACCUUCAAUUCCAGCCUGCAAGUACAGAGUAUCAAACAAUUGAACAGCUAAAGCCUAAAGGAGAUGCCAAACUGAAAUCCAAAGGCAUAACAGUCGUGUACCGUAAAGCGUUCCACAGGAAAUGCCCUUUUGGAUGACACUUUUCCUGCACCUCCCAAGUUAAGCCGGUCACUGCUCUUUCCGGAGACAUGUAAAUUCCUGAAGGUUGAAUGCCAACAUUUUUCUUCUCUACUGAUACGAUCAGCUCCACGAGUUGGAGUAAAACAAUCUCCUACUUCUUCCGUUCCUUCAAGUGCAAAUAGCCAAUUUCUAAGCUCAACUGACACAUCAAGAUCAUCUGGCACCCCGAGAUCAAAUUUUGAACUGUGAUCGUCAACUUUGGACCUUUCAUCUGUAAUUUUAGGGAAAGAAGAUAAAUUCAUGAAUCAUGAUUAAUGCACUAGCAAAGCAGAAAGCAACAAAUUGAGAAUUUGUACUGAAUCUGAAAUAAGGACUAAAGUAUUUUUCUUCAUACACUAUUUCUGUAACAGUCACUUGAACUUGAGCAUGUUACGGUUAAAAAAUGAAAUUCAUAUCUGGAUUGAGAUGCAAAGGAGACGAGUCAAUGGAUAGUGGAAAUAAACAAUGGUUAUCAAUCUGAAAACCAUAGAUUUUGUGAAUUUAAACACAAUCAUAAUGUGGAGAGAAGUCAAUAGCAGUUCAUUCUAAAAUAUGUGGUUAGAACAUAGAACUAUCAUGGGUACCCAAGGAAUGAUGGAUAUGCCUAUAUCAUAUAUCACACCUCAAAUCUCACAACUGAGCACAAACAAUCAAGACUCAGGCGUAAAUACAAAGUUUCCUUGAAGUAACGAAUUGAAUGGCACAGUUGCAAACACUUACUUUCCUCCUCGGUGAGGUGAGAGGAUUUGAAUAGUUUUGCAAGUGGGCCAGAAGAUAAAUCCUUUAAUCCCCUCAAGAGGCCUUCCCCUGGACCACCAUCAGGCCCCAGGAUUCCAAACCGAUGCAGUAAAGACUCGGUGUAACUCAUUCCACCUCCAAGACGAACACCAGAUACCUUAGCUGACACAUUCAAGCUAUGGCAUUCCAUAUCCCGCAUGUCAUAAGGCAUUACAUGAGUAAUAUUUACAUCAAUAAACUGAGCUUUUUUAUCUUGGUUUUUGCUCCGAUGAUCAACCCAAAAGACUGCUCUCAUCUUGGGAUGCCCAUUUUCAUGCACCUCAAUGUUGUGUUCUCCAGUCACUGCAAUGCCAUUCUCACAAAUCAUAGCACUCUCUCCCUCCAAACAGUUCACAUUGACAGUUCUCCACAAUAAGUUAGUUGUGACCGCAAAGGCACCACCUAGUGUGCGAUGAGAAACUUUCAGGAACAGAUCCUCUCCCCCAAAUUGAACCAAGGGCAUAUGUAUGUCAUGUGCUGACAAAGAUUCCAAGAAAUUGAGCUGGAGGUUGUUCAUAGUUAAGCUCACAGCCGUAUCACUUGGCAAUUUAUUCUCAAAUUUCUCAGCCGAGGAUUCGCUCACCCCAGACUUGUUACCUUUGCUGACUUUUGAAAUACUCUCUGCAACUUGACCAAAGUAAGUAUAGAAACCUAGGACGAAAAACAAUUGUUCAACUGAGGUAUUGGACGUAAACUGUUGGAAAGCAACACCAAUCCUUACAACACCCUCGGGGGGUGGCACAUCCAACAAAGGACUACCAUCUGCGGUAACCAUAGCUGCCUCAAAUCGGAUGUCAUCUAGUUCAAUACAUUUCCACAAAUUUGCAGAGGAGUCCCUAGCUGCUCUCUGUCCAUUUGAAGCGCUAGAAGUUUCGAGCGAGAGGCUUAAAUGAGAAGCCCUAGUAGCCCACUUCAUCUGACUUGCAUCAACAGGUUGAUAUUCCCAGAGAAGGAAGCAAGCUGGGUCCCUAUCAAGGUUCAGCAAUGGACAUUUUGCUGAUGGUGACUGGCAGAAGUAUAGGUCUUCCACAUGAAGUCGUGCACCUGAAAAUGAUGAUUGUGGACACAUGUUCUUGGUUCCACUGCACCUUGUGAUUUCUUCAGAGUCUAAUGGAACAGAGAGAUCGAACUCUUUAAGAGAAAAUGACAGGCUGUUGAUUGAAGAAUCAGGCAAUACGGUACUGCGAUUGGGCAUAACUCCAUCAGCCAAGAAUGAGGCAAUCCUUAAGCAGGACUGCUCCUGGAGGGUCACCUAAGAAUGAAGAAGCACAAGCAAUAUUUAAAUAAGCAGAAAACACUAAAAGAACAACCUUCACUGCAUAUAUGAAGGAGACAUACCGUAAGAGGCUGGCAUGUGAUCACAGUUUUUGAAGCAAACUUUGGAGGUGAUGGGGAAGGAGUGAUCUGGAGACAAUAGAGAGAAAACAAAGGAACCCCAGCAGCAAAUUCUAAUAGUUGAUUCCCAAAUGGAUAGAUUGGAGGGCAAAAAUUUUGGCCUGAUAAAUCAAACAUUGAGAUCAGACUCAACAAUGUUCAAGGAUAUCUAAUAUGUUACAAGAAUUAGAAAUAGUUAAGUCACCAAAGUCAGGCACAGGCAGAGGCUCUUGUGAAACUGCUUGCAUAGAUGGCUGUAUCAAUGUGCAUGGAGGGCGAGAAAAGGUGUCUCUGCAGCAACAUAUCCAUACAUUAGGGCCAGUAAUGGUUUUUCAAUAGCUUCUAGAACUCAGCUACAUCACAAAUUCCUGUACUUUAAUUCAAAGUCAAAUUUUAAAGUACCCUAUUUUCGAUAUUGUAUGCAACUUGAGUAACCUAUAAGUAAUAAGUAAUAUAAUAAUAUAUAUGGUGGUUUUAUGCCAUCAGAUGCUUUUGACAUGAACAGACUCAUUAUCCUGUAUUCAGCAUUGCAUGUGUCUUGUUUUAUCUCCCAUUGGUAGUGCAUAAUCCAAAAGAGAUUUGUUCAGUGCCAUUUGAUAGUUUAGACAUGAAGCGUGACAAUGCUCUCAAUUUUAGCACAGUUAAGUGAAUGGCUACAAACAUCAGGACUUGAGCCGUCACUAGAAACAAGGACAGACAUAGUACCUCAGAAACAGCCCGCCGACCUUUAUGCAAGACAAGUUCUUCGAACACUCCCCAUCUGAAAUGCUCGCCUUUAAGAUAAAUAAAAACUCAAUUUAAAUCCUCUAAGAGGUCAAACAUCUAAAUCAAUCAUAUCAUCAGCAGACUCCACCAGUGACCAAAUCAUACUACAAAAUAACAAUGGCAAUCAGGGGAAAUUACCCGUGAGAAGAACAAAGACUGCAUCAGAAGUUCAAGUUGAAACUCUGUUCAUACAAAUGAUUUGACAAACAGGUCACUAUAGCAGGACUAAAAGUAACAUAUUUAAAGUUAUUUGGCACUACUACUAACCAGUAUCUUUAAUGCAGAGGAAUAUGUGAUCUACAAUAAUGGACACCAAGGAAGAUCCUGCUGCUUCUGCAAGCUGGUCGAGAAAUAGUAAAAGGAAAGGGAAUAAGAAUACAAAUGAAACUGUAUACACCUUACUGCAUGCACCACAAUAACGAAAGUACAUGGAAGAAAAGGUAAACCUGCUGAGCUUUUGGAUCCACGUCUCCCCUGUUUAGGCAAACAGAGACCCCAGUCAUGAACCGAAGAAAGGCCCGUAAACCUGUCAAAAAUAUUUUUUAGAAGUUUAAAUUAUGCAAAACAGAAAUUGAAGUACUAAACAGAGUGGUCAAGCUUCACGGACAGGAACUGAUUACCAGGUUCACUUAACGCAGGACAGACAGCUUCAGUAAUAUGCAGCUGAAGCUCAAGCCCAAGUGGAUUAUUUUGUUCUGUCCGUUGGACCGUGAUCUAACAUUCAAAUCAACGUGUAAGCUAAGCAGCCCGGAAAAGGGAAGUUCAACACAAAAGAACAAAUUAAUGAGUUUUACACAACUCAAAGCACUCACAUUAGCCUCCCCUGAUAUUCCUUCCAAAAAUCUUUCACCACCAAAGAACAUUCGUUUUGCACCAUCGUCGUCUCGUUUGUUAUCUUGACUGCUAGAAGAGUUAAAUCUUGCAUCGGUGAACAUAUCAGGAUGAGGUAACAGAUCAACUGACAGUGAUUGCCACUCCAGUUUCUGUGAAUUUUAAGAAAAUAUAUGAGAUCAGAGAUCCUUUAUGACUUUGAAAGUGUUAUUAGUUUGCAAUAGAUCAGGAAGCAGUAAAAGGCAGGCAAUAAUUUUCUGGAAGCAAGUAGGGAGCAUCAAACCUUGAAAACAUAAAUGAAUCCUUUGUUGUUGGAGAAAUCCCUUGCUUCUUUCAAGUUUACUACCUAUAAACAUGGCACUGAAAUCAGGCAAUGCCAUAAUACCAUUUAUUAAGUUAAUUAUAAUUUAAAAUCAGAAUGAGUACCUGCCAUUUUUCAUUUGUUGUGUACAGCACAAGAUCACGAAAUGUGAUAGCUGCAAGGGGCGGUGACCUGAUAGUUAGAAGAGAUUAGUGUUCCUGUUUCCAGAAAAAAAUUUGCAGCGAAGUCUACUUGGUGGAAAAAUAAGAUAAACAGACAAGAAUUGAGUAUGCAAAGGACUCGUGGUAAAUAAAACUCCAAAGCCGCUCAAAUAUAAGUAAAUACCAUGUCGCAUCUCCUCGACGGCGAGCCCCUCCAUGUGUUUCCAGUAGCAGGUUCACAAUACCUACUUGUACUGUCAUUCCAUCUGCAAUCUAAGCCCAAUAUAGAAGAUUAAAUCCCAUUCCAAGUUCAGUUCUUGCAAGUUUAUAUUGCUUCAAAAAAGUUAGCUAUAGUCUAAAACAGGGUAGCAGUAUAAUAAAAUGGCAGAAAAUAAGAGAAGAGGAAAUAUAAGAUCUCAGAGAAAAUGGAUAAGUUUAAUGUCAGUUAUCAUGGAACUGGCGUUCCAGUUCUCACAGAGCAAACAUCAGAAUAUUGAUGAUUUUACAGCAUAAACUUUUGGAAUGUGCACACGCGCUAAACAUCAAGUGCAAGAAAACAUACCUUAUCAGCAUAACCAUAUCCGCUGCUUUUAGUUGCUGAUGGAGAUGACGCAGUGCUAAAAGGGGUGGAAAUAACAGAAACUACAGUUACUGAAUUGUCACACAAUGGCACUAAAUCGCAACAUAUAGAAAUGAAAUUACCUGCUAGGGCUGAGAUUUUCAGAAUCAUCCUUCUCUACAAGCACGAGAUCAAGCUUGUCAAUGUUCACCACAAUUGGCUCCACUUGUACAUUUGAUACAGAUGGUAACUGCAGUGACAAACGCAAGAAUUCCGUUACCAAAGCAAAAAAAAAAAAAAUGCAAGUUUAUUAUCCAUACUAUGAGGCUAUCGCUAACUGCAAGCUCAGGCUUGACUGCUGUAUUAGCGCUAGUGUCCAAAUCUAGCCAAGAUGACCCCCUGGACACUAUUUGUAUAACAUCUGGACUACAAAAUCACCAGACCCUCUCCGUUCCAACUGUAGAUUCCAUAAUUCCGACAAAAUGUCAAAAAUUAACAGAAGCGAAGCAAAUUUAACACAAAUGCCGAGCUAAAUACAAAGAAUAACUUCAUGAAAUCAUCAUUCUAACACAAGCACGAACAUACGACUCUAAUUUUCUCCACCACGAAGAUUAUCUAUCGCAACAACAAGCAAAGUCACAACUGCACCACGCACAAUUGCUGUUUUGUACUGCCCACGAGCACAACUAGAGUGAAUAACAAAAUUCAGGCGAAUAUAUCGAACUUCGGUGAGUUGGCGGCAGCAUGGACAAACAUCUACCAACAAUGCGGCCCAUAAGCCCCCGAGGGAAAAUAGUAAGGCAGCUGAAAAUAUACGAAGUUGCGAGUGGAAGGUAGCGGCAUCUUACCGUGAUCUCGAGCUUCCCGACACGCGCGGUUUCGACGGCGAGCGCCGGAGGCAGACCCAGGCUCGCGUGCAGCGCAUCGCCAUUGAUAUCUGGGACCCCGCCAAAUCACACCCGAAACCAAAAACUCAGCACCGGAAUCACAAAACCCAAUGAAAUCGGCACCCGGGGUGAAGACUUUAGAAGAGACAAGAGAUCCUACCGAGGUUGGAGAGCUGCGCGGUGCGGCCCUGGAGCUUGAACUGGUCGCGGGAGAAGGACUUGAGCCAGUACUUGAGCGUGUACUCCAGCGCCCGCGCUAUGAUCGACUCCAUCUUCCCCACCUCCCAGAGCGCCUCGGACGUCUCUACCGGGGCGGCGCGGCGGCGGUACGGUUUGCCCGGUGUCGGUGGUGGCGCGCCGCCGGAUCGGAGGUGAGAGAUUCCGGCGAGAUGGAGAAAGAGAGGGGGGAGGGAGGAGGUGGAGGGGUGGAAGGAUGUGAGAAGAGAUGGUGGGCCCUUUUAGGUCUGAGACUGAGACUCCUUUUGGUUUAAGCUUUUUCUCUUUUUUUUCCUUUUUUUAUUUCCUUCUUGGUGCAAGAGUGUCACUGGGACAUUUGUAUCGAUUUGAUCCUUUACUUGGGGAUCUAUUUUGGGUAUAGGCUAAGGUUGGUAUUGUGUACUUGGGGAUCAACUCUUUUCUGAGUGUGUUUGAUUUGUAGUUCAGUUAGAUUUCUUUUACAUUGCUGGCUAUACAUUUUUUUAAGGAAACAUGAGUAAUUGAAUCAAGAAGCAGAAGAAGUAUUUGGAUAAAACUCUUUGGAGUAAAUAAUUUGGAUGGCAAUUAAAUUAAACCGUGUGGGUGAUUAAACUUGGAAAGGGAUUUUUUUUUUUGGAGAAUUAGUAGCUACUUUUUUAUGGUAAGAAUUAGCUACCAGUAGUAUAAUGAACUGACGAAAUGAGCAAAGGCAGAGAAGAUUCACUCGACCGACAGAGACACCUCGGCCUCAAGAUCUUACUGUUCCUACCCGUACCUUUUUGACAAACCACUUUCCCCCACAUGAUUCAUUUUAAAAUCCCAUCAACCUCAAGUCCUCAACCCUGUUCGGCAAAAGCGGUUUGGGUGACCAUGUUACUGCUAGCUACAGAACAAAUCUAACCAGCAGCGAAAAAGUUACUGGAACCUUCAAAUUAAAGUAAGUUAAUUCCCAAGCAAUUACAAGCUGGAACCAUGCGCGCAUCAGUCUGUCAGUCGUCGCUGGCUCCGCACGAAGCUUCAGCUCGCGGCAAAGCUGAAUCGAUCAGCCUCGGAAUCGGAACCCCCGCGAGGGGAGCCCGGAUCUCCUGCUCGGCCAUCAAGGACGAAACGAAACCGAGUACGAGGGCUGGUUAGGUUAAUCACUUGGAUUAUCUAUCGUUGUUACUGCUACUGCUGCUGGUUGAUGCGACGCCGACGGUGGGCAGGCAGAUCUGGACGUUUGUUCCCAGUGGGAACCCAUGCAGGCAGCCAUGGGUUGGAUGGGACCAAGAACUGCGGCCUGCAGCACGUGAGAUGGAUGGAUCGCGCAAAAGUUUAUUCCCCCUCGCUCAACUCUUCAGACUGGGUGAUAAUCAUCUUGUGCUGAUUGCUAAGCAAACAGUGGAGCCCGUGGUUGCCUGCAUGUUCAGCUCGGGAAGUUCGAGUGGAAACACUACUGUCGAUGGUUUGGAUGGUUUUUAUGAGUGUGCAAGGACAAGGACCAGCUGGUUGUUGGUACUAGGACACUCUACAAUCCUUCCAGGGUAGAUUGGAAAUAGUCUUAUGAAUGUCGACUUGUCUGGGUUCAUUCAUGCAAACGACCCAGAAACGUUUUGAUUUCUGUCUGAACCAUCGUCAUCAUCAGGAAUCACAUUCACAACACAAGUCAUUUCAUCAGCCGAUCGGACCAGGACGAUUUCAGAGCAGCUUUCAGCAGGUGCCUGCAACCACACACACAAAAGGAAACGGCUGUCUGCCGGAGCCCGGGGAGAAUUGUGAAGCUUCUGGCAGGUGGCUUUCAGGCAGCAGCGGCCAGCGGUGGUGGUCUGGUACUCUGCUGGGUUACGGUAGUCAGAGGCCGGAAACUACCGGUGCCCGGGCAGGCAGGACGACGUGCGGGCGGCAUUCCCCCACCCCACUUGAUCUUUUUUCUGGAGUCCUUGGUACACAAAGUGGAGUGGCAUCCCAGGUUGACAUGCCCGUUCAACUCCAUGGUUCGCUGCCGUGUGCUGCUGGCUGUUGCUGGUGAGAAAGCGAUCCCCUCGCUUUGAACUCGAGGUGGCCGGCCGUGCGUGGGAAGGUGGCUCCAAGCCUCAACUACUGCCACAAGCUCCGGUCGCGGAUGAACUCUGACAACCAAUUCGGCUCUACUGUUUGUUGGUACGAUCCUCAGACCUCGUCUCACCUCAACUUCCUGAACUCCUUCCUGCUGAAUGGAGCAGAAAGCAGAAAAAAAAAAGAGGAAAGGAACGAAUAAGGGCCUAACCAGCAGGCUUCGGGCUCAAAUGAAAUUGGGCUAUGACGGAAAGCCCAGGAACACGCAACACUACCACGAGAUCGAAUUGAGCCCAAUCAUUUAAGAUUCGCGCUUUUGCAAUGAUCCGCCGACAAAAUCGAACGAGGAGGAUGGAUGAUGGAUGAUGAAGCACGAACAAAUUCCUUUUCCUCCGACCGAGAUGUCAGCAUCGGAGAUCGAGAGAAGGAAAGGCUCACGACCGUAAUACCCUAUCCGUUUCUGGUCGAUCGCCCAACGAGAGAAAGCUCCACCAGUCGAAGUCCAUCGCAUCCGACGGCCGCGGCCCCACCACGUGUCCAUCCCAGCCGUCCAUGCCCACGUUAAACAAGCGCCAAGCGGAGGCGCCGAGCCAAGCCGCCCCCCAGGCCAGGCCCCCACACGACUGAGUUCUUCUGCAUUCCUCCCUCCGGCAGCCGAGAAUUAAUGACGGCCGUGGCGCUGCCCACGGGCGCCGCGGCGGCGAACGGCGACCGCUCCCCGUCCUCCUCCCCGCCGCCGGAGCUGGCCAUGUUGGCGCGCGCCGUGCAGCGGCUCGUGGCGCGGAACGACGCGGUGGCGGCGCCGGACGGCCGCGGGGGCGGAGGAGGAGGGCUGAGGGCGUUCGAGGCGGCCAGGGGCGCGCCGGCGCCGCGCAUCGGCGUCGCCGAGUACCUGGAGCGCGUGCACCGCUACGCGGGGCUCGACCCCGAGUGCUACGUCGUCGCGUACGCCUACGUCGACAUGGCCGCGCACCGCCGCCCCGCCGCCGCCGUCGCGUCCAGGAACGUCCACCGCCUCCUCCUCGCCUGCCUCCUCGUCGCCUCCAAGGUCCUUGACGACUUGUAAGUCCCUCCGUUCAUUUCCAUUCCGAUGAUUCCAUACACAAAAAGACCUUCAUACUACCUAUAUACGGAUUUCGCGGGAAACUUCAGAAUCAUGCUACGAAGAACACAAAAAAUUCUGCAUCAUUUUAAUUCCGUCCGUACACUUCACUUUUCGGUGAUCUUACUGCUGCAACAAACGAAUUCCAAUAUCGAUCACGACCACAUUUAAUCGACGAUUACACACCGCAAAAAUAAAGGAUAAUAUUUCGAGAUUAAAUUGAGACUUCUCCUGAGCCAGGAAAAGAAAGUACCCGGAUUUUUCUAUGUACCCGAUUAGUUCUUGUCACACUAAUUUCGUGGCUGAUGUACUCUGACAACGACAUCAGACAAACAUGUCGUCAAAUAUUCGCAGAGCAUGAUAGCUGCUCUCCAGACAUAAAAGUUCAGAGUAUUACUGUCACAUACUGAUACUGUAUAUGCAAAGCAUCCAUCCAUGAGACAUCAAACUUUGUACUGAUCUGUGCCGUGGUUUUCUCGCCCCGCGCGCAGCCACCACAGCAACGCCUUCUUCGCGCGCGUGGGCGGCGUGAGCAACGCGGAGAUGAACAAGCUAGAGCUGGAGCUCCUCGACGUGCUCGACUUCGCCGUCGCCGUCGACCACCGCGCCUACGGCAGGUACCGCGAGCACCUGGAGAAGGAGAUGCGCAGGGACCACCACGGCCUGCCCAAGCCCGCCAUCAAGCCCCUGCCGCCGCUGGCGGAGGAGCAGCCGGCGGAAAGCGCCGACGGCGACGACCACGACCGGAAGCCGCUGCCGAACGGCGGCGUGCCGCCGGCGAGCACGGCGUCACUCCGGGAGCUGUGGGCCUUCGAGGCUUCGAUUACUAGAUAGCAGUAGCAGGUAGUAGCAACAAUGUGGGCAAGCUGCAGAGUUGUUUGCCGAUGUGCCAUACAUGUACGGAUCCUGAAUUGCAGGUGAUCGGAUGGAACGGUGCGAAGAUCACGCGUGAUCAUUUGAUGAAUUACAUGUGUUCAUCGAAACUAACAGUCGUGUUACGUCACUUCGCUGCUGAUGUUCUCCAUGGGGCGAGCAAUCAGCAGUGAGCUCGAUUCGAUCGCGGCGUCUCACCGGCACGGCAGAUUGGUAACCAAGCCAGCCAACGCUCGUCGAGAAGAGUACUGGUAGUAAAGACUCUGGGUUAGGUAAGUUGGUUGGAAGUUGUGGCGCCAAACUCUGGCCAAGCAAGUCAUGCGCUCUGCAUGCUGCAUUGCGCCGGUCCAAGGCUGACGCAUGCUCGGACGCCGCGAGAAAUGCACGGAGUGUUCCUCGUCGGGGUAUCGGAAAGCUGACGCAGAAGAGGUCGAAUACGCCGAACUGAACCGGCGCCGAAAGAGGGCAGGAAAGGGGCGGAGGCGUGACGAGCACAGACGACAGUGCUGAUUCCAGUGGGCUCCGGAAAAUGGCGAAACGGCUGGCGUUGCCUUUCCAUUCCAUUUUGGCGUGGACGGCAUCGAGGACAUAUUGCACCGACGCCCUCCGGGAUUGGGCUUAUUUGAUCUGGGUUUAUUGUUGCUUGGGGACGGGGUCUCCACUCCAGGGGUGAAUAACAACAGUAAUUAGAAAGUAGUAAUAUAGUUAGAUACAUUCUUGUAACAGCAGUAAUAUAGUUAAAUACAUUCUUUUGGGUCUUUAUAUACUGAAAUGUACCAUAUUAUAGGCUAGUAUUGAUUUCAGUAUGGUGUCGAAUGGCACAAAUAGAAGGUAGAUUAGCAUUGAUCCCAAACUGUAAAAAUGUUAUAAAAAUAUUAUUUAAUUCUAAAUAUAAACAGAUCAUUGGCUCAUCUGCACGAUCCUUAGUUAAGAAAUCUAGACCGUCGAUCUCUCCCUUCACUUGUAUAUAAGCGCAGCACCCCUCGAACCCUAACAUAGGCCCCUCUCUCGACCCCUACCUCCUCCGCCGCCACUCCACUUACCGGUACCACACACUACUUUCUAUUUGGCUCGGUGACGAUCCCUUCCCAUCUACUCUACCUCUUACCUCUUAGUCACCGACUCACCGUCCUUCUUUCUUGUUCCCGGUGCACCAUCCAUCGACAUCGUCAAUCAUUCUUCUCCAUCGAUCCCACAGAUGCUAGGUACUUGUAUAGUCAUGCCUCUUGACCUUUCCUCCCUUUGGGGCUUGAGUUUUGAUGAAUUCAAAUCCUCAACAGCUGAACAGAUCUACAUAUAGCCAUUAACGCAAAGGAGUAAAGGGAGGGCUUUAAGUUUGGUUGAAGCGCAUAUCUUUCCCAAUCUGAGGUGAGUAAAUACACCUAAGACUUAUGAUUAUUCUUAAUUUUUUGUGAUUUAUAAGUCCAAAAUUAGUAUUCAUGUUGUCGCCACUAAGUUAGUUGUAAAGAAUCAUGUACGGAUGGAUUUUGUUAAUGCAAUGGAUUUGGUGUAUAGGUGCUUUGUGUAUUAUCAUCACGGACUAUAUCAGGGAGAGGCUCGAGCCUCCCUUCCCUCGCAGAUCCUUGAGCCCCUCUUCUUUUUCUUAGUUUUUUAUUAGUAGGAUCCAUGGACAAGAGAAAAGUAGAUGUCAAAGAAGCACCUUUUUCCUUAGUCGAUUACGUACUGUGCGCGACACUAGCUAUUGCAUUCCACUAAAUUCAUUGUAUGUUUUUAUCUUAUGCUGUUACCAUUAUCCUAGCGAGUCUUUAGCCUUUCAAUUACGAUAUCCUAGUUUUAACUUGCACAUCGCGUGAUAAUUGUUAUGAUGGACAAGUCUUAAGUAGGUAUAGUGAUGUGCAGCUGCUCAUCAUCCAAAUUACUAUUCUAGCCUUCAAAAUUCCCUCAUUAUUAUAAUUGUUACUAAUUGCACAAUAUGAAUAUUUAUGAAUUAUCUAUAGGCACAACUUGCUAACAAAGUACAGAACAUAGAGCCUCUAAUGUUUUUUCCUUUUCUAUUUUCAUUUAUGAUCCUGUCAAAUUAACCACUGGCAUGUUUAUGAUGUAUUACUUGAGCCAUUGCUACAUGAAUCACUGAAUUUCUUUGUGCUCAUGCUUUAGAAACUUCGUUCGCUAAACAAUCCUUGCCAAGAAAAACGUUCUAGUGCAAUUCCUAGAACAGCUGCGCAUAGAGCAAGGGCGACAGCCAGCUUUUCACCUGACAAAUUACGGCGAUAGUAAAUCCCAAAAGCAUAGUCCUACCAAAAUACCAAAUUAAACCACAAAUAGGCUCAAACCACCAGGGACCCAAAAAAACACCAGGGACCCUUGAAAAUAAUCACAAUCCUGAGGGCCUCGACUGCAAAUUGCGCGCCUCCUCCUUCCUGACAAAACCAACGCAAAGCACACAGCUCCCUCCUCUCUCGUCUUCUUCCCCGUCGUGGUCCGACAUCUCGCGCCCCACCCCCUCGUACAAUACCCGAAAUUACACUGCCCCCCUCCCCUCUCGCCGGUGCGCGCGCCGUUAGGGUUUCCGCUGCCGCUCCCCGCCCACCCCGUUCUCCUCUCGUCAGCGGCGAUGGCGUCGGCGUCGGCCCCGGCCCCGGCGGCGGGGGCAGGCGCUGGGGGCGGGAAGGACGACGAGCUCGCCGAUCUGGUGCGGCGCCUCGUGGACGCCCUCGCGCGCUACGCUGAUCGCCUCCCCUUCGACCUCGAUCGCCAGGUUCGCGCUCGGAUCUGUGAUCCCCGUGCGCUGAUGCUUUUUUGACCGGUCCAUGCUUCGUUGUGGGGGAUUUGUGGGGUCCGGGCGCCCAAAGACUGCUUCUUGUUUGGGAAAAGUCAGGCUUUUACUACUACUGUCUAGGUUCGGUGUUGCGCUAUUCUCUCAUCGAAUUGUAGGUUCCCAAGCAUCGAUUUGGUAAUGCCUUUUUAGCUCUUGUGAAUGCUUGGGGUCCACCUGUAUGCAUUGCUGGGCACAUAGCUGUUGAUUUCAGGUGUUCACCGCAAAAAAAUCCUACCCGCCCCCCUUGUGGAGAAAUGCGAUCGAUUUUGGCAUAAGGUUAGGUGAUUGUUGUGGCCCCUGUGAUAUUGAUGUGUCUUUUGGUUUCAGUUUGUUUUAAAAUUACUGCAAAAUGGACCCCAAUUUUCAUGUGAACCACUUUCGGAAGCCAAAGAUCUCUUCAAGAAAAUGAACAGUUUUCAGUUGUUUUGUUCGUGUGGUGUCCAGAAAUGUUCUACCUUUGUGAUCAAUCAUUGAAUGAGAUGAGAAUUGUUUAAUGCCACAGUUUUGUUUCAUCUUCUCUUAGUGCAAUGUAUUAUUUAAGUACUAUCAAGUUAGUUUUCCAUAUAUUCUGUACUUUCUGUAAUGUGUUGUUUGCUCCUAGACUUGAGCAACAAUGGGUGUAAAAACAGUUUGUGUAAAACGCCAAGGUCUUUGGCAUAGCAACAGUUUAAACAUUGAUACGAUGCGAAGUUUUGAAUUGCACAGUUCAUGCACCUGAAGUGUUUUGCAUGGUUGGUUUGGUUGGCAGCAAUGUAGUGUCCCUAGCAGUGUAUAAUCAAAUAACAUGCUGGUAUGGAUUCCCUGGACAAUUAAAAUUAAAGCAUUGUACCAGAUACAUCUUUUUUUUUAAAAAAAAUCUGUCAUCUGGGAUGAUCUUUGGUUGAUGCCAACUUGUAUUACUUUGUCGGAACAAAACACAUAGAAGUUUUUUGUAGGUCUGCAUGAACAAAUUAACCACUGGCAUGUUUAUGAUGUAUUGUUUGAGCCAUUGCUGCAUGAAUCACUGAAUUUCUUUGUGUUUAUGCUUUAGAAACUUCGUUCGCUUACUACACUUGCUGCAAUCUCGGUCACACUUCUGUUUGCCUGGAAAAUGUUGAGAGCUCCUCAAGAGCAACCUCGGAGGCCUCGUAGGAGGGCUGCCCCUUCAUCUAGCAACACCAGCAGUAGAUUGCGACCAGGUGCUUUAGCCGCAACAGAUGCUUGUUCAUCAGCAGAUUCAAGAGCACAUGAAGCAGUCAAUCAGCUUUUCCAGCCAGUAAAUGUAUUGCUUGUUUUCAUUUAUUGAAUACUGAAAUGCUGCAGCUGUUUUUCCUAGAACCCUUUGGUUUGAUAGUUGCUCGUUUCUUCUGCAGUUGACUCUUGAGCAGCUUGUCAGGCAUAAGCUGAGCGAAGGAAGAAGGGUACUCUGCUAUAACUUCUUUCUCGCUAGAUUUAUCAGAUUUGUAAAGUAGUGUUAUACUGACAGAUGCUUUCCAUUUUUAGGUCACAUGCCGCUUACUUGGUGUGAUUUUGGAGGAAACAACUCCAGAGGAGCUUCAGGUGGGCUGUAACAAUGCUGCAUUGCUGCCAAAAGAAACUUCAGUUUGUACUAGUUAACUAAUGGAAUUAUGUAUCUUCUUGCAGAACCAUGUCACAGUGAGGCCUUCUGUUAUGGAGGUUCUUCUAGAAAUUGCAAAAUUCUGUGAUGUCUAUUUGAUGGAGCGCGUUCUUGAUGAUGAAAGUGAGGUAAGUACUAAGUAGCAACAAGUUUUUGUUGAUGAGUGCACAUGAAUCAAUAGCACUUUGGUUUACAAUUUUGGAUUUCAUAGUGUUUACAUUACCAUCUACAUGGACCACCCAUUGUCAAAUUUAGAAUUUGAAUGAUGUCUGCAGGAAAAGGUUUUAUCUGCCCUGAGCGAAGCUGGACUUUUUGCUAAUGGUGCCUUGAUAAAUGACAAGGUAUUUUGCAAGAUGAUGCCAGUCUGCAAAAGAGGACUGAUUUUAAUUCUAGUUCUGGUUGUAGCCAUCUUUUAUCUGCCAUGUAUCUAAAAAUCAUUAUUGAAAUCUGUAGGUUCUCUUCUGUAGUACAGAGAACGGCCGUACAUCUUUUGUUCGGCAACUCGAGCCUGAUUGGCACAUUGACACAAGUCCGGAAAUUGUUCACCAAUUAGCUGUAAGUACUCGUAGUUACAAGGACAUAUUUCUGACACAUUCUUGGAGUAGUUUUUAAAUUUGCUAUUUGAAAUAUUUUUCUAAUUUGCCAUUUCUUUUUCCUGCAGAGGUUUAUCAAAUAUCAACUGCACAUUUCGCCGCAGCAACCAGAAAGAAUAGCAUCCAACGUUUUCAGCUCCCCGAGCUUGGAGCAGUAUUUUGGAGGCUUGGAUCAGAGAUGAUUAGAGGUAUUAAUCUCUUAUACUUAGCAUAGACUUCCAAACAAUAAGACAACAUGAGACAUGAUCCUAGCAGACAUGCCCUAAUGCCUAUUCUUUACCUGCAGAUCAAACUCAAUCCAACAAAGCCGUGGUUUAGUGAGAACUGAGAACAUCAUUGUUCAUUUUUUUUUCUUCUCGCUUGAAUGGUGGAACUAGAUUUUCUUGUAUCAUGUGUAAAAGCCUUGUGGCAUGUACUAGUAACCCCUCUGUAAUGUGCCCCAUAAGGCAUGAGCUAUGCAAGGAGACGAUGCCCCGUAAGGCAUGAGCUAUGCAAGGAGAUAGCAUCUGUAGUUGCAUACUUGAUGUAUGAGUUGUGUUCAUGUAUAAGUAUAACCAAAACAAUUGUAAUUGUCAACCUGCUCCUCCCGCCAUUCGUUCUUUGUUCCAUGAGGCUGUUAUCUACAGUAAUCAGUUUGACGAAAAGGGAGCAUCAAGAAUGAUGCUAACGACUGAUCAACUGUAACAUUUUAACAUGAGCACCAAUAUUCGAACAAGACAUCUUGUUGCAGCCGCUUAAAAGUGCACGCCCUAUCUUAACUUUUCCAAGGUGAUCGGCUGUAACAUUUUCACUUGAACAUUGGUUUCAUUCGUACUAGUAUCAUGUAGUUGCAACGGCAAAACAGAGUAUCUCGUCUCGUUCUUAGUGCACUAUCCCCCUUUUCCAAGCUGUCAAAAUUCCCCGGUAAAAUAAACUUCAUGAAGAUCCAAAUGCCACAAAAAUUUCGAACAAAGUUCAAAUUGUCUGGCUCCUUUCAGAUCGGUCGUUCUUCCUGGCAUUUCGAGCAUGCACAAGUGAAUCCGUAAUCUGCAAGCUGCGCCUGCCUCUCCUCAUAUGAAAGAUCUUCAUCGAUGUAGGAGAUGGUAAUCUGAAAUGCCGUUAGUAGGUGUCAGCAUAUCAUAGCCUUUUAUCUUGAUGACAUAAAUGAAACAAUUUGACCAAAAAAACAGGGUACCUCUUCACCCUUGCUAAUAGGCUUGAGAGCAAGUAUCACUGCAUGACCAUCCUUGUCCUGCAGUAGUAGUUUAACAGCUCAGAUCUGCAUCACCGACGGCAAAUUGGCUGGAAAAAUGAAUUAAUCAGCUCAAUGAUAUGCACGCACGCACCUCAUCUCUUUUAAAUGCUCUAGCAUUUGGACAGCAUGAGUGGUUCAUGCAGCUCUGUAAAGGGAAGAAUGCCGUCCCUGCCAAUGAAAUUUUGUCAGGGAGAGGAUUUUAUACAGUUGAAAAAAAGAGAAACAUUUACUGCAGGAGGAAUUGUGCAUACCUUCACAAGGAACUGAAUAGUCUUCACCUAAAGCAUCUAGGAAUAGUCCUGUUACCUUCUCCACUUCCUCCUAGGGCACAGUGCAAUUCAGGUUAACAAACUACUGGGUUUUUUCAGAUAAAAAAUCUCAGAAAUUACGACCAACCCUUAACAAACCUUCUCACUCUCUGGAAGAUCAUCAAUGUGUAUGAAAUAGUCUUCAACCGGCGAUGCAACAACUAAAUCACUGCAACAAAGGAGAAGAGAGCAUUUUCAGAUACUAUGAUGUUAAAUGCAGCAUGUAUAUUUGUGUUCACUGUAGGUGCAAAGAGAAAUAAUAGCAUGGAUUCACUUACAGAUUGUUCAGCUCAAACAUGCCAAUUAAAUGGCCAUAGACAUCAAGCGAAAACACUCGUCAAUGUCAAGGAAACUUCAAAUUUGGAUGAGAAAAUAAUGCCAAGGAAACUUAUACAUGUCAAACAGGUCUGUGGACUACUGAAAAGGAUACAGGGUGCACACUCAGGAUCAAAAAUUGCAUCCUUGAGAAGCUGCAGUGACUGCAAAAUACAGAAGACAAGAUUAGCGCAUCGGUGACUGCGUUUAGAUACAGCACAAUCAGAAUAAGUUGUACUUAUUUUUAGAAGUUAUCUAAUUUCUCCUCAUACGAUAUAUUAAACUUAUAUGAAAAGAUGUUCCAUUGAAGUGGCCAGACCACAACAUCAUCAGUAGAAAAUGGACAGUUCAUAAUGCCCCAUAAAGUGAAUGAUCUGCUGCAUAAUUACCUCAAACGCCAGAUCCCUCAUUUGCUGUCUAAAUGAAUCUUCUUCACUGGAAUCAAUGUCUUCAGGCAAAGCAACACACUCCCACCAUCUGCAAGCACAAGUUCUUUUUCACAAGUUUGUAGCAGACCACAGUUCACACAGCGCAACAACAGAGGUAUCCAAUCAGGGUACAUGGAAGCCAUGCAAAACUAGCCUUCUGGCUGGUAUAUAGUGUAAAAAAUCCAGAAAAGGGAAAGAAAGAGGGGAAGAAUAAAGCCUCUAGCCAUGCCAGGGGCAUGCCAUUGACUCAAUCCAUUGAAUUUUUACUGACGUAUUGGAAAAAAAGAAGAAAAAAAUAUCGUGCUUGGCAACAGCUAUAUCAUGCAAUACUGUUGCUUAGUGACACACUAACAGCUAAAUAAGCUCAUCCUUAUUACCUCUUCUUGAAUCCCAUUGAAAGUGGUUUCCAGGCUUCCAUGAGGAGCGAAAAGCUUGAUUCAUGAGAUGCAGGCUGCCUUUUAAGUUUCUUGUACCUCAACAAGGUGAAAGUGAUAGCCUGACAUAUACAAUUUACAAGUCUGUGCAUGAGAAUAAAAAAAUAUUAAAUGAAUUGCAACAUACAAGUCUAGAAGAAAAGGAAACAGACUGAUUCUUUGGUUUGCUCAAUUUAGCAUUCCUUAUAUUUCUACUCAUCUUCUUAUAGUGCACUGGUCUGAUCAGGUACACCAAAGUUUGGAAGGUUUACAGAUUUUCUGACAGAUAUUGGCGAUCGGUAUCAACUCUUAAGUCUGACACCCAAAUUUUUGUUUGCAUUUGACCAAGCUAAGUUGCGCUUUUGAAUAUAAAAACAUGUCAUUUGGAGAAUAUUGGAAAAAUGAGAAACAAAUAAAGUCAUUAGAUGUGAUGUUUGGAUGCCUAGAUACUAGAUAUUAUGCAUAUUUCUGUCACUUACCUUGGCAGCGACCAAGAAAAUAUCAUUGGUUCCUGAAAUGAAGAAUAUUUAUCAUCAGAAAAUAGGUUUACAACCUAAAUGAACUACCAUCACAAAUCCUAAUGAACAAUGGGCAUUGUGCUAUAAUGACACAGAUCCAUGAAUAGUUAGUGCUGACUUACCAUUAGCAUGCUGUACAAAUUUCUGAAGGGCAGAUCUCCGUAGUGGUUCAGUCUUGGAUCCAGUGCACAGCAAAGAGUGGUAGGAAUCCCAAUCAGAAUCCGCACAUGAUUGGCUGUGCGAAAUUUCAAUAUCAAUGAACCAAGUUUCCUUCUCAAGGCUACAUUUAUAAGAAAUAUGAAGUAUCCAAGAAAUAACAAAGAAUAUGUUUUAUGUUCUAUAGACACAAGUUUCCGAUGAGGCAAGAAGGUCUAAUGUGACUAUAAUAUGUGAGGAAGAAUAGAUGUCAUAUGUUUCAUGAAGAGAAGUUAGUUUUCAGGCCUACAUAAUCAUCUCUAAUAUCACUUUGCAAAGAGAGAAGGGUUUUGCUAAUUUUAGGAACACAAACCUGCAGUAGAGUUCUCCCUCACAUCCACCAGGACAAGCAACAACUGAUGGCAAACGGAACUGAUCAGUGAAAGGCAGUGAUGUAUCACCAUCCAUAAGCGACAUUACAACCCCUUGUGGCACAUCAUUACUAUUUCCAUUUGUUGAACCAGAACAACCGGUACUUGACCCGACAUCACUUCCGUGGCAAUGUCUCUCUGACGUGCUGUCAAUGCUAGCACCAAUGCUCUGCAAAUACAAUCUACGCCCAAUCUGGAACUCUAUAGAACCAAUGAAGCAGAAGCAGUAACUACACACAACACAGUCAAUCUGCAAAAAGGCACAUAAAACCAACAUAACACUUCAGAGAAACAAUUCACCUGAAAUCCGUAAUGAAACAGUUACUUUCGAUCAAAUGAGAGAACCUUGUUAAGGCUGUGCUGAGCACCGACCACCAUUUGAUCCUUUAGAAUAAGGUCCUCUUCAGCAAAGUCCCUGUUUGCACAAACACCUGCAAGAACCAGUUUGUUGAAAUUGCAGGCUUUCACCUUAUGCCAUUUUUACACAAGCAUACUGGAUUGCUGUCCCCUUAAAGUAAUUUCUCAAGAACCAAUCAAUACCUUUCCCAUGCUUGCUACUGUAGCUCACUCUUAUGCCAUCAUGCUUCUUGGACCGUAUGAGUUCAUCAUAGUAUUCCUGAGAAAACAAAAGGCAGCAUGUUUACGUACAACCCCUAUCAUAAGCACUGGAUCAAACCACUGACUUUACCGCCCAAAUAUAGAUCCUUCUCACAAUUUCACAGCAAAGAACAUCAAAGCCUGCGAUAUCACACCGACGCCACGAAGAGCCUAAAAUUGGCCAUCUUUCGAUAAAACUAGCAACUAUCGCGGCACGGGAUUGUUCAAUCAAGGAAUUCUCAAGCAACCAGACGGGUCCUAGUAGCCUCGGAAGUGCCGGAAAGAAGUACCUGGGCGGAUUGGAGAGGAGGCGUGGCGAGGAGCUGUGCGAUUUGGGGCGCGAACUCCCUGUCAAGAUCGCACGGACUGACGCCGCUCCCACCCAUACCGUCGGUUGGUGCCAAUCGGAGCUUCUCGCGGCGGGAUUGUCAGCUCCUCGCCGCCGCGCCGCCACCGCUUUUGCUGGUCGCUGGGGUUUUUGGGGUUUGAGCUCAAGCCUCCAGCACCAGCAGACGCAGAGAGGUAAGCAGACGGAAUUGGUAGCGCGCAGAUACACGUUCUCCACAUGAAGACGUAUCACUAGAAGUUACGCCUUUAGGCAGCGAAAGCGUAAAGUGAUCCUUCUGUCUCAAAUAACCUCCAGCCUUCUGGUUUCGGAUGACUCGAGUACAAUUAUACAUCGGGCUGACAUCAUGAUUAAAUAAAUAUCAUAUUAUCAUGGAGUAAAUUAUAACGGUACUUAUUCGUACAAGUCAAUUAGUUUAAACGUCCUAGCUUAUCAUAAUAUGAUAUAUUUAAAAUGGAUAGGCAGUUCUUUAUGAACAUGGUUGCUAAGAAUAUAUUAUUUCAAAUAUCAUGUAUUUAAAACAGAUUAGGUAGUUUGAUUGCCACACGUUCGUGAGCAUUCAUGCAUGCAAAUGGACUUAUAUCAAACAAAUUUCUUAGCUUCAUUACUACAUGUGAGUGCUCGUGAUAGUAAGUUGAUUGUCUAAAAAUGUAGACCACAUGGUUUCUAAAGCGUCACCUGGGCGUCGGCAUCGCUUAACAAUCCAUCGCCUUGGCCGCCGAACUCAGUGCUGCACCGUCGGGGGAUGGAGUCGCGCCGCCGCCUCCUAUCCUUCCUCCUCCUCCUCCUCCUCCGAUCUUGCAUCGUGCGGUGCGUGAUUGAGGCAGCCUAUGGCAGUUCUCGAUCGGACGGAGAGAGCCCGCGACCAUGGCGCGGACGGCCAGCAGCGGAGGAGGCAGGGGUGGGCGGCUGAGAAGGCAGGGGUGGGUGGCGGCGGAGUCGAGGGGAUCGGGAGGAGUAUUGGAUAAGGUGGUGGGAGGUUGUGAGCCUAGGGAUAAAGUGGGGGAGUUAGGCUGAAUUAGGUUGGGCUGAUUUGAUGGGUCUUCUUUCCAUCUUUAGGUCCACUGGUCCUCUAUUUUUUAUUUUUUUACAGGUAGAUGUAUGUGUAUAUGUGUGUGUAAGGUGUCGACUCACCUCACGCCUUAAACGCCUAGGCGUCUGAGCGGUGGCGUGUUGCCUCGUCUCACCUUACCGCUUUAAAAACCAUGGUAGACCCAAGUAAGUACUCCCUCCAUUCUUUUGAUCAGGCUUUCAAAGGCGUCGUCCGAGCGGACCCAUUUCGUCUUGGUAAAUAGAUCCGCCUUGUCGCCUAGGCGGCGCUAGGCGUACUCAUAAGUUGCCUUGUCAUUUUAAAAACAUUGCUUUUGAUAUACCUAUUUCACUUUAGCAAAAUGAUUAAGGAAACUGGAAAAGGACCAUGCUUAUUAUCCAAUUAAUCACGCCAUUCCAUACUCCUGGAUUCCACGGGAAGUCCUCAGUGUUGACGUCAUCAUGUACAUGCACGUGUUAUUUUUUCUAGAAGAGUUACUAUGCACCAUGUCAUCCGAGACAACUCAAAUAAGACUAUUAGAAGAGAAAAAAUAAAUUUUAAAAAUAGGUUAUUAAAAGAGAAUGGAGUACUUUGAAACAAUCCAGGUAAUCUGGAUCUAUCUGUUUGUGGUCUUGGUUGAUGAUAUGGGUCGCAGAGCUCUAAUAUCUUACAUGCCCCUGAUCUAUUUUAAUUUUAUAUUACAAGAUCUCAUUCUAAAAUUAUCUACAAGAUCUCUUAUUUUUCAUUAGUGCAUGUAAUAUAUUAGAUGUCUAAUAUGCCCCUAGGUGAUCUACAUUUUCUCUCAAUUUGUAAUAUGAUUUCAUAUAAAAUAAAUAUGAAUAAUAUUACCAAUAAUUUUAGAUUAGACUAAUAUUUUUGUUUUCUUUUCCUGCUUUCUUGUUCUCUUUUUUUCCUUACUUUUUUUUUCUUUUUCCUCCCUUUAUCUUUCUUACUUAUCCGCUCAUCUUUCAGUCAAACAAACAGGGCCUUUCUUAUCUUCUCCACCACCCAAGCCGCAAGCUAUGCAUUGCUGCGGAAAAAAAUUGUAUAGGGACGAUUCCCAUAGUCCUCCGUGUGAGGAUCUCCGGAUCUUUGCCACGUGGACACCUGGGCGAAAUGGCGCUCCCUGCUUCGACGCUCACUCACGGGUAACUCUACUCGGCUCGGCUCUGUAUAGGGAGAAACUCGGCUAGUGGGAAACUCUAAUUGGCACAGCCCCCAUCCCUUUCGUCUCUCCCAAAUCAGAUCACGAGGAUAUUCUCCAUGCCGACCUCCCCGCAUCCAUGGCUGCCCCCUCCCUAUACUCCACUCCCUCUCCUUUCUAACCGCCAAAACUGAGUGCCCUCGUUGCCAUUGUUCCAUUUUGCCGGUGCACCCCUCUCCUCGCACACCUAAGCAGCGGAUUGGAGAAGGAGAUCGUCGUCUUCUCCCUGUACAAAACCACGAGGAAGAGUCACCCAUGACCGUGGUGACGCCUGCGCCAUGGUGAGGUCGUGCCCUCUCUCCUCUAUCAUGCGGUACCUACCCGCGAGCCGAGUUUUUCCCUGAGCCGAGUCGAGCAGAGUUUCGAGUGAGCGUCGAAGCAGGAGCGCCGAUUGGCCCAGGUGUCCACACGGCAAAGAUUUGGAACGGGUCCUCAGGCAGAAGACUAUGGACUAUGGGACUGUCCCCACACAAUUUUUUUCCAUUGCUGCAGGGCUACUGCUACCUGCACGCUGCUGCUUCUUUUCCGCCGCCCGCUGAAGCACCAGGUCGCCGGCCAACGCGCCUUCCCCAACAAGCUGGGCCCGCUCGUCGACGACACCGGUCUCUUGGACAAGCCGCUCCACGGCUCCAGGCAGAGGACCACGCGGGGAGCACGAGCUCGCCCUCUACGAGGCGUUCGCCUCCUCCCCACCGAGGUCCGGGAUGGGGAGCGGCACCAGCACCGGUACCAUGCCCUCGACGAUCUCCUCGCGGGGCUCGAGGCACCCUCCGUCGCCGACAUCAAGAUUUGCUCCAGCCCCGAUGGGCCGCUCCGCCGACACCGCGCCACCUCCGCCGCUGUCCGCUGCAUCUGCCCGUUGGGCGUUGGGGAGGCGAGGCCGCGAGAGUCGCCCGUGGCUCUGCCCGGCAGAGACAUCAUGGUUUGGCGACGCGGACGCUGGUGUCUUUUUAGAGUGGUAUAGACAGAGAAACCAUUCAUGCAUUCAUGAGCUUCCUGGAUAGGUGAUUUCAGACGUUAGAUCCUGAGUUUGUACCCAAAUGUCUGCACGUGUAAUGGUACUUUUUCUUAACACUGAAUACAAUGUAGUAUGAAACAUUUCCUUGAGUUGCCCCCUCCAGUCAUAACAAAACAGAGAAAGGAUCCUGGUAGCUUCUGGUCAAAUUUAAAUUCGUCGCAUCAAAAUGGUAUAGUAUCAUAAUUUUCUCUGGUUCUGAUCAUAAUGCUAGUAGAGUAAUCAAUAAUGCCUGGGCGUGUGGAUAUGUUCAGAACUUCAGCUCAUGACUUUAAGUUUGAGGAAGGGAUCAAACUGAUAUACUAUAGAUUAGUAGGGUAUCCAGCAGCCCCCAGUUGUCUUUUGGGCAUUCGAGAUGCAUCAACCCGUGGAGGUUAUGGGGCUAGUAAACGCAGAUGCAACCUCUGCACAAGCACACAUCUUGUUAAUGAAAGGAUAAACUCCGACCCCAACGACUUCCAAUCCUAUUGUAUAGUACGCAUAAACGAGUACAAAUGCAAUUUAUAACUCGUCAACUGAUUUCUGUUUCAACUGACCUCUAUAGUGCUCAUGAACUAUGAACUAUCACAAGGACUCAAUCAAACCGUUGGGUAGCAUAAUCCUGCCAUCCUGUUGGUUGCAGAGCAAAUGGGCAUAUGAUAAUGGUAGCUUCGUUGUCGUCGUCAUCCAAAAUCCUCAGUCAUCCAACCACCGGACGUGCAGCUCGCUCACCAUAUAUUCGCUUGCCAGCUUCACCAUUUGGCCGUGGCAUUGGUGCUAGCCGUCGUCAUCGCCUGCAACCGCAAGAAUCUCGCCAACUCCUCUGCUGCUUUGAGCGCCUCUUCCAUAGCUCGCCCGAGAAUGUCCGCGCUGGCGAUGGCGAAGGCUUUGGUCGUCGCCCUCGUGGCGAUAGCCGCCGUGGCCGAGCUUGCCGCCGCCAAGAACCACACGAUCCAGUGGUCGGUGAGCGGGAACUACGGCGACUGGUCGGCCUCCAACGCGGUCAGCGUCGGCGACACCGUCGGUGAGCUCACGAACGGAUAACCCUUGCAGUCUUAAUUUGCACCUGUUCUGGCUCCGUUUUGUUUUUGCAUCUGACCGUGACGCGGCGACGGACGGCGCGGGGGUGCAGUGUUCACGUACGGCCCGCCGCACACCGUGGACGAGCUGCCGUCGGAGGCGGACUACAAGGCGUGCAGCUUCGACGGCAAGCUGUCGUCGGACGACGGCGGCCGCACCGCCUUCACGUUCGACAAGGUCGGCACGAGGUACUUCGCCUGCGCGGCGGGGUCCCACUGCACCCAGGGCCAGAAGGUGGCCAUCACGGUCACCGACGGCGCUUCGUCGGCGACGCCCAAGGGGAACUCGGCGGCGACCGGCGCGGCCGGGCUCGCAGCGAAGCUGGCGCUCGGCCUCGGCGUCGGAGGAGCCUUGCUUGCCGCCUUCUGAUCGAUCGAGCUUCCUCUUCGUGUUGGUUGGGCCGUGGGUCGUUGCGCGUCCAGUAGCACGGUUGCCAACUUGCCCGCCACUUUGGCGCUUCGCAAUAUGUUUUUUUUUCCGAAUAAGCAAGAGAAUUGCGCAUACGCAAUAUGUGUACUGUUAAUUUGUUAUUUGUCACUCAAUGGAUUGGUAUUUUGAUCAUCCUCGCCAUGUGUAGAACACGGUCUCGUCGACGCGCGUAAUGGCUUUGUGUUGGCAAGCGGAUGGAGUGUGUAAUGUGAUUUAACCCAAGCUUUGGACUCGGUUAAUCCACCCCCAGCUGCAACGAAAUCCACGCCAAGUUGAAAACCAAACCAAGUUGCAAUACCGGUGGUGAUUUGUGAAUCGGAAGUCGUUCAGGCGUUCUCGCGAACAAGGAACAACUGUUGUUCACUUGAAAAGAUACUGGUGGGAAAGGCAAACCAACUCGAACAUGGAAGAACGAGGAGAAAUUCCGACCCCAAUUACUUGCAAUCAAAUCGUUGGCAGUCGCAGAACGAGUAUAUAUUAUGCAUAUACGAGUACAAAUACGAUGACCCGUCAACUGAGAUUUCCGUUUGAACUAGCCUCUCUGUCCUAAAAGGAACUAUGACAAGGACUCAAUCAGAGCAUCAAACCACUAGAUACCGUAAUGAUCGUGCCAUCCUGUUGAUGUCAAUGGAAAUGGGAUAUUUCAUGCCGCCAAGCCGCCAAAGCUCCAACUCCGCUGUCGUCGUCAUCCACGAUCCAGUCAUCGAACCGCACACCCGACGUGCAGCUCCAUAAAUUCGCAGAUUUCCUGACUCCUCUGCAGCAGCGAGCGCCGGCCUCUUCCAUUGCUUGCUCGAGAAUAUAAUGUCUGCGCUCGCCGCCGCCUUCGACUACACGAUCCAGUGGUCGGUGGGCGGGAACUACAGCGACUGGUCGGCCACACACCCGGUCAGCGUCGGCGACACCGUCGGUGAGCUUGAUCACGAAUCCUGGUCUCUAUGUCGGCGAAUUUUUUUGGCUCUAUGCUGUAUCUGUCUAUCUGAUCGAGACGACAUACGCCGGCGAUGACGGCGGCAUGGCGAGGUAUGCAGUGUUCAAGUACGCGCCGCCGCACACCGUGGCGCAGCUGUCGUCGGAGGCGGCCUACAAGGCGUGCAACCUCGGCAGCAAGGUGUUCUUGGACAGCAGCGGCGGCACCGGCUUCACGUUCGACGAGCCCGGCACGUGGUACUUCGCGUGCGUCACGGGGUCGCACAGCGCCCGGGGCCAGAAGGUGGCAAUCACGGUGACGGGCUCCAGCGUGCGAAGCCCCGCGAAGCCGGAGGGGAACUCGGCGGCGGCGCCGGUGGCCGGCGCGGCGGGGGUCGCGGUGAAGCUGGCGCUCGGACUACUCGGCGUAGGAGGAGCCUUGCUUGCUGCAUUCUGAGCGCUUGGUUUUUGCUGGUGAUCUGUGUGGUUGGACUUGCACCGGCCGUGCCGUUCUGUGUCCAGUAAUAGCUCUUCGCAGUGUGUGUUGUGUGUAACUGUGUAUCCGGAUUCCUGAUGCGUUGUGGAGUUAGGACUUGAAAAUUUUCUUUUCUGACGCUCCCGCUGUGAUGCAAUUCAUGAGAUUGAAUUUUCAUCGCAAAAGUGUCGAAAUAGUUGCAGUUCAUGAUAUAUAUGUUAGAAAAUCGUUAUGCUUUGGCGGGUAAUUAGUCAAAUUCGUUCAAACUUUUAUAGUACAGCAGACUAGGUGGCACCGUGGAAGACGUAGCGCUACCGACGCUACCGUCUCCUCGGCGCCUCGGCCCGCGAGGCUUUCUUGGAACUUGGAAGGCGGAAAGAGCAGCGCUGCGCUACCUUCCGCUUACAAAGGGGCGACGCCGCGCGCAACCGGUGCGAGCACAGGAGUACUUGAGGAGAUGCCGGUGCCGCCCCACAUCGAGGUCGAAGCGCGCCAGAUUCCAGAGCCGCUUCCCUCCGCGGCCGGAGGCGCCCAGCAGCGAGCCAAGCGCCGCCCCCGACGCCGCGCCCUUGCCAGCUCGCCCGGACUUCGUCGCCGCCGCCGCCGCCUGUAAGCUGAGAUGUAGGUGGUGGAAAUGUUAGUGAUGGAUACCGUGUGCCGCUGCCGCCGUGCCGGCAUAAACUGUCACUCAUGUCGCUUACACGAUCAUCCCGUUCCUUGCAUGUUGUAGUGAAACUGUCAGGUGAUGCCAGUCAAUGGCGGCCAGCAGCGGCAGAUCCAGUUGGCGGGCUUCGGCGCAAGCCCCAACCCCAGCAUACGGUUCCAUGCGAAAGAAAUGGAGGGGAAGGACGACGACGACGACGACGAAGGGGACCUUUUUUUCUCCUCACGAGAGAGCUGCAUACCAAGAAUACCUCCGGGUACAGGACCUCUGGGCUCUUGUUAAUCUAGUUGGCGCACACAAAUUGCCGCCACGGAGCAGUAGUUUUUUUUAGCAUAUGAAUUAUCAAUGCUAGGUGGCCAUCAGAGAAGAUAAAGCUGUAGGAGAUGAAUCACUAAAACGUUGUCUGCCUGAAUUGUCACGCAGUGCAUCGUUAGGGAGUGCAUAGGUAGGGAGUGCGGGGAAGGAGAAGAAGAAGAUGUUCCUGACGACGCUAUGACAGUGUCACUCUUGAAGCACCAGGUAGAUCUAGUCAGCCGCUAUGCUUUUAUUUCUUUUGUUCAUUCCUGAUGCCCUGCUCAUUGGCAUGUACACUUCCCGUGGUGAUCUCAAAGAAAAAGGCAUCAUCUUGGAUGCGUUUCCGGGAGAAAAGUCCACAUUGCGCAGGUGGAAUUCUGGCGGACGAACAGGUCAUUUCUGAUUUGUUUGUUUCCAGCUUACCACAAUAUUAGUAGCGCAACAAUGUUAAUUAGCAGCUAUGAAUGAUUGCCCUGCUCUUGCACUGGCCACACCGGGAGUUAUCCCUGCUGUACCUGUAACAGGGCCUUGGGAAGACAAUUACAUCGAUCGCCCUUAUCCUCAAGGAGAUAUGCCUCAUCAGUCUAAGUUCAAGUCUUCCGCACCCUUGAGAUCCAGCGGUAUGCCGGCAGGAGGAACGCUUGUGGUUUGCCCCAAAAGCAUUCUUCUGCAAUGGGAAGAUGAGUUUGCUCGGAGGGUCACAAAGGGUGCUAAGUUGUCUGUCUUGGUUCAUCAUGGAUCUUCAAGGACGUAGACACAGAAGAGCUGGCAAGGCUGAUGUCGUCCUCGCCACGUACGGAGCCGUGCGCAACGAUCACCCCAUUGACGAGGUAGAAUGGUUCAGAAUUGUGCUUGAUGAAGCUCAUACUAUAAGAAAUCCAUCGUCUGAAAAUGCGGAAGCUUGCUGGGGACUGGAAGCGGAAAGGAGAUGGUGUCUAUCAGGAACACCCAUGCAAGGCAAGAUGGAACAUCUGAACAGCUACUUGCGCUUCUUGGGAUUCGAACCUUAUUCUAAUAACAUCCGGUUCAGCUCUUUGUUGGAGACGAAAACUGAUGCUAAUGCAAGUCUUGUCCGUGAGAAACGUGAUAUAGUCUUGAAGAUGAUUCUUCUACGCCACAUUAAAGGUGAAACAGUCUUUUUUUACUGAACAUGUACAUAUGUCUGCAGUUUUGUAUAUUAAUAUUGUACCAUCUACCAUCUCCCCUAUGUAGCAUUCCGGUCCACCUAUACACAUUCUGCUUUCCUAUGGACUAAGCAUGGUAUAGAUGAUUACAUGAACCUCACCAGUUUCUCAGCUGGUCUUUAAGCUCCAAAUAUUUUUUUUCCUCCCUCACAAUACAAAAUAGAUCAUAAUGCUGGAAAAACUGGAGGGGGCACUGUUGAAGUAACCUAUUUUGUUAUUACUUUGAUACUAUGCACGUAUUGAUUUUGCAUGUGUAUCGUUAAUGCAAUGUGCUCAUCGGGUACCUAUGGCUGUAUCUUGGUUCUUUUCUGGUUUUGUUGUCCCUGGCAUUGAUGUACUUCUGAACUGUUUACGUAUAGAAACACUCAUUGACGAAGAGCCAAUCACAAAGAUACCACCAAAGAUUAUUCAUAUGAGGGAAAUAUGUUUCACCCCUGAGGAGCUAGAUCUCUAUUGGUGUAUUAUAAAAUGCCGUCGGCAAAAGGUCAAGGUAGGUUCGAGUUUUUACGCCUUCACAUUCACUAUAAUCUUUCAAAUAAGUGCCCUUUUUAACGUUUAAUCUGUCAAAGCAAGUUUCCAUUAUCCAGAAUUUAGGAAAUCAAAUGUAUCUGAUUUGGUGUUCAUACUACAGAAGUAUUAUUUUUUGAAGAACACAAGAAGGAGCAAUUGGAUAAAAGACACUCCGGAAACACCUUCAGCACUGCUGGCAAAACUUCAAAAGGCUUGUAACCAUCCUUCUCUUGUACAUUGGAAAGAAGGAUCUUAAAAAGCUAUGUUCUAAAAUCUUUGAGGACAGUUAUGUAUCCUCUAAGAUCAAGGCAAUUAUGGAUAUACUCAACUCCAUUGUUAACUGACAGGCCGUUAUUGAGAGUGAUAAUGCUAUGGAAUCAGGUUCAAGUGAAACAACUCCUGAGAAGGCGCUGAUCUUCUCUCACUUCACUGAAGUGCUGGACUUGCUGGAGCUUCAACUGAUUGGUCAUCAUAUACAAUUCAGGAGGUUAGAUGGGGGGAUGGAAGUCAAACCGAGAAAAAAAACAGUGAGACUUUGACACAAACCCAGAGGUUUGUAAGUACCUGAAUUUUGCAUUUGCUUAGUUAGGCCCCAUUUGGAACAGGGAACUACUUUACCAUGUUCCAGUAAAAUUCCUGUGUUCUGAAGAGGCCUUAACUGUUACCUAUAGAUAGACCAAUAUAACUGAUGUCGAGAUUCAUUUCGGAUAUUUAGGUGAGAGUACUUCUAUUGUCUCUGGAGGCCGCCAGUCUUGGUCUGAACCUGACUGCCGCUCCCCAUGUGAUCAUGGUUCAUCCUUGGUGGAACCCUUUUGUAGAGAAACAGUUGAUGGAUAGAGCACACAGAAUUGGUCAGACCCAUCCUGUAAAUGUGUACCGUUUGUUCACUAAAUGCACGGUUGAAGAACGCAUUCUAAAUCUACAGGUACAUAUAUACCGCCUUCUUUUGAUAUUGUCACUUUGAAAUCAUGAGAUUUUAUACUACUCAAAAGGCAUGUGUUUCCUCUAUUAGUUGUGUCAAUAACUCAAUAUAGACACAUAGCAAACCUUGCGAUGACAUUGUGAGAGCAAAAUGUUGAUUGUUAAGUGUAGUUAGCAAUCACAAAACCAAUUUAUAUUCUUGACGAACCGUUGUCCUAGUUACAUUCCUUUCUUCCUAACAGGCUAACACUAGAUUAGAGAGGUUGUUGGUUAUCAUCUAUGUACAAAACGACUUUAAGAUUAGAGUUCACUUUAAUUUCCUGAUUAAUUCAUCCUGAACCUAUUGUCAUAGCGUGCUAGUGCUUGUCUUGUACCCUUUUGCUGAACAUGUGUGUGCUGGUUUUGACAGAAGAGAAAGGAAGAUAUCGUAAAUCGUGCUUUCGGCGAGGGCAUAUUCGGCGAUGACGUAGAUAAUAAUAAGAAGCCCAGUAAAGACGAUCUCAGAUAUCUCCUGCACGAGGGCGAGGACCAGGAGGACAAUAAUGCCAUUGACCCUUUUGCUUCUCUCAUUAGGAACUCAUACGCCACCCUAAACUGGCAGCAAUUCCUUUGGCGUAUACACCACAAUCAGCUGCCAACAAGGGAUUUUCUUUUCAGAAGAAACACUGUGGGUUCGUCGAAAAAAAGAAGAAACAUUGUGCAGUCCCCAGGAUGUGAAGCUUGUGGCUCCGUGGAAAAUCUACCUCACCUCUUCCUGCAGUGCGGGCGAGCAAUGUCUGUGUGGUCCAUGCUCGGAGUUCCCGAGGUUCAUGACCUGCAGGAUGUGAGGCUCCUACGGAACCCCACUCUGGUGAGCUCACUUGAACCUCGGCUUCAGUCCACCAUCCUGACGGUAAUUCUGUGGAGCAUCUGGAAAGGGCGUAAUGACAUGGUGUUUAAUUGACCAUAUUGAGCUUCCGACGCCGCUGCUGUGUUCCGACGGAUGGCGAACAGCCUCUCGUUCUUGCAGCGGCGGCCUUCCUCUUCUGACGACCAGAUAAUCUUGAGGUCCUGGCAUGAUAGAUUCAUGAGCAUAGCAAUGCAAUAGGUAUCUGUGUCGUAGCUCCUUUCUACCCCUUUGUUUCUCAAAUCUUGUAUGCUCGAACUUGCAUAUGUUUGAUCGAGAUGUUCAGGUCGUUUUUUUUUGAAACACUUCAGGUCGGCACUUUUGCCUGCCGUAGUUCCUCUUAAAAAACAUGGAGGCGAUCUGUGCGUGUUCAUGUGUUACUGUAUGCUAGCUACUCGUAUAGUUGCAGUGUGAUAAGACAAAAGAAGGGGCCAUGCUAACAGGGGGACUCGGGGAGUCAUCCUCGACCUGCUCUUCUUCAUUCAGCUUCUAUAUAUUGCCUCCAGUCCUCCGAUGCCAGCUGCACGGCCGACCAAAGGAGCGAGGCCGGAGACGGACGCAGGGUACGGAUGGCCGGAACGCGUCGGCACUCCGGCCAGCCACGGCAUGGAGCGGAGGAGGCAAGAUGCGGGCCGCCGCAAAGCCGGGGAGGGUCGCAGGGGACGGCCGGAGCGCGGCGGUGCUCCGGCGAGCCGCGGCGCGUGCGACGGCAGGCAGUGGUCAGUGGGGGGCCCUACAAGCCUUCCAAUCCGACUUCUGCGGCCCAGAUUCAGCGCAGCUCAGCGGCGUCUCCAUCCGUCCGUCGUCAAGCUCUUGACGCAGGGGAAGCAGAUCGCUUGCCUGCUCACUUGCUUGCCGAAGAUUAACGGCGACGGAGGCGGCGAUCCGAAACGUGUUAGCUUGUAGAGAUGUCUCAGCCGCUCAGCCUCGGCCAGGCAUGGUUCUGCCGCUGCCGCCGCCGCCGCCGGGAGCUCUGCACGCGAGCGAUCCUACCUCCGAUCCACCGGGAAGCUGAGACAAUCAGCGAGCAGAUGAGACAAUUCCACUGCGUGAAGUCGGCAACUCCAGCAGCUGGACUCGCUGCCCUUUGCGCCAUCUCGAUCUAUGCGUCGCCGUUGCCGCGGGAGCAUCGGUGGAAGCCAGCCUCGUGAGCCGUAGGGGACGCGGGGCCAGAGCCAGCUCUAGUUCGCGCGAAUUGACGGAGGCUCGCGCGGGAUGUAUGGCGACGAAGCUCGGGGGGAUCGCCGGCGGCCAUGGCGCCCGCCUCCAGAUCGAUCCGGAAUUUUGCAAAGAGCCCCCUCAUUUGGAUCGCGAUUAAUAAUCGCGAUCCGAUAUUUUUCAUGAACCACCCUAAUUUGGAUUUGAAAUUUACACAAACCUCCUAAUUUGGAUCGCGAUUAUUAAUCGCGAUCAAAUCCCGGAGGUUUUAUGAAAGAAUCGGAUCGCGAUUAUUAAUUGCGAUCCAAAUAUUUGCAAAAAGAGCCCUGCUUUGGGUCGCCGCCGGUUCCCGCCUCGUCUAUGCGCCUCUUCCUCUCGUCGUCGUCUCCACCGCCCUCCCGUCAGCCGUCGCCGUCCUUCUCGCCUUCGUCCCUCUCUGAUCCAGCCGCAGGAAUCGUAAGCGCUCGAUUCGUCGUGGGCUCGUGGCUGCCGCAUAUACCCGAGCGGAGCGAGCCACCGCGCACGGUUGAGGUCGCACCGGCAGGCGGCAGCAAUGGCGGCUCCUUCCGCAACUCAGUCGCCAUCGUGCCCUCUUAGAUCAUGCAGCGACCGGAGACUAACAGCUGAACAAGGCGCUUCCUGUGCCGGUGCUUUCAGGGGGCCGCGCCACGCCGACGAGCUCCGCGAGGUGCAGUGUCAUCGCCUUCUACCUCUAGGCCCCUCUCGUCAGCUAUAUCGACGCCACAUUCAACAUGGCCUCUAUCAGAAAAUGAGAAAACACCUCAGCAGAUACGAAGAUUUUACUGUGUUUUUGGUGUGCAAUUGAAAGUGCAGACAGUAUAAAUGAUCUUAGUUACUAGUUCUUAGUACGAGUUAUGCCUGAAUUUCACGCAGUUACUUGUUUAUUAUAGCGGCGUGGGAAUUAUCCCAUCGAGCUUCUGUUGAGAUCUCAGUUUGCAGCUCCUUUUGUAGGUGUUAGAAGACCAUUAUAUCGAGAAUCUUCACAAGUUCCUAUCCAUUUCCUUCAUGAUUUUCCAAACUUCCACGCAGAAUGAAGAUCCAGUUCUUUCCUGUUUCACCUCAUUAGGAUUUAAUUUAGUAGAACACGCCUGUACAACCUUCCGAUCAUCUAACCUUGCAAGUUGCAAUUCUUUCUUUUAGAACUAAUCCAAAUUUCUGCUCAAUCUACUCUCAUAAAUUCACAAUGGAGCACGGUCAACUUCCAAUAUCUGCAACCAUUAUUUACAGAUGAUAGCUAUAUUUAGAUAGCUCUCGGGCCUUCACACCUGUACCUUUGAAAUCGCCAAGCCAAACAAUCCUAGAAUACAUUUAUCUAUGAACUUACACUGGAGCCAACAAAUCAUUUACACCAACGCCCCCUGUAAUUAUUCAUCCAUUGGAUUACCACUACCGUCGGCCUAAUUUACUCCUCUGCUCUCGAUGAAAAUCCUCCGUCAGUCGCCUGCAAUCCAUUUACGCCUUGAACCGAACAACAAUACAUGAUAUGUCAUCUUUACUCUCUCUUUUUAGCGCCGCGGCAGUUAAUUGCCUGGCAGCUGCAUAUGGAUCCUUGUACCUUUUGGCCAAAUCGACAACCUCCUGAUUGUUCAUAACCUGGCACGGUCGAUAAAAGCAAAAGUAUUAAGAAUGCAGCCAUGGAAAUGUCUGAUCUUAUUCUGGCCAUUUGGAAAUUUCGAAAUAACAACCCACACCUUCCAAAGGCCGUCACUCGCAAGGACAAGUAGCUCCGCCGUGUGAUCUAUGUCUUCGACUUUUAUAUCGGGCUCUGAUCUCAAUAGUGAUUUUAGAUUCCUGUCUCCAAAAGCUCUGGAGACAGCCAACUGACCGCAUACUCGGGGAACAUCUCCUGAAAUUUACAGUGUUAGAUUCAAUAUGCUGUAAACAAGAACUUUAAAAUCACACAGUUCUGCCUAUUUUCAAAGGUGCAUAUUUCUGCUUAAUUGCUUAUCUAGAGUUACUAAAGGAUAAGAAUUACAAUGGAGUUUCCAAAAGAAGAAUAUCUGAUCUUCCUGCAAUAAUGAUUAUACUGGAAGCUAAAACAUAUGGUAGCUUUUCAUUUUUUUUUCUAGGUAAAAUGAUAUAUGAGUUCAGCUAUUAUCCCCAAAUAUUAAUGCUGUUUCAGUAACCAAUGAAUUGAGCGCACACAGAUGUCAUAGGCCUCUAGUAUACCAUCUACCCCCAGAAUUUGUUCUGCUGCAAUUUACCGGCCCCCACAAAAAAAACUAGGAACCUUUCAGCCUUUUGAACACUAAUCCUGUUUAGGGAAAAAAUUUUGGACCAGUAUUUCUACUUUAAGAAUAUAACACUAGACUUAGGAUUUAGAACUCCUUAAAAUUAGCUAGUAUGUGUCAGUGCUAAAAUUAGUUUUUCAAUCUCAAAUGAUUCCUUCUGGUAACCACACAAGAAUUACUUUUGAACCUUAAGAGGAAGUGCAGACAUUGAUUACUGCCAUACUUCAGAUAUUUUGACGUGCAAUGCAUCAUGAAGCUGUUAGCAGCAUCCUUUUUGUUACAAAACGAGUGCUUUUAUUAAAUAUGACUUGCUACAUUGAAUUUACAGCAAAACUUACUUCGAACCAUCUCAAUAAUAAGUUAACCACAUGUUGUUGUACAAUAAACAUUUGCAUAUGACUUGUUGUAAAGAUUAAAAUAAAGUAAUCAUGUCACUGAACUUGGCUUGUAGGCACCUGUUGCAUUUUCCCAUACCUAAAAGCCUUUUACUAAGAUACCAUCAAAACAAUUACUGAGAUUGUGCAUUUGAGAUGUUUAAAUGCUCUGAAUGAGACCAGUGAACCAAACAUUGAAAAAUUGACCAGGCACCCCAAUCAUUUAAAUCAAGGUACCGUGCUUAAAGAGUAAAAAAUUGAGGGCACACCUGGCAUAUUCGAAACAAAGCCACCCCUAUUUUCAAUUACGCUGCGCUCAACAUUCGGAUCAUGGUCUAUUGACAUCUGUAUGGGCUCACCACCUUUCAAAAGAACAGCUCUUGAAUCCCCGACAUUAGCUACCCAUAACUUCCUGCCGUUUACAAGAAUGGCAGUUACAGCAGUGGAGCCACCUUGUCCCAAAUUCGGAGUAUGCGAUAAAAUAGCUUGGUCUGUUUUUUCAUAAGCUUUUGUGAUUGCUCUAUCUGUAUGUGUCCAAAACUCUUCCUAAAACAGCCCGAUAAGAAUAAGAUCACCACACUGCUGGCAAAUUAAUCCUCAUUGAAAAAAAGCUAAAAACUUACUUCUUUCAAAAUAUUUGGAAACAAAUUCUUCUGUAAAUACGCGGGAACGGUAUCUCCUAGAUGGCCGUCAAAAAUAGCAAAAAGACCAAGCUCGUUUCCCUUCACAUCGACAAGAUCGGCGACGUGAUAGUCCUCCAUCGGAUGAUUCGUCAUCCCUCUUACAAGAUUAUAGCCAUAACAGACCUUGACCUGCCCCUGACAGCCUUUCCCUUUACCAGAUGCUGUCGAACCAUGUCCGGUGAACUGUAUCGAAGCAGAACAAUCAGCACGAGUGAUGUGGUUGGAGUGUUAACAUGAGAUAGAUUGCAAUUGUCAGAGCUCCGGGUGGAGGGUGAAGAAUUAGUGAUGGUAUUGUGUUCCAACAAGCAAAUAGUACUUCCUCCGUCCCAAAUUAUAGGUCGUUUUGGCUUUUCUAAAUUCAUAGCUAUUGCUAUGCAUCUAGACAUAGCGUAUAUAUAUGUGAAUAGCAAAAUCUAUGAAUCUAAAAAUAUUAAAACAACUUAUAAUUUGGGACGGAGUUAGUAGUGACUAGUGAUUACUAGUACCACAAAAAAUACAUAAUUAAUUGACAAAAUCUUCAGAACAAUUGCAUAGAUGCUAGUAUAUGGCGAAAAACAUUCACAAAGCAUGUGCCAGCAGAAACGGAUUACCUCCGAGCAACUGGCGCCGAAGCAGCAUAACCUUGCCAUAUCUUGGUAAUUCCCUCUCAGUUUCAAUCCAGGAACUGAAAUUUUAAAAACAAAACAAAAAGGAGAGGGCGAAUUCGCAAGUACCCACAGCCACCGAGACACCUCUAUUGGGACCAGGAGCUGAGCCCGUACAGGACCUGGGUGUACACCCGAUAAAUUUUACAAGAAAAACUCGAAGUUAGAUACAGAUAGAGCAUCAAGCUUAAUUACGCAUAGUCAGAUCCGGAUACAAACAAGCUUAAUUAGGGUUGGGGUGCUCGGUUUCGCACAGCCGAGCGGGCAUACCUGGUGCACGGGUGCUCGUCGCCGGCGAAGACCCGGCGCAGGGCGGCGGCCUAGUCGUGGCCGCAAGGAAGAAAGCCAAGAAAGGCGGGCGGGAGGGAGGAGAGAGUGGAGGGGGACAGCAGGGAGGUGAGGUGGGUCGAGGAUUGCAGUUGCAGGUCGCCACUGGUGGUGGCGCAGGAGUCGUCGCCCAGCCGUCGCCGCUAGGUGUGCGGGUGGCUUGGAACGGGUCAACCCAAAAGUACUAGUUUGACCCUGACGCACUCACUAGCCAACAAACCUUAUUUAUUCUGGGUCUCGGGUCGGGUUGGCCCUGCCCCUGACCCGACCAGAUGAUCCAACGGGUACCCAAACCACAGCCCAACGGAACUGUCGCUGCGGCUGCGAUGAUUCUCCACACGCGAGCUUCAGUUUGGGAGUUUCAGAGAGACGAUACAGCGUGUGAGCAGAGCACUACUCUCCUGCGUGCCACAAGGCAGGGAACUCAGCCAUCUGCUCCACCGUUGACAUACGCCAGAGCCACUUCGCGUUUGUAUGUCGUCACAGACAGAGUUACUCUUGCGCCAAGCCAGGCACUUAAAAAAAAAGUUCUCUAUGUCCAUCUUCCUUUUUCCCUCCUGGCAAAACAAAGAGUACACAUUUCAUCAUCAGUUUGUAAAAUGGUAUAUCUGCACUAAACAGAUUUUAUCACUACUCCACUGUUAUGCUCUGUUUGAUAUUUUUAAAACCCUGAGCCAAUUACUUUGCUUUUUUACUUUAUUAGAUCACUAGUUUUGAUAAACUAUGAUAUAAUAAAGUAUUUUUUUACUGAAAAAUCUGGUGAUGUACUUUCAUGCACUGAAGUUUGACAUUUUUAUAAGCACGUUAAUUUGUUCAAAGUUUGUAAUGUUUAAUCACCGCAUUGUAAAAUACAGAUAAAAAUGAAUUAAGGAAGGAGCGCUAGGAGACUACAUGAAACUGAAUAUUACCUGCAGUGAUAAAAUGCGGUCUUCCACUGUGUCUUUGAUGGUUAAACGGGAGACAGUCACAGGACGGAUCUGUCCGAUCCUAUGUGCCCUAUCAACUGCCUGGUCCUCAGCUGAGGGAUUCCACCAAGGAUCAAGCAUGAUCACAUGGCAAGCGGCUACCAUGUUCAGACCAAGAUUGCCAGCCUUCAGUGACAUAAUAAUCACUCCCACCUGAAGAAUGAAAAUGGAUUACUUUGUCAAACUUAAAAAAGGUAAAUAAUUAGCAGUGGAAACGGAAAAAAAAAGAGAGAGAGUAGAAGGCAAGAAACGAACCUCUGGGUCAGUAUUAAACUCUUUCACUGCUCUUUCUCUUGCGUUCAGAGGCAUGGACCGUCCAGCCUCCUGAACUCAAUAUUGUUGCAGCUCAGUGAAUGCUCUAGCAAGUCCAACAUGCCAGUCCACUGGGUGAACACUAUGGCCUUAGCGGGAGCUAUCUCACUUGGAAUUGAUGCCGUGGCAUCAUGAUCAUCCUCUGUGUUGAUGAUCGACUUGAGUAUGUUGAUGGUGGCCCGGAUCUUCGAAGAGACGUAACCACUUUCACAGAUUGAGAAUGGUUCGUCCUCAGAUGUGAUGGAACUUGUUGCAUCAGACUCCAGCUUAGGCCAGAGAACGAACUUCAAAGCAUAAGCUAAUAAAAGAGAUUCGGGGCUUACUUCCUUUCCGCAAUGUGGAGGAGCGGGGCAGACCUUCUCUUCAACCUCCUCCUUAUUUAUUAAAUUAUCAUGUACACAGUCACGGCAGAAAACAUGACCACAUGUUGCAACAACAGCUUUCACUGGUGGUUCCUACAGAAACAAAGACACUAUUGGCAAAUUGCAAGAACAAAAUAAUACCGAGAAUAAGUGAGCUUGCAGUUAUUCCAAGGCGACAAAAUUUGCAUGUACGAACUCUGAGUGAACUAUUUGCUUACACUGCACAUGGUACAUUUUGCAGCACCUUUUUCCAUAUUUUCAAGCACAUUUGCCGCUACUUCCACAGGAAGUUCCUUUGCCAAUCCUAGAGAGUGGUCAAAUGAUUGUUUCCCCUUAAGAAGGAAAGGGUGGUUACAAGCCUGCCUAAGUUGAGACAGCAACGCCAGGAUGUGCACAUAGUUUUUCUGCAUGUACUCUUUAGAGCGUCCCUGUAAAAUGAACUCAACAUGCAAGCAUCAGGUAUUGCACACUGAAAUUUCAGUGCAACUGAAACUUAGUUUGGAAACAGAAAUUUGAACUGAACAUGUAGAAUCAAUUUUAACCUAAAUGUGAACUGCAUGCGAAACCUAUCUUUCAUAAAGUUAAUGUGGGCAACUAGCUCAUGUUCAUCAACACUUCAUCUUUCAUAACUCAUGUUCAUGUGGACUGCUAUUCUGACGUAAGUACGUAACCUUGCUGGACUGAAACAUUUAUCAUGUAAGACAACACAGGAUGGGGGAAAACUACUGACUACUUAUUGAAAGAAUAUAGUAGAGUAUGUAGACUGGCAAUUACCCUUAACUUUUGACGAGAGUUUUCUUCAAGAUAUAAAUAGAAAGCUCGCUCCUCCUUGGUGCAAUCUAUUUUACUCAACUGAAUUGUCUUUGUUGGUAUUUUUAUGAUUGGCUCGCCAUCAAGGAGCAUUUCUAUAUGGAAAGAGUUCAAACUUAGAUCAAUGAAAAAACUAUCACAACCAGAAAUGAACCAAGUAAUCGCCAACUAUGCUGAAAACUUUUAAAAGUUAGGGUGCAGAACAUGAUGGGAUUUCCUUCACUAAAACAAAGUACCAGACACACACAAUAUCCAUGAUAAUGGCACCACUCAAAUUAAUCUACCGUGAGUAACCAUGUCGAGGAAAGUCGCCCGAUAAUGGCACCACCACCAGUCCACCACCACCAUAGAUAGUGAAACUGGCACCGGCGGCUUACCUCGUCGUCAAAGGAGCGGUCGGAGGAGUCCGGCGGCCGGCGCGGUUGCAGACUGGGGACAGUUCGAACGGGCGGAAUUUCGAUGAUGGAGAGUGAUCGGUGAAUGGUGAUCGAUCGAGGUAUUUGUUGGCGGCGUGGGGUACCGUUGGACGAGACGAUUUGAAAUUCGAAAAAUUGAAACGGGAAUGCGGCGGCCGAGAACCGGGAAACCAACCAAGGAAACUUGGAGCCUUGAAGGGUGAUGAGGUGUGAUCGCGGCGGGUCACCCUGAUCAGAUCGUAUUUGCCAGCGCGUACGCUGCCACGGUGGCUAAAAAUUUGGUGUUCAUAUUCUUUUUUAGACGAUAGAAUGCGAAAAUUUUGUUCUGAGAUGCAACGAGCACGAACACGACACACGCUUGUAACAGUUGAAGUUUCUUUUCUUUUGAGACCAGGGAGUUCGUUCAUUGAUCAAGAGCAUGGUUACAAUCUGACUCGAGGUAUCGAUGUACGCAUGACGGGGCUUGGUGCCACUCGCCCAUCACACACACUAGAAACCUGCUUGGCCAGCACAUGAGCUACCAAGUUACAAACUCUACUAGCAUAUACACAAAGAGAAGCUAACUAGAGAGUUAUAAAGCUCUUGAAUCUCCAUGAGAAUCACCGUAAUUGACGAUCGUUGCUCGUCUUUCAACGACCACAAACGCAUGGCAGUCCGUCUCAAAUACCACUCUUGUGGCGCCGUGUUUCCUCGCGAGAAUCAAACCAUCUCUGCAGGCUGACGCUUCCAUGGUUAGUGCAUCCACACAGAGAUCAUACCAUCUCGCCGAACCUCCCUGAAAACAGCCAUAUUGUGACUCGCAGAACAGCUCCUGUUGCUCCACUUCCAUCCAGAUAAAAGGCGCCAUCAAAGUUACAUUCGAUCCAAUCUUCCUCCAAUGGUUUCCAUCUAGGCAACACCUUCGGCACCUGCUCUUUCUGUGGGUGGAGUACGUAGUUGCCAUAGAUCAUAAGCCGUAUCACGCACCCGCAUAACUGCUUGACGAAUUGGCAGCCCGGCUUCACCAUGGCGACGCCGGUUCCUCAGCAUCCAAAGUGACCAUAUUCCACAUAUGAUCACUGCUCUAUCUUUCCUUGAGCAUACAUUAUCCUGUAGCAAAUCACUCGCCCAUGAAUCCGGCCGGAGACAUGGUAGCUUCACUCCAGUGAUCUUCUUUGCCUGCUCCCAGAACAUUCUUGCCACAGUGCAUUCUAACAGGACAUGCCAUACCAAUUCUUCAUCUGCCCCGCAUGUUUCACAAUGCGCAGUAGGUUCAAUGUGUCUUACAUGGAGUACCUUCCUUGCCGGCAGGUAGUCAUGUAGAACACGCCACCAGAACACCUUAACUUUAGUUUCCAAACCAGUUUCCAUUGCCCUUCCUCCGAACCACCUGGUUCAGACUGGUUACCUUCAUGUUGGUCUCGCACGUCUUCCUGCAGCCGGUAUGCCGACUUGAUAGAGUAGUUGUCGUGCCUCUCCAUCUCCCAUGCCCAGCAAUCCUCCCCUCCAGCCCUUAUUGGUAACUUGAGGAUUGCAUUUGCGUCAACAGGAAAGAAAAUGUCCCUGAUAAGGCCCUGCCCGACUUGUAACAGUUGAAGUUGACUAGAGCAAUUAUCACACAAAAAAAGCAUCUGUUCCACAAUUAGCAGCUACAGGUUUCGUGUCUAGGCUAAUCAAAGAACAAAAAUGCAACGAUAUCUAUAUGACAUCCAUGUACAAAUCUUCUCCUUCGGAUGGAAGAGCUCUCUCACAACUACGAAAACCAGCAGAACGCUACACUGUCCACCCACUGCAACAACAGUGCAAAUGUGGGCUUGGAGCAUCGGCCAUUGGUGAGGUGCAUAAGCAUACACUACCUCAGCUUCAAAAUGCCUACUUGCAUAAAUAACAGUGCCAGAUACUACCAUCAAACUCUAACCUAGCCUAUGUGUUAAGAUUGUCACAGAAAAAAAGUCAUCAGCCCCACGAAUGAUUACAAGUCCGCCAUCACACCAUGAAGAGGUAUCUGAGAUCUUCAUCGGUGAGUCGGGUAGCAUUGCCACUGGAACCGUCCUCGCCAAAGGCAGAUUGCACCAUCGUUCUCUUCUUCUCCUGGGAGGGAAAUAUACACAAUUUGUCAAUAAAAACAUGGAAAAGGCAGAAGACAAAAACAACAAUGGUAAGAUGGCCGAUGAACUGAUCCGCAGUGUCAGAUUAAUAGCAUGGAUAAACCUUCUAGCUAACAUAGAAUCAUUUUGGAAACAAAGAGAUCGACACUGGCAUAUGAUGUGCAUAGAUAAUAGCUGCUUCAAUAUAUAUUAUUAGCCUCACAUUCAUCAUCAUUUCAUUGUUCAUUGUAGCUGCUAUAUCAUUUCACGCCAAUCAUUAUUUCCUAAUACAAGAUGUGGCACGAAAUUGAAGUACUGGUGGUAUUGGCUAAAAGUUGGCUGACCACCUCAAGAUUACAAAACUAUAUUGAAAUGAGAGAAACAUGCAUAUGAUAUGAUUAGAGGCAUGUAUCCUCUAAUUAAAAAAAAGAAAGAAUACCAUGAUCUCGAAAUGAAAAUGCAGGAGCCAAAGUAUUACCUGCAGAGCUAAAAUGCGGUCUUCCACCGUGUCCUUUACUGUAAACCGCGAAACAGUAACAGGACGGGUCUGACCAAUCCUGUGUGCUCUGUCAACAGCUUGGUCCUCAGCAUAAGGAUUCCACCAAGGAUCAAGCAUAAUCACAUGGCAAGCAGCUAUCAUAUUUAGACCCAGAUUGCCAGCCUUCAGUGACAUAAGCAUUACUCUCACCUGAAGAAUGAAAAUGAUUAUCUAUAUUUACCUAUCAAAUGUCAGCAAAAAAUUACUGGAUAAGAAAAGGAUAGGAUGCAGGAAAGUACCUUGGGAUCAUUUUUAAACUCGUUCACUCCUUUUUCCCUCAAGUUGAGAGACAUUGCUCCAUCUAGCCUCCUAAAUUGUAUGCCACUGCUAUUCAGUGAAAGCUCCAUCAAAUCCAACAUGCCAGUCCACUGGGAGAAGACUAUUGCCUUAACAGGGGCCAUCUCGCUUGGAAUUGCUUCGGUAGCAUCCCCCACUGUGAUGAUUGAUUUAAGUAUGUCCACUGCUUGUCGGAUCUUCGAGGAGAUGUAACUGCUUUCACAGAUUGAAUAUGAUUUGUCAUCCACAGUGGAACAACUAGAUAUUACAUCAAGCUCCAACUUUGGCAAGGUACAAAGCUUUAAUACUGCUGGUGUAAAAACAGAUCGAACACUUAGUUUCUUCCCACAAAGUGGAGAGGGGCAGACAUGUCCAUUACUCGUUAAGCUCUCAUGUACACACUGAUAGCAGAAAACAUGACCGCAUGUCGUGACAACAGCAUCCUCUGGUGGAUCCUGCAAAAUGGAGAAAUCAAAUUAUUGUCCUGAUCAAGAAGUUGUGGGCUAAGAUAACAUUUAAGCUAAAAUCAAAUAAACCAAUAACUCUUUAAUGCUUCGUCGCACAUUGACAUACAUAUCUCUUGUUUAACUUAAUUAUUUUGCUUCAUAAAAAAUAUUCCAAAAACUGUGCAUGUAACAAAUUUUGAGUGAUCUAAUUGCUUACACUGCAUAUGGAACAAAUUGCAGGACCUCUUUCCAGCUUUUCAAGCAAAUCUGUCACUGUUUCCUUAGGAAGUUGCUUUGCCAUUUCUAUAGAUUUAGUGUCAACAAGAUCUGAUUCCUGCCCCUUCAAAAGAAGAGGGUGGUCACAAGCCUGCCGAAGCCGCAACAGCAACACAAGGAUGUUUGCAUAAUUUUCAUUUAUUGUUCCAGCUGCAUCAUAUGCCUGUAUCACAAAGACAACAAAUAAGCAUCAGACAUUUCGUGCCGAAAUUCUGGGCAACUGAACCUUAAUUUGAAAGGGGGGAAAUUAUAAGCCGAAAUGGGAUAAUUCAAUAUGUAAGCUAUUCUUAUUUGAUUAUAAACUGCUAGACCUAACGUCAGUAAAGUGAAUGCAAAUAUAAGGAGCAUACAUCAAGUAUACUGCUGAGACUAGACAAAUAUGAUGCACCAUGAAUGCAAAUAAAAAACAGGCAUCAGAUUUAAGCAAUUAAGUUGAAGGUACCUUGAACUUUUGUCGAGAGCCUUCUUCAAGUGUUAAAUAGAAAGCUCGCUCCUCUUGGGUGAAAUCUAUUUUACUCAGCUGAAUUGUCUUCGGUGGUAGUUUUAAGAUUGGUUCUCCAUCUAUUAGCGUUUCUGUAUGGAGAACGGUUCAAGAGUAUGUUAAUACUAAAUAUCACAACUGAAAAAACUUGAAAAAUAAAGAUAUACGCCACACAAAUGGAACUCAUUUUCAGAAAAACUAAAACUUGAAAAAUAAAGAUUUACGCCACACAAAUGGAAUUCAUUUUCAGAAAAACUAAAACUUGAAAAAUAAAGAUAUACGCCACACAAAUGGAAUUCAUUUUCAGAAAAACUAAAACUUGAAAAAUAAAGAUAUACGCCACACAAAUGGAAUUCGUUUUCAGAAAAACUAAGUACUGAAACACAAACAGAGUCAAAGAUGCCAAACAAAGCUUCAUGGUUGCAAGCCACUGCAAAUUAAGUAGGGAAUUAGUAAGUUUUGUAGGCAAAAGCAUUAAAGCGUGGUGUAGCUAAGAAGUACAAAAUGCUGACAGAUAUUAUAUAUGGUUGAGUUACUUUAUUUCACCUUUUGUGCGCCGCAGUAGAAUUAUCCUCAAGAUAGCUUGAAGUUUCUUAUAUCCACGAACUGGAUCUUUAGUAAUUUCGUACUUGAUCUUAUCUUUAAAAGAACUAAGUUUAGAAUAUGGCUCAUAUUUCAAGAAACAGAAAUAGCUGUAUAGAUCAUCAAUUUUAUUUUGUAUAGGUGUUCCUGAUAAGCACCAUCUCCUUUCUGCCAUCAGUCCACAACAAGCUCUUGACACUUGAGUCCGGUAAUUUUUUAUUGUUUGAGCUUCAUCAAGCACAACUCUGAACCAUUUCACCCUGGCAAGUGGGCCACCAUCUGAAUUGCUAGGUUUAUUUUUCUUCUUUGCCUUGCUUUGCUUUUUCGGUAGUCGUUUUCUUUUGCUGCCAGCACAAAAUUCCGGACAAAUUCCAGACAUUUCAAUGUCAUAUUUCUCAUCAUCAGAGUUUUCUUUAGGCACUUCAUUUGCCACGGUCAUGUAUGUAGUGACAACAACAUCAUAUUUUGCCAACUCAUUUGGAUCUCUAGUCCUUGAACCUCCAUGAUAAACCAAAACUGACAAUUUAGCGCCUUCCGUGACCUUCACAGACAACUCAUUAGCCCACUGCCUAAGAACACUAGCAGGGCACACCACUAAUGUUCCUGCAGUUGGUCUAGUCUUGGACCUCAAGGUUGAUGCAGAGGACCUCAUUCUGGUCUUCUUCCUUGAUUCAACUAUAUCAGUAGCAGCACCUGACUGACUAUCACAGAGCUUAAGACUGCUGGAAACAUUCAAUCUUGCAGAAUCAUCUAGCCUUUCAAGGGGGGGUUCAACCUUCAGUUCUUUCUUGUCCAUGACAAUGACCACAUCAUCAUCACAGAGCUUAAGACUGCUGGAAACAUUCAAUCGUGCAGAAUCAUCUAGCUUUUUCAAGGGUUCAACCUUCAGUUCUUUCUUGUCCAUGGCAAUGACCACAUCAUCAUCAUCAUCAUCAAUGUUUGGGACAGCGUUUGUACAGUAUGAACCAGCAGUCAUGAACCUAGACUGCUUAACCUUCUCCUUCUGUAUAAGGGCAAUCGUUGAUAUUGUCUUCCCAAGACCCUGUAUCAUAGAAAGUUAAUUGCCUGAUAUUUCCUCCAAUCACAAAUAUAAGUCCAUCUAAAAUUUGUCCAAAGCCAAACUUUCUUUAGCUUUGACCAAAAAAAUGUAAGAAUAGCUUUGACCACCAAUAUGUAAGAACUUACAUACAUUGAUAAUAUAAGGCUGAUCUAAAUAAAUUCACCAUGAAAUGUGCUUUCAUAAUAUAUAACUCUUUCUAUUUAAGAUAAUAUGUAGAUAUUUGUUAUCAGUUACACAUUGAAGACUGUGUUGAUGUCAUAAUGAUAUUUGCUGUCAGUUACACAUUGAAGACUGUUGAUGUCAUAAUGGGAUUAUAUUUGUGACAGGAGGAAGUUUAAAGGAAUCUGGCAGGAAGAAUAAAAGCUACUUGAAUAAGGUAGAAAAGUAAAACAUACCUGAUCGUCUGCCAAAAUUCCACCUGAACAAUGUGAACUAUUCUCCUUCGAAAGCAUCCAAGCUAAUGCAAUUUUCUUUCAAAAUAAAAGAACAUGAAAGUGAAGAGGGCCUCCAGAAUAAGUAAAAUAUCUGGAUAACUGAGAUAAAAGAAAAGGUUACCUGAUGCUUAAGCAGUGAUACUGACAUAACACCUUCAGGCAGAUCUUCUUCCCUUUUUUCCUGAAUGAUAUGCUGCAUAUGUUUUGGGAACAUUAGCAUGGUUCAUACAAGUAUGAUUAAAAAAUGAAUAAGAAAAUGGAAAGGUGCCAUGCCUAUAUAAAUCAACCAAAUAUCUAUACCUUCAGGGCUUCUUCAUAUACAGCUCUCUCAUCUAAACCGAAAAGCCUUUUUUCUAUGUCAUCAUCAUCUUUUGCAUCAUUAACAGAAGUCCUGGGUGGCAUUGGUGGAGGGAAGAUCCUAUGUGAACGCGAACCUCCACAUACAAAGACAUCAUCUGACAGUUUAAGACAGCAUUGUCUUAAUAUCCACACUUUGCACAAAUAUAAAUCAUUUUUGUAGUAUUGCUCAAAUCAAAAUCUUUCAUGGAUAGUAAAUGAAAUGGCACCUGUUGGUAUUGUAGAUGAAGACAUCCCAUUUCCAUUCGCAGUGCAUCUUUGAAAACCACCAAACUUCACAGCAGGCUCUUCCUUGAUUCUGUUGUCACCUAAACUUGAAUGAUUGGAUGCAAAUGAUUGAGGACUGAAGUUUCCAUUGGUGAAAGAUUGUGGAAACUGAUGUUCAACAUUUGGACCAUGGAAGGGUUCAGAUUUUGCUGCAGAACCAUAUGUUAUUGAUAAUGGAAUAUCCCUCUUGAUAUCAUUACUCACCCCACUGCUCAUUUCAGUGGUUGAUCUAUUCUCAACAGGGCUAUAAGAGGAUGAAGCAUUUCUACUGUUAAACCAAUCAUCAUAUUCUUUUUUUGCGAUCUGCCAAUUAUCGUAUUGGUCAAGUGCUGUGCUGAGAGGAAAAAGAGGCAGUUCAAAAGGACUAACAGGAUCCUCAUAAUCGGUAUCAUCUUCUCUCCAUGAGUGAAACUCAUUGUUGCCGUCACUAUCAGAAGACAGAUCAAUGAUGUCUCCCUCACUAUCUGAACUUAAGUCAAUAAUGUCCAUAUUGCUUACAAUCAUGCACGUUAAAUAUGCUUUGUCGAAUUUCUGUUAUGCUUAGCUUUAAUCACCAGAUAUUAAUCAAAUUAAUUAACAUCAACACGCUUGAGGACAGUCUCCUGCACAAUGACUUGUGACUAGGAACAAAUAAUGCACCAGGCUUCAGUGACAGAUCUCAGCAGGCAGCAGUUAGCCUGCAAGUGGCAUCAAGAUGGCAAACGAAAUUUCAGCUACACGUGUCAGGGUUGGAAAUAAUGCAAAUUCUAAAGUGAAACUCUAAUAACAAAAAGACACUUGUACAAUAAGAAAUUUAUUUGGCUAGUUAAGUGCAAGAUGCCAGCUCCAAAGAAGUUAGCAAAAUGUCUUUUUCCCCCUGUUGUUAGUCAAAAAGAAAACGAAAUGAAAGGAGCCGAAUUUUUGUAAGGGUCAAGACUCAAUAUUCAGGCGGAGUAGAUUCAUCACAACAGCAACAGGAAAACUUCAGCAGAUUGUUAUUUCCCCUGCCAAGCAUCGGUACAAACCGUGAACCUACAGAGCUACUGACGAACGUACAGAAACCAAGAAGAAUCAACCAGUAUAAUCCCGUUAGGCAACAUCUGCGGAAUUCGCAAACCCAAUCGAACCCACGAUCGUUUAAACCUUCCCCAACUCCCGUUUCCAACCAAUCCCAAAGACCUAAUCGGCGCAAAGCCGCCGCAUUUCCAUCACAAUCGGGAUCAAUAUCGUUUAAAUUUCCCGUAAAUCGAAGCACUUACAUCCAAAGAAACCAUUAUAAUAAAAUAUAUUUCCGUCCAGGAGACCAAGAGCCACAAGUCAAGAAAGACACUACGGAGAGCGAAGUCAAGCAUCGUUGUUACCUGCUCCGAAAUCGGCGAGUGGGCGCGGGCGGAGAUCGACGGGCGACCGCACGCCGGCGCGGCGCCGGAUGUUUCUGAGCACGUGGCGGCGGAAUCGGCGAGAAUCUAUCGCGGCGAGGGGAAUCCGGCGAGGCGGUUCGUGCGUGACGGCAGGCGGGCGUGCGCGACCGAGACCGGGGGAGGAGAUUUGGGAGGGUGGCGCGGCGUUCGUUGCAGAGCUUUGUAUGCCUGCGGCGCGGGCCCCGCACGCUCGGGCUCACUUGUCAGUGGGAGCACUCGAGCGGGAAAACGAAAAUAUUUUCAUUGGCUGGGAACGGGAAACGGUCUUCGAAGCUUACGGCGGAAGGAAACGUGUGGGAGGCGACGGAACGGCGGAUAAUGACUCAAGUGGUACGUGAAAUUUCACGGGAAUUUCGCCGAAAUUUGCACGACCGUUUGGAGCAAGAGCGCAAAAGUCCCAAAAAAAUAAACCGGAGAAACUCAAGUGAAGGAAGUAUGGUGAUAAUUUAAUACGUACUAGCUGUAUCGAACCAAACAACGGAUACAGACUCCGAGUAAUUUACCCAAUUGUACACCGAAACGAGUCAAAAACAAGUGGAAAUACAAAAAAUGGAAACAAAUCAUAUUCAGACGCUAAAAUCCAGAAAACUAACAAAAAAAAAUGGUCAAAACCCCACUCGCUUUCCCACUCAUAUUCCUGACUUCAUGAGUGUCAAGCGUGAGCUGCCGGGCCGAGGCCCACGACGAACGGCCCAGGCGGCCCAAAGUAGGGCACGCCCGUGGGCGGCGCGGCGGCUGAGCCUGAGGAGGAGGACGAAGCGACCCCCGGGAACGCGGCCACGGCAGGCUGCGUGAGCGGGUUGGUCGGCGGCGUGGUGGCGGCGCCGGAGGUGGCCGGGAGGAGAGGGUCGCCGUACACGGGGCCCUCCUCCGCCGGCUGCUGCUGGCAGUCCGGCCAGUGGCAGUCCGGCUGGGCUCUGUUGGCUCCCCACGUGUGGCGGGCCAGGCCGAAGCCGAGGACGAGGCCCGCGACGAGGAGCGCCGCCACGAGGCACAGGAAGAUCUUGGUUGCCUUGCCCACGUAGCAGCACAUCUGAAGGCAAGCAGCUGCUGCUCCGUCGUCUUCCUCCUCCCUGCUCUUGCUCUCUUCUUCGACCUGUGCUAGCUACCACUCACUCUCAUCUCUCACUAGAAGAACAUGCAGGAGAGCAGAGAAGAUAUGGAGACUGGAGAGUGAGGGAUGGCGAGAUGGGUCCAGUCCAGAGGAAGAAGGGGUCACUCGGCCACCUCGCUUUUGUUUUUGGUGUUGGUGCUGGUUGUCGGAUUAGCGCUCGUGCAUGGCUACACGUGAAGGAGAGAGAGAGCGGGAUAGCGUGAGAAAAAGUUCUGUUAGUUGCUGUUACCGAAGUACACACAAUAUUAUAAGCAAUUAACAGACAAUCACGAGAAAUUGAUUGUGUGGCAAGCACUUUUUAUCUUAUUCAGUGCCGCUCAGUUUCAGGCUUUCAGCAGUCAGUGUGGUCAUCAGCCUGAAUCCUGAUCCGUGCUAUCUGAUCUGUAUAACAGAACAGAAAGGUCAGAUUACUGCAACACAAAAUCAUUUUCUGCAGGGGUAUGUUCGACACUGACAGAUUCAAGUGAUCAAGUGCCAGUUGAUACCAGCAGAAUUGCAGAAAGCAAGCAGAGAUUAUCAGGUGACAAAAGCACACUUCUACCAUCUGAGCCUGUCAGCAACAGUAGUUAACUCUGCCGACACUCCUGGUCACAAGUAAAACCGGGGGUAUAUUGGACAAGGCGACAGUAAGAGUGAAGCUUCAGAGAGCCACAGAUCAUGGAGAGAGCACUGUACACCACAGUCCAUGGUGCCAUGGCAACAUGCCAUGGUGUCUCCCCAGCAAUGAUUUGCCUUUCCUUCCUCGUCUUCCUUUCACCUUUUUCUUCGGCGCCUCCCGGACGAAGAUAAGAGUAUCAUUGAGCGAAAAGCUGAAGCCAACCUGUGACAUGUCAAUAGUUGCUCACAUGUUGCAUUGGGCCACAGCACAGCCUGCAGUUUUGUUCAUUAUCCUAGGGUGGUUAGAUGUGGUGCCUCUGGUCAGGUCCAUUUCUGUUGUAUAUUCUUUUGAUGCAGGUAGCAAAGCUGCAGUUGCACUGGCGCCUUCAAAUAUGAUAAUCCUACCUACAAGUUAACUCUGCAUAUGAUAAGUACCUACCAGCAUAAUCUAGGAUUACAUCACACUUGAUCAUGGGGAUUUGCACAUUUGCAAUGCUGCAGAGGUUGUAACAAUUUAAUACACCAUUGUCAGAAGAGAGCAAUUUGGCGCUAGUAAAUCAACCACUGCCAUCUGAAAGUGACAUGUAUCCUCAUAUCAUGGUAACAGGCAAGUGUGCUUGAAGUGACCUUUAUUUUUCAACCCCAAACACAAGCAACGAUUCAGAGUCACACCCACUACGUUCACAGUUGCAGGAUCAACAGGUAAGACUACUGAGCUACAAAUCGACAGCCAUCAGAGUCACACGAGCGACAAUGUACAGUCUGGAACAUCCAGACGCAUUUCAGAAGACCUGACCAGGUAGUGCUCACGGUCACAGAGCAGUUCAGAGGACAUGACGGCAACGAAUGACUAUUCCACCACUAUUGAGUUUCGAAGGGAUCAGUAGAAGAAUCCACCAGCUUCUUCAACUCAUCGGGAUUCGCCCCAACCAUCUUCCUAACCACCUCCUUGUUCUUGAUGAGGAAAAAUGUCGGCAUGGCCUUCACUCCGUACUUGGAUGAAACACUCUGCAUUCACCAUGGUGGCGUAGCUUAAUCAGGCUUUCUUCAGACAUGUAUGAAGAAGAGUGAGUUUCUCUAUAUGUUUGUAUCAUAAUAUCCAAAUAAAAUAAAACAUUGGGGAUCCUCAAGACCUAAAGAAAUUUUAAAGAUUCUAUAUCAAGCAUCAAUUUAUGCUGUUACCCCGUGCUUCUAUUUCUUGGAAGAAAAAUGUGAUGCGACUGAGCAAGUUCCUUUCUUUCCUUAGAGGUUGGAUCAUAAAAAGCCCAGACACAAGACAAGUAAGAAGAAAUAGUGAUUACCUGUAGAUCGUCAACAUCCACAUAGAGGAACAAGACCUCAGGGUGGGUCUGAGCUAGCUCCUCAAACUUGUAGUUCAUGGACAGGGACGUCACACACCAUGAUGCCCCGAAAUGGGCAACAACCUGCAUGGCAUGGAGGAUAAUUUUAUUAUGGUUAAAAUUUUGUGUGGAUGGAAAAACAGGAUCUGGAUGCUGUUCACUAGAAAGGCAGAGCACCGACCGUCAGGCUAAUCUAUCCCCAACUCUACUGAUUUUGCCCACUAUAACCAAAGGAAAAGAUGUAACAGAUACACGAACAACAAAAGGAAGAACAAGAAGGAGCUUGGCCAAAAACCAAGUUGCAUAAAAAUUGUAUAAUCUCACAAAAGCAACGCGUUAUGAUAUACAUCAAUCAUUCUAGCACAAUCGUGAACAGAAACAAAGAAUGGACCAAACUGGAAAUAACUGAGAGCCCACAACAUCAGAGGGCAUCAUUAGAACUUUGAAAAUUGAACCGAAUCUCAACAAGAAGAAAAGAACCAGGCCAAAGAGGAGAGGUGGGGAGGAAAGGGAAAGCAGGGGAACCCACAGGGCGGCCUUCGUUGCUUGCUUGAUUGGUGAAUAGCUCCCAUGCCUCCUCGCUCUGAACCUUCACGACCUUCGAAUUGCCAACCCCCCGGGGCUGCUGGAUCUCCAUAUGGCCUGAGAACACAAGCUUCUCCCCCUUCUCUGUUCUUCUUCUUGGUCUCCUCCUCCCUGACCCCUUCCCCAGCAAGAAAAAGAUUUACAGAUUGUCUACGGAAGAAAGGUGUGCCAAUCCACUCUGCUAAGAUAAGCAUGGGAAUAUAUUCUACAGAUGGUGGGUCCAGCCUUAUUUUGGCUGAUCUGAUUUUUCUGGAGUCUGAGAGGAUCCUAUGCGGUAUUCUGAAAUCCAAAGUAAAAAAACAGAAGCAUACAAAUGGAAGCAUAUUAAUACAAUGCUUAUCAGGUGAGAACAUGUGAGGCAGAAAUAUUAAUACAAUGCCUAUCAUGUGAGAUGAUGGAAAGUAAGCCCACAACUCGACCUUGUUAACUAACAUCCUUGUAAAAUGUGUCCAUCAUAGUCAAAUCCACAUCAAAGGGUGUUGCUGGCAGUGCGACAUCAUUUUUCUGCGGCGUCGGCAUUGCUAUCUUCCUCUGAGGAGAAAAAAGCAGCUUGCUUACCUAAGAUGGCACAUAGCACCGCGUGGAUAGCACACAGCAUCACCAAAAACAUGGGCCUCACGAGGUUAGAAUUACUUUGGUGCCACUUCACGGACCCCAGUGUGUUUAGAAACGGAAAAGUAUCAUUUUCUGGACUAUAAGAACUACAGACAAGGAAAAUAAGUUUCCAGCUGUGUUUUUUUCCCCAAGAAAAACUCAUGGAGAUGAGUAUUGUACAUAGGUUCUUAGUUUCUUACUUUCCUUUAGUUAGUAUAUUUUGAUGUUGAAUAGAACUUGAAGUAUCCAAUGAAAAAUAACUCUGGUCUCUGGAGUAUUAUAAAGCUCCAUCCUAUAAUAUCAGUAUGACUUUGGGUGCUUUUGCUAAUAAGAAAAGUUCUUCACGAAAUGGGAAUAAAAGAAUCAAGACAAGGCACCUUGAACCUAUCCUCUAACUUACUGCAGAAACACAAAUCCAGAAUCUUCCUUAUACUUAUUUUGCUUCUAGUAAUUUCAACUUCAUGCAGCGUAAGCAUAGAUGAUCCGACAGACCUAUCCAAUCCAUACCCGGUGUUUGCAUCCUUAGUGCAGACACGGCUAAGAUCCAAAAUAGAUGGGGGAGGGGGACAACCCCUGCCUGCGCUUAAUGGAUGAUUCCGUAUUAUAUAAGCAAUAAUUGAGUUUGAAAAAAAACAGAUUAACCCAUAGUUGCACAAGCAUGGAAUGUCGAAAUCAAUCGUACAUUCGUACAUGAUGACUGAUUCAGGAUGAAACGACCCCUGUCCGUAGUUGCAAGGAAGCGUACACUAUAAGAAAUACCAUCACCGUUGUUUAAACAGUCCUGUAAAGCUUAGAAAUGAAGCUUUCCAUGUUGUCUCCUAUAAAAGGCGAACGCGUAAUGUAGCGCAAUUCUACCCAAAACAAUCCAUGUCAUUACCUUGAUUCUGGACAGUGACAUAGAAGAAAAGGAAUCUGCUCAUGGCUGCCGCCUGCUGGCUUCGAUCCAGAACAUGAUCGAUGCCGGGAGAGCGCUCGAGGUCUCAGGGCGCUGCGCCGUCGAAGCCUCCGGUCGCCGCCGGGGAAGAAGCCGCCGGGGAAGAAGCCGCCGCGGAUUCGGACGAGCUCACAACGCUGCAACGCGCGGCUUGAACUUGGGCCGCAGCUGCGCGUGUGCCUGGGCCCAGGACGAGGAUGGGCCGCGCGUGGUGAGCUCAAGAUUUCCAGAGGAACUUUUUUUUUUAGUAAGAUUUCCAGAGGAACUGGAGGGAGGUCGGAGGCUUCAUCUCAAAGGGAAGAAAGAAAAAGGAAAAGAACUUAGAGCUACUGAUGAAACUAGCAUUAGCUCGUCAAAAGAUUCCUCCAUGAUAAGACAAUAUGGUUGCUUCAAAUGCAAUACUUAAGUUUUGUUGCGCUAUCCUGUGGAGGCAACCCAUCAGCACAAAGAACAAGCACUCAUGACUCAUGACCCAAGCAACCGAACAGAAAUGAAAAAAAAAAUAUAAACGUGUUCAAGAUUGAACAAAUCGGUGCACUGCACAUUUCAUGAGUUACAAGGUACCAAGUGAUUUCUUUGUAGCAUAUUAGCAUAGUAUUGUGCUAUUACCAUAAGCCAGCAGCUGAAUUCUGCUUGGCAGAAAAAAAAAUACGUAGUUUCAAUUAUGAACCCGCCGUCACAAUUAAUAUUACUGAAGUCUGCUACACCCAAAGGAAAAGCGUGACAAGAAGUCAGCGCUCCAACAUAUGCUGCUCUCAGCACAUCUCCACUGCCUACACUGUACAGGUUACAAGAUUUCUGUUGCACAUCGGCACAUCGCCUUGGUGGCCAAAUGUGGCACAAACCAACUCAUUAUAUAUCACAUUACAGUGAUGGCUACAACGACUUCACCCAUAACUCAGCCUAGAAUCGAAGGAACGGGCUUGUGUCUGACGCCUUGGUAUCCCGAUCUCACAAGCAUUCACCCUUGAAGCAAACCUCAAGGAGCAUAUCGUCUCCCCAACAGAUGAUGCCUCAGGUGAAAUAUUGACAAACAUAAGAGUUUUCGAGUCUCCUCCAAGGCAAGGCUGCAAAGUCAAGUUAUAGCUAAGAAAUUGUUUGAAAUGGACUCCUGAACAUACAACUUUAAGUAGAUGUCCUGUGUCACUAACCUGCAAUAGGUACGUAAGUUUUGAGUUUCUGAAGGGAACGUGGUCAUCUCCUUUUGCAAUCGCAAAGAUUACAUCACUCAGAGCUGACAAGCUUUUAUUGAUUGACUAAAACAUGAAAAAGAAACAUGAUUACACACCACUGUCAAAUACUGAGAAUAUUGGAAAUCAUAAGAAGUGCGUGCACACCUGAGUUUCCUUCAAGCGAUCACCGGUGGAACCACUUUUAGCAAGGCGCUCACUCCCAGCUAAAUCGAUCAAGUUAAGGACCCCUUGGACAUGUUGGCCUGUGUUCUGCAAGAAAAUGAAAAAAGAAGGCAUAUAUUCCGAUUAUUUAUGUUUAUUUAGUAUGCUGAGUAAUCUAAAAAAGGAUUAACAUCCAUAAGAAAAUGAAGCAUAAACCACACUAUAUUUUGGUAGAUCUUGGCAUGAUAGUCAAAUUAAUUUCCUUACAUAGUUCCUGGUACACUUCAAGCUGUGACUAUGAGACUUUGCAUACCUCGUUUGAUCCUGAUAUCUUUAGUGUGAACACAAAAUGACUCCUAGAAGAUUGUUCAUUCAUCUGGGUCUUACCCACGGAUCUGUUAAAAUGCAAAAGACAACAUUAGAUGCAAUAGAUAUAUGUAAUCACAUAAAUAGACAUGUAGGGAAAAAACAGCUUAGAUGAACAAUUAAAACCUGCAAUUCACUAUAUAUUGACACUACCCAUUGCACAAAAUAAACAAUGCACCAGUAAGUCUGUUCCAUUUAACCAAACAAGUACCAACAGAUGCCAAUGCUCAACAAGAAAUAAGGGCCAUAUACACAUGUGCAAUCAAAGAGGACCACCUGCUCUGGGAUGCUUUCUCUAGUAGAGUAGUCACAUCAGCAAUACCAAAGACAUCGAUAAUUGUAAGGUCAGACACAGUUGUAUUCCCAUGAGAGUCGUGCUUUAUAGUGUAUUGUUUACUGGGUGUCAUCUCAAAACUAUUUGGGCGACCUGGUGCUAACAAAUCGCGAAUUGUCUCAUUGUAUAUUUCCAACAUUGAUGCCUACACAAUGAGUGAGAUAUACAUUGUUUGUGUUAGUAACAACACAAAUUAAUGCAGCAUUUAUAAGCCAAAUAGCUGUGUGAUACUAACUUGCAUAGAAUACUCCCAUCCUUGAGAUUCUAGAGAUUGACUUGUCUUAAAAAUUUGUUCCAAAGAACGAGGUAUUAUGCCUUUCUGAUCAAUGCCUGGUCUGCCCAUCAUUGUAUAAGUUUUACCGGAUCCGGUUUGACCGUAGGCAAAUAUGCAUACCUGUAUUGCAAAGGCGUUAAACAUGAGAAAUUACUUCAUAAAUAAAAAAAAUACAGCAGCUAUACCAAGAAGUUUGUAAAAAUAAGUGACAAUCCAUAUGAACUGAAAGCUUCACAAGGAUGUAGUAACUUGACUGUGCAUGGAUUAUGUAAUAAUAUUUUGACACACAAGAUUAAAGCAUAAGGAUGAUCAAUUGUAAAGAUGUGAAAUAAUGCUAAUAUGGUUUGUUUCUUACCAUAUGUCGAAGUUGAUAUGAAAAAAAUUACCACAUAUGGAAUCAAUUUAAAAAAGCAUUUAGAAUGUCUUCAAAGAAUAAAAACACAAUGAGAGUACCGCAUCACUAGAAACUCAAAAGGCUAACAGUUCACACAUAUGGUUGCCAUUGUACAUGAAGGAAAUGAAGGAUGUUUGCUACCAUUAAAGAUGAACACUUGUAACUAUCCAUCAGCACACCAUGUAGCGAUUCAAAGUUAAUACCUUGUAUCCAUCAAGUGCACUUUGGACUAAUUGCGAUAUUUCCACAAACACAUCUUCCUGUGAAGCAUUGUGGUCAAAAACCUUGUCAUAUGAGAAGGAGAGCUUCUGGCCUGCAUAAGGAAAAAAAAUAACAACAAAGGAACACCACAUUAGUAUCGUCAUAUAAAACUAAGUAGGCGACCCAAAAAAACCAUGUUGAAGACAUAAUUUACCUUGGUUCAUCAAAUCAAUAGCACGCCCAUUAGAUUCUACUGAUGUUGGAAAAGAGAUAGAUGCUCCUUCUGGACCAUUUGAAUCACCAUCAAACCGAAGAAGCGGUCGAACUCGACAGAAAACCCUGAUAUUUCCUUUCAAUUCCUGCAAAUAUGAGGCCAAUCAAUACCUAGAGAGUGCAGCAUAUACAAUAAUACUUCAAUUGCUCAUCCAAAGUAUUUACAAAGAAGAGAUACUAAUAACUAACAGCUUAACAAAGAGAUAAUAUGCUUUCAAGUAUUACCAAUAUAGUAUUAUGUAGUUUUUUCCGCAACUCGUCACCUUCAACAAUUUGAGACUCUGCAUGUGCCAAACGCUCCUCAAGGUAUUUUAUUUUCUCCUUCUGCUCUUCAUAUCCUGUCAUCGCCUCGAUUGCAGUCACAUCAGCAAGCUGCAUAGAUGAAUAAUUGUUUCAAACGAUAAAAAAUGGAACAAUGCAUUUGUUUCAUAGAAUUAUCAUUAAAACUAGUAGCAAAUGCUUCAACUUCUAACCUUCAACUUCUGUGUUGCCACUGCAAGCUGCUUCCGAAAAGUCUGAAUCUGUUCUUGUUGUGUAUUGCACGUUUCCUAAUAAUAAAGAAUACUUUUAAGCCCAACAGUAGCCCAACAGUUACGCACUACAGAUAUGACUACAAAUCUGCAGCUACAAACCUCAAGUGCCGAUACUUUUGUACUCAAGCCUUCGCAUUCUUUUGAAGAUUUACCAAUUUGUUCCUUGCAAUUAGCAAGUUCAAGGUUCAAAUUGUUCAGUUGAGCAACUGAAUGAUCACGGUCAUCCCUAACCUGCUUCAACUCAGCUCUAAGACACUCCACUUCUUUCCUGAGUUCUUCCUUCACCCUAAUGGACUCUUGCUGAGAAGCCUAAGAGAAUAUUAAAAAAAUACAUAUGUGUGUAAUUCAUGCUGAGAUACACAUAUCAUUCAAAUCCAUUGAACUGUCCAUGAUUUUCAUUAGGGAAACACGCAAAAUUCAAUAAAUAGUUGAUAAAAAAAUCUUUCAUGGAAGUACUUACUCUAGAAGAUUCUAGCUGGCUGCUCAUUGAGUUGUUACAUUCUCUUAGAGCGGCCAUAGUUUCCAUCAUGGCGCUCUUCUCUUUUUGUAGUUUUGAGAUAGUCUCACCACUCUUUGAGGCAUCAGCCUGAAGAUUACUGUUGUAUUGUUGUAAGCUGGUGUUGUAUUCUUGAAGCCUUUUGUUCGUGUCUUGAACCAUUUUUAGCUGGCAGUUCAAGACAUAUAUAUGUUAACAGAUAGGUCUCAGGAUACAAAACCAUGUAAAAAAUAGUCCAUAAGAUCAGGUUAACUAUUUCCCAGGAACACAUUAUGUCAACCAUUACCUGCUCGCUAAACCGCUUGGCGUCAUGAGUGACCCUUUCUAGAUCUACAGUCAGUACAUCUCGUGAACUCUCAGCUGAUUCUCUUUCCUGCUUUUCUUUCUCGUAGGACUCCACAGCAAUCUGCCAUUUACAAAAUGGAGUAAAUAAAAUUUUAACCGGAACUGGAAGUAUAUCAAUUAUCAGGCAACAAGGACAUAAGAGUAUCCCUCACCAAUUUUUCAGACUUCUCCCUGUUCAAGCUCUCCUCUAGAAAUUCGCAUCGUCUUGUCAAGUCCAAGUUAGCAGCUUUCAACUCUUCAAUCGCAGUGCUGAGCUGGGCCUCUGCAACAAGAAUUGAAUUCUAUCAAUAAAUACCGUGGCGCAGACAACAAUUCAGAAUCUUCAGAUACUUUAGUACAAUGCGCUGAGAGGCUGAGAAAGGCUCAAUUUUCCUCCCCAUGAACUCAGCCAAACAGAAUGAGAGUUAGGAUUUAUUACCCAAAUCGGUAUGACGGGUGUUCUCAGCAUCCAUGGCACCCCGGAGUUUCUCCUGCUCAACCAAAUAGCCAUCCUCUAGCUCCAUGUACCACCGGAUGCACGCUCUGAGCUUCUUGAUGUAGUCGCUCAUCUGCUCCACUCUCCCCUGCAGAAAUAUGACGAAUUCAAGAAAACGCCUCCAAAUCUGCAACAAGAACGCACCAAUAAAUUCCCCUCAAAACCAACCUUGUAAUCGUUCUUGCUCUUGCCCUUCAUCUUCUCGGCAAGCAGCCUCUCCACGUCCUCCCUCCCGCUGAACUCGACCACGGGCGCCGCCUCCGCCCCGCCGCCGCCGCCGCCGCCGCCGCCGCCGCCAUCAGCCGGCGCGGACGGCGUCCCGCCGUUCGCCUCGCCGUUGUUGAUAGCCGACAGCACGUUCCGGCGCGGCGUCACCUUGAACCCCAUUUCGCGCCGCGCGGUGCCCGCGUUCUCCUUCUUCUGCGGCAACAGCAGCACCACCGUCACGACAUCCGCAUUUCAAAUCCCAAGCAACGCAGAGGCGAAUAGUAACCCAGGAACAAAGAGAAGUUUUGCAGGGAAGGCGAGGGGGAAAAUCACCAGGUAGGAGCUGCGAGGCGGCAGUGACGAGGCCAUGGUGGGAUUACUGGUGGGAUUAGGGGUUAUAGCUAGGUUUCCUCUCCCCGGCGGUGGGGGAGGUGGAGCUUUCUUGGGGCGGGGUGGAGUGAACUCGACGGCAAAGAAUCUCGUGGCUUUGAAGCGCCGACGAAUUCGCGCCCCGGGCCCGAAAAGCUCCGGAAAACCUCAGCAGAAUCGCGGAGCCGAUGAGCUCAAACGGACCUGGAGGAAAAUCACCGUCGAAUUUCCAGGGAUUUUUCCGUUGGCUCGGAUCCAAGCGAGAGAAGCCGAGGGAAGGGGAGAGGGAGGAGGGGAGGGGAGGCGGCGGAGCUUUUUCGAAAUAUUUUGAACCCGAAACGACAAGGGGUACCCGGCCCGAUGUGUCAGAGCGGGUUUAUUUACUCCCCUGCCACUGGGGAGUGGUGCGGGCCGGCGCGGCAGGUGGCCUUGUGACUCCGCGCCGGCCGCCGGCGCUCGGGGCAGAACAGUGGCUGGCCGGCCUGGGCCCGUGGCGGUCUCGGGGUUUCGUUCACACGCGACGGGUAGUUCCGGCACGUCCAAUCUCGAUGAACGGUCAACUUCCGUGUCGCAGCGCGGGCCUCGAGAUGGGCCGGGCCGAGCGUGUUGCGACGUUGCUCUCCGGCGAGAGAGAGAGGCAGGCAAGUCCUCAGCAGCGCGAAGGUGCGGCGUCUUUCAGUCACUUCACUUCACUUCACUGUAGUCUGUACGGACGAGAACGACGAUGACGACGACGAGACGCCGUGGCGCCAUUAGCGGCUUGCUAAUCGCUGCCUUUUGUCUCGUGGCGUCGGAGGCUUAAGUGCUUAACUAGCAUUUUCUGAUGAUUUGCUCACUGCUGGGGACUGAUCAGUGUACUGUUCAGGUUAGGAGCCUGUGGGGUCUGGAUUUUACUCCCCAUCUGCGAUCUGCACGCCCGUUUCACUGUUUUGGCGUCCUUGGGGUUGGUGACCGGCGAUCGUCCUGUUUGUCCGUCAGUUCAGCUGCAAUGAAAGGUUAAAACGCGAAGGUUUUCUCCGAAUCACCGACGUUGCCAAUCCAAACACGGGCCACACAGAUCGACCUUCAGAGAGGCCUUUUCUUAUUGAUGAAGCUCUGAAUUCUGAAAGCUUCACGAGUUGAUGGAAAAGUGUAGUAGGAUGCCGUACGUGCGUGCUUUAAGUACUGUCCAAGUAUCAGUGCUGGGAUGCAAUGAUUAGCGACUCGGAUUCUGGAUUGGGGCACCGCGCCACCAUCAUUAGAUGUGUAUAAUAGUGUGACUUGUAAUCCAGUUCAGGGCAGUAGCUGAGCGCGGCCCCCACAUUACAUGCUGCUUUGAUUUGCAGGUGAAGCUAGUGCUGUCGUGUACUUCACGCAGGAAAGGAUGGUCCUGAGUCCUGACUGUUCGAGACGUGAGUUGACUCUAGCUACAACCUUCCUGCAUCACUAAAGAUUUAGAAUUUAUCUUAACUUCAGCUUCACCUAUUUUGCACAAAACGAGUCACUAUAGCGUCAAAAGAAAUUAUUUUGUAAACCUAGAAGCCAGAUAAAAUUACUAUUUUCAGCUUCACCGGUGAAGCCAUUUUGAGUCUAAAAGGGGCCUAAAUUCUUCGAUCACUGCCGACUCUGAUCGUGAUCGGUGGUAAUUCUCCGAGAAAAGGGUUCCUGACGCCGGACUGACUGACUUUCAGCUCGCCGAUCGCUGCAGGAGUAAAGCAGGGAUUCGAACCUGAAAGUCGCGAUGACGAGCACGCACCACCUCGCGGCGGAGAAACCAAGCAGGGUGCGCGGCCACCGCGCGCGCGUUUGGUUGCGGAAAGCGCCGUGGAAACCGCACCGACCCGUCGCCCCGACGAGCCCCCCCUGCCGACACACACCCACGACACGGCGGAGGCGCGUCGCGCACGAUCGGGUUGGGUGUGGGGUGCGUCGCACGGCACCGAUCGGGCGCGUGCAGUGCAUGCGGUGCAAAUUAGGAUUAGCCCGGCCGCAGGUCAAUCGGUGAGGGAUGCAUGCAUACAUCACCAGCAGCUGCCGGUGACACUGCCUGCCGCGGGGGUCACUGGCCGGUGACGAAGGUGACGGUGACCGCGCGCGUGCCCGGGCUCCCAACUCUGAGGGCGCGGGCGCACCGAACGCCGCGCGGGGGCAAGGAAGCGCAGCGCAUGGCAACGUUGGUUGAUCGUGAUCGAUGCAGGGGUCGAUCGAGCACGGGCAGUCGGGCACGGGGAGAAGUUGAACGACCGCACCGCGCAGCAGUGGGGCGGACGCGAGGUGCGCCGAUCGAGGACCCCAGGCGUGACACCGCCUGAGAGGCUGAAACGCGAACGAACCAUAGGGCCCCGGAGCAAGCCCGUCCAUGAGAUGAGACGGACGGGCGGUGCGUGUCCAGUGUGUCAGUAGGGAUGGCAACCGGGCAGAUCGGGACCAGGUGGAGUUUCCACGGACCCAUCCCCAAAACCCGAGCCAUAAACUCGUUAUGAUCCUGAAACAACAAAUGGGUAAAAAACUUCACCCGCCCCCGAAUUCGAUGGGGCCCGACACCUGAGCCGUCGACAAAGGUGGCGGACGAUGGCGAGAGUGGCAGAAGGGGGAGCAACGGGUACGCACACGCACUGCAGAUCUUGAUGGGCUGGCGGAGGAAGAUGUCGUGGGAGGCGUCGGCGGCACUGGUGGGCGCGCAAUCUGCAUCGCAGAUCUUGAUGGGCAGCGACGUUGUCCAUGCUGCUGCUGCCACUCGCCGUUGCUGCCGCUGGGGAUGCGGUGAGUGGGAAGAUGGGGGAGAAAGGGAAGCAGCAGCUGGCAGGUAAAAUGGAGGAGAAGGGUGCAGCCGCGUCACCCGAGCGGGGCAGGGGCAGCGCGGCUGAGGCCUGUGGCGACGCGCCGGUCGCCGCCACUGCUGGGGAGUGGGGAUGGGGUGGAGGCUGGCAGGGGUCAGGGGGGAGCGGGUGAGAGACGAGAAAGGGGUGGAGGGCUAGAGGCCGUGGAGCAAGUCCGCGCGAGGGAGGUGUGGGCAUGUGGGAACUGUCGGUCGAUGCAUGGGAGUGAUGACUAGACCGUUGCAGCAGCAGCAGUUGUGCUUCAUGAGCUAAAUUUGGGGCUCUAUAGGCCCCCGCGGGGGAAAUCUUUAACCCAGCCAUGCACCCGCCAUGUGUCGGGUCUCCGAACUUGAGACCCGCGGGGGAAAUUCCGAACCCGCCCCCAUCCCUGUCGGGUCUGAAACCCGCGGAUCUCAAAUCCAGACCAGCCCGAUUGCUAUCCCUAUGCGUCACCCAUCAGUCCAUCACCUAUUUCACCCGAUGUCGAUCGGGGUUAGGCUCGCAUCAGGACGCCCAGAAAAUUGGCCGAGCAGCUUGGCAGGCGACUGCCCUUCGUUUAGGCGACACAUGCUUGCGCGUCACAACAUGAGCUACUUCCACAAAAUUUUCAGCAUUCUGACAUUACAAAUUAUGUUAAAAAUUGUUCAAAUAGCUUGCACGAAAUUUUGAAUCAAGAAUUUCAGAAUAUUUGAAAGGCAAACAUUUAUGAAACAAUGAAUUAUUAGAAGUAUUAAAAGAAAAAGGUGUCUAAAAGAAAGAUGGAAUAAAAAAGAAGACAUGAAAAAAAAGAAGAAAACUAAGCUUUACUUUUUUACCUCUCAGAAAAAAUGGGCCUUUUCUAGCACUGGGCCAAAAUGGGCCUUCUGCUCCUGCUUUGCUGCUUUGUUGUCCGUUGGCUACUGAAUGAUGUGGACGAAUUAUUGGACCGUGGGCUUGUUCGACGUGGAAACAAAAAACCCUACUCCCCUGCUCCUCCUCCCUUCCUAGCGGCGACGCCAGGGCGAGUGGCGCCGCCCUUUGACAGUUCUUCGUCGGACGCUUCGCCGGCGACGAGCAUCCGACAAGGGUAUACCCGCCCACUCCCUUCCCGCUCUGCGAAAUUUGUAUUCGGAUCUGAUUAUGUAUUUUACGUAUUAACUACGUUUUUUUUCUCUUUUUUGCAAACCUAGACUCGCAGACUAAAUUUCCCGCGACGAUGCCGCGCAAGCACGCGCCAGCGUUCACGCCGGAGGCGGCCUCCGCCUCCGCGUCCACCGGGGCUGGCCAGCCUCAUAACCUCCCGGUGCUUCAGGCGAAGAUGAAGCGCGACCCGGAGGGCUACGAGGAGGAGCUCCGCCAGCUCUAUCGCCACUUCGAGUCCUCGGUGUUCCUCUUCCAGCAGCAGGCGGCGCUGGCCACCACCUCCUCCUCGGGCGGCGGCGGGGAGGUGGCGAAGGAGCUCGGCGACCUGGCCCUGUUCCUCGCCCACGUCGCGCCGUUCUACCCGGAUGACCUUGCCGACUUGCCCGACCAGAUUGGGGGUUUGCUCGACACCAACGCGCGCGGGCUGCCGCCGGGGCUCCGGGCGCACCUCGUGCAGGCGCUAAUACUUCUGGUGAAUCGAAAGGUAAUAUUUUGGUGUUACCCGUUGGUAUUAUUUUUUUUAUCAAAAUCCAAUUGAUUUAGGCUCUUUUGUUUUGAUGAUGGUUAGGCAUUUUGUUUGCUAAGUGAUGUUUAGUAUUACGAAAUAAAUUGGCCCAAUUUUGUGGAGUUAGAUGUCCUCGUGGUUGGCUUAUAUAUAGCAAGAAAUUAGGCUAAUGGCUUUCCACUGAGUAUAAUUCCUGCUGAUGUUGCAAAAUGAUAACCUCAUGUUCCUUUCUAGUCAUUCUUAUCUUCUGCAAAACAGAAAAUUCCGUUAUUUGAUAUGAUAUCUUGUUGCCCUUUUUCUGUAUCUUGAAGGUCUAACAUCAAUAGAUCUUUGAUUGUCAUUAAAAGACGUGGGCUCUACUACCUUUAGAUAUAGUCUUAGGUGACUUCUGCUAGACCUAUAGCAUUAAGUACCCUUAUUCAACUAAGCAAUGGGAAAAUAUGUGUCCCAAACAAGAUUUUUUUCGAUGGGUAUUAAUUAGGUGAAAAUAUUUCACUUUGUCAUUGCUCGUUAACUGAUUAAUUUGAACUUUUUUUUUGUCACAGUGAAAUCUGAUCCCCUUUUAUGCCAUCCCUCUCUUUUGUUUUGGAAAAAAUGUUUAGAUUGUUGAUCUUGAGGACACAGUGGAGUUAUUCGUGGAGCUUCAGGUUAUUGGAGAUCGAGCUGUGAAAAAGCUAGCAUUUUCGCAUAUUGUACACAGUAUCAGGAGGAUGAAUCAGAAACAUAAGAAUGAUACCAGGAAUCGUAAAUUGCAGAACAUCCUUUUUAAAUUCUUACAGGUUUGCUACAUCUUGCAAGAGCAUGAUCAGUACUAUCAGGUUUAGCAUAUUGGAAAACAUGUAUGUAUUUGUGUUUUAAAUUAUGCCUCCUGUUUCUCAGGCUGAAGAAGAGUCGCGGGCAAAGAGGGCAUUUACUAUCCUGUGUGAUCUUCACCGUCGGAGGGUCUGGUUUGAUGAACGCACAACAAAUGCAAUAUGCGAUGCUUGUUUCCAUCCUUCUUCUAGGUACAUGCUGGUAGAAUAUCAUGGAUUUUUUCUAUUAGCUGCUCCCUACCUAAAUGAUUGUCUUGACUAUGCAGGAUUAUGAUAGCUGCUAUUUCAUUCCUUCUUGGAUAUGAAAAUGCUGAACAAGAGGAUGACAGUGAUGCUUCAAGCAGUGAAGAUGAAGCAGAUAAAAACCCACAAGUUCUUCUUAGCAAACAGGAUGUUUAUAAGGUAGUUUAACUGGUUAUCAUCAUGCCUCAACUGAUAGUAUUUAGAUAUGUUUGAUUUGCUUUGCCCAUUUUGAUUUGAUGCAUAAUCUUUUAUUGGCAUAUGAAUUCUCAGGCAAAUCACAAGGGUACAGCUGCUAGUAAGAAAAAGAAGAAAGCUAAAUUACAACGUGUUAUUCGUAGCAUGAAAAGGCAACAGCGGAAAUCUGUUGAGGAUGCUGGUUCCAGCUACUAUUCACCCCUGACGUAUUUAAAGGAUGCCCAGGUGCGUUAAUCCUCUGUUCAUGCUUUUAUCACCAUAGAUGGCAUAUCCACUUGUUAUCUCUGAAAUGCGCUCUUCUAUUAUGCUGAAAAUGUUCAUGUUUUUGUUGGCAGGGUUUUGCUGAGAAGCUUUUUUCUCGGCUGCAGAAAUGCAAUGAACGUUUUGAGGUUAUCCUCUCUUUUUUUUUUUAUCAUUGUAACAUAGCCAAUACUUUCUUCCACCUUAUCUUUAAUGAAAAUUAAAGCUUAGGAAAAUCUGUUCCCUUGCAGGUAAGAAUGAUGAUGUUAAAAGUUAUUGCGAGGACUGUUGGGCUGCAUCACUUGGUUUUGUUGAACUUCUACCCAUAUCUUCAAAGAUAUGUUCAAGUAUGUUAAUUUAACUCUGUAUUUUGUUUGCACCAACCUUUGAAACACUGCCUAGUUAGUAACUCUGGUAUAUUUUUUCUAUACCUAUGCUGCAGCCUCAUCAACGAGAUGUGACAACUCUACUUGCUGCAGCAGUUCAGGCUUGCCAUGAUAUGGUUGAAUUUAUGUCUUGCUUCAAAAGUUCAUUCUUUUUGCAUCUAAUGGUUUCACUUAUUCACAUUUUUUUCUAAAUGCAAAAAAUAUAUGUUUAAAUUUUAGGUACCUCCGGAUGCUGUUGAACCACUGUUCAAGCAGAUAGUAAAUCAGUUUGUGCAUGACCGAUCUCGACCAGAGGUUUGCAUGACUGUUAUUCAGCAUAUGGAUCAUAUGUGCUGUUCGAGCUAACAUGAUUACAUGAGCAUGUACUGACUUUACUUUGUUUAGGCUAUUGCUGUUGGCUUGAAUGUCGUGAGAGAGAUCUGCAUGAGGAUGCCUUUGGUAGGUGCCUUAAUCCUUUUAGAUACCUCAAACUGUACUCUUGUCUGCAAUGCUACUGGUCCGACAUCCCUUAAGACGCUGGAUUUACUGAACUCUACUGCUUUUGUUAGUUGUGUUUUGUAUGCGACGAGUUCCGUGUGUCCAGCACAGACUCAGACAAGCAGAGGGAACAUUGGUCAUUUUUUGAAAAAAAAAGUUGUUUGUUUUUUGUAUUAAUGACUGAUAGACUGAAAAGCUUGCAACAUUUGUGCUACUAGAAAUUCUAAUCAUGUCAGUAAUGGAGAGGAAUAAACCUUUGAACUGUUUUAGUUAGUGGUUUUCUGCCAUUAUUGCCAAUUUUGUGGUGGACAGUUUUUUAUUGGUGCUGUUGCUGAUAUAAUGUACACUUAUUAUAUUUGUUGCUCUUAUCUUGCUUACUUUAUCCACUCAUCCGGGAAACCUGCAGAUGAUGAAUGAGGAUCUGCUUCAAGACCUCGUUUUAUACAAAAAGUCCCAUGAGAAAGCUGUUUCCAUUGCUGCUCGUUCGCUGAUCACUUUGUUCAGAGAGGUCAGGUCCUUUCUUGCAAAUUUCCGAUGUAUUUCUGUAUGUUGGAAUUCCUUAUCGCUAAACAUCUGUUAAUUGAAUUUCAGAUCUGCCCUUCAUUGUUAGUCAAGAAAGAUCGUGGCCGUCCUGUUGAUCCAAAGGCUCGGCCCAAAGCAUUUGGUGAAGUCACUGUCGCUAGCGAUGUGCCUGGUGCUGAGUUGCUAGAUGAAAACAUUUCAUCAGAAGGGGAAGACUCAGACGAUGAGUCUGAUGCUUUUGAUUCUGAUGAUGAGACAGUCAUGCCAUCUGCCCCUCCUGGAACAGAAGAAAAUAUAGGGGGUUCUUCUGAUGCAAACAAACUUGAUGCCGUUGAAGAUACCAAAGAGGAUGAUGAAGCAUCUGAUGAAGAUGGUACAAAUGAGGGUCAAGAUAACUCUGACAAUGAUAGUGAUGAAAUUGAUGAAGAACUAGAUGAUGACUCUGAUAUGGAUGCUGAUACUGAUAUGUCUGAUGAGGAUAAUGAUGAUGAUGAUGAACUUAAGGAAAGCAUAAAUGGUUCAGAGGAUGAAGUUUCAGACCAGGACGAAGACAGUGAUGAGGAAGAUGAGUCUAAUGGCAGUGGCUCUAAGGUGCAGAAGAGGAAGUUGAGUGAUUAUAUUGGUGAGCUAAAUACUGCUGAUGCAAGCCUUCGUGCGCUGAAGAAGUUAGCAGGAGCCAAGAAUGCUCAAGUUUCAUCAGAUGAAACUGGUAAAAUUUUAUCGGAUGAAGAUUUUAAGCGCAUCAAAGAGCUCAAGGUAUGUGAUUUUCAGAUGGCUAAUAAUAUAUCUCCAAUAGUUGUGUUCAAACUGUAAAGUUGGCAAAAAUUGGUAUUGAAAGAGAAGCUACUUACGUCUAAAAUAUAAAUUUGCUUGCAUUCUGUUUUUACCAGAUAUAGUUAGAUUGAUUAUGCAUGUCUUAAUGGAAAUUUUGAGUUUCAGGCAAAGAAAGAAGCAAAGCUGGCUUUGGCUCAACAUGGACUAAUCAAGGGUGUUGACACGAAAUCUGCAACCUUUAAGAUGCCGUCUUCUGACCAGCUCAGUAGGAAGCGUGUUGAUCCACUUCAGCUUGAGGUGCUCUCUCCCUCUCUCACGCACGCGGACACACUGACACACCCACGUACAUGCUUGACACGCAUACCCUUUAUAAUGCAGGCUCACGUCAGAAGAAAGAUGUCAAAAGAGGAAAGACUAGCGAUGGUGAAAGCUGGAAGAGAGGAUAGAGGGCAGUACGUAGCGAGGGCAGCUGUGAAACAGAAAAAGGUAAGAUUUUAGGCUGCUGCAUCUCUGUUUUUGUUGAUAACAUGGCUUUGCACAGUUCUGUCAAAUCUUUGCUUACUAUCUGAUCAUUUGUUCUCCUAUACCUAUGACUGAUAGCAUGGCUGCUGUCUUGCAGACUGGUGGACUGAGCAAUAAGCAGAAGCAACACAAGAAGAGGAUGCCUCUGGCUGCAACUAGAGCCAAGGCAGCACGUUCUCGGCAGGAGAAGAAGCAGCAGCGCAAGCGCUCCGGGAAUCAGUUCAGGGGCCGCAAGGCCUGGAAAUGAGAGCUGCUUCUUGGCAAUUCAUGUAGCCCAGUGGCCAAAUUUUUGACUCUUCAUGUAUUUCUAUACCAAAGUCCAUGAUUCUAUGAGAAAGGCCGGGAUGAUCUUAUUUUUCAGUGCCACGUGCUUCAACGGGUUGCAAUUCGUCCUGCUUUGCACUGCAGCAUCUUACGAGGCAUGAUUUUUUUACUGGUUCUUCUGUUUGAUGCUACCAGACGGACAGAAGUCGGCACCUUGUUCCUUCUCGAUUCACUUGGAAAAUCGAAAAAGAAAAAAUGUUUAUAUUAUCGCACUCAAUCUGCUCGAGGCAGGCGGGUCCAUAUAAUGACGUGCACGGUGGCCUUGGUACAAAAUUCCAAUUAUCUUGUCACGUCAUUUUUCUGACGUCUAUUUCAGAACGAUUCUUACCUUUGACACAACGGUAGCCUCGGUAAAAAAAUUAUUUCCAAUUAUCUUUUCAGGUUAUUCAACUGUCGUGUGAUUCUUAUCUUUGACAUUGGCGGUAGCCGCCAUCGCCACCUGUGUAACACCCUAAUUUUCAAACUUUGAUAAUUAAUAAAAUUUGUUAGAAUUUGCUAGAAUUUAAUUGCCUGUGUUUAAGGAUUUAAGGUUUUCUAAAGUUGCAUUUAAUUUAUUAGACAUUUAAAUCUUUUGUAAAAUAAGUUAAUGAAUCAUAGGACUUCAUUGUUGCAUUCAUGCUGGUGUAUUGAUGUUGUUUGUUUGAAUUCAAAUUUGUAUUUGAAUUCAUUUGUUUGAUCCCUUUUAAAUAAUAGGAAAACUCUUUAUUCUUUCUUUCUCUUUUCUCCUUCUUUUAGCCCGCUCCUUCUUUUGGCCCAGCCCAGCAGGAGUCAGCCCAGCAGACCAGCCCAGCAGCGGCCUAUUUCUGCGCCAGCCCGCUCCUGCACCCGCCUUCCGCCGCACCCUUAUGCCCCCACUAAACCCUAACACCCUCGCCUCGCACCCAACGCCGCCGUCGCCCGAGCUUGAGCCCUAGUCGUUAGCCGCCGCCCUCGAUCUCCUCCGUCGCCGCCUUCCCGUCGACAAGAUCAUCGCCUGAAGCACCGCGAGGAGGUGAGGAAGCUUCCCGUGAAGAUCCCGUGCAGUCCAGUGCCUUCUUUCGCGCGCACGGCUCACUGGAGUUGCUGCCGCUGUGCUGAGCCGCCUUUUCGAGCCGUGUGCCGUCGACGCCACCUAAACCACCGCAAGGACACCCUAGUCGCGUUCGUCAUCUCCCUAGCUCGCUUUAGAGUCGAAUCCCAUCGCGAGCGGUGGUCGGACGCUCGUUUUCGAGUGAAUUCCGGCGAGGUCGCUGCUCGUCGCCACCGCACGCUACCACCUCCAUCCCAGCCGACCGUAGCCAUCUGAUCGAGUGCCGAUGGUCUAGAUCGGAUCUGACCCGGGUCAAUCCUGGUCAACCCUGUCGCCGCUCUAUUCUUUUUGCUAAAGAACCCCUGAGUUUUAUAGUUUUUGCACCCGAGGUCCUACAUAGUUCAAAAGUACUUUUCUUUCUGUUUAGGCUCCUGCUCUUUUAUAAAAUCCCACCCGUCAUCCUGUUUAGUUCUUUUACACAUUAGACCUUCUAUUUAUAUGUUUAAUUAGGUUUUAGCUCACGAUUUCUUUAAGGUUAGCCCCUAGAAAUUUAGUUUUCUCGCACUUAAGCCCCUAAACCUUGUUUAGCUCAUAUCUUCAGCCUGCAAGUUCAUGUUGACGCAUAUAUUAGUUUUAUGGUCCUGUUUUGCUUUGUUGCUACUAUUUGAUGUAAUAUUUUUUUUAUUUUAGUCCUUUGUUUGUUUAUAUGUACUUGUUGAUGCGCAUAGAAGGAUCGCAGUUCGAGGGAUUCAAAGAGCAAGGCUUUCAAGACUUUUAGCGGCAAGAGCAAUUUUAGGAAGGCAAGUCGUGCCCUUAGAUCACAAUUUGAUCUUAUGCAACCUUUACUUUUUUGUUCAACAUGUGAUGUUCAAUACACAUAUGCUUGCACUUCAAAUAUAUAAACAUGAUGGGUCAUAUUUAAGUGUGCCUAGUUUCAUCCCUGCACUUUGAUCAACCUGGGUUUACUUUAUUGUUAGGUAGUUCUUGCUUAGUUGCUCUAACUGGGCACGGUGGUAUUAAUGAACCAAUGCUUAAACUUAUUUUAUUUAUGCUAUGCUUUCCAUCAAUACAAUAUCACCAUGUUUAAUUGGAACAUGGAGAACCAUCUAGGAAAGCAGUACAACCAUAAGAACUACAUAGCUCUGGUCUUGGCUAAUUAAUUAGAAACUCUAGUUUGUGGUAGCUUUACCUGAAAUGGGCAAGAGGGGGAGAUAGUAGUUGGUGUAUAGCUUGGUCCUCAGAUUGAUCUGCUCUAUGGUAGCUUCGCAGUUUGAGAAAGGUUUAUACAUUGCGCUGAUCAUGAAACCUUAGCGAGCUAUCCUUAUUAAGGAAUCUUUGUAAAGCUCUCGUAGCAUCCCUAUGCAAUCACACAUCGGAAGUAUAGUAUUGUGCCUAGUUUGCAUAAAAUGGUUGGGUCUAAAGUUCUUUUGAACUUUUAUGCGACUUGUGGUGAAAGUGUACAACCUCUGCAGAGUGUAAAACUGUUGUAACAGCCAUGCUUACGGUCAAGAGCGGUAUGGUCCUUCACAUAAUUAAUUUAUCGGAAGUUGAAUUAAAUUGAUGUUAUUUAUUGUUGUUAUUUUAUUAUGUUCAUGCUUAAUGUGUAACGUGGGUGUAUAAAUUUAUACUUAGUAAUUGCUAAUAAAAUUUGAUCGACUAAUUAAAAUGCUGAAAAAUUAUUAAAUCAUAGCCUUACACUACACAUUCCUCACGCUUGCUAAAUACCAACCAUAAAUGUACUUAUCCUUGCUAAAACCGUUAUUCAGACCAAGUCAACUUUGAAGAGGUUCCUGAAGGUUUUAAGGAGUUCUAGACGUACGUAUGCCACCAGUCAACUGAUCGUGGAGUCGUCGUCAUCGUUGGAGUUCCGUUGUUUAUUCAAAUUAAGGAUUUUUUGUCAUGUAAUAAAUUUAACACUCCCUCUUUAUAUUUUGGCACUGUCUAUGAUAUUUUACUGAAGUCGUUGUAUGUGUGAAAAUUGAUCCUGACUUACGUGUGAUUUAUUCAUCUAGUUUUGCGCUGGUGUGACAACAUGCCAUUGCCUAACGUGUCAUAACCGUCAAGGACCAGUAGUCAUUAUGUUCAAUCGUGUUCCUGCGCAUAGUACUCUUUUCGUCUUCUAAUCGGCUUCUGACUGUCACAUGGACAAGAUGUCAGCCAGCGACAAGAUGAGGACAGCGUGCGUCACCGGAGGGAGCGGGUACAUCGCCUCGGCGCUCAUCAAGAUGCUGCUGAAUAUUUAGUAGCUCAUGAUAAUAGAUUUUUUUCAUCGAAGAUUUCACAUUAAUUCCCACAAGACCCACUAGAAAAAAAAGAUAAAUGUUAAAAAUUCUCAAAAAAUCAAAAAUAUCAAACAUCAAUCCUAUAAUCUCUAAUAAUCAUAACCUUUGAUCUGUUAUAUUUUCUAAAAAGUUACUCACCACUAUCAUUAUGAAAAAUAUUCAAAAAUAAACUCUAAACCUAUAUUUAAAUUACCGAGCUCAGUCAUUAUAAAAAUAAUCUAAACUAACCACAUAAUCUUCAUCCAAUUUACUCAUACAUCUCAUUAUAAAAGCGUAACUUAAAAUAUCAUUUAAAAAUAACCUAAAGUAAACACCUAAAUUUUAUUACAUUUAUCUUCGUGUGCAUCAUACAGAAAUAUUCAGAAGUAAACUAAUAUAUGAUUUUAAAUUACCUAUUUAUGUCAUUGUUAAUAUAGAAUACUAAGUUAAUAUAUAUAUAUAGAUAUAUAUAUAUAUAGACAUACACAUGAUGAGUGUCACCAUUUGACCAUUUAUACAUGUAUGUGAGGAAUUGAUGAAAAAUAUUGAUUUUCAUGCUAAACACAGUGUGUGGAGGUGCGAUACAAAAUGAAAAAAGUGUGGAUGUGGAUGAAAAAGUGUAUAGAGUAAUAUUUAAAAAAAUUAAUCAUAACCGGACAAAGAUAAGCACAUAUCUAUAUAAAUAUUAUGUUGAAAUAUUGAAAAAAAUGAGGGAGUAAUAGGUAAAUUUUUUUAUUAUUAGUUAGGAAUUUAAUUUUUAUAUAAUUUUCAAAUACAAUAGCUUUUAAAAGUAUUUGACACGGGUUGAUGGACUAGUUAAUUUUUAAUUGAAUUAGUUUUAUACAAUGCAUUGUUUCAUUCAUUGAUGUUUCUUAGGCUACAUGCAAGACACAAACUGUGUUGGAAAUAAUGUAUACAUGGUUUCAUCACCAUUUCACCUCUCUCUUCAUUAACUCUUUGCCACAUCAUCAAAGGUAACAUGGCACUCUCAAAAUAAAAUUCCCAUGGUAACCUUAGUUGAGCGGAGGCUCUUCAUUUGACUGAGCACACUGGGAUUGGCCCACUCUGCUGCCCAGGCAGGGUCCUUUCGUACGAGGACCAUGUGGCAGACCACUAUUGAACAAAUGAUAAAUGGUGACACAUUUAUCUUCUUGCUAUGCAUUCUUUUGCUUUUCUUGUGGCAACUGUUUUUUUUUUCCGCCACAAACCGUUAGUCUACAUCUUGUGUGGCCUACACUAAAAAAAUCGAAGCUAAUAGUUGUGGCGAGCGAGCCAGCCAGUGAAUCCUCCUCUUUCAAGCGACUGGCGAUGUCGGCAGCCGGCGAGAAGAAGAAGACGGCAUGCGUGACCGGAGGGAACGGGUACAUCGCCUCGGCUCUGAUCAAGAUGCUGCUGGAGAAGGGCUACGCCGUCAAGACGACGGUCAGGAACCCCGGUUCGAUUCCUUCCUUGAACCCUCUUAUCGAACGUCAGCGAAUUGCUGCACAUCUGCAUCAACUGUAGUUUUGAUCCUGAAACCCCAGAUGACAUGGCCAAGAACUCCCACCUCAAGAACUUGCAGGCGCUCGGCCCCCUGACCGUCCUCCGCGCCGACCUGGAUGAAGAGGGCAGCUUCGACGAGGCCGUCGCCGGCUGCGACUACGCCUUCCUCGUCGCCGCUCCGGUGAACCUCUCGUCAGGGGAGGAGGAUCCUGAGGUGCAGCAGACGUGACCACCAGUUGUGAAGCUUCGUUUAAUUCGAUCGAUUUCUUCUUUUUGUGAUACCGCCGAUGGCAAGCUGAUUCGAAAAGCUGUUUUGAGCUUGAUGAAUUGAUUGAAUUCAGAAAGAGCUGAUCGAGCCCGCUGUCCGGGGAACGCUGAACGUGAUGAGGUCGUGCGUGAAGGCCGGCACGGUGCGGCGCGUGAUCCUGACCUCGUCGGUGGCCUCAGUCUACAUCAGACCGGAGCUGCAAGGCAACGGGCACGUCCUGGACGAGGAUUCCUGGUCUGACGUCGAGUACCUCAGGGCCGAGAAGCCACCAUUGUGGUGGGCGUACUGCGUGUCGAAGGUCCUCCUGGAGAAGGCGGCGUGCCGGUUCGCGGAGGAGCACGGCAUCAGCUUCGUCACCGUCUGCCCCGUCUCCACCGUCGGCGCGGCGCCGGCGCCGAUCGUCAACACCAGCGUCCCUUGCUGCCUCUCAUUUCUAUCCGGUGACGAGGCAGCGCUCGGCACGCUCAAAGGAAUCGAGAGGACCUCCGGCGCGCUGCAGCUGGUCCACGUCGACGACCUCUGCCGCGCCGAGGUGUUCGUCGCCGAGGAGGCGGCGGCCGCGGGGAGGUACGUCUGCUGCGCCCUCAACACGACCGUCGUCGAGCUCGCGCGUUUCCUGGCACGGAAGUACCCGCAGUACGGCGUGAAGACAGACUUGUAAGAAUCGGCCCGGGAUCACUUCCGCAGCGGAGAUCAUUGUUGUUCGUAGUGGUUUUAUUGUGAGCUCUGAUUCCUGAUACUCUGCAGCACCGACGAUGAUCAGCUCCUGGAGAAGCCGAGAGUGAGCGUGUCGUCUGCCAAGCUGGUUAGGGAAGGGUUCGAGUUCAAGUACAGGACCCUGGACGAGAUAUACGACGACGUCGUCGAGUACGGCAGGGCACUCGGAAUUCUGCCCUACUGAUGAUGAUGAUGCUCUGCUCCCGACAGAUUGUACUCAUGCUAGUCAUGCUCUACAAAAAGAUUGUUCAAGAUGUUUCGCAAUCCUGUGGUGUUUUUAUCUCGGCAUGUUAUUCAUGCUCGACAACAUUGUUGGUAGUUUAAGGUUGAGAUACUUCAUAAACACGAUUUGCUGCUGCACCCGGUUCGCCACCGGCAUUUCGUCGAACAAAUCCCUGUUCGCCUUCCUCCUCGCCGCCGCUUCCGCCUCCGCAUUCUCUGACGGUGGCAGCCACCUCCCGUUCACGCUCCUCCCCGCCGAUCCCGCUGCCGCGGAUCCGUGGGCGAGUGACUGUCCGGCGAUGCCGAGCUGGGCCUCGGUCACCACGGCCGCGCCCCUGUACGCGUCCGGCGGGUACAUCAGCUACGGCGCGCUGAGGCGCGACCGCGUGCCAUGCUCCCGCCGCGGCGCCCGCAGGGACGGAGACCGCGGUCGGGUACGUGUGCUCGACGGAGGGGAGCGCGGAAGGGGCAGCGGCGAGCCCGCGGCGGCGCGUCCUCGCCGGCGCGGAUAUUUACAAAGUGCCCCCUCAUCUGGAUCGCGAUCAUUGUUCGCAAAAUGCGCCCGUGUAUUUUCAUAUAGCCCCCUACUUUGGAUCGCGAUCAAUAAUCGCGAUCCAAAUUAGGGGGUUAUUUGAAAAUACCCGAUCCGAGUAUUUUGCAAACCACCCCUGAUUUGGACAGCAAGCUCCUUCGUCUCCUCCGGCCGCCCCCUCGGCUCCUCCUCCUGCCCGCCCGGCGCCGCCGUAGUCCCCGCCGGGCCCACCCUUCGUAGCACCGAAUAGAAAGAUCUACACGACUACACGAGCGUUCCCCCGCCUGCCUCUCCUUGCUAUCCGGUGAGAUCGAAGCCCCAACGCCUCGUUUCGGCAGGUUCAGUGUGGAUGACGAUACAUUAUGCCUGGCGGUUUCAGGCGACGAGGCGGCGUUCGGCAUGCUGAAAGACGUCGAGAUGGCCUCCGGCGCGGGGCUGCUGGUGCAUGGUGCACGUCGACGACCUGUGCCGACGUGCCGUGCCACGGUGUUCGUCGCCGAGGAGGAGGCGGCCGCGGGGAGGUACAUCUGAUGCGGCCUCGACACCACCAUCGUUGGGAUCUAUCGCACGUUUCCUCGUAAGGAUCGUUUUCAGAGCUCUGAAUUCUGACGGUUGGCCUGCAAUGAAGUCAGUGACAAUGUAGUUCAAACUUCGUCCGUGCCGUUUUGCAGCCAUAUCUGAAAGCGCACUUGCAUUCGUUACAGAAUUUGUUGCCUAUGGUAAGAAAAAGUACUUUCCUCUAGUUACAAUUUUGUUGCUAUAAGCAUUGAACUCUCCCUCCUUUUCUUAGGCGUCCUCUCCACUUUUGUUGUUUCUUCUGCAUUUAGGUUCUUUGUAGCCUGAGCACGAAAUCUUUGGAACCAACUGUAUUAUACUCUUCAUCCUGAUUUGAGUUUUCCGAGCUCAUGCCAUCCUAUUAUAAAAUACGAUCAAAUUGCUAAAUUCACGAUAUCUCUUAAAUGCCGUAAAAAGGCUCAAUGUAGGAAUGUAGAAAAUAUAUCUGGUACCCGGUGAAGAAAUUGACCUGCUGGUGAGAAGGCGACGCCAACGGUCUGUCGCCGGUUGGCACGGUUGCCUUGGGCGCACUGGGCAUGCAUCAACCUACCGUUCAACGGUUCAAGCGCCACCCAACCGAUGUUUGUGUGUAUAUGAUGCAGCAUGCAGGUUCGCGGACAGUCACAGCUUUGCCUUCAGCAAAUCUCACUGCUGCAAUUCCGGUGAGCUAGUGGGUUCUGGGCUGUGGGCGAGUUCUCAUUUCCCCGCCUGCCAGGAGGUAGAGGUGGUGAUCGGCGAUGUCAGCUGGUGGCACGAAGAAGAAGGCGUGUGUGACCGGAGGCAACGGGUAUAUCGCCUCGGUGCUCAUCAAGAUGAUGCUGGAGAAGGGCUAUGCCGUGAAGACGACGGUCAGGAACCCCGGUUCGGUUCUUCUUGUUCCUUAGUUUUUUCUUCAGUAUCUAGUGGAUAAACCUUCUACAGUUCUACUGCGCCGGCAUCUUCAGAUGUUCUUGGGUAAAGAACGAGUAAAAAAUAAUAAUCUGAACUAAUGUUGCGCUUAAUAAGCUUGGCUAAAGAACGCAGGGUAAGAAUUGUUGGUCGCUGGUUUAGGCUCUGAACGUGCUACGUAUUUGUGAUUCUGAAUCCCAGAUGACAUGGAGAAGAACUCCCACCUCAAGGACCUGCAGGCACUUGGCUCCUUGGAAGUCCUCCGCGCCGACCUGGACGACGAAGGCAGCUUCGAUGAGGCCGUUGCUGGCUGCGACUACGCCUUCCUCGUCGCCGCUCCGGUGAACCUCCAUUCAGAGAAUCCUGAGGUGCGCAAAGUAAACGUCACCACUUGUCAGCGCAAUUCUUCUUUUGUGAUGGCAUGCAUAACUCGUUAUGUUGGUGGUGGCAGAAAGAACUGAUCGAGCCUGCUGUCCGAGGAACCCUGAACGUGAUGAGGUCGUGCGCAAAGGCAGGGACCGUGAAGCGCGUGGUCCUGACCUCGUCGGCGGCCGCCGUCUCCAGCAGGCCGCUGCAAGGCGACGGGCACGUGCUGGACGAGAACUCCUGGUCCGACGUCGAAUUCCUCACUGCCAACAAGUCCGGCCCCUGGGUAAUACUAACACAUGUCAUGUCCCCCUUCUCGUCUGAAACGGAGUGUUCAGUCAAGCAGAUGUGCAACAUUUUUACUAAACAAUGGAGUAAUGUUCAGCCCACUGUUGAGCGCACCAAUAUUUUGCUUAUGACGAUCAUGGCACCGUGCUUGCGUUGCAUCGCAGGGGUAUCCGGUCUCCAAGGUGCUGUCGGAGAAGGAGGCGUGCAGGUUCGCGGAGGAGCACGGCAUCAGCCUCGUCACCGUCUGCCCCGUUCUCACCGUCGGCGCGGCACCGGCGAAAAAGAUCCACACGAGCGUCCCCGCCAGCCUCUCCUUGCUGUCCGGUGCGCCAAGCUCCCGUGCCCUUUACUCCUCACACAGUCACACAACUCGGCAGAUUGGGUAUUUCGGUUGAUGACACAAGUGGUUUUCCAUUUUUUUUUUCAGGGGACGACGCAGCGUUCGGGGUGCUGAAAGGCGUCGAGAUGGCCACCGGCGGUGUGCCGAUGGUGCACGUCGCCGACCUGUGCCGCGCCGAGGUGUUCGUCGCCGAGGAGGACGCGGCCUCCGGGAGGUACAUAUGCUGCGGCGUCAACACGACCGUCGCCGAGCUCGCCCGUUUCCUGACAGAGAAGUACCCGCAGUACACCGUGAAAGCAGAUCUGCUGUAAGGAUCGGCUUCAGUCUUCAGAGCUCUUCUGACGAUUUUUGCACCGAUGACUGAUACUGUUUGUUUGCACGUUUGCAGCUCCGGUGAGCUCCUCGAGAAGCCGAGAGUGAGGCUGUCGUCGGCGAGGCUGGUGAAGGAAGGGUUCGAGUUCAAGAAGAAGACGCUGGACGAGAUAUACGACGACGUGGUGGAGCACGGCAAGGCCCUGGGGAUUCUGCCCAACUGAUACUUCCUCUGCCUUCCAUCCGUAACAAGAAGCGAUAGCACCAGCUUGCAGUGAAGUUGGGAAAUAAAUCUAUGCUACCUGAUGUACGCUAGCUGAACUGUCGAAUAGGUCAUUUUCAGUAUAAUUAAUUCGUGUGUUAAAACCAAAUUUGCAUUUUUCAAAUAAAACAUGCAUACACACACCCUUUUCAAUCAAAUUAAUGUGAAAGUUACAUUACCUAGAAAGAUGAAAAUAUUUCAACCUUGCAAUGUAAGUCAGUAGUGUCGCUUUUUUUCCCUUCUAGCACCAACAAAAUUAUUUAAACAUCAUUUCUCUUCUUGGCAAUUUACUUCUGGCGUUUAGUUCACAUAGCUCAAGAUUUGAAGCCUCUUCUAUUCUAUACGGUAGGAACUAGCUUUUGCUAGGCCGAUCAAACCACUGCCGCUCUUGUGUUAAACAUUUAGCUUUGUCACGAUGACAUUUAUUGUGUUUGACAAGAGGACUGCCUUUUCUUUUAUAAAGUUGAUUUUGUUGGUAUAUAUAUGGAUUUAGAGCCAUUUCCAAAUUUAAUCGAUAGAUAAAAAAUUUUCUAUUAUGUGAGAAGGAACAAGUUGUUCAUACAAAAAUAGUUUAGCCUGUUCGGACGGUGGAUGCUGCUGCUGCCCGCUGCCGCUACAACUGCGCCGCUCUCUCCAUCAGCCAGAGAUGAUGACCGCAGUCACCUCUGCACCGCCAAGAGGGGUUUGCUAAUUAGCGCUCGCUUGCUAGGAGCGUCCGCAACAAUCAAUUUCCGACAGCCAUUUUAUGGCAUGAUGCUGCCUUGUCGGUCCACCUCCGUCUUUCCGUUUCUGAAUCACCGGUGGUCCCCCUUCUGUAUGCACGCAAAUUUGUAAACACAAAAGUAUGUAGAUAAAAUUUAUACACACAAAUCUGUAGGUAAACUUAUACACACAAAUCUGUGGACAAAACUUAUGCACAAAAUUUAUAUAACAAUGUUCAAACACAAAUUUGUGGACAAAACUUAUGCAAAAAAUUUGUAUAACAAUGUUCAAACAAAAAUUUGUAGACAAAACUAUAUGAGCAAAUUUAUACGUAUGACUUCUACCUACAGCUUCUAAAGGACAACUUCAAAUUUCCAUUUUUAAGAGAGUUAUAACUUGUGCAUACAACUUAUAUACUUACAGCUUCUAAAGGACAACUUCAAAUUUCCAUUUUUAAGAGAGUUAUAACUUUGUGCAUACAACUUAUAUGUAUAAGUUUUUGACAACUUCUUACGUGAUAAUUUUGUAGCACAACUUUCAUAAUAUACACAAUUUAUGCAAAUGUUUUUUAUCACAACUGUUACGAAAAUAUUGUUAGACAACUUAUGAACAUGACCUGCACACGAAGGACAUGCAUAUUAGUAAAAAAAAUGACUGAUAGGAGAAAAAGGGAAAUAACUGGAGCACGAGACCAGUGCGUCUCGUGCGGGCCUGGGCAUCACUCCCACUGGCGUGGACCUGCUGUCGUGGUCGCACGGCAGCAACGCCCGCAACAAGCGCGUUAAAGGGUUGUUUGGAUACUAGGUGUUAAACUUUAGCAGUGUCACAUUAGAUAUUUGGAUGCUAAUUAAGAACUAAACAUGAGCUAAUUAUAAAACUAAUUGCAGAACCCUGUGCUAAUUCGCGAGACGAAUCUAUUAAGCCUAAUUAAUCCGUCAUUAGCAAAUGGUUACUGUAGCACCACAUUCUCAAAUCAUUAACUAAUUAAAAUUAAUAGAUUCAUCUCGCGAAUUAGACUCCAUCUGUGCAAUUAGCCUAUAUUUAAUAUUCUUAAUAGUAUCAAAUAUCCGAUGUGAUAGGUGCUAAAUUUUUGUAGGCUAUACACCCCCGCACAUUGCGCCGCCAAGAGCCCAAGAGCGCGGCCAGCCGGCCACCUCGGUAAGUCCACACAGAGCGCACUCCACCGUGGCAGAGAGCCAUCACGGGAGCUAUGGUGUGCACCACCGCCACGGCACCCACACGCACGAGCGGAGCCGUCAAGCCGCCGCACAUGGCAAGGAAGGGGCGAGCAGGGGAACGCGUGCACGACGUCUGCACGAGAGCCGGGAAGCACGCACGCGGGAAGCCGAUGUGGCAACCUGGGCUGCUUGGCCCAGAAGGCUUUGAGCGGCCCAUGGGCACCCCGACUCCCACUUGUCCUCUAUUUUUUUUUGUCAUUUCUUUUCUUUAAAUUAGUAACUGAUUUCCUCAUUCAAAAUUUGAAUAAAAAAAUCAAACCUAAAAACUGGGUGGGGAGGAGGGGGACCCGAAAUACCAACAACUUUUAUGGUGGCUAGUGAUUGUGACACCAGGCCUCGGUGCAAAGGAACGGAGAGAAACACGGUACUAGUUCACCCAACUAGAAUAUGUAGUUUUUUUUUUGACAUAUUUACACACAGGGGAAAAACACAAAUAAUAGGAUAAAAAAUCGCUCGAGUGCGUAGCUGUUUCCUGUUUUGAGAAAGUUUCAAGAAUCGUACUACCAGACCAGUCGGCAUCGUUGUUGGCACUCGGCGUCCAUCGUUGGUUACAUUGACCUGUCCAUCCCGGCCGCAUCAGCUUCACACACCUCUCCCUUCUCCGGUUGGAGCUGCGGGUACAGGGCGCCUACCGAUCCAUCAAACACAUCUCUUGCUUCAUCCUUUUGCUAAAACAAGAAGUAGAUCUCACGUCUCUGCCUCAAAGUCCUCUCUCUCCAUGUCAUGUCCUAGGAGGAGGCUAGGAUACAGUACUUUUUCCUGCACGCCAGUGUCGUCUCCUACUUGUGUGGUGUCUACAUAACGAGAGUCAUCACCAACCACCAGUCGAACGUACAGUGUUCUAGUGCGCGGUUGCGAGCUAGUGAGUCCACACUCCCUUCUCCGGUGGCAGAGGUACGUGGUGACCGGCGUCCAGCAAUGUCGGCCGGCAGCGAGAAGAAGAGGACGGCGUGCGUCACCGGAGGGAGCGGGUACAUCGCCUCCGCGCUCGUGAAGAUGCUGCUGGAGAAGGGCUACGCCGUGAAGACGACAGUCAGGAACCCCGGUUCGAUUCGUUCAUCUUUCUCUUCAGUUCAGUGUUUCGUGGCUGGUCCUGGUCCUUUUCAUGGACAGAGGACCUGAACGCUUUUGCUUUUGAUGAGUUGGGACUUGGGAGAUAGUGGCAUAGAUGGUUCAAGAACCGGGAUUCUAAGCUCAGGCAAAUCAGCGAGCAAGAAAGAACCUGAAAUCAUAACUUUUAUGAUCCCCAAGACAACGCAUGCUAAGAAUCUCUGAUAGUGCUCUGCAUUGUGAAUCUGAAUCGCAGAUGACAUGGAGAAGAACUCUCACCUCAAGGACCUGCAGGCACUAGGCCCUUUGGAGGUCUUCCGCGCCGACUUGGAUGAAGAAGGCAGCUUUGACGAGGCUGUCGCCGGCUGCGACUACGCCUUCCUCGUCGCCGCUCCGGUGAACAUCCACACGAAGAAUCCUGAGGUGCGCAGACGUCCACAGCACGUGUAUGGCGGUUCCUCAUUUGUCUUGUACUUGGUGACACGGCAUCUGUACCUCAUCGCUUCCUCGAUUGGGUAACGGCAGAAAGAGAUGAUCGAGCCCGCUGUCAGGGGAACUCUGAACGUGUUGCGGUCGUGCGUGAAGGCCAGGACGGUGAAGCGCGUGGUCCUGACCUCGUCGGCGGCCGCGGUCUCCAGCAGGCCGGAGCUGCAAGGCGACGGCCACGUCCUGGACGAGGACUCCUGGUCCGACAUGGAGUACCUCACCGCCAACAAAUCCAGUUACUAUGUACGCGCACACGCUUGCCAGCCUUAUGUGCAGUAGUCCUGUCCCGUCGCCUGGAUUCAUGUCCUGAAACCGAAGUGCACAGUCUGCUCAUGCUUCAUUUCAUCGAUCGCAGGGAUACCCGGUCUCGAAGGUGCUCUUGGAGAAGGCAGCGUGCAGGUUCGCGGAGGAACACGGCAUCAGCCUCGCCACCGUCUGCCCCGUCGUGACCGUCGGCGAGGCACCGGCCCCGAACGCCCGCACCAGCGUCCCAAACUGCCUUUCCCUUCUAUCUGGAGACGAGGCAGCGUUCGCCGUGCUGAACGCCAUCGAGAGCGCCACGGGCUGUAUUCCGAUGGUUCACGUCGACGACCUCUGCCGCGCCGAGGUGUUCGUCGUCGAGGAGGACGCGGCCGCGGGGAGGUACAUCUGCUGCAGCCUCAACACGACCAUCGCCGAGCUCGGGCGUUUCCUGGCGCAGAAAUACCCGCCGUACGGCGUGAAAACCCAUCUGCUGUAAGAAUCGGCUCCAGAGCUGUAGAGCACCGAAUUCUGACGAUGUUUUGCACUGAUGACUGAUACCGUUUGCUUGCACAUUUGCAGCUCCGGAGACCGUCUUGAGAAGCCGAGAGUGUGCCUGUCAUCUGCGAAGCUGCUGAGGGAAGGGUUCGAGUUCAAGUACAAGACGCUGGAGCACAUCUACGACGACAUGGUCGAGUACGGCAAGGCCGUGGGAAUCCUGCCCAACUGACGUGAUUCUCCUCUUCCUCUGCUUUCCGGUCGAUGGUCACGAACUCGCGAGUCAGAACUCAGAACACAAAAACCAUGCCUAGACUGCUAGUAAGCUGAACCUUAGCGGUUCAGUAAGUUCGUAUAAGAUGCGGUUCUGCACUUGUUUCGGCAAUAUCUUGUGGGAAACUAGUUCGGUCGCCGGCGCAUUUUAUCAUACAGACAAAACGAGUUUUCAUCUUACGAUCAAGAGACAUUUCGCUUUUUCGGUGCCUGGCCUUUGGGCAACUUGUACAUCGACACCUGGUUCCAUAGUAUAGUAUUUUAAUUUUUACAUUACGCCCAAUCGUUUUGAGAAAGGGACGGAAUUUGUCAUUUCUCAUUGCAAGGCAUCAGCCACAAAAAGCUUCAUAUAUCUUUAUUGUUUCAUCAUGAUCUUCACUAUCUGCAUUUUGAAUUGUGUAUGCUUCAAGGGGCCCUACUGAUCCACGCACUAGCAUAGCACCAGCAAGCAAAGUCGUGCUGCCUACCUGACACUUCCUCGUCCCUUCCUUUUCGAAAGCUUCUUCCCUUCUAGUCUUUCCUUUUUCCUUGAAAAACUUUUUGCGAACUACAUUUAGAUUUUUUUUUAAUCCUAUCUGGGAUAAAGACAUAUCCUGAACCCGCGCCUCAUUGUACAGACAUAUCCCGUAAUUAUUAUCUGCUAAUGGCCGGUUUAACUAAAUCACAUGUUUAAGCUAAGGCCCCGUUUGGUAGGGCUUCUCAAAGUGCUUCUCCACCGGCUUUUGGUGAAGCCCUAUCAAAGGAGCAAUUUCAAAACAACUUUACCCCCAAAGCCGGAGAGAAGCCGCAAAACGGCUUACACUAGAGAGGAAAAGCUGGAAAAAGUGGCUUUACCGGCUUCUCCUCUCUCUCCAAGCAUUAAGUGAUCAUAAAAUUACAUAUAUUAUCAUUGAAAAGCCUUUUUACCAAACGUUUUGCAAAACGGCUUCAGCUUCAUAAAAAAGUCACUCCACCGAAGAAGCCGAAGCUAAAGUCGUUUUAUGAAAAGCCGAAGCUCUAUCAAAGAGGAUUAACUAUUCCUAAUAGUUUGCUCUGAUCACAUGCUCUUCGUGCUUGCGGCACCUCCAACCCCAUCUAGGCACAUGCUGUAACAUCUUUCUGUAUCUGAUUUUGUUGCUCACCGUGGCCUUGAGGAAAAUACACCACUCAAUUUCCGAUGCUGGACUGAUUUGGAGGUGGCCGGUGGCGGCGGCGUCCGAUAGUAUUUGCUUGGGCUUCUUUUUUCCUUUUUUGAAAUGGAAUGGUCACUUGGGCUUUUGGGUUGUACCUCGUGUAUUAGUUGGAUUGGUCCAGUGGGCCUCUGAGGGGGCCACAGUACCCGUUGCGCACGUAAGGGCGUAAGCUCAACUGGCCCAUUGGUCAACCCACAAGAAAAGAUUGAGCCGAUUUACUCUACCACCGAGUUAAAAGAGCUUGUUAUUCAAGCCCCACUUUCAGAGGGUUUUUUUUUUGGUCGUCUGCAUCCGUUACUUAGUCAACUCACGCAGACAGUAAUACAGGAAAACCAAUAACACAACAUCGUUUUGUCCGUAGUAGUCUCUAGCCUAAUUGUAUUUUCUUCCCUCUAAAUAGAUAAGAGGUUUGCCUCAGUGUUUAACUGUUUAUAUCCUCCUCGUGUUCCACGAUAGAGCGUGGUUGUAGUUAUUUUCAAUCUAGAAGUUCUUUUGCUAAAAUACAAAGAUUAGAGAUGCAAUAAUUGUUUGAGCAAAGGGAAAUCUCGAGCAUACGGGUAAAAAUUGGCCACAUGUAUAUAACCGUCGGGUUGGAGUCGACAAUAUUAGCUAUGCAGAAACCGAUAAGUUAUUAUAUAAUAUAUAUUAAUAGAAAAUAUAAAGGAUAAAAAAAUCCCUCACAGUUACAACACACCACCGUCACCACAACAUUCGUCCAUAUGAUAAUUGUUCAUACGAUAAGUAGAGCUAUGAGACAACCACCGCAACACAGCAUCCGCAGAGAGAUGCCUUCAGCUAGCUGUGGCUGCCAAAACACCUUACCACUGCCAUGCGUCGGCAAAUGCCUACGCGCCGUUCCUUUGACUGUGGAAUGCCCAAAACACCAUCACCGCCACACUAGGAACAACAAGCAUAUCCAUCACCAUAAGAACGUACAACAACCGCCAACCAGUAGUCGUAGGCUCUCGUAGCCAGUAGGCUGACGAUUUAUCGCGAGCAUCUUAUCGCGAGCAUCGUCGAUCACGUCGACGCUGUCGUACACACCACGACGUAGCAGCAGUAGUAGUAGUAGUAGUUUGGUGUAGAGGUUGGCGUGUAUUGGUGCAGCUAGACGCGCGCGGCACGCAAGAGGACGAGAUCCAGGGUGAGCCCGGGGCCGAAGCCGCAGAGCGCGCCCCAGUGGCACCCCUCCCCUGCGGUGCCGCAGCCGUUGGCGGCGGACCAGCGGCGCAUGCCGUCGAGGAUGAACCACACGGACGCGCUGCCCAUGUUGCCGUACUCGGCGAGCACCUCGCGAGAGGCCCGCAUCUUGGCCGGCUCCAGCCCAAGCGCCGUCUCCACCUUGUCCAGGAUUAGGCGGCCCCCAGGGUAAUGCAACGCCCAGAACAGCGCGUUCCAGUCGCCGUCAGUGACGGAGCCGCCGAGAAACCCCCGAAGGGCGGCCUCGAGGUUGCUCGCAAACAUAGACGGCCCUUCCCUGACGAGACUGAUCGUAAGGCCCAGGGGCGGAUCUAGGGCCCGGGCUGCCCAGGCUGCAGCCCGGGGCGAGCCCAUGUAGCCCCUUUAACAUAUGUGGUAUUUAGCUUAACAAAAGGAGAUUUAUUAGGUAAGAUUAGACUGUUUUGGUGCUGAUUCAGCAACUUAGCCCGGGGUGCAGCUCCAUUUUGGAUCCGCCCCUGGUAAGGCCCGCCUCCCGGAUGAGCCCUCGCAUGGCGUCGCCCGUUCCUGGCACGGUGAGCUGCCUCGAGCGCACGAUCUCGAACAGCGGCCUCUCACUCCCGUCCCCCGCCGCCGCGGCGGAGUCGGCGCCGCGGAUGGCGAUGAUGCUGACCUCGACGAGGACGGCCAGCACGCGGGCGCCGGCGUUGUUCUCGGCGAGGUCCUUGGCGAGGCACAGCGUGGACGCGCCGACGACACAGCCCUGGUGGUAGACGCCGAGGCGGCUGGCGGAGGGGGAGAGCCCGAGGAGGCGGGCGACGUGGUAGUCGGCGCCGGGCUGGUCGCUGCCGCCGCUGUUGCAGCCCACGAUGAGGUGGGUGAUGUCCACCACCGUCCUCCCCCACUCCUUGAGCGCGGCGGCGGCGGCCGCGGCGCCGAGUUCAGGGAUCUUGGCCGAGAUGAUGUCCUUGCGCUUGUCCAGACUUGGCCCCCCGUGCGUGGUCAUCUCAGGAUUAGCGCCCAGCAGUGCCUCGUCGAUGUACAGGUGCCGCUUCCUAAUGGCCGAUUUCUGACCUGCAAAUAAAUGACCUCACUGUGAAUGUUGUGUGUGCGUACGUGUGUGUGUAUACAUACAUGUGUACAUAUAUUUAUAUAGAUAUAUAUAUAUGCAUCGCUAGGUACUGUACGUACAUAUACGCCUGAACCUGUCCUUGAGCUCCUCCUUGAUGUGGUCCGGGAAGUCCGGGAAGUCGCUCUGCAGCAUCACAUUACUGGGAUUGGCCGUCCCGAUCGCCAAGGAGGAGGCCGUGCCCAUCGCCCUCUUAUGCUCGUACACCCUAGGACCAUCGAUAUCCAUGGCCGUUAAGCUGAUGGAGAUCGAUCGAUGCCUGUCUCCUCCGAAAGGCCAGCUACCAUGCCUAUUUAUAGCAUGGUUUUAAGUCUCCCGCUUUAAGCUUCCGCUAUAACCCGCUAUACCUACUUGAGCCAUUUUAUACAACGUGCUGAGAACGUUUUUCAUUAAGAAGAAGAGAGUUUGUUUACAAGAAGAAAAAAGAAGAGUACAGUCUGAAAGAAGCAUAACGAACAACAAGAACAACCACACUGAACUUUUGAUCCCUAACAGCCCGCCGAAGCCGAAAGCCUUGCCUCCCCUAGAAUGGCGGGAGCCAACGCCACCGACUGUAGAGCAGAUCGGUCAUGCACCUAACGGUUCCGUUCCCGCCACAAUGACCAAGCGACUAACCAAACCAGGGUAUCAAAUCCUUUCCGACGUGGUUUAGGCACCCUCUUCCGAAAUUGUAGCCACCAUGAAGCGAGCGCACCUUCCUCUUGGGGCACUAAUGUUUGGAGGUUCUCAUAACAAAGAGUGCGAAACCACGUUUCCCAACUAUGUACACAACCAGUGAGAAAAUGAUCUCUAGUUUCCAUCUCUUGUGCACACAGAGCACAAUCAUCUCUAUCACGGAGCCCAUGGCGACGGAGAUGGUUAGAAGUCCAACAACGACCAUGUAGAACAAGCCAUCCGAAGAACUUGCUUUUACCCGAGGCCUGAACCUUCCAAAGUUGUUGCGCCCUCAGGAGAUGCGACCUGCCUAGGAAAAGUGCUUUAUAAGCAGAAGCGGAAGAGAACUCCCCAGAUGGCGACCACCUCCAUACGAACUUGUCUGGCGAGCGGUUUAGAGUCCAGCCCUGAAGCAAAUCCCAUAUGCUCAGGUACUGCAGAACGACUUGGACCGUGAGAGCAUAUGAGAUGUCGUUGAUCCAACGUCGAUCGGUUAGCCCCUCACGCACCGUGCGCUUAUUCCUUAUGCGUGGUGGUACGACUGCCCAAAGGUUUGGUGCUUGAGAUCGGAUACAACAACCGUUGAUCCAACGGUCUGAUCAGAACAAGGCAAUAUCGCCGUUACCCACCACGACCGUGACAGAGGCAUCGAAGAAGGCUUUAGAUAGCCGGCUGGUUGGGAGUCGAUAGCCUCUCCACGUCCUCAUAUCAUCCGUUCGUGUAAGCCACAUCCAGCGCAUUCUAAGUGCCAAAACCCAUCAACUGUAAGUUCGGGAUGCCAAGACCUCCAUAGACAGUAGCACAGGAGGCGUUAAGCUAGGCGACCACACAUUUCCCACUAGAAGCAACCUUAGUACCACACCACACGAAUCCCCUCAUCAGGUUUCAAUAGUCUUAACAGCCCAAGGGGAAAUAGUUGUGGCCAUAGAAAUGUGCACUAGGAUCGCACACAACGUAGACUUCACUAGAGUCAGACGCCCGCUCUUAUUAAGCAGCCUCCCUUUCCAGACGGGUAGGCGCUUAGCGACCUUAUUGACCAGCGGUUGUAGCGAGGACUUAGGCAACUUGCGAAUCGAUAGCGGAACGCCCAAGUAUGUACAAAGGAAUUCCGAGGUUUGGCACCACAAGGUUUCCUUGGCCAGGUUAAUAUGUUCGUUAGAGCUGUUGAUGGGGAACAUUUGACUUUUCGAGUAGCUAGUAGAUAAGCCGAUAGCCUUUUCAAAGCAUGUAAAGAUCUCCCUGACGACUGAGAGGUCUUGUUAUGCCGGUGUGAGAAACAAAACUACAUCAUCCGCAUAUGUGAAGUCCUAUGUCUGAUGUUAGUGCUUAACGUGUCGAGAAGACCCCUUUCCUCCGCUAUGUUGAUCAUGGAAUUCAAGCAUUCCAUGACAAGUACAAAGAGCAUCGGGGAAAGGGGUCCCCCUACCUUAGCCCGUAACCAUGGCAAAUCCUCCUCCCAGGGACACCAUUGAGAAGAACCUUGGUGCUCGUCGUGGAAAGCAACAUGGAGACCCAGUUAGUCCAAGUUCUUGGGCAUCCUACUACCGUCAGUAGUUCCAAAAGGAAGAACCAAGAGACCGAGUCAAAAGCCUUUGCCAGAUCAAUCUUAAACAUUAUCUUGGGUAUCUUUUUUGUAGCUAAAGUCUUCAUCGUACCCUGUACGUACCGGAAGUUAUCUUGAAUUUGACGACCUUUGAUAAAAGCACUUUGGUUAGGUGAUAUUAAGCGACCUAAAUUCAUAGAGAAACGAUUAGCUAGAACUUUGGAUAAGAUUUUGCCAAAGCUGUGGAUGAGACUUAUGGGACAGUAGUCGCCCAAGGAGGAUGGGUCAUCUUUCUUAGGCAACAAUGUUAGUAGUGCGUCAUUCAAGAAGUAAAAGCUUCGGCAGUCCAUUGAUGAGAGGGCGUCAAAAGCCCCAACAGUGUUCCCCUUGAUCAUCGGCCAAGCCGUAGUAUAGAAGCGACCAGUAAAUCUGUCCGGGCCGGGGGCCUUAUCCGGAGGCAUUUCUCUAAUGACAUCCCAUAUUUCAGCUUCCAUGAACAGGCUACCUAAGUUAGAAAGAUCUAGCUGGGGGAGGCCAAGGGUCUUGAAGUCGAGAGCGCAUGUCCUAUCGCAAGAGGUGCCCAGAAUCCCUUCAAAGUAGUUGAAGGCUGCCUCCGUCUUCUCUUCCUCCCCCCUAAGAACGACCCCAUCCACCUCCAGCGAAGUAAUGUGGUUUUUCCAUCGACGAUGAUUCGCAUGGAGAUGAAAGAACUUGGUAUUAGAAUCGCCUUCAUGUAGCCACCGCAUGGAGGAUCGUUGGUGAGCGAUGGUGUGUUCCAGGGAUGUAAGCCUAAGAAACCUAAGCUUGAGGAAGUGGUGAAGAGCUUACUCAGCUAAGGAUAGCGACCUAAGGUCCUUUAAGGCGGAAAAUAAGCUCCUUAGCAACCUGAAUCUGAGUGCAGAUGCUGUCGACCUUUUUGGAGCUCCAUCGCUUCAACUCCUUCGUCGUCUCAUGCAUCAAGUGAUCAAUUUUGUGCAAGGAAUUGAUGCAGGGCCUCGGCCACCCUCAUGCUAUGGCGACCGCCUCUGCGAACCCCUCGAAUUGUGGCCAGAAGGAUUCGAACCGGAACCGUCGCUUGGGGUGAACGACAUCGUCAAACUGUAGAAGCAAGGGGGCAUGGUUGUAGCAUCGGGUCACACGUGCUUGAAGUGAGCACAUGUGAAAGCAACAUUCCUAGUCGACAGACAUGAAGACCCGAUCAAUACGCUCAAGUGUUGGAUGCGACCUUUCGUUACUCCAAGUGAAGAGACGACCAUGUAAGAGGACUUCCUUAAGGUCCAAAUCAUUAAGGAAUCUCCAGAAAUGACCCAUCAUGCGCCUUGAGAGGGAACCGUUGUUUUUGUCAGCCGCCUAGUAUAUUAAAUUAAAGUCCCCCCCCAAAGGACCCACGGGCUAUCUAAAGUUGCCCUGAGGGAUCGCAACACGUUGAGGAAAGCUAUCUUCCCUUCAUCAUCCUGAGGUCCAUAGACAGACGUGAGCCACCAGGAUUGCGUCGAGCUGGAGCAAAGGGCGACCCUUGCCAUUACUGAGUUUGCAUCCAGGGAUGUGUUGGUGAUCAACCAAACGUUAACAUUCCAGGCACUUAAAAUACCCCCACGGGUGUGGGUGGCGUUAAGCGCGACAUAGUCGAAAUCAAGAUCAAGCAUAUCUAAAAUAAGUGCAUCAGUUACGGAGUUAAGUUUAGUUUCUUGAAGACAAAGAAGGGAGAUCUUCUCUGACCUAACAAGCUCACGGACCGCUGUGCGCCUAGCUCAAUGAUUCAAGCCACGCACGUUCCAAACCACCGUAUGUUCAUUCAUAGUUACAUAUACAACAACCAAUGACCAACCUAAACAAAGGACUACGCCGAGCACCGCCCACAGACCGCUGGGUCCUCCGGGAAGAGCUCUCUGGUAGCCGCCUGCACAUCCUCAUCCCCUAAGAUGCAAUACUACGCGAGACUCAAUCUUGCUACCAAACAACUUUUGUAUUGCUCUACAAUGAUCGUCCGAAAGCUCGAUCGCAAACAACCUCAAGUACUCUUGAAAGGGGGAAGUGUCGAGCCCCUCAUCAUUCCCAACGAUGCCGAGACACCUCAUGAUUACUUCUAUACCGCCGGGGUUGGGUUGGACCCACAUCCCCUAGAGAGAGCCGCAAUGCGGCUGUUGCGGCGGUCGGCAGGCGACGAAGCCAAUGGGUGGCGCCUUAGGACGGCGCACGCGCGGCUUGAUUGAGAAGGGCUACGCCGUCAAGACGACGGUCAGGAACCCCGGUUCGAUUCCUUCCUUGAUCCCUUUUCAGUUCAGUGCAUAGUGGGGCUUGUGGCUGGUCGUUUUCCUGUCUAGUAGAACUGCAGAAGAAUAUCUUCUGGACCAGUGUAGCAUAGCACAAGAAUCUGAACGUUGUUACUGUCGAUCUGAAUAUCCCAUCCCAGAGGACAUGGCGAAGAACUCCAACUUCACGGCCUUGCAAGCAAUCGGGACCUUGGAGAUCCUCCGCACCGACCUUGAUGAAGAAGGCAGCUUUGACGACGCCGUUGCCGGCUGUGACUACGCCUUCCUCGUCGCAGCUUCGGUGAACCUGACGUCGGAGAACCCUGAGGUGCGGGGACAUCACCAACCAGUCACACUGUUAAAUCUCUCUUAGCUUCAAGUUGCCAUUCAGUGACUGAGCCUCGCUCGUCUGAUAUGUACGGCAGAAAGACCAGAUCGAGCCGUCCGUGCGAGGAACCUUGAACGUGAUGAGGUCGUGCGUGAAAGCCGGGACGGUGAGGCGCGUCGUCUUGACCUCGUCGGCGUCCUCGGUCUACGUCAGGCCGGAGCUGCAAGGCGACGGGCACGUACUGGACGAGGACUCCUGGUCCGGCGUCGAGCCCCUCACCGCCGACAAGCCUGGAUUCUGGGUACGCGUUUCUCACUCUGAAACGGAACGUUUCUAUCUGUUUGCUGUCCUGCUGAUCGAUGACCCCGUGCUUGGGUUGCAUCUUCACACGCAGGCGUACCCGGUGUCCAAGGUGCUCUUGGAGAAGGAGGCGUGCCGGUUCGCGGAGGAGCACGGCAUCAGCCUCGUCACCGUCUGCCCCGUCCUCACCGUCGGCGCCGCGCCGGCCACAAGGAUUCAGAGCCAGACGAAUGUGAGCGUCCCCGCCAGCCUCUCCUUGCUAUCCGGUGAGAAUCGAAGCGCGCCAGCUUCUCCAGUUUUUUUGCUUUAUUCAGACGGCAUCGGAUCGGAGAGGUUGGGAGGAUGACCACGCGCGUGUCGAUUUCCGGCGACCAGGCAGUGUUCGGCGUGCUGAGAAGCAUCGAGAUGGAAACCGGCUGUGUGCCGCUGGUUCACGUCGACGACCUCUGCCGCGCCGAGGUGUUCGUCGCCGAGGCGGCGGCGGCCGCGGGGAGGUACAUCUGCUGCAGCCUCAACUCGACCAUCGUCGAGAUCGCCGGUUUCCUGGCGGCGAAGUAUCCGCAGUACGACGUGAACACCAAUAUGUAAGAAUCGGCUUCAGAGCUCUGAAUCCUGACACCUGCUUUUGCGCUGUUUCGCGGAUGAACCAUCGUUUGCCUGCACUUGGCAGCUCCGGCGAGCUGCUGGAGAAGCCGAGAGUGUGCCUCUCGUCUGCCAAGCUGGUUGGGGAAGGGUUUGAGUUCAAGUACAAGACCCUGGAUGAGAUAUACCACGACAACGUGGAGUACGGCAAGGCUCUCGGGCUUGUGCCCAACUGAUGUCAUGCUCUUCUGCUUUCGGUCGGUGAUGAGGAUUCAUCAGGAGUCAGAACACGAAAACCAUGUGGUUGCAAAAUAAGCCUAUGCUGCUACUGCCAAUAAGCUGAACGGUAGCGGUUCAGUCAGUUCGUAUCGGAUGUGUACUUCUGUCACGUUAAUAAAAGGAAAAAUUGCAGGGUUCUUGAAUUCUUUCGACAAUAACUUGCAGGUUUGAUUGUGGAUACAAAUCAUUCUGAUAGUUCAAACUAAUUAAAUCACUAGCAUCAUUUUGCAGACAAUUACGAAUUUGAUCUUUUGACCAAAAUUUCGGAACUAUGGGUGCGAUUGGAUAGGUAGGUGCCCACGGCGGCCGGCCAAAAUUCGGUCAUCGACGUGGGCAAAAUUCGUGAGCGGCCCAUUCCUCCGGCUAAUUUUGGCCCGCCAACGCUGCCGGGCUGACGCAAAGUCGCAAACGAUAAUGAAAUCAAAUGACAGCGGUAUGGCCUUCACCUCCGCAGAUACUUCCGAUCAUCCACCGCUAGUUGCGCGUUCUUGGCGGCGCACACCGCCUUUGCCGCUACAGGAUCAUUGGAGAAAGCAUCGCACAUUUGCUUGUUUAUUUUUCUGAGCAAAAACAGUAGGGGUCUUGAUGAUGAGAACAGAGAUCUCAUUGCUCCGGCCAGCCAAAGGAUCAGUUAUCACUGUCGGAUUUCGUGAUUUGGCAACACAACUGAACGGUCUUUGCAGGCCGGUAGUUCCUGUCUCACGUAGAGACUGCCCUUCUCUAGAUCUGGAAGGAAAGCAUGGGCUCGAGAUGGGAGAUUGGAUGGUAUCAUCAUUAUAUAGGCCAGUAACAGAUCCUAUUUUGCCCCGAUCUAGAUCUGGAAGGAAAGCAUGGGCUCUAGUUAUCAUCAUUACAGAUGGCAUGAAACAAACGAGAAGUAAACGGUAUCCGAUAGUCCCGUAAAAGUGUAAUCAGAUAAUGGAGCAAAACAACCCAAUCAAAAAUACCUUAAAUGUACGUCUAGCCGGCCCAUACCCGGAUGUGUCUUCAAACUUAAGGACCAAAUCCCUGCAAUUGAUAUUAUGGAAAGUACUUCCUCCAUCCUAAAUUUAAUCAUUUUAACUUUUCUAAAUUCAUAAAUUUUACUUAUACAUCGAGACAUAUUGUAAAACCAAAGCCACCUGUAAUUUAAAUUUAAAAUCGAGGGAGCAAUUCUUAGCAAAUGACAAUAUUCCGACAUGUAUUUAUGAGGCCAUUCUCAAUUAGGGAUUUCAUGUUUAUGUUUUCAAAAUGCCACAUAGCAAGAGAACCUUCUUAUCUUACUAUUAUUGGAGGCUCCUUUUGAAGGCUCUAGGUGAAGCACCUAGGAUCCUAAGUGAACACUCUAGAAAAAGAGAGAAAUUCUUACAGAAAAGCAAAACAUCCAACCACCAAUGGAAAGACUCAAAUCAUCAUAGCCAUCGGAUCUAUUAUGUUUUCUAAAAAAAUACUCACCUAUGCUAUUAUGAAAAUACAUAAAGUAAUCCCUAAAUCUAUAUCUAAAUUACCCACCUCUGCCAUUAUAUAAAAUUAACUAAAGUAACCCCCUAUUCUUCGUCAAAAUUACCCACUUAUGCCAUUAUAAACAAUAUUUAGAAUAGCCCUCUAAAUUUGCAACUAAAUUGCCCACCACUAAUACUUAAAAAACUUAAAGUGACCCCUUAAAUUUGCAUCUAUAUUACCCAUAUAUGCCAUUAUUAAAAAUAACAUGAGGUAACCCUCUAUUUGAAUCCAAAUCACCUUAAUUAAAAAUAUACAGCAAUAUAUGGUUCUAAACCGUCUAUUUCUUACACUAUUGGUAUAUGAUAUAAAAAUUAAGGUAUAUACACAUGAUAUGUGUCACCAUUUAUAAAGAUAUAGAGGAAGUGAUGAGAAUAUAUAUUUCUAUGUUAAAAUUGUAGCUCAAACUCAAGAUCCACUAAACAAAUUCAAAUGCAUACUUGCGAUGCAAAAUGAAAAGUUGAACAUUUUAAAUGUGGAUGAAAAUAUUAUAGAGUAAUUACUAACUAAAAUCUAUCACAAUUGUAUGAAGAUAAUAUGUAUAUAUCUAUAUAAGUAUUAUGUUCGAAUAUUUAACAAAUUAGAUGUAGCUCAUGAUAAUAGUUUUCUAGCAAUAUGGUCUCUUUUUUUUCACUGGAGACUCCGCAUUAGUUCUCACGAGACAUGCUAGAAAAUAGAAGAGACAAAUGCUAGAAAUUCUCACAAAAAUCAAAAUUAUCAAUGCUAGAAAUUCUCACAAAAAUCAAAAUUAUCAAUGCUAGAAAUUCUCACAAAAAAUCAAAAUUAUCAAACAUCAAUCCUAUAAUCUCUAAUAAUCAUAACAUUUGAUCUGUUAUAUUUUCUAAAAAGUUAUCAUUAUAAAGCAUAACUUAAAACGUCAUUUUAAAUUUGUAUCUAAGUUACCCACAUAUGUCGUUAUUAAAAAUAACCUAAAGUAAACACCUAAAUUUUAAUACAUUUACUUCAUAUGCAUCAUACAGAAAUUUUCAGAAGUAAAUUAAUAUAUAAUUUUAAAUUACUUAUUUAUGUCAUUGUUAAUAUAGAAAUACUAAGUUAAAGUAUGUAUACAUGAUGAGUGUCACCAUUUAGACCAUUUAUACAUGUAUGUGCGGAAUUGAUGAAACAUAUUGAUUUUUCAUGCUAAACAAAAUGUAUGAAAGUGUGAUACAAAAUGAAAAAAGUGUGAAUAUGGAUGAAAAAGUGUAUAGAGUAACUAUUAAAAAAUUAAUCACAAAUGGAUAAAGAUAAGUACAUAUUUAUAUAAAUAUUAUGUUGAAGUAUUGAAAAAAAAUAAGAGAGUAGUAGGUAAACAAUUUUGAUUAGUAGAAUACAAUAGCUUUCAAAAAUAUUUGACUGUGCGGGAGCACGGGUUGAUGGACUAGUUAAUUUGUAAUUCAAAUAGUUUUAUACAAUGCAUUGUUUUAUUCAUUGGUGUUUCUUAGGCCAUAUGCAAGACACAAACUGUGUUAGAAAUAAUGUAUAUAUGGUUUCAUCACCAUGAAACUCAUUUCACAUCUCUCUUCAUUAACUUUUUGUCACAUUAUCAAAAACGCUAACAUGGCACUCUACUUAAGAAAAUGAAACUCCCACGGUAGGGUGUUUGGAUACCACCUGCUAAAAUUUAGCACCUGUCACAUUGGAUAUUUGAUAUUAAUUAGAAGUAUUAAACAUAUGCUAAUUACAAAACUAAUUGUACAGAUGGAGUCUACUUCGCGAGAUGAAUCUAUUAAGCCCAAUUAGUCCAUGAUUUGACAAUAUGGUACUACAAUAACCAUUUGCUAAUGAUAAACUAAUUAGGCUUAAUAGAUUCAUCUCGCGAAUUAGACUCCAUCUGUGCAAUUAGUUUUGUAAUUAGCUCAUAUUUAGUCCUUCUAAUUAGCAUUCGAAUAUACAAUAUAAUAUUGAUAAAGUUUAGCACCAUGUAUCCAAACGUAAACUCGGGAGGCUCUUCAUGUGACUUAGCGCACUGGGAUUGGCCCACGCUGAUGCCCAGGCAGGGUCCUUUCGUACGAGGACCAUGUGGCAGACCACUAUUGAACAAACGAUAAAUGGUGACACAUUUAUCUUCUUGCUAUGCAUUCUUUUGCUUUUCUUGUGGCAACUGUUUUUUUUUCCGCCACAAACCGUUUGUCUACAUCUUGUGUGGCCUACACUAAAAAAAUCGAAGCUAAUAGUUGUGGCGAGCGAGCCAGCCAGUGAAUCCUCCUCUUUCAAGCGACUGGCGAUGUCGGCAGCCGGCGAGAAGAAGAAGACGGCAUGCGUGACCGGAGGGAACGGGUACAUCGCCUCGGCUCUGAUCAAGAUGCUGCUGGAGAAGGGCUACGCCGUCAAGACGACGGUCAGGAACCCCGGUUCGAUUCCUUCCUUGAACCCUCUUAUCGAACGUCAGCGAAUUGCUGCACAUCUGCAUCAACUGUAGUUUUGAUCCUGAAACCCCAGAUGACAUGGCGAAGAACUCCCACCUCAAGAACUUGCAGGCGCUCGGCCCCCUGACCGUCCUCCGCGCCGACCUGGAUGAAGAGGGCAGCUUCGACGAGGCCGUCGCCGGCUGCGACUACGCCUUCCUCGUCGCCGCUCCGGUGAACCUCGCGUCCGAGGAUCCUGAGGUGCGCAGUCUGGCUCAGGCAUCCCUUAACAGUCAGUCAGUCACCACUGUUCUGUGUUCUGCCUGCCUGUUGGCUCGCUCAAUUCAACUCGAUCUGCGCGUGGCAGAAAGAGCUGAUCGAGGCAGCCGUCCGAGGAACUCUGAACGUGAUGAGGUCGUGCGUGAAAGCGGGGACGGUGAAGCGCGUCAUCCUGACCUCGUCGGCGGCCUCGAUCAUCAUGAGGCCGGAGCUGCAGGGUGACGGCCAUGUCCUGGACGAGGAGUCCUGGUCCAACGUCGAGUACCUCAGAGCCAACAAGACUGCUUUCUGGGUACGCGCCGUUCCUUCGGAACCAGCAUGUUUUAUUGGUCCGUUUGCUAAUGGUGUUCGCGUUGCGUUUGCGUCGCAGGGUUACCCGGUCUCCAAGGUGCUCUCGGAGAAGGCGGCGUGCAGGUUCGCGGAGGAGCACGGCAUCAGCCUCGUCACCGUCUGCCCCGUCGUCACCGUCGGUGCGGCACCGGCGCCGACCGCCCGCACCAGCGUCCCGAACUGCCUCUCCCUUCUGUCCGGUGAGGCCGUGAGCACGAGCGCUGAGAUGAGCUGACCGGAAGACAGAGAAGAACUUGUCGAUUUCUCUCGUACCUGCAGUUCUUUUCAUACCGCUGCGUCACGUGACUAUCGCAGGCGACGAGGCAGAGUUCGCCGUGCUGAGAGGCAUGGCGAAGGUGUCCGGCACGGUGCCGCUGGUUCACGUCGACGACGUCUGCCGCGCCGAGCUAUUCGUCGCCGAGGAGGAGGCGGCCGCGGGGAGGUACCUCUGCUGCAGCCUCAACACGACCAUCGCCGAGCUCGCGCGUUUCCUAUCUGCAAAUUACCCGCAGUACACUGUGAAAACGAAGCUGCUGUGAGUUGAACUCUAAAUAAAGAAUCUGCUGUGAAGUAAGAAUCAGGCACUUGCUUUGCAGUGAGGAGUGAUUAUCGCCUUCCACUUUGCAGCUCUGGUGAUCUGCUUGAGAAGCCGAGAGCACGCCUGUCAUCGGCGAAGCUGGUCGGUGAAGGGUUUGAGUACAGGUACAAGACGCUCGAUGGGAUGUACGACGACAUGAUCGACUAUGGCAAAGCCUUGGGAAUUCUGCCCAAUCUAUGAUGCUCCUCUGCUUUGUAUGGGUGGGUGAUCACAACUCCAAACCAGCAAGCAGUUGCAAGAUCCUCCAUGCUGCUAGAGUACUAGUACUGGUACGUUGAAUAAAUACAUUGUGAUGAUAGAUGUGGGUGGUUUAGAUUCAUUCAUAGAAAAUUUGGGUUUAUUUUCCCAUAAUGGCAAAGAUAUGUAAUUUGAAUAUACAUUUUAGGGCACUUUGGGUUAUUGUUUUAUGAUGGCACAUGUGAGUGAUUUAAAAGAAAAUUAAUUAGAUAUUAUUGGUAACCACUUGCGGUUAACGGCAUUGCAAUUUGUAACAAGAAACUGACUUUCGUGAUUCUUCUUUUUCCCCACAGAGCCCUUCCAUUCAUUGGAGUGUGGCCGCCUAUCUUUCAGAAUCAGAUUGAGAAUUUCGAUUUCAAUCACAUCCAUUCAAUCGGAUUAGUCAUCAUAAAGAUCCAUUACACUUGGCUGAAUGUGUCAUUUUCAGUGCGAGGCGUAAGUCAUAACAACAGACAAACUGUCGUCGUCAUCGUUCCCCACGAUCUGUCCUUUAUUUUUUUAUUUUUUUGCCUUGUUUAGUUCCCUUUUCUCAACUUUGGCACUAUGCAAAAAGAAAAAUUCCCCAUCACAUCAAACUUACGAUAUAUGCAUGAGUACUAAAUGUAGACGAAAUCAAAAACUAAUUACACAGUUUUGUUGUACUUUGCGAAACGAAUCUUUUGAGCCUAAUUAGUCAAUGUUUGGACAAUAAUUCACAAAUACAAACGAAAUACUACCGUUGCGCAUUUAUAGCAAAAUGCAAACUUUGCCACUCCCAAUUUGGGAACUAAACAAGGCCAGGGCUAUUUGGCGAAGGGCUGUUUGGCGAUAGGGUGUUAAAAUUUAACACCCGUCACAUCGGAUGUUUGGAUGAUAAUUAGGAGUAUUAAAUAUAGGCUAAUUACAAAACUAAUUGCAUAGAUGGAGUGUAAUUCGCGAGACGAAUCUAUUAAGCCUAAUUAGUCCAUAAUUUGACAACGUGGUGCUAAGUAAUCAUUUGCUAAUGAUGAAUUAAUUAGGUUUAAUAGAUUCAUCUCGCGAAUUAGCACAGGAUUCUGCAAUUAGUUUUAUAAUUAGCUCAUGUUUAGUUCUCCUAAUUAGCAUCCGAACAUCCGAUGUGACAAUGUUAAAGUUUAGUACCUCAUAUCCAAACACCUCCGAAAUCAACCUAGCGCUGGUCGCGGCCCCAACGAUCACUGUCCCUGUGGGCGGCUGCUAACAACCGAUCAAGCAAUCAGCACCUGACCUACGCCAUCGAUCUCUUCCUACAGCAGACUGCAUCUUCUCCUGAAAGUUCAGGUGUCCGGGUGAGUGAAUCUCCUCUUUCCGGCGAUUCAGCCUCUACUAGUGUGGAGUGAGGAUAGCGGCUAGGGGACGUCGUGACCGGCGAUGUCGGCCGACGACAAGAUGAAGACGGCGUGCGUCACCGGAGGGAGCGGGUACAUCGCCUCCGCGCUCAUCAAGAUGCUGUUGGAGAAAGGGUAUGCCGUGAAGACGACGGUCAGGAACCCCGGUUUGAUUCACUGAUCCAUCCCUUUCAGCUCUUUUUUUCUUCUGUUUCUCGUAGGGAUGAAAUUUUCGGAGUAGUUGCAAAAAUUGACAAUAAUAACUAGUACUCCAUGUGUUCUCAUAAGAGGUUCCUUUAAUCAUGUUGGAGUAAAACAAAUUACUGUGAAAGAAUUUGUCAGCAUGAUCCUGAAUCUUCCAAGUGCUUGCCGCUUUGCUUCCGCAACCCCCAGAUGACAUGGCGAACAACUCCCACCUCAAGAACUUGCAGGCGCUCGGCCCCCUGGAGGUCCUCCGCGCAGAUUUGGACGAAGAAGGCAGCUUCGAUGAAGCCGUCGCCGGCUGCGACUACGCCUUCCUUGUCGCCGCUCCCGUGAACCUCAAGUCGGAGAAUCCUGAGGUGUGGGGCCACUGUUCUGCUGUAAAAAUUUGGCACUACUGAACAAUGCCUUGACUUGGUCCACUCAAAUGAACUCGAUGCAUGGCAGAAAGAGCUGAUCGAGCCAGCUGUCCGAGGAACUCUGAACGUGAUGAGGUCGUGCGUGAAAGCGGGGACGGUGAAGCGCGUCAUCCUGACCUCGUCGGCGUCCUCGAUCACCAGGAGGCCGGAGCUGCAGGGCGACGGCCAUGUCCUGGACGAGGAGUCCUGGUCCAACGUCGAGUACCUCAGAGCCAACAAGACUGCUUUCUGGGUACGCGCCGUUCCUUCUGAACCAGCAUGUUUUAUUGGUCCGUUUGCUAAUGGUGUUCGCGUUGCGUUCGCUUCGCAGGGUUACCCGGUCUCCAAGGUGCUCUCGGAGAAGGCGGCGUGCAGGUUCGCGGAGGAGCACGGCAUCAGCCUCGUCACCGUCUGCCCCGUCGUCACCGUCGGUGCGGCGCCGUCGCCGACCGCCCGCACCAGCGUCCCGAGCUGCCUCUCCCUUCUGUCCGGUGAGGCCGUGAGCACGAGCGCUGAGAUGAGCUGACCGGAAGUCAGAGAAGAACUUGUCGAUUUCUCUCGUACCUGCAGUUCUUUUCAUACCGCUGCGUCGCGUGACUAUCGCAGGCGACGAGGCAGAGUUCGCCGUGCUGACAGGCAUGGCGAAGGCGUCCGGCACGGUGCCGCUGGUUCACGUCGACGACGUCUGCCGCGCCGAGCUGUUCGUCGCCGAGGAGGAGGCGGCCGCGGGGAGGUACCUCUGCUGCAGCCUCAACACGACCAUCGCCGAGCUCGCGCGUUUCCUGGCACACAAGUACCCGCAGUACGGCGUGAAAACAGACCUGCUGUAAGAAUCGGGCCUCAACUCUGAACCUUUCGUUGCACUGACUAGUGAGGACUGAUGAGUGAUGCAUGAUCCUGGGCUUCCGCUUUGCAGCUCCGACGACGUGCUUGAGAAGCCGAGAGCGUGCGUAUCGUCCGCGAAGCUGGUGAGGGAAGGGUUCGAGUACAAGUACGAGACGCUGGAUGGGAUGUACGACGACAUGGUCGAGUACGGCAAGGCCUUAGGAAUUCUCACCAACUGAUGAUGUUCCUCCGCUUUGGGGUGUCACAAUUCCAAAAUGUGCUUGCAAAACAAGUCUAUGGUUUCCGGAAAAAAGAGAGAGAGAGAGUUUAUGUUAACUUUAUGAGAGGAAACAACAGGUCCUUGUUUAUUACCAGAAAUAAUGCGAAAAAUACAUCCCACAACCGUUUGUCCCCCCACGCUUUAUCUCCCACCGUCCAGGACGCUUUAACAUUCGUGCGCAAGCUGCCUCGCGUGGAUCUUCGUUGACCGCUCCGCGCGCUUGCUGGUCUCGCGCGGCCACCCAACGCGUGAGUACCCCUCCGGCCCUCCCCUCCCCACCCACCCAACACGCAAUUGAUGCCAUCGGAGCAUGGUCAAGUAAAAAAAGUAAUACCUCCGUUUAUUUUUAAAAAAAUAUGAUAUGAGAUGAUACGGUUUUCUAAAUUACAUUUUGACCAUUAAUUUAUCUUAUACUAUAUUAUUUGGAUUAUAAACUUACAAUCGAGUACAUUUAAUUAUAAAUCCAACCAUUUCAAGUGUACAUCAUAAAAAUAAAAAAUUAUUAGUUAAAUUAUUGGUCGAAGAUAACAUCGUUUGAAUCUUGAUAUGCAUGUACACCUUAUAAAUAUAAACUGAGGGAGUAAUUGCUAUUUAUCUUUUUGAUAUUGUCACCUUUUUCCAUGAUAGAAAAAAAAGUAUUACAAUGUUGGAAUAUUUUAUUUCUCUACGUACUUUUUAUGUCACUGCCGGGACUUUUUUUUCUUUAGAUCUCAGAAUAUUUAGAUUUUAACCAAAAAAAUGGCCCUAAUCUUCUGAAACAAUUCGCUACCUAGAACAUUUUUUUCUUAGACCAGAAUAUGACAAACCUAACAGAUUUUUAUCAUAAAUAACGUUCCUUAAAAAAAACUGAAGAAACUAGUGUCCAAGAAAUAGCAUCUCCCAUUUAUAAAAAACAAGUUUACCGGUUAUUAUGGAUAUGGAUUACAAGCAAAAGGCGGGAUAUCAGCUGAGCAAGAUAUAUAGCAGAGAAACCGCAGUCCUACAAAACGCAUUAUACUUGGUAAAUGUCAAACAAACAUCUAAAAAAAUCAGAACAGCUACGAGAGCACCACGACUGCACGAGCUUGAAAGAACCACCAAACAAUGCGCGGGUCCUUUGGGGAUUUGCUUUAUCUUCAGCAUGUCGUCCUCCUGGUUUUGCGACCUGUCACUUCUUUACUUGAGUCAGCACCUCCCCCUGUCCACGAUUCUUUUUGUUUAAGACUCGCCAUCGCUGUACAAGGGAGACAAUUUCGUAAUCAAAACAAUGAACUUGUCUCGGAGUGUUGUUUUUCUCUCACUGACACCUCUUUCCAUCCAAUAUUUGGUCUACUCAGCUGGUGCCUGGUGGUUGCAUGCAGCCAGCUGCAACAACUGAGCAAGAGGACAGUCAAAGAAUACAGUCUCCAUCCAGUUGUCCACGACGCUUGAAAAACCUUAGGGCCUGUUUUCUUGCAGUUGCUAAACUUUAGAUGCUAAAAGUUGCUAAAGUUUAGCAUCUAAAGUUUAGCCAAACCUGUUUUCUUCCACUUGCUAAAAGGCAUUGAAUGAGAAGGUUAAAGACAUGUUUGCCCCUAAUGAUUGCUACCCUUCUUUCUCUCUCAUCUCACUCCUCCCUGGCGCCAUUUUUUCUCCCUCCUCCCUGGCGCCAUUCUUCUGUCCGGUUGAACUGCUCUUGGCGCCAGGAUUUCCUUGGCGCCAUUUCUUUCCUGGCGCCAUUUCUUUCCUGUCAUGAUGCACCUUCCUGCCCAUUUGUUCCAUUCUAGCGCCGUUCCUACUAACGUUGCGUCGAUCAAUAAAAUGGAAUGCCACGAUGCUGGCAGCUAUUUUUUUUUAUUGAAUCAAAAAAUUAUUGUGCAUCCCAAAAAUUACAUUAUUACAACAAAAAAGUAAAGGAUCCUAUGACCUAUUGAACAAUCCAUCGGCUAUCCAAUCCCGAAACUGGUUCAUGCUUUGAUCUUCAUAUUCAUGUUGGGUAGCACCUUCAUUUGCUUGAGAUGAUGGUCCUUCAGAAGGUGUAGCAUCGUUUUCUUCAUCAUCCGCAUUAUCAAAAUCAACAUCACCAAUAGCACUCUCUCUAAUGAAAUUAUGAAUUGCCAUGCAAGCAAUAAUUAUUUGACUUUGCUUUGCCAUUGGAUAAGAUGGUAAAUCGCGCAGAAUACGCCAUUUGUUCUUCAACACCCCAAAUGACCUCUCGAUGACAUUUCUUAAUGAUGAAUGUGCAUAAUUGAAAUGCUCCUUUUUACCUCUGGGAAUUCGUCCGGCUCGAAAUUCUGGUAGAUGAUAUUUCGUACCCUUGUACGGGGCAAGAUACCCAAUACGGUUUGCGUAUCCAGAGUCGACAAGAUAAAACUUCCCUGCACAUCAACAAUUUUCGUGUUACAUAUAUCCACAAACAUCAAAAGUACUACGUGCAGAUAGUUCAUAGAUGAAGGAAGUACCUUCAGGGGGGUGUGGAAAUUUAUCGCCAUACUUGUCCAAUGCAUCUUUGAAGACUCUCAUGUCAUGAACCGAUCCAGGCCAUCCCGCGACGACAAAGGUAAAUCUCAUGUCGAAGUCACAUAUGGCUAACACAUUCUGACUAGUGUACCCAUGUCGUCCCGUAUGUUGGACAGCCUUAUCUGCUGGCACAACAACAGGCACGUGUGUCCCAUCUAUAGCCCCAAUGCAAUUGUCAAAGUAUGGAGAGAACCGUGCUGACCUCAACUUCGGAUGCACAGUACUGAAUGUUGGGUCAACUGGUCUAAUGAUAUCCCCUGCUAGUUUGCAAAUGCUGUGUAAUACUUUGUUGAACUUCCUACUAAUUGUGCAAGUAGACCUAACAAAACGGUCUUCGGCUUGCCUCAUGCUUUGGGGGGCACCACACAUCCACAGGAAUAAAGCUAAAGACUCUACUGAUGUCAUUCUCCUAGUAGACUUUAAUCCAUAAGACUGUACAAGGACAUUAUGAAGCCUAUCAAAAACAUUCCUAUUCAUCCUGAACAUGUUGUGACAAGAUGUUCUAUUUCCUAAAGUUUUGAUAACCCAUUCAUAUCCUGAUUCUGUUGGUACUCUAUAUUCUGAUCUAUUCAAAUGUGUGGCAUAAUAGUACAUACCGAGGAAAGCACCCAAUGCAACAAAUUCUCUUCUUAUCCUUUUCCUCUUCUGAAACCAGUCAUCAACAUAGUCAAACAGAUCAACCUGUACAUACAAUGAAAUAGUCCACAAAUCAGCCAUGUCAUAGUACACACAAAUUGUGAUUAAAAGUUCUGAACAAGGCAGCCAUGAAAUUGAUGUCAACUAAACAGCCACAAAUCACAAGAUCAAUUUAUUAAAAGCUCUAAUAUGACUACAACCACAACAUGACAGAUUCAUAGUUCUCAACAAAUUGUCCACACAAACCACAAAUCAUAGUUCACACAAAAGUUCUAACAUCACUAGCAACACAACAUGACAGCUACUUGAUGUGGCCUACAAUUCAUGGGCGACCAAAGGUCUUCCCACACUUAGUUUGCAACCAUUUGAACCUAAGUUCCUUUGUCGAUAGUGUGCCAAAAGCUACCCUGUUAAAUCUAUCCCUAAACAACUCCAUAGCAAAAAAGUACUCUUCUGACUCUUCUGAUGCUCCACACUCCUGUGCCAAUAGAAGGCUUGCUUUGUACUCAUCUUCUUCUUUGUCAUGAGAAUGCCUUCUAAAUUCCAACUCCAGCUCCUUCUGCUUCAGUUGUUGUUGCAGUUCCAUUUCCCUCUGCUUCAACUGCAACUCCAUCUUCACCCUCAUGGUAGUGUUAUCUUCAGAGAUCCCCUCAUGCAUAGUGUCUAUGAGGCCCUUGAACAUCUUGAAAAAAGGACUUUUACUCUUCUUUUGAGGGCUUGAUGCUGUAUCAGCUGUACUGGUACUCCUUUUCUUGCUGCCAUUACUCAUAGGGCUCAUAGGGCUCUGUUCAGGGUAGUCAUCCACAUCAAAUUGGAAGUCCUCUUCUUCAGGUACCUCCUGCCUCUCUUCAUCCACAUCUCCUGGUAUGGUUGUAGUUGAUCCAUCAACUACAUUUUUGUGGUACAUCUCAUACAGCAGCUCAAGAUAGUGAGGUAGAAACUUGCUAAAUUUACGGCAUUCUGGAUACUGCAAGCGAAUGACACAGGAAUUCAGAAACUAUAUGUACUCCAGGCACAAAACUAAAAGAAAUUAUCACAAACAACAAAAAAAAACUACCUUGCAGUAUUUAUCCCACCAGGCUUUACUUGCUGAAAUGGCUCCAUUAUUUUUCCUACCUAAUCCUGAUUGUUUCAUCGCGAAAACGUAAAAUUCAUAUAAUUUCUUGCAUUGAUCCCACCUAUUUCUGAAUUGCUUCGGUUCAUGCCUGAUGGUGGUCCUCUCCGCAAAUUUGGCAGCUAUUUCCUUGAAACCUCUAGAAUUGACCACCCCACCUGUUGCAUUUCCUAUACGGAUUUGUUCCACAGCUAAUUCGCAAAAAAUUCCUGUGUUUAAUUCGCUCCAGUUUGCUCUAUGACAUUUGUUCUACCAGAAAAUGAAAAACAUAAAUACAAUUCACUAAAACAUGGAGAUGCACACUGCACAGUGAGGACAGGAUGCUUACAUGAUGAUCCUCCCCAGAUUCCUCGUCCAAUUGUUCAACAUCCUCUGUGUUCAUGGAUGCAGAAUAGGCAGCAGAGGCUGCGCCUCGUCCCAAUCUCCCCCGAAGAUGUUGCCGGAUAGGAGGACUUGCAUCUGAAUAUGUAAGAUCACAACACUCAGAACCGCAAAGCUUGCAAAUCAUCAAACCAUACAACCAAUUCAGUAGGUCUUUACCUGAAGGCGGCGAAGGUGAAGCAGUACGGCGCCUUCCCCGGCCACGGCGGCCACCACGUGCGGUGCCAGCCCUUCCCCGGGCGAUUGGAACACCACCAUCGGUCUGACGGGGAGGUGAAACGAGCCGAUCCUAACAACCAUCGCCGCGUCCUCUUCCAAGAUUCCAGGAUGUCAGUGUAUUCAUCGAGGUAGGGGAAAGGACUCGUCGUGGGAGUUCAGAUCAAGAUCCUGCAUGUUGACCCUCCCAGCCGAGAGAGAUGGAGCCGCCCGAGCGCGAGACGGGCCCGUGGGACAUGAACUCCAACUCCUCUGGAUCGGGAAGGGGCGCAAGGAAUAGGGAACGAAGGGGGCCGCCGAGGAUGAAGCACCCUGCGACCAAUCACGGGUAUCCGGCCAUUGCUAGGAGCUGUUGCGGUGGGGAUGGGGUAAGGGGAGUUGGAGGUUGCGGAGAGGAUGGGGAUGGAGCAGGGGCGGCGAGUAUGGCGGAUCCGGGAGUUGUGUCGGCGAGGAUGGCGGAUCCGGGGUGGGAGUGGGGGGAGGGGGACGAUGGGAUGGCGGAUCUGGAGUUGGAGUGGGGGGAGGGGGAAGAUAGGGCGGCCUCCAGCAGCAGGCGGCGGCGGCCCUGGACUCCGGGGGUGGCGGCGGUCCUGGACUCCGGGGGGCGGCGGCGGCAGUGGACUCCAGGAGCCGGCGGCGGUGGAGCUAGACUAUUGGAGGCGGCGGCGGGAGAUUGUAUGGGCAGCGCCGGUGGAUGCGUUGCGGCGGCGGCGGUGGAUGCGGCGCGGCUAGGGCGGCGGUGGAUGCGUCGCGGCUAGGGCGGCGGUGGGGCUCGACCCCAGGAGCCGGCGGCGGUCGAUGCGUGGCGGAGGCGGCGGAUGCGUGGCGGCGGCGGGGGUGGAUGCGGUUGCGGCGGCGGCGCUCGAUGCGGGGCAGGAAGGGGGCGGAUGCGAAGAGAAGAGGAGGCGGGCGUGCGGGAGUGCGGGUGGAUGCAGAGUGCGGGAGGGGUAUGCGUGCGGGAGUGCGGGACUGCCAGACAAUAAUGAGGGGUAGAAGGUGUCCAGCCCACCUUUUAGCAAGUUUUAGCAACCCAAAACUUGCUAAAGAUCUAAACUUUAGCAACUCAACUUUAGCAAGUUUAGCAAGACUGUUUUCCAAUUUAGCAGCUCAAAGUUGCUAAAUUUUAGCAUCUAAAUUUUAGAUGGGUGGAAGAAAACAGGCCCUUAAUACUCCUGCAACAACUGCCAGAGAAGAAAUAUUCCUUGUUUUACUAUGUUCAAGGUUAAAUUUAGUGGAGCAAACGACCAUCAUCCCAUUCUUAACCUCGCAUUUAGCUGUCAUGGGCUGGUACGGUACAUUCUUAAAUGCCCACGCGAUCGUCGAGCUCGUGGACCUACUGACCAAUCGGCAACCACCGACUGGAGCAUCGUUUUCCUAGGGGCAAUUCUGCAACUUUCAGCCCCGAAAAAGAUCCCGAGUGUUUUUCAUGGAACAGUUUAUCUCGUCCCCGGACGUCGUCGUCGACGUUCUCACCGUGUCGUCGACCUGCCGGCGUCACCGCUUGAGAGAAAGCGAUAAGAUCUCGAGCACCCUGUGGCUGUGAACCAUCGUGUGGAGCACCCUGGCAGGCAGCAAGCUUACAAAAGGCACGUUGCUCAGCCAGUGUGCCAACCAUCCACCUCAGAACUUCAGGAUCCAGAGCCACAGUACACUGCCUCAGUGCUUGAGUCGAGAGAACCAGCAGUGCUCGUGUUCACCUUGCCAAAGAUGGCGGCCGCGGCCGGUGAGGAGAGGAAGAAGACGGCGUGCGUGACCGGGGGGAACGGGUACAUCGCGUCGAUGCUCAUCAAGAUGCUGCUGGAGAAGGGCUACGUUGUGAAGACGACGGUCAGGCACCCCGGUUAGAUUAUCUUCCCUCCCCUUUCUCGGUUCUGACUUGUGAAUGAUCAAAAGUGCAUUAGUGUUCUGAUACUGAAUCGAAUCGUAUCCCAGAGAACAAGGAGGACAACUCCCACCUGGAGGACAUGAAGAAGCUCGGCACCCUGGAGGUGUUCCGCGCCGACCUGGGCGAAGAAGGCAGCUACGACGAGGCCGUCGCCGGCUGCGACUACGCCUUCCUCCUCGCAGCCCCGGUGGACUACACGUCCAAGAACCCUGAGGUGCGCAAACGUCAUCACUGCCACUCGAUCGUCAGUCACCUCAUUGACAUAUAUGAUAUUCACACCGAUCGAAGUUGUUCGAUUAUGGCAGAAAGAGCUGAUGGAGCUCGGAGUCCAAGGCACGCUCAACGUGAUGCGGUCGUGCGUGAAGGCCGGGACGGUGAAGCGCGUGAUCCUGACCUCGUCGACGGCCGCCGUCUCCAGCAAGCCGCUGCAAGGCGACGGUCACGUGCUGGACGAGGAGUCCUUCUCCGACGUCGAGUACCUCACCGCCAAAAGGACCGGUCUCUGGGUACGCCUGCACUGCACAAACGCAUAUCAUUGUUCAUCACUUCUGCACCCUGAACAAUGUUCAGUCCGUUUGCAUGCUGAUGGCGCCGUGAUCGCGCUUCCUCCGCAUCAUAACACAGGCGUACCCGGUGUCGAAGGUGCUCAUGGAGCAGGCGGCGUCCAAGUUCGCGGAGGAGCACGGCCUGAGCCUGGUGACCCUGUGCCCGUCCGUCACCGUGGGGGAGGCGCCGGACAGGCAGGUCUACACCACCGUCCCGGCCAUCCUCUCCCUGCUGUCGGGCGACGACAAGGAGCUCGGCGUGCUCAAGGGCAUCGAGAGGGCCUCCGGGUCGGUGCCGCUGGUGCACGUGCACGACGUCUGCCGCGCCGAGAUCUUCGUCGCCGAGGCGGAGGCGGCCGCCGGCAGGUACAUCUGCAACGCCCUCGACACCACCAUCGUCGAGAUCGCCCGAUUCCUGGCGGACAAGUACCCGCAGUACAACGUCAACACCGAGCUGUAAGAUCACUCGAUUGCUUUGAUUGAUCCUUUCUUUGCCCUCCUGGAGAUCAUGGCUAGCGACGAUCGAUCUGGUUGCAUGAACAAUUACAUUAAUAAACCUCUUGCAGCUCCGGCGACCUCCUCAAGAAGCCGAUAGCGCUGCUGCCGUCGACGAAGCUGGAGAAGGACGGGUUCGAGUUCGAGUUCAAGACGCUGGAGCACAUCUACGACGACAUGGUGGAGUACGGCAAGGCACUGGGGAUCCUGCGCAGCUGAUCGAGUACCCUGUACAGCUGUACUGUACCCGCAGAAUAAGUCCGUGCCGUGCAGUGGGGUGCCUUUUGUCACCUCCUCAGGGCGCAAAAUAAUUAAUUGCGGGGAGUGUAGCUCAUGUCAUGUGUUUGUGUUCCUUCAAAAUUUGAGAUUCCAGAGUUUUCAGUCCUAUCCGUAUCACAUUAGUGCGCUUUGCUACGCGUCAGUGGGGGAAAUCACUUUGGUUUUUCACCUGGGGCAACUACUACAUACAUGGCAUGCCCGCCAAGUACAUGAAUGGCUGCAUGCAUCUCUAGUUGUAGCUGUAGUUGAUGCACAGACCUGGAGGUUAUAUUUUCUUUGUUAAAAAGGCAUACCAGGCAAGCACGAUGACGCAAUAGAGGCGCCAUGUAUGUGUGGAAAAACUCACGAAUCCCGAAUUCAUUCCUCUUCUCUCACUUUCACCAGGGUGCGAAUGACUAAUGAGGCGCAUAGCCUAAAGUCAUGCUUGGAUCCUCCCAACUUUGUUUAAGCUCUGCAAACGAGGCAGCUUGUAGCUUUGUAUAAGCUAGCUGGCUGGAUACUUGAAAACUGGAGUAUAAGCUAACUUUUUAUAAGUUGAACUAUUCGGGAUUAACUAGAGCAGUUUUUAAGCAGGUUUCUAUUAGCUCCAGCUAAUUCAAACGGGGCCUAAGUGUGUAUAUGUGGUAAACUGGUAGUGUAUUUCCAGGUCUGAACAAGGAAGGCCUGUAUUUCUGUCUGUAAGCAUCCAUUGACGUGAGCACAUCCAAAGUUUGGUUAAACGUUUCUUGACAUCAGAUUGCAUUGGACUGCAUCCUCUGGAGUCAGGACACAGGUCGAGCAACGUAAUUUUGUUUCUUUUUAUGUCUUGCCUACUCCCUAGCUGGUAGCAGCUCCCAUUGUUGUUCCUCCGUCGCCGUGCGCUGCAGCUGUGAAAACGUAAAACAAACCAGGACAAUGUCUGUGCGCGCACAGUGAAGUGAUGCGGAAUAUGCAUUCAAGACCCCCCCCCCCCCCCCCCCCCCCCAAAAAAAAAAAAAGGAAAAUGGGACAUGCAAGCAGGAAGGAUUUGAAAAGUUGGGAGAACGUUUUCCACGCAGGUGACAGAGCGGACCGCGUUCGGAAGGUCAAGAUUUUCUGAAGGCGUGCCAGUUGUCACGCACCGAUGGGACAGAAAGGUGGCGACAAAGUAGGAUCUCAGGAUCAUUCAUGCCGCAUUUGGUCCCCCGGAUUAUCCAACUGACACGCGGGUAACGGUGACUUGAGUCAUGGCAAUAAUGAGCGCCUGCCUGUGUUGCUGCUCCUGGAAAAGUUUCAGCCCUUGUUUAGUUCACCUCUAAAUCCCAACUUUAACACUAUGCAAAAAGAAAAUUUCCUAUAACAUCAAACUUGCGGUACAUGCAUGGAGUACUAAAUGUAGAUGAAAUUAAAAUUAAUUGCACAGUUUUAUGGUACUUUGCGAGACGAAGCUUUUGAGCCUAAUUAGUUAAUGUUUGGACAAUAGACGAAGCUUUUGAGCCUAAUUAGUUAAUGUUUGGACAAUAAUUCACAAAUACAAACGAAACGCUACAGUGUGCUACAGUGCUGGUACAGUGAUUUUGGCACUUCAAAAUUAGGCAACUAAACAUGGCCUCAACUUGAAAUGAAAGGAGAUUAAAAAAAAAAGGUUUUUGGAGUCGUCUGUGCUCUAGAGUAGCGCGUUGUUUGGAUACAGGCCCAUAAAAUUGUACCUGUCACAUUGGAUGUUUGAUACUAAUUAGGAGUAUUAAAUAUAGUCUAAUUACAAAACUAAUUACACAGAUGAAGUCUAAUUCACGAGACGAAUCUAUUAAGCCUAAUUAGUUCAUGAUUUGACAAUGUGGUGCUACAGUAACCAUUUGCUAAUGAUGGAUUAAUUAGGCUUAAUAGAUUCGUCUCGCGAAUUAGUAUAGGGUUCUGCAGUUAAUUUUAUAAUUAGCUCAUAUUUAGUCCUAUGGAUUAAUUAGGCUUAAUAGAUUCGUCUCGCGAAUUAGUAUAGGGUUCUGCAGUUAAUUUUAUAAUUAGCUCAUAUUUAGUCCUCCUAAUUAGCGUCCGAACAUCUGAUGUGAUCCUAAAAUUUAGUACCUAGAGUGUUCCGCUGUCUUGUUGCUUGCUUCUCAUUUCUCAUGGAAGAAUCGUUCCCUAGAACCAUCCUCAAACAGGGUAAUCUGAUCAGGGCCUCUUCUCAGCAAAAUUGCCUCUGACAGCGCGCGAGCCGGGCCCCGGGGCUGGCCGGCAUGUGCAGGAGCUGCUGGUCGCUUGCGCUCGGCGCCGUGCGACUCGUCUGGCCCAGCACCGCGUGCUCGCGCGGUGGGCAGAAUGAUGGCUUGCUAUCGCGCGAUCGUGCACGCUUCGACUUUUCUCCGUGAAGAUAGGAGAUACCUGUCCUCGCAUCUCAUCAUCUUCUGUGGCGCGCGUGGGUGUUCCUGCACUCCACUCCACUCCUCUCAUCCCCUCUCAUCCUGUAUUCCUGUGCAGUGGCAGCGACUGAGGCCCGACAUGAGAAAUGUUGACAUGGCUGACACUGAGCGGCGAUGGUGUGGCAAGGCAUUCGAUUGGGCGCGCUUUGCACCAUGCAUGUGAUCCCCUUUUUGUGACCUUGUCCUGCGCACGGCACGGCACUGUCAUUGCCGGCCGGCCCCAUGCGCGUCGCGUCGGAGAAGGAGCUGAGCUUUGGACCGGGCGUGCCGGCAGGAUUACCAGUGGCAGCAAGAGAUUUGCUGCCGGCCUGCCGCUGCUGAAUGGCUGAAUUGAAACCAAAGGGACCGAUCUCCUCCUGUCUGGCAUGAGUGCUACGAAUCGCGCACUAGCUCCUGCUCCUGGCGUACGUCUACGACUCCUGCCGGAAACGAUUUAGGAUCUGAGAUUCAUUUGUAUAUAUUGCAAAUUCAUGAAUUGUCAUUUGUUGGUUGGAUUGUGAAUAGUCAGAUGCCAAGGUAGCCCCGACGACGGACCAUUACGAGCUCGUCCUGCAUGCCUCGUCGUGCCGGACUGCCGGUACGCCCGCCACCGCCAGGCGUCACGCACGCCUCAACGCGUGCCCGUCCGUCCGUGCGUGACAACAUGUUGCAUUUACCCAUGUGCGCACUAAAAAGGCCGGCCUGAAGGCCUGCUGCUAACUACUAUUGGCUGCGGCGGAAUUAGGCUAGGCCGAGUCUAGCCCAUGGCGCAACGUGUUCUUCUAUCGGCCCAUGCACGAAUGGUUGAGAACUAGCAGAAAAUUCUGUUGGUCUCAAAGGAAUUUGAGACCAAACAGAUCCAAAUUACAAUGGCAACAAUGCUUGAAAUUGGAAAAACUAAUCUCCCAGGUAGGACUCCUUUUUUAUAGUGAUCCAUAAGCUACUUUACAUCCCGAAAAUAUCCUUUCUCAACCACUACAUUCCUAGAAUACGCCAUACAUAAAAGUCAUUGAAGAAACGUGUACAAAUUGAAUUCUUCCACGUGGUCACAUUUCUCACGCCUUCCAUCCUCUAACCUCGAAACUUCGUCUUCAUUUUAAGCCGAUCAUCUAGCCUCGAGGCGUCAUCCGCGAUUCGAGACGAAUGCCCAGCCUCGAGACGUCUGCUUCGUUGAGUCUUUGUCGAGAGGUGAUAGCCUCGCAUAGUUCUUCUCCGAGCAUCGUUCCUAAGUAAAGAGUAAAAAGAUAAAAGCUCGGUGUCCGAAACGACUCCAACACUCGAGGGUUGGUCCAGUUGAAGUUAGCCAUUAUUGUUAUCAAUCACUACCCUCGAGUUCUUCCAAGAGCUGAGGUGAUGCAGGAUUUACUAUUAGAGAUGCCUUUACAGAGCGUGCAAGGUUAAAGGAGUUCCACUUUCCUUGUUGCCGAUGCGUUACUUGUGAGGUUAGUCUCGAGACUUGCUAACGACGUUCGAGGAUAAUUGAGUUUUACUUCUUAGUCUGGGACUCGCGAGGCUAGAAGGACUUUGCGCCUGAUGCAGACAUUGCAAGGUCAAAGAAUUUUUAUCCCAGAGACAACACUCGAGGGUGUCUAUAUUUUGACGGUCCCAACAAAAUCAAACCUCACUCUUCCUCCCGGUUUUCUUCUCCCCCUGCUGUCUUUUGUUGCGCCUCGAGUCCUCCUCGGCCGCUCCGAUGUGGCCAUGUCCACAAAUCCUCUCUCUCAGUUCCGCCCCAAACGCGUCCAUCACAAAAUUGGCGUUGUACCGCUUACGGUUCACCUCAUCCACAACACAGUGUUAUCACAAAACUUCAUUUGACCAUUCUCAGGCCUGGUUUGGUUUCUUUGCUUAUUUUUAGCACCCGUGUUUAGAUACUAAUUAGAAGUAUUAAACGUAGACUAUUUACAAAACCCAUUACAUAAGUGGAGGCUAAACGGCGAGACAAAUCUAUUAAGCCUAAUUAGUCCAUGAUUUGACAAUGUGUUGCUAUAGUAAAUAUUUGUUAAUGAUGGAUUAAUUAGACUUAAUAGAUUCGUCUCGCCGUUUAGGCUCCACUUAUGUAAUGAGUUUUAUAAAUAGUAUACGUUUAAUACUCCUAAUUAGUAUCUGACACGUGCUAAAAAUAAGAAAAAAAACACCCCCUCAGCUUGUCCCCGACAGAAGACAGCUCGUCGUCUUUCAUGGCCUCAUGGGUGGGGUAGUCAGUGAAAUCAGACCACAUGGUGCGGAUGAGGACAAGGAGUUUGCAAUUGUGCAUGUGUUUCACAUGGCAACCUACAACCAUGCCUCCUUUUGUCUGCGCGCGCGCGAGGGCCGUGUGGCAUCUGACAACCAUCCCAGGUCAGAAUCACUGAGGUCUUGUUUAGUUACAUUAAAACUCUCAAUUUUGACACUAUGCAAAAAGAAGAUUCCCCGUUACAUCAAACUUACGGUAUAUGCAUGGAAUACUAAAUGUAUACGAAAUCAAAAACUAAUUGCACAGUUUUGUUGUACUUUGCGAGACGAAUCUUUUGAGCCUAAUUAGUCAAUAUUUGGACAAUAAUUCACAAAUACAAACGAAACGCUACAGUGUGCUACAGUGCUACAUCAGUAAUUUUGGAUACCCAAAUUCAGGGCAACUAAACAAAGCCUGAAUCAGUGGCACGCUGGCACUGUGGCAUGGCAGGGCCUGGACGACAAAUUCUACGGCCCUGUGACACCAAUCACAUCGACCGUGUAUCACCACCAAGCUGGAUCGAUGCUUCUCUGUCCGAUAUGAUGUGUAUAUGAUGCCGGCUCCUUGGAGUGGCAACCACACCUGAUUGCCCGGGGAAACCAAACCCUCCUCAUCUCCGGUCCUCACUCUCAAACUCCCGGUAUGCUGGCCGCCGGUGGCGUGAAGACGGCGUGCGUCACGGGAGGCAACGGGUACAUCGCCUCCGCGCUCGUGAAGUUGCUGCUGGAGAAGGGCUACGCUGUCAAGGCGACUGUCAGAAACCCGGGUCGGUUUGCAUUGCUUGCUUCCCUGCAACUUUGCUUAUUUCCCCCCCUCCCUUUGAGUUUUUUAGUUGCUGGAUUCCGUUCUGCUGUAACAUGCUGGUCCGGUUUGGAUGAAAUUUGUGCGCGCGAAUUGGAUGUGUACAAGUAGUAACUUGAUGGGUGCACAACGUCUUGCUCUCCCAAGGCAGGCCAGGGGAUGGCUUAUUUGGUCACUGAAGCUAGCACUUACUACGAGCUGUAACAAAAUUUGUAUGUAGAUGACACGGAGAAGAACUCCCACCUCAAGGAGCUGCAGGCACUCGGCCCCCUGGAGAUCCUGCGCGCCGACCUGGACCAAGAAGGCAGCUUCGACGAAGCCGUCGCCGGCUGCGACUACGCCUUCCUCGUCGCCGCUCCGGUGAACCUCACGUCGGAGAACCCUGAGGUGCGGGGACAUCACCCAACAAUGACACUGUUCGAUCUGCUGUAAAUCUCAAUUAGCUUCAAGUUGUCAUUCUGUGACUGAGCCUCGAUCUCGUACUGUAUUUUCAUCGGGCGACGUACUGCAGAAAGACCAGAUCGAGCCGUCCGUGGGAGGGACCCUGAACGUGAUGAGGUCGUGCGCGAAAGCGGGGACGGUGCGGCGCGUGGUGCUCACUUCGGCGGCCUCCUCGGUCUGCAUCAGGCCGCUGGAGGGCGACGGGCAUGUGCUGGACGAGGAGUCCUGGUCCGACCUGGAGUGGGUCACCGCCGAGAAGCCACCAAGCUGGGUGCGCGUACACUUCCCCCCAUGCUCAUGCAUGCUUGUUCAGUCAGAUCAGAUCAGUGUCGGGCAUUCAUAUUUAUCGGCGAAGCAUGUGUGUUGCAGGGGUACGUGGUCUCCAAGGUGCUGUCGGAGAAGGAGGCGCUCAGGUUGGCGCAGGAGCACGGCAUCAGCCUGGUCAUCGCGUGCCCCGUCCUCACCGUCGGCGCGUCGCCGGUGCCCAAGGUGUACACGAGCGUCCCCGCCAGCCUCUCCAUGCUAUCCGGUGAGGAAGACGAUGCACAGGCACAACAAUGGUGCCGAGAACAUUCCAAGAUCCUCAUGUUCUUGCAUUGCCGCGUCAGCCGACGACUUCCUGUGGAAGUUUUAUGCUAGCUGCAUUGUUGCGAAUAGUGAUUUAUUUCAUACGAUUAUAACUCUAGGCGACGAGGCAGCGCUGGGCAUGCUGAAAGGCAUCGAGAAGACCUUCGGCGGGGUGCCCAUCGUCGACCUGGACGACCUCUGCCGCGCCGAGGUGUUCCUGGCCGAGACGGAGACUACGGCGUCGGGGAGGUACAUCUGCAGCAGCUUCACCACCACCAUCGUCGAGAUCGCACGGUUCCUGGAGAGAAAGUACCCGCAGUACAGCGUCAACGUAGGCAACGAGUAAGACUGCUGCUUUUUAUCGCUGAUGGUCUCGUGUGGUUGUACAUGCCUAGUGAUAAUAAAUGCGUGCCGGUUGUUGUGAAUUUGUAGCUCAUCAGGUGAGCUCCUGGAGAAGCCGCGAGUCUGCCUGUCCUCGGCGAAGCUGGUGGAGGAGGGGUUCGAGUUCAGGUACAAGACGCUGGACGAGAUAUACCAAGACGUGGUCGGGUACGGCAAGGCGCUGGGGAUCCUUCCCUACUGAUGAGCCUGGAAGUUUUUAGCCUGUUCGCUUCAGCUUAUUCAGCCGGCUUAUCAGUUACCAAACAGUAUUUCCCUCUCACAACAAAUCAGCCGUUUCAGCUUUUCAGCCGGCUUAUAAGCUGAAGCGAACAGAACAGACCCUUUAUGUUGUUUCUUUGCCGCUAGGCUCUCUAUCAGGCCCAAAUAGCAUGUUUGCCUGACCCGUCGAAACAAAUGAGGAGUGGCAAACAGGGCCCACCUUCGCCAUGGCACGUGACAGCCCACUUAGAUGAAACCUCUGCGCGGGCGCGGCGCCACCGCCUCGCGAGCCAGCAGCAAGCAGUACGGGCCCCCGCCACGCGGCCGACGGGCCGAGCAAGCGCAUGCGCAUGCGCAGCGCCACUUGGGCAUCCGCCGCUGCGCCCGGCGAACGGAUGACGAAGCUACGCGAGCUAGGAGGAGGAGGACGCCAAAGCCGGGCCGUCAUGCAGUCGUGCCACGCGACCGGUCGCACGCUUCCAGGAGCUAACGCCACGCCAUUCCAAGUGUUCAACGACUGCGGCGGCGGCACAUGUGCGCGCUAUGCCGUGGGCGAUAGUAGUCAGUCUGUUCGCUUCAGCUUAUUCAACUGGUUUAUCAGUCACCAAACAGUAUUUUCCUCUCACAAUAAAUCAGCCGUUUCAGCUUUUCAGCCAGCUUAUAAGCUGAAGUGAACAGGCUAAAUAUCAUUUGCGCGGCCGCGGACAAGGUGUGUCAGCCUGAUCUCCGAUCCUGCUGCUCGGAGCGAAGUUCUGGAGCACGCCGGAUCGAUCUGGUCACGGCGGAGUGAUCGGAUUCGUCCCCCGCCGUACGCGUGGUGGAUCUGGCGACCGAGCGGCCGGCCUGAUCCCGUCGGACCACUGGUCGGAAGGGGAUGCGUGGUAACCAGGCUUUACGCCGGACCACGGAAGAGAGCCGUUGCUACGGUGCCAAAAGGGUAGAGAAGGCCACAGCAGCAUAUACCCGCACCGCACGAUGCCCCGCUGUCGCUUUCCCCAAUUGCGAUUUCAGCUCUAACGCUGCGAGACCGUAAAAAAUGGACACCGGAGCCAGUGAACACGAGCUGCCUCGCUGUAGCGCAGCCUGCUGCAGUGCUGCUGUUCACGGUUGACGCCGUCGUUGCCUUUGCCUCCAAUUGUGAGAGCGAUGCACAACGACUUGUGGCUGCGCAAAUCCAGCAAUAAUCAAAUCCGACUUUUCAGGUCUAGAUAAAAAUCGAUCCUCGUCUAUUCGUCGCCGUUGCGCUAGCUCCUUUGGAAUCGACAAUGUUCAGAUAACUGGAAACUGGAACUCUGACACGUUUGGAGCAAGCCGUCCCGUCCAAAGUCACUGCAAGUCUGCUAAGCACGACACGGGCUAGAAUAAUCCGUAAACCAAAACCAACGGCGCGUCCAGAUACGACGCACUGGGAGCUGCAAGGAUUUCCAUUUUCUUCAGGACUGUCGAUUACCAGGAAGGCCUGUAUGUAUGUCACGACGGUCGCUGUGAAUAGCUUCCAUAUAAAACAACGGCACGCCGUCAGUAGCCGCGCCUUCGCCUCCGCCGCGGGCGGCGGCUUAGCUACAAAUAUGGAUGGCUAGAUGGGCCAGGUCUGUGGUGGCACUAUAGCCGGCUCUAAAAAGCCCAACACUAACACGACACAACACGAAGGCAAUAGUAUCCAGGCCGACCCGAUCCUAAGCAUCGGGCAGUGCCUGGGCCACAACCUUCAGCACGCUGGACCAGCUCAGGCACGGCACGGUUUUUAGGUCGGCAUGAUGCUAGCUCGAUACUCCUCCAGCCCUCAUCCCCAACCGUUGGAUCAGGUCAUCUUUUGACCGUUGAAUCCGACCGUUGGAGGAGGGCUAUAUAAGCCGGCGUUGACUGCCGUCCUGACAAAAACCCUACCCCCUCCCCCGCCGCCCCGCACCCCCCACCCACUCCUCGCUAGCUCCCUCGACUCUCCACUCCCAUCGCCUCUCUGUCGCCCUCUCGUCUCCUCCAUCUCCAGCAAUGUUCCCAGAUGUGUAACUCAAACUUGGUCUAUAAUCUUUAAUGUUUAUUUGAUUGAGCUGGGUUGCACUCUUUUUUCCUAUUUAGAGUUUCUCAUGAGGUGUGAGUUUUACCUAGAUAGCCAUUUAAUGAGGCAACCAUUGCACUAGCUCAAACUUUUGAAAUUAUUUGUCUCUUCUUUGAGUUGUGAAUCGUGAUCUAAGUUAUGCAAUGAUGUGAGUUCUGUGACUUGAUGAAAAAUUUUGCAUCUCCUUUAACUUGAAGUUUUGAUUGAGUGGUGGCUAGCCUAUAGCCCCUGACUCGGCACUAACACGGUAGGCACUACCAUGCUAUCUGCCUGGCAUGAUAAAUAGACCUUAGGACCAAGCAUGGACUGUCAGUUUGGCACGCAGUGCCGACAUGGCACGACACAGUUAAAUCAUCAUGCCUAAUAGUGCCGAGCCUCAUCGUGCCGAGCCAAACUGUGCUAGGCCCGGGCUAAGGUCGGGCGGCCCAUCUGCCCACCUAUAGCUACAAAUAACACCCCGCUGUUCACCCCCGGAACGCACGCAGCGAGAGAGGGCGCGCGGCGCAGGACCCCCGCGCCACAAAGAAAGCGCCAUGUCGACGACGGAGCCGCUCCUCCCGGCCGGCGACGCGGCCGCCGGAGGCAAGAAGAAGGAGGGCAACAGGCGGGUGUGCAUCGACGACGCGCUGACGAUGCACGCUGGGGAGUUCGGGCGGUGGCAGCUGCGGCACUUCGUGCUGGUGUCGGCGGCGUGGGCGCUGGAGGCGCUGCACACCAUGGUGAUCAUCUUCGCGGACCGGGAGCCGGCCAUGGUCUGCGUCGCCGCCGGAGGCUGCGGCGAUCGGUGCGCGGACGCCGCGGCCGGGUGGGAGUGGGCCGACGGCGCCGCCUCGUCCACCGUCGCCGAGUGGGGGCUCGUCUGCGGCGAGCGCUACAAGGUCGGGCUCGCCCAGGCCAUCUUCUUCGCCGGCUGCAUGAUCGGUCAGUACCGUGCUCGUGCUCCAAUCCUCCAUUACAUUUCCCAGUGUCAUCUCCAUCUCCGUCUCCAACUGUAUGCGCGUUCGAUUAUCGGCGAUUAGUUUUGGGCGAUUAGGCAUAGAAUUAAGGAUUCAGGCAGGAUGUGCCUUGGCAUUCUGGGAUCGAGAGUUGGCCGGAGAACGAAAAAUUGAAGUACGUAGGCUCCGCCGAGCAGAAUAAUUGAAGCCCCACCAUAUGCGGGGACGCUAGAAUUAGCAAGUGGUGACGACGCCAUCUCGUGCUGCGCUUUCGGCCGGCAUCCCUUGGCCCCAGCUUGCUUGGCUGUUUACUCGCGGGCGCGCGGCUCUCGGGUGCGUCCCCCUUUCGACGGCCAUGUCCACACGAAUGCCGGCCGGCCGGUGAGCCUGACAGACGGGAUGAACGCCGGCGCUGCGGUGUUCACAGCCGCCGCCGCCGCCGCCGCCGCCGCCGCCGUACGCAUGUGCCCCACGACUAACGACAGCAUCUAUCGUCAGCCGCGUUGUUUGACUUGUGCCCUUGCAUGCGCAUCGUUUUCCCGUGUCGCGUAGCAUCCGUGAUGCUGCCCAUCGGGUAAUUUACUGGCAAAAAACUACAUCAACGAUCCGUGAUGAUCGACUGCGCUUUUUUAAAUUUUGUUUUGGAUCUUCCCAACAAUCCCAUCCGCGUCUCCAUCUACCUCAAGAGUAAAAGUCCAAACCGAGUUUAGGCCGGUGUCACUUUCUUACGCACAUGUCCCAUUCAGCUACGUGAUUUUCCAGCGCCGCGAGACGAGAUAUACCGAGGAAUCUUUUGUCCCGAUCCGAGCAUCCCGCUGCUGCUGCGCUGCAUGCAUCCACUACCUGUGGCUGUGGACUGGUGCUGGGAUCCGUACGCUGGACGGAUCCGACGCACCACACAGAUUGGUCUGCGACUCUGCGAGGCGGCGUAGCGAGACGUAACCACACACCUGUGGCUGUGUCUGUGGACAUGGCGAUGGCAACGAACCCUCCAUGCAUGCUUCUCGUCGGGACCGGCUCUCUGCCACUGAUUGGUCUGCGAGGUGGCGUAGCGAGACGUGACACGUGCGCACACGUGUGGAGCAGAUUGCCUAACGUAGCCUGGCUACGUGGCCGUCCCCGCCGUGCCAAGUGCCACCUCGGCUCUGACGUGGGGAUGUCCCCAAUCAAAUCGCUUUGCUCUCGUCCGCUUCAGGCUAGUUGGCCGCGCGUCGUCUCCUACCUCACAAACUGACAAAAACAGUCGGCUAUCAAGUAAUGGGCUCCUUGUCUGGAUGGGCUUAGUUUUCGAGCUAGACCGGGCCCAAUCAAACGUGUUUUUUUUUUAAUUCCCUUCCUCUCGCGCGCGUUCUACUUCUACAUGUCGUCGUGUUCUGACUUCUGACUUCUGACCGUGUGCGCUUCUCUACUGUAUGCAGGCGCCGGCGUGUUCGGGCACCUGUCGGACUCGUUCCUGGGCCGCAAGGGCUCCCUGCAGGUGGUCUGCGUCCUCAACGCCACCUUCGGCCUCCUCACCGCGCUGGCCCCCAACUACUGGGCCUACGCCGCGCUGCGCCUCCUCACGGGCUUCAGCACCGGCAGCGUCGGCGUGCUCGCCUUCGUCCUCGCCACCGAGCCCAUCGGGCCCUCCCGCCGCGGCGCCGCGGGGAUGUCCACCUUCUACUUCUUCUCCGGCGGCAUCGCGGCGCUCGCGGGCGUCGCCGCGCUCUUCCCGCGCUCCUGGCGCGCGCUCUACGUCGUCACCUCGCUCCCGUCCCUCGCCUUCGUCGCCGCCGUCGUGCCCUUCGUCUCCGAGUCCCCGCGGUGGUACCUCGUGCGCCGCCGGGCUGACGACGCCAUGCGCGUUCUCCGCGCCAUCGCCGUCGCCAACGGGAGGACCGUCCCCGACGACGUCACGCUCAAGCUCGACGACGAGGACGAGGAAGGGACGAAGGGCGUCGAUGAUGAGUCGGCGAACUCUUCGUCGUCUUCGGGAUCCAUCGUCGACGUGUUCCGGUCGCGUACCACGCGGGCCCGCCUCGUGCUCUCGGUGCUCAUCAACCUCCUGGCGUCGGUGGUGUACUACGGCCUCAGCCUCAACGUGGUCAACCUCAAGACCAACCUCUACGUCAGCGUCGUCGUCAACUCGCUCGCCGAGAUGCCCGCCUACCUGCUCACCGCGCUGCUCCUCGACCGGUUCGGGCGGAAGCCGCUCGCCAUCGGCACCAUGCUGCUCAGCGGCAUCUUCUGCACCGCCGGGAGCCUCAUCGCCGGCGCAGGCAUCUUGAGGUCAGCCAGAUAGUAACCUUCAGCACUCAAUUGAUCCUUCAAACUAUCUUGCCAUGCAUAUCGCGCUGCUCAGGCUGCUUAGUUUUAUCAAUUAACUGCCAUAUGCAACUAACGGACUUGCACUUGAAAAUGGACUUGGACCACUGCGCGCAGGGUUGUGCGGAUGGCUUGCGGCGUGGUGGGCAUCUUCGGCAUGGCGGCGACGUACAACCUUCUGUUCAUCUACACGGCGGAGCUGUUCCCGACGGUGGUGCGGAACGCGGCGCUGGGGUGCACGGCGCAGGCGGCGCAGAUGGGGGCCAUCGUGGCGCCGCUGGUGGUGGUGCUCGGGGAGAGGGUGCCGUUCGCGGUGUUCGGCGCGUCGGGCAUCGUCGGCGGGCUGCUGGUCUUCUACCUGCCGGAGACCAUGAACAAGCCCCUGUACGACACCAUGGCCGGGCUGGAGGAAGGGGAGAAGAGCCUGCUGGGCUGAGGCGAUGGGUCGAGGUCAGCGGAGACGAUGAUCAGAUCAACAAACGGCGAUCGGAGAUGGUCUUUCGGUCUUGCUUGUAAUUUUGUGUAACUGAAAGGGAAUGAAAGUUGUCGUCCACGUUUGUGAGGUGGGUUACGCAAUGCUGCAUCGUCAGAACGUGCACCUCCACAGUCCUAGUGCUCUCCGGUGAUCUCUGAGUCUCCGACCAGCCGCGCAACGCCAACGCCGUGCUGGUUGGUUCACGUCUUGCAUACAUCAAACUACUACUUUUUUUCGUGGAUGAAUCCCUUCGAUCUCCGAAGCACGGAAUUUCGCCAUUUCGGCAUCACGCACUUACCGUGCCAGUGCAAAUCACUUUUCCGAUCGCGCUCAGAUGUCGUGCACUUCCCACACCCUCAGUUGGAUUUGGAGCGUAACAGCUUUUUUUUUUUUAAAAAAAACUGUUUGGUGCGUAACAGCAUUUGCCAUUUUCCGUGGUCUUUUGUUUUGCGCAACACACACACACACAAAAAAAAAAAAAAGAUUAUCGUGUCACGAACAGGAUUCACAAAAAAGAAAACAAGCAGUGUGCCGCAGCCUGCGUGUCUCGCUGUCCGGUUGCAAACUCGCAAUUCCUUUCUUUCUUUCUUUUUUAUAAAAAAACAAUUCCUUUCUUACCCCGCCGAGGUCGCAAGAUAUUUUCCCCGCCUCACGUUUACAGCGAGGCGACGGCUCAGAUGGCGUCGAAGCGGAAGCGCUCAUUGAUUGAAGGAGAUGGUAGCCGUGGGGGACCGCGGGCGGAUGCAUGGUAAACAGGAUAGAAGCAACCCAACAAAGUUUGAAGUGGGCCUCGGGACCGGCCUUUGGUUAGCCCAAUUAAACGCAACCAGCCUGCGCAUGGCCUUGAUUUCCUACCUGAGGCGAAAUUACUUUUACUCAUUUCUUUUUUUGCACAAGGAGAGGGAAAAUCAAUUGUUGCCUUUUUUUUAACGGUCAAAUGUGCAUGCAUUUUUUUUUCUCUUCGCACAAGUUUUAGUUUGACCUCAUUUUUUUUUGUGUAAUGGGAGAUGCUUCCAUAACCUGACCAUCUAUAUUUUUAGAUGAUUUUCGCUCGCGAGCACGCUAACCAUAACCUGAUGACCAUGCCUCCACACAUGAACCUAUCAUGCACGAGACGGAGACGCUCGCUCGCAGCGGCAUCGAGUAUGAUUUGGAGCGUAACAACAUUUGCCAUUUUUCGUUUCAUAAAAAAAACAUCUAUCUUUUUUGGUUCUGCGGUCUCUCUUUUUUUUUUUGCGCACAUAAAAAAAGUUUAGCGUGCCACUGUGUCAUGGAUAAGAUUAAAAAAAGAAAAUACCGGCGCGCCGCAUCCUGUGUGUGUGUCCGCUGUCCGGUUCAAACUAGCAAUCGCCUUCUUCCUUCUUUUAUUUUUUUAUAAAAAAAUCCUUUCUUUCCCCGCCGAGGUGCUCGGAACAGCUGCAGCUGGCAGCCGCUACAUGACUGCAGUCAGCCGUCCAGUUGCGUCCGGCAACUGUUAGAGUUAGCAUACAUUCAAUCAUAUCUGGCACAAACCAUUGGCCAACAGAAGGAAAAGAACUGCGAAGGGUGAAUGGGAAAGAGAGAUCACGAGCGAUGCUUGGAGACUUUUGACCAGACAAGCUGUUGGGCUGCAGCUGCAGCUCCUUUUUCCGAGCGGCUGCGCUGUAGCCGCAGCCGCAGAAGUAGCUGAGCGACGGCUCAGAUAGCAAGAUGGGCCAUGGAGCAGGCAGGGGCCAUGAACGACUGAUUCUUUCGCGCGCCGCCAGAUGAAGUAGUUGUCGCCUGAUUCGCUUGCGGCGAGGAGGGCAGUGUAGCGGGUGUGCUUCUGUGUCCCCUGCUGGCAGAUUGAGCGCAAAGUGAGAGGGAGCCAGCAGAUCGAGCACAGGGUAGAGGAAGCCGGGUUCUCAAGCUGGCCGCGGGCCGGCUGGCGUGGCUCGCCUCCGCGGCCAUCGCGCUCGGGGCCGCCGUGCAGUGUGCAGCGUCGUGGGCAGCCGCCGCAUGGACGCCGACACCGAUGACGAGUGGGAGGCGCCUGCACGCUGAGACCUACGCGCUAGCGUGGGCUGCGGUGAGGUCGCCGAGCAGGUCACGCCCACUCAUGGUGACGGCGGGGCAGGCACUGGCAAGGACGCCCAGCAUAUGAUCGGAGGUAGUAGCUAUGGUGCAGGCAGGCAUAAGAUAGGUGGCCAGGAGUGCAGAUAGAGGAUAUAGACUGUAGGAUGAUAAAAGUUAAGGUGUUUUUUUUUUGCAUAUAUUUGCCAGCAUGCGCCAUGGUGGCAUGCCACGUAGGCGUCAAAAGCGUACAUGGCUUGUUUGGGACUUGGGAUGGAUCGUUUAGAUAGUUCGGAAUAAAAAUGCAUUUUAUAAGUUUAGGAAUCUUAUUGACACGGCGAGAUAAGUUUGGGAACAGUGGUACAUUUUACUUAAAAACUAAAGUCAAAACCCUCCAUGUUCAAAACUUGCUCUCUUUUUUUGAGGGGAUGUUCAAAACUUCCUGCACGGCCUGAUCCGCAACCGCCACAAGAAGAGUUUGUAGUGGGCCUCGGGACCGGCCUUUCAUUAGCCCAUUAAACGCAACCAGCCUGUAUUGCGCCGUUACCGUAUAGAGAAUUUUUCAUUUUUAUAUUUUUUUAUUUUAGCAUUUUGUAAAAAUAUAUGUUCAAAUAAAAAAUUGCAGAUUUAUACGCAUACCGCCGUUUGAAACGGGUAUAGCCAGUUCAACCGGUGGAAGGUGCACUGUAGUAACCGGCGGAAUUUCUUUUCUCUGAACAAUAUAUCUUUAAAACAUCGUAACUUUGAACUCGGAUGGAGAUAAGCUUUUUACGAAAAUUGUAGAUCUUGAUGAGAUCUACAACUUUUUUAGUUCAAACUUUUUUUAUUUAGAAUCAUCUUGGUACUCAAAUAAUCGAUGAGUACCGAGAUGAUUCCACAUGUUGAUCUCGACGCAUGUAGAGUGUGUGCCGCGAGAGCAUGCUACUCUAGUGCUCUUCAGCUCUAGUUACUCUCUUCUGUGUUCUAUGUCGAAGGAGGAACCGUGGACGUGCCAGAGGGAAGAUGAUGCCUUGGGCUACGUACGUUUGGAAAGGCUCCUCCCAAACCGGCUCACUAGUCAUUACUUCGAUAGCAGAAGUCGGUAGGAGUUGCGAAUAGGAAAAAGAAAAAUGGCUUCAGCGAGGAGUAUGCGUUUAUUUUCUUCUUAGAUGUCAAUAACCGGCUCUUUUUUUUUUGGCAGUAGUGCUAAUGUGCUACAGUGCCAAAUUUCAUGUGAAACCAGAAAGGAUGAGCAGUGCCAAACGCACUUGUAUCUGCGCAUAAACUCUGCUGACUUGCUGAGUGCGACGCGACCUCCAUUUGCAGCAGUGAAAAUUACGGAGACGGGACGACGAACCUGGCGAGGCAAGCCCAUUCUCUGGAUCAUAUCACACAGCAUAUGACCCAGUGUCUGACCGUCUCAUGUUCAUGCUCCAAUAGAUUAGCAUCGAUGUAUAUACGCACGUUCCAAGUUUAAAAUCCACACACGUUAAUUCUAAUCAGGAUGCAUGCAGUGCGCACGGCACAACAGCCAGCGGCAGCAGACCUUCCAUUCCUGUUUUACCGGGCACGAAGACUAGUACCACCACUGUUACUGGAACUGCGUGCAUGGCUACGAGUCAACAGUAGCCUUUGUUUUUGUCCACCUGCUACUGCUCUGUAGUCAAUUGAGAAAGGAGACUCGUACUAACAGGAGGUUCCAAACCGAUGCUUCUGAAUUCGCCAACUAUCCGUACCAUUUACCACUCUCGGCUCAGGCAAUCCAAGCUUAAUAAACAGGCAUUUUGUUUGUAGUAUCACUCACAUUUCCGAGGCAAAUCUUGGUUUUCGAAUCUACUUGCAGCACAAGCAAUUAAUAACUCAGAAUGACUUCAAAUCGAAUGCAGGCAGUAGUAGCUUAGUUCCUGUUUGGAUACAAAUUCCUAAAGUUUAAAGUUUAGUAGUAUAAUAAAAUUUAGGACCCUUAAAUUGCUAGUCCUAAAGUUUAGUACAUGGCUGUUUGGAUGGAUUACUAAUCUUUAGGAUCUUAGAGAGAAAAUAUCAUUUUUACCCCUCAAUUACUCCUCUAAACUACCCCUGCACUUCACGUCAUUAAUGCAUGCGAGGGCAAUAGAGGUAAAGGGGGAUUUAGGACUACUUUUAGGAGAAAUAGUAUCUAUUAGGACUUCUUGGUCCUCCUAAUGAAAAUGACCCUUAUAAAGUUUAGGAGUUUACUUUUAGAACCCAUGUUUGGAUGUACAAGUUAUAAAAAUGAACUCGCAAGUGCAGCAGUGUUCCCUUCGGUUCAGAGUUUGUAGACCUGCCCAUGCAAUGCAAGCGACACUUUCAGCUGUUCCAAUGUUUAAAUGCAAAAUAAAAGUGAGCAAAUUAACCCAUCAUUAUUUACCCCUGAUUGCAAAGUUACCGGAGUGUUUUGUAGUGCGGGCACGCUGCAGAGACGCAUGGGCAGCAACUGUACCUGCCCCCACCGUGUUUUGCCCACUUCUUGGCGCUUUUUGGCAGUCUCCGCAUAAACUCUGCUGCACUGCAUGCGACCUCAGCUCCUCCAUUUGCAGCAGCAGCAGCAGAGAAAAAUUACGGGCACGGGACGAGCAAGCCACUGGCGACUGCCGAGGCGGGCCCACUCUCUGGUACAGGGACAGCUCCAGACUCUCGAUCCGUCUCCCGUGGCAGCGUGGGGGCCGCCGGGGCGGCACGGAAUGCAGCGGGCCGAGCGGCCUUUGACCAAGCGUCUGGUCAAGUGUCUGGCCGUGGAGAGAGAGAGAGAGAGAGCGGGGGGAACCGCGGCCCGCAAAGCCAAUGCCGUGUUGGUCCGUUGGUUCACGUCUUGCGUGCACCAAAUUCCGUUCAAGAAUCUCUUUCCAUUUCCGAAGCACGGAAUUUUAGCAUCAGUCACGCACUUACCGUGCAAUCACUUUCUCUGCUCGCUCCGAUGUCGUGCGGCGCACUUGCCACGCACGAACUUGUCAUGCACGAGAAUGGAGGCGUUUGAGGCGGCAUCAAUUAUGAUUUUGGAACGUGCUAACAACAACAUUUGUACGCACUUGCAGUACUGUCCUGGCACUAUCCCAGUCUCCACGGAACACUGCUGCGUUGCGUGCGAGCGGUUCGUCCUCCAUUUCCAUCAGCCGCAGCCGAACUAUGGACCGACCGGCCAAGUAAACAUGCGCUUCGCACAUGAACUUGUCACGCACGAGAUGGAACCGAGGUAGCCGUUGGCUGUUGGCAGCGGCAUCAUGUAUGAUUUGGAAUUUUGGAGCAUACCAAGAUUUGGCUCCGUAAGUCUUUUUGCACAGCACCCAAAAGAAAAGGAAAUUAGCAUGGUAUUUGGAGUAGUAUUUUUUUUUCCAAAAGAAAAGAAAAUCCAAACUGAAAUUCCUUUCUUACGCCGCUCAGGUAGAAGAUAUUUUCCCCCGCAUCGCGUUUACAGCCAGGCGACGGCUCAGAUGUCGAGGACAAACGGAAGCGGCUCAUUGAUUGCUGGAGAUGGGGGUAGGUGGGAGCGGGAUGCAUGGUAACAAAAAAGAAGGCAAAACCCUCGUUUUCGCUCACUGACGCCGGGUCCCGCCCAAAAUAUACCCCACAUGUCAGUGAGCUUCGGAAACCCUGGCGCUUCCAUUUCGCGCCCAGCCCACCGGCCCGGACCCCUCGGAUUCGGCCUUAAAAGGGGAUGCCCGGUCGCCCUCUCCUCAUUCCCCACACCUCACCUUCUCCUCCACAGCCGUCUAGGGUUUGCGAGGGAGGGUUUUCCGGCGAGAGGGCGGAGAUGGCGGCGGAGCGUGCGAAGGGGACGGUGAAGUGGUUCAACGGGACCAAGGGCUUCGGCUUCAUCAGCCCCGACGACGGCAGCCAGGACCUCUUCGUCCACCAGUCCUGCGUCAAGGCCGACGGCUACCCCAACCUCAAGGACGGCGAGGCCGUCGAGUACACCGUCGGCAGCGACCACGACGGACGCUCCAAGGCCCUCGACGUCACCGCGCCCGGCGGCGGCUCCCUCCCCGGCGGGGAGCGCCCCGACAGCGGCGGCUACGGCGGGCGCGGCGGCGGCGACCGCGGCGGCUACGGUGGAGGCGGCGGCGGUUACGGAGGAGGCGGCGACCGCGGCUACGGCGGCGGAGGCGACCGCGGCUACGGGGGAGGAGGCGGCUACGGCGGCGGCGGCGACCGCGGCUACGGCGGUGGCGGCGGUGGACGCGGCAGUGGCUGCUACAAGUGCGGCGAGGAGGGCCACAUGGCGAGGGACUGCUCCCAGGGCGGCGGCGGCGGCGGGUACGGCGGCGGCGGCGGCGGCGGAGGCGGCCGGGGCUGCUACAAGUGCGGCGAGGAGGGCCACUUGGCGAGGGACUGCACCCAGGGCGGCGGCGGUGGCGGCUACGGCGGAGGCGGUGGCGGCUACGGCGGUGGUGGAGGCGGCGGCGGCGGCGGCCGCGGGUGCUACAACUGCGGUGGCGAGGGCCACAUCUCCCGCGAGUGCCCCAACAGGCACUAGGCGCAGCGUCGGAUCCGGUCCGAGUCCCACCUCCUGGCUCUUGCAUGAAGUCAUGGCCACCUAUCUAUCUAUCUAUCUAUCAGUAGUUGCAGUAGUGUUUCGUUCUCGUCGGUCGUGUCUUGUCGUAGUAGGAAGAAGGCGCAUGUAGAAGUGGUGGUAUGGAUCUGUGUCGAAGUCGUAGUGUUUUCGUCUUUUAAUCAAGCUGUAAGGCAGCCAUGGUCAUGGAUGGCACUGCCCGAUCUAUCUAUCUAUUUUGGAAUGGAGUGGUAAUCUAUCGAACUCAGUUAUGUGCCUGGAUUUCUGUUGUUGAUCCUGUGUUCGUUUUGAACUCGGUUAUAUGCCUGGAUACCUCUGUCCUUUUGAUUCUGUGUUCUUCGUUGUGUCGCUCGGUUGAUUGGAUCGUUCUUAUGUUCUUAGCAUCAAAAUCUUCGUUGCUGCAUUUGUUGUGCGAUGUGGUAGUGAUCGUUCUGUGAUCAACUUUCUUCUUUACUGUUGCCUGUGUCGUUUGAUGAAAUUGCUUUACAUGUGAGGUGAAAAUUGUUGAGAAGGAUCAAGAGAGAUUGGGGUUUUGAGAUUCCAAUCCCAAUGUGAGAUGGAAAAUGAUGGGGAGGAAGAGAGAGGAGAGGGGGAGGUAUGGGAGAGGCCUGCUGGAAAAAGCAAGCAGGACAGGGAUCAGGCAGUGCAGUCUGCCAUGGUUGCUUUGGCAAGAGAGAGGGCCUGGCUGGCUGGCCAGCAGGAGUGGCAGGCUUGGUUUUGUCCGCAUCGUGGGGCAGUUGCGAAAAAGCGAGGGGUGUUUCCAUUUCUGUUGGCAAUGGGACAGGAGCGGGCAGAGGAGCCGUGGACGCGUGGGUUUCCUUUUCCCCUGCGUCCUUUGCCUUGACGCCUGCGUUUCCUCCACGCAGUGACCAGACGAGACCGGGGCUUGACCGCUUGGGGUCCUGGGGAGGCCGGGGGGCUCCCCGGGACGGGACGGGCACUUCCUUGGCUGGCAAUCUGGCAGCUGGCUCCUCGCCUCCUCCAGUCCGCAGCCCUCCCUGUUACCAGCAAGGCAGCAACCAGCACAGACCUGUGGAGAGAGAGAGAGAGGAGGGAGUGAGUGAGGGGUAUAUCAUGGAAUGGAACUUCCAUACUCUAAAGACAUUAUUAUCUUGUGGUAGGAUAGUAUGAAUCCUACAUAAAUCUGAUGGUGAGCUGAAAAUUUGAUGAGGGAAAGGGUGUGGAGCUCCUACAUUGCCUACAUAGUAGUACGUACACUUUCUAAAAAUAUAAAAGAUCCGUUUGGAGUUUUGGAAUUGAAUUCCAUUCUAAUAACCAUAAUUUAGAUACAAAUUAAUUAACAUAAUAUAGUUGUAUGUGGAAUAUAUUUGUAUAUUAUUGUUGGCCAUAUGAGAGAGAUAAUUAUGUGCUGCGCUUCUGCUAUAGGGAACCGAGUUGAAAAGUGUGAGCUGCUCAUUAGAAACAUAGCAUGAGGAUCUAUAGAAUUAAUUUCUAUCUCCCACCUCAUGAAUCUAAGAUGUCUUCCAUUCUGCUUGUUUCAUUUAUCGCUUCAGCUCCUGAUCGCCUAAAACGUAUGAAGCCUAAUAUAAUUGUUUGAAUGCUGCAGAUAGAGUCUCUUUCGUUAACAUUUCAUGGCCAUGACCUUAUUGUAGAUUCGGAGUUGGAGCUCAACUAUGGGAGGUACACAUAUAAUUCCAUCACCUGUACCCAUUCAGUUACGACAAAGUGUGCACCACGAGCACACAAUUGACAGUUUUAAUUGGCCUCAGGCGUUACGGUUUACUUGGACUAAAUGGCUGUGGAAAAUCUACUCUUCUCACAGCAAUAGGUUGCAGAGAACUUCCUAUCCCUCAACACAUGGACAUAUACCAUCUCACCCGAGAGAUUGAGGCUUCAGACAUGUCUGCACUGCAAGCUGUUGUUAGCUGUGAUGAAGAGAGAGUCAAGUUGGAGAAGGAAGCAGAAAUUUUGGCUGCACAGGUCAGCUCUUCAACUCUCACACACACGAUUGCUUAUCUUCACACCUUUUUCUUCACUAUAUCCUGCCUUUCCACUGUUGCAAAUUAUCACUUGAUGCUGGAUAAUGUCCUUACGUAGUAACAAGGAUUUUUCCCUCUCACAUUUUUAGGAUGACGGUGGUGGUGACGCGUUGGAUCAUGUGUAUGAGCGUCUAGAAGCGAUUGAUGCAUCGACUGCUGAAAAGCGUGCUGCUGAGAUAUUAUUUGGUUUAGGUUUUAACAAGCAAACGCAGGCGACGAAAACCCGAGAUUUUUCUGGAGGUUGCCGUAUGAGGAUUGCUUCGGCUAGAUCACUGUUCAUGAACACAACAAUCCUUUUGCUUGAUGAGCCCACAAACCAUCUUGGUAAGAUCCUUGAAUUUUAAAGUAAACAGAAACUGGAUAAGAAACUAGGUUUUUUAUGGAUAGAAAUGUGCUAUUUUCUUGGUAAGUGUGGUGAACUAGAAAUCUACUAUCCUACCAUAGUCCAAAUCUUGUUUACACAAUGAAUUGCAGCUCCUGUGUAGAUCAUAGUCAUAACUCAUACGUACAUGUGGAUGGCACAUGGUAUCCAGUAUCAUACUGAUAAAGCUUGGUUUCCUAUAUAAGUAGCUGAGUCGUCCAAAGAUGAGAUAUCACACCAAUUACCUCACCUGUGUUUUCUGUUGUAUCACUCAGGUGAUACCACUGCUACCCAUUUUGUUUAGCUUAAAUGGUUUCAGCUAUUUGAUUAUUGUUUCCUCAUAGCAUCUAAACCUGUAGCGUGAGUGAUUAAACGAACUAUUGAAGUAAAAAAAGAUCUGCAGAAAGGUCUUUCAAGACACUGUUUUGGUGAACUUGUUGCUCCUCUGGACUAAUUUGCUACGCCUAUUUGUAGAUCUUGAGGCUUGUGUCUGGUUGGAAGAGACGCUAUAGAAAUUUGAUCGCAUACUUGUGGUCAUAUCGCACUCCCAGGACUUUCUGAAUGGAGUGUGCACUAACAUAAUACAUAUGCAGAACAAGAAGCUCAAGUUAUACACCGGGAAUUAUGACCAGUAUGUUCAGACCCGCUGCGAGCUUGAAGAGAACCAGAUGAAGCAGUACAGAUGGGAGCAGGAGCAGAUUGGCAGAUUGCUUCAAUGAAGGAGUACAUUGCACGGUUCGGCCAUGGGUCUGCAAAGCUUGCACGUCAGGUCCAGAGCAAGGAGAAGACUCUCGCAAAGAUGGAGCGUGGUGGGCUCACGGAGAAGGUUGUUAGGAACAAGAUACUGGUGUUGUUCCGCUUCACAAAUGUUGGCAAGCUUCCACCGCCAGUGCUGCAGUUUGUCGAGGUCACGUUUGGGUACACACCGCAUAAUCUGUUAUACAAGAAGCUUGACUUAGUUGUCGACCUGGACUCUAGAAUUGCGUUGGUUGGUCCCAAUGGGGCAGGGAAGAGCACCCUUCUGAAGCUGAUGACAGGUGACGUGGCUCCACUGGAUGGUAAGGUGAGGCGGCACAAUCACCUGCGCAUCGCGCAGUUCCAUCAGCAUCUGGCGGAGAAGCUGGACCAGGACAUGUCGGCCCUGCAGUACAUGCUGAAGGAAUACCCUAGGAACGAGGAAGAGAGGAUGAGAGUUGCGGUUGGUAAGUUCGGGCUGUCGGGGAAGGCUCAGGUGAUGCCGAUGAGGAAUCUGUCGGACGGGCGGAGGAGCCGUGUGAUCUUUGCGUGGCUGGCAUACAGGCAGCCACAGCUGCUGCUGCUGGACGAGCCGACGAACCAUCUUGAUGAUAUCGAGACCAUCGGCUCCCUAGCGGAGGCGCUGUACGAGUGGGAUGGCGGUCUGGUCCUGGUGAGCCAUGACUUCAGGCUGAUCAACCAGGUUGCUCGUGAGAUCUGGGUGUGUGAGAACCAGGCGGUGACCAGGUGGGAAGGCGAUAUCAUGGACUGUGUGUAGAAACGAUUACUACCGUGUUGAAUCUCGUCUCGGCAUGAUGAUGUCUCAUAAGAAGGAGCCAGAGGAUUUGUCCAGUCGACUGGGGAAGCUAUUCAGAGGCGUGGAGCGUAUUCAGAGGUGGGCAUGUCAAUGCACAAUCUUCUUCAGACAUGAUUCCCGGUACUGUUUUCCAUUAUUUGAUUUGGGUUCAGUAUACCCUGUUGUCGGAUGUUUAUAUUUAUGGACCUGGAUAGCUGAGAAGGAAAAUAUAGCAGAAUCUGGAGGAAUUUGCGGAAGAACGCAGCAAGAACUCGAGAUAGAACAGAAGGGAUUCAGACAAAGCUUCAUCAAUGCCUACUGACUCAUGCAAGCACACACCAGCCAGGGUACAUGGCAUUUCCAGAUUUUGCUGCACUAACUAGAUGAAUGGCCGGCCUCAGGCCCAACCGGAUCAUGGCCCAUAACAGACGCAACGGCCCACUCCACCACUCGCCAGAGCCAUCAUCAUCAUCUCCUUGUUGCUUCCCGACCUGCAAAAAACAAACGCUCCAUGGCAUGCUUGUCUCUGGCUGCUGGAGCAUGGUGGGGGGUGGUGUUGCUGCUGCACUGAACUGAUGACCAGGCUAGCAGUCUAGCACCGCGCAGGAAGGCGAACAAGACAAGGGCCAUGUUUUAACUCCCAACUUUGAUACUAUGCAAAAAGAAGAUUCCCCAUCACAUUAAAUUUGCGGUACAUGCAUGGAGUAUUAAAUGUAGACGAAAUCAAAAACUAAUUGCACGGUUUUGUUGUACUUUGUGAGACGAAUCUUUUGAGGCUAAUUAGUCAAUACUAGUCCAUCAACCCGUGCUCCCGCACGGGCUAAUAUUUUUAGAAACUAUUGUAUUUGAAAAAUAUUUAGAAAUUAAACUCCUAGCUCGUAAUCAAAAUUAUUUACCUACUACUCUCUUAUUUUUGAACACUUCAACAUAAUACUUGUAUAGAUAUGUACCUAUCUUUAUCCAGUUGUGAUUGAUUUUUAAUUAAUAAUUACUCUAUGCAUGUUUUCACCCAUAUUCGUACUUUUUCCAUUUUGUAUCACACCUCCAAUCCUCCAUACAUUAUGUUUAGCAUACCAAUCAAUAUUUUUCAUCAAUUACUCACGUACAUGUAUAAAUGGUCUAAAUGGUGGCACUCAUCAUGUGUAUAUACUUUAACUUAGUAUUUUUAUAUUAACAAUGACAUGAAUAGGUAAUUUCUGUAUGAUGCACAUGAAGAUAGUUAGAUUAAUAUUUAGAUGUUUAAGUUAUUUUUAAUAACGAUACACCUAAGUAACAUAGAUAAAAUUUUAGAAUGACAUUUUAAGUUAUGCUUUAUAAUGAUGUGUAUUAGUAAAUUGAAUGAAGAUUAUGGGGUUACUUUAGAUUAUUUUUUAUAAUAGCUGAGCUCGGUAAUUUAGAUAUAGGUUUAGAGCUCAUUUUUUAAUAUUUUUCACAAUACUUUUUAGAAAAUAUAUUAGAUCAAUGGCUAUGAUUAUUAGAGUUUACAGGAUUGGUGUUUGAUGUUUUUAAUUUUUAUGAAAAUUUAUCUCUUUUUUCUAGCUUGUCCCCUGGGAACUAAUGCGGAGUCUCCAAUGAAAAAAGAAAUGAGACUACGUUGCUACAAAACUAUAACAUAAGCUACCUCUCGUUUGUUAAAUAUUCGAACACAAUACUUAUGUAGAUAUAUACUUAAUAUCUUCAUCCAAUUGUGAUAGAUUUUAGUUAGUAAUUACUUUAUAAUAUUUUCAUCCACAUUUAUAAUCUUUAACUUUAUAAUCUUGAAUUUGUUUAAUGAACCCUAAGUUUGAGAUACAAUUUUAGCAUAAAAAUCUAUAUUCUCAUCACUUUAUAUCAUUAUAAAUGGUGACACACAUCAUGCGUAUAGACCUUAAUUAUUAUAUCGUAUACCAAUAGUGAAAGAUAUAGAUGAUUUAGAAUCAUAUAUUGCUGUAUAUUUUUAAAUAAGGUUAUUUGAUUCAAACGUAGGAUUACCUCAUGUUAUUUUUAAUAAUGGCAUGUGUGGGUAAUAUAUAUGCAAAUUUAAGGGGUUACUUUAAAUUUUUUAAGUAAUAGUGGUAGAUAAUUCAGUUGCAAAUUAGGGGAUUAUUUUAAAUAUUAUUUAUAAUGGCAUAAGUGGGUAAUUUGGAUGAAGAUUAGGGGUUACUUUUAGUUUAUUUUAUAUAAUGGCAGAGGUGGUAAUUUAUAUAUAGAUUUAGGGGUUACUUUAGGCUAUUUUCAUAAUGGCAUAGGUGGGUAAUUUUUUAGAAAACAUAAUAGAUCCAAUGGCUACGAUGAUUUGAAUCUAUCGAUUGAUGGUCGGAUGUUUUGCUUUUUUGUGAGAAUUUCUAGGAUUUCUCUCUUUUUCUAGAGUGUCCACCUAGGAAUCCUAGGUGGCUUCACCUGGAGGCUUCAAAAGGAGCCUCCAAUUAGUAAUAGUAAGAUUUGGACAAUAAUUCACAAAUACAAACGAAACGCUACAGUUGCGCAUUUAUGGCAAAAUGUCAAUUUUGCCACUCCCAGAUUGGGAACUAAACAAGGCCAAGAAAGAAAAGAGCGGAGUGGAAGUGGAGGAGGGAGGAGCGAUGAGCAGCAAGAGUGGUCUUGUUUAGUUGCUAAAGUUUGGAGGUGCCAAAUUACUGUUACAGCACUGUAGCACACUGUAGCGUUUCGUUUGUAUUUGUGAAUUAUUGUCCAAACAUUGACUAAUUAGGCUCAAAAGAUUCGUCUCGCAAAGUACAACAAAACUGUGCAAUUAGUUUUUAAUUUCGUCUACAUUUAGAACUCCAUACAUGUACCGCAAGUUUGAUGUGAUGGGAAAUCUUUUUUUGCAUAGUGCCAAAAUUAGGAGUUGAGGGUCAACUAAACAAGGACUAGGGAGGCGAGGGCGUGCUGCCUGCUGGUCGUACUCGUCCGGGGAUUGGUUGGGAUCGGCGGAAGAAAAGAAAGGCAUGCAGGGCAGGAGCAGGAUUCCCGGCCGGGACUGACCGGACCGACGCCCCCUCCCUGACGACUGACGAGCAGCGAGGAGCCGCGCGUGAGUUGCAUUUGCAGCGGCGUCUGUGGUCUCCCUCCCUCGGUCCUCCCAUGUCCCAACCGAGCCAUCUUUCAUCUCAACUUUGUACAUCCGGUUACGUGAUGUUUACAUUGGGAAGGCCGGCGGUCAGCAAAAUUGGACGGGGAGUUGACCAGAUGUUGACUUGGUUAGUUAACCUGGAAAUCAAUUUUUAAAAAUGUAGCUGCACCCACCGUGUCUUGAAUUGACAUAGACCACCCCUGCUGAUUACUAGUACUUCCCAUGUCCAUCAAACCGAAUCCCCGGUUCCUCUCUUGUGUCGUCUUCUCCGGCACCUGCAGGAUGCACUGCCCUCGAUUGUCCAGCCUUCUCCAUCCCCACCGGCCACCGGCUCCAUUCAGAUUGAUGUUGAGGAGAGAUCGGAGAUGCAAGGCUAGCUGGAAGCACGGUCAAUCAGAGGUGCAUCUGCACAGCGCACAGAGAGGCUUCGCUUUCGUUCCCUUUCUUUCCUCCUCCCCUCUUCCCGUCUUCCGGUACCCCCCGGCUCCAGUUCUCUGUCUUCCUGGGCCCCCACACCCACCGAAUUGCGAAGUUGCAAACGCUCCCAGCCCCAACUACGGAUGGACGCGUGCACAUCCACUGCCUGUCUUCUUUGGCAGGGCCUUGAUGCCCGCCCAUGGUCCCUGCCCAAAGAUCCCAGAUCGAUAGGUCCCAUUUCUUGAGAGAGAGAGGCAGAAUAGGACUGUACUUAAGUUGGGAGGAAGGAGCUAAAGUUUAGCCCACUUAAAUUAAAUGAAAGGUUAAAGUUUAGCACUAGGGUAUAUGGGCGAGGGGCUAAACUUUAGCACUUUGGUUGAUAAAAGAUAACAAUACCCCUCCUCUCUCUUCCCUUUCUCUCCCUCAACUCCCCACCUUCCCCAGCCGCGCCGGCUGGUGGAGGGCGUGGGGUAGGAGGAGAUGCGGAGGAGAGAGAGGGGGUGUUGGAGGGGAAGGGGAGGAAUUUUGGACAAUGGGAUACUUUUAGUCCCUUUAAUCCAUUUUAGCAUCCUUGGAGGGGCUAAAGGAUUGGAGGGCAAAAUUUAGCUCUCCUAUUUUAAACCUCCUAUUUAGGAGCAAUAGGAGCAAGACGCUAAAAUUUGACUAAAAUGGGGAGCUAAAUUUAACCCCCUCCCAAACACCCUUAGUUUUUUUCAUGAUCGAUCGAGGAGUGCCCCCGAAUGCGAACAACAGAAGAAAAGGAGAGAGAGAUAAGGGGUUGCUUUUUAGCUUUUCUGUGGAACAGGAGCCGAGGCAGCGACCAGGAGCUCGGUCCGCCGUCUUUUUUGUUUUUUAGCUCUUUUUGCGAAAGUUUCUCACAAAUAGGCUCCUGGUGGAACCAAUUCCAAAAAUGGACCCUUAGCUUGGUGCCAUCCAUGCUGGCGUCAAGCUACAACGUCUCGGCGCUAGCCAUCCUGACGCCAAGGUCUAUGCGCAGCUGCUGACGCGGGUGCCGAUGUGGCGGGAGCUUGGCGCCAUCCAUCAUGGCGCCAAGCCUUGGCGCCGUGGAUCUUGGCACCAAGCUUGGCGCCGUCGAUCUUGGUGCCGAGCUAGGGGGCCAGUAAUGAAAUUACCUGCAACUUGAACGUAUAUGUGAGAACCCAAGACACAGAUUUAUACAAGGUCGGGCUGCCAAAAUAGAGGACUACCGUAUGCUGUGUAUGGGGUGUGGGAUAUUGCGCCCUGCUCUUGCGUGUGAUUUAGUGUUAAGGAUGUCGUCCUCUGCUGUGGUGCUAUGAAGGCUUGUCCUACCCAACUAAGGAACCCUGCCCUCCUUUAUAUACUCCGAGGGACGGGAUUACUAGUUGGCUACUCCGAGGAUUUGUAUUAGGAUUACCUGGGGUGAGUUGCACUNNNNNNNNNNNNNNNNNNNNNNNNNNNNNNNNNNNNNNNNNNNNNNNNNNNNNNNNNNNNNNNNNNNNNNNNNNNNNNNNNNNNNNNNNNNNNNNNNNNNAGAUCAUAUCAGACGAACCAUCACAACAUUAUGUCCAUGUUAUUCCUUUGCCUCACGAUAUUUGGUCUAGCUUCAAGCCGACCGCUCUUUCUCGGAUCCUAUGAUUCGGAAUCCCUUUGUAGGUAAACUCUUAACCGUACGUAGCAUGACCAUGCAUUUUUGGAUCCGAUCACUCGAGGGGCCCAGAGAUAUCACUCUCAAUCAGAGAGGGGCAAAUCCCAUCUUGAUUGACCAUGUCUCAUAGCAUGCUUCUUGACAAACCCGAAAGCUACCUUUAUAACUACCCUGGUACGGCGUAGCAUUUGAUAGCCCCUAAGUAAGUCGAUCCACAUCUUGAGUACAUGUGACAAUCUCAGGUCUAAGGACAAAGCAUAUAUGUUGUGUAAGGAGAGGAGUACUAAUAAAUUCGUCUCGCUAAUUAGACUCCACUUAUGUAAUGGGUUUUGUAAAUAGUCUACAUUUAAUACUCCUAAUUAGUGUCUAAAUAUUUGAUGUGACACGUGCUAAAAAUAAGCAAAGGGAACCAAACGCCCCAUAAUUAGAAGUAUUAAAUAUAGUUUAAUUACAAAACUAAUUGCACAGAUGGAGUCUAAUUCGCGGGAUGAAUUAAUUAAGCCUAAUUAGUCCAUGAUUUGAUAAUGUGCUGCUCCAGUAAACAUGUGCUAAUCAUGGAUUAAUUAGGCUUAAUAGAUUCGUCUCGCGAAUUAGUAUAUGGGUUCUGCAGUUAGUUUUAUAUUUAGCUCAUGUUUACUCAUCCUAAUUAGCAUUCGAACAUCCGAUGUGACCUUCCUAAAGUUUAAUACUCGUAUCCAAACACCCCCUUAAUUAGGAUCAAACAUCCGAUGUGAUAUAGACUAAAGUUUAGCUCUUGGUAUCCAAACGGGACUUAAGCAUAUGUGCAAAAGAAACAUAUCUCCAAUCAGAUCGAGUUACGUUGUUGGUUUAAUUAUGACGGCGAUUAGCCCAAAUAAUAGUAUUAUGGGAGUAGCUAACAAUGUUAAAUUGGAUCAAGCACCAAUGUACGGUGUCAGUCUCGACAGCUAUGGCUAGCUCUUGCACUGCCCUGGCAGCUGCCACCCCCACGCACCGCAACACAGCUCCCAAGACCCCAACGGCUGCAAGGCCACCGUGAAGAACAAGACAAGACAGAAAACAAAGCAAGAAAGGCCUUUCUUUAGUUCCCAACUUUAUUAUGCAAAAAGAAGAUUUUCCAUCACAUCUCUUGCAGUACAUGCAUGGAGUACUAAAUGUAAACGAAAUCAAAAACUAAUGGCACAGUUUUAUUGUACUUUGCGAGACGAAUCUAUUGAGCCUAAUUAGUCAAUGUUUGGANNNNNNNNNNNNNNNNNNNNNNNNNNNNNNNNNNNNNNNNNNNNNNNNNNNNNNNNNNNNNNNNNNNNNNNNNNNNNNNNNNNNNNNNNNNNNNNNNNNNCGUGAAUUAUUGUCCAAAUAUUGACUAAUUAGGCUCAAAAGAUUCGUCUCGCAAAAUACAACAAAACUGUGCAAUUAGUUUUUAAUUUCGUCUACAUUUAGUACUCCAUGCAUGUACCGCAAGUUUGAUAUGAUGAGAAAUCUUCUUUUUGCAUAGUGUCAAAGUUGGGAUUUAUGAGUGAACUAAACGAGGCCCAGCUUCUUUUGUAUUAUCUCUUGUAACUUUCUGCAGAGAGAUAACAUCAAAUAGUAGGCGACCUCAUCAUUCCCAGUCAUAAUCCCCAGGAGAGAGCCAUCUCAUUUGACUGGUACUCCCUCUGUUGCAAAUUUGAGUACUCCUCUGUUGCAAAUUAUAAAUCAUUCUAAUUUUUUUGGAGAGUCAAAUAUUUUAUGUUUGAUCAAAAUUAUAAAAAAGAUCACAAAAAUUUAUACACCAAAUAGAUAUACUAUGAGAAUAUAUUUAAUGAAAAACUAAUGGUACUUAUUUGGUAUCAUGAAUAUUAGUACUUUAUUGUAUAAAUUUGGUCAAACUUGAGAUGUUUUGACUCUCUAAGAAAAUUAAAACAAUUUGUAAUUUGGAACGGAAGGAGUAGUAUGUGUGUGGUCCGGUCCGAGUGGAGCCUCGUUUUCUCAUUUCCCAUCUCCAAAGACUUCCAACAGAUUUUUCGAGGAACCAAAAUUCAAGUAAUUUCCUGUUUAUAUCUGAACACCAUUUCAUACCACAGAGCACGUGACAAAUUGUGAGCAGGUGCCCGAUGAAUGAAACAUUAGCACCGUUUCAGUAAUGCAUGUUUGAAAAGCUCUGGACAUUGUAGUACUAAUCUGGUGCCGAAAUAUCUUGAAAAGAGGAGCAACUACUGCCGGGCCCGUAUGCAGGACAUGGACCACGUAAAUUGCGGCAAUUUGGUGGUGGUCCUUGUGAGUUGUAACCCUCCUAAAAAAACACACACGAAGGGCUAGCCAUUGCUUUGUCUCUUGCACACAACACAAGUUGAGACUCUCGAGUCCUUGGUAGGCUAUGGUGCUGAAUUCUCAGGUUAUUGGCUACAAACAACUAGCUAUAUCUGGUAAUGCUGAUGGGAGAACAAAACAAUCGAUCUUUUCCCUCACAUGUAAGGUGCUGGAGAAAGGUCAGCUAAAGUUCUUGCGUUGCCGGAAAAAGAGAUGCCAUCAUAUUAGCAGCAAAUCGAUCUGCCUCUCGCAUCGGUCCGGAAAGCCCCAGCGGCUGCGAGGAGACGCAUGCAAGCCCAAAAGAGGCUUAUCUUAUCUUUGUCACUUUUCAGGAAAAAUCUUAGUACCUUCAGCACAUCUAACUUCAGCAAAGCUAUGCAUGUACACAUAAAAGGCUAUAGUCACCGUCGGAUAAAGCAAAAUGAAGUGUACAUACCGUAGACAUCUUCACCAGCUGUGUCUGUAUAUGUAAUUUCCAGUAAUAAAAUCUGGCAGAUAUAUUUUCAUUUUGCGUCCAAUAGUCAGAAUUAGAUCUUUGACUAAUGUUACAAUCUUCUCUUGUCUCUGUUCUGUCAAUAAGAAACCGUUGAACCUGGUGUUUUAACUAGUGAUGUAACCAAAACAGAAGCUAGAAGAUACUGACCUCUGAACAAAAAUUCCUAUUUUUCCCCAGCCUGUACCAGGAAUGUUAGUAGCUUCUGACUAUUGCUGAAGUGAUUAGCAUGCACCAGGCUUUCCGAGGAGUGUAGAAUUAAUUAAGCAACUAAUCGUCAUUAUUAGAAUCAUAAUUUCUACCGUCACGUCAAAAUAUAAAAAACUAAACAUAAACGCAUGCAGCUAGAUUAGUACCACUAAUUUUAUUUUUUUCCCGAGACAUACGAAAGUUUGAUCAGAAAAUUAGUCCGGCGCGGCCCAGACUCUAUUACCUAUAAUUACAUACUGUAACGUCGAGUUACUGACCCAUACGCUUUCUGGACAAGCCGGAGUCAGGGAGACAAGACACCUCAUUUUUUAUUUCGCGACAGUGGUCUCUCAUCGGCUUCACCGCGACAGUGGUCUCUCAUCGGCUUCACCUGCAGUUUGCAGCAGCGCGCCGCCUGCCCGUCACUGGCUUGUGACUGCUGGGGAACGGCUGGCCAGGCGCGCGAGCUGAGACCUGAAGGUGAUGCCUCAUCAUCACCGCGCUGGCAUGACAGCGACCCGGUACUGGAUAGUGGCUGGCCGGCGAGCGAGACCUGAAGGUGAUGCCUCGUGAUAGCGACCCGGCACCGGACAGGAGUUGCCUGCUGGUUGUAGUGGCUUCACUUGGAAGCUGGUUCCGUUCAUCAUUUCAGUCCUUCCACGCUGCCACACCCUUGGGAACGCAUGAGGUAUGCUCAUCUAGUCCUCUCGUCGUGAGUUUGCAUCCUCCUCAUUCCACAGCUAAGCCUCUCGUAGGUGCUGAUUGUUGCCUGAUUCCAAACCAUCUUUCAUUACCAGAUUCCAGCCUCCUCUGUUCCGAAGCGACGCCCAUGAGAAUCAAGAUGGCAUGGCACUACUAACCAGGAGGGAUUUGGCAUCGACGACUCCUUGUCCGACGACAUCUUCUCCGCUCGGCCCGGCCCGGCCCGGUCCUCUGCUGUACGUCCUGUUUUCGGAUCUGGGCGUGUCUUCUCCAACACCUCUGCUCUGCGCGUUCCUCUGCCGGAUCUUACUCUUUUGAGGAAGUCUCUACAGAUUUGAGCACACGCUCUGGCUGAGUGCCAGCCCUGGUGUGCAUCCGUUUUGUGGUAGGUACACGUACACCUCUUUCUCUCAUGUUCCUCGAAUGAAUCCUUGUCACGUGUUACUGAUUUGUUCUCUGCGAUUGCAAAUGCCUUUCUCUCUGCCUUCAGAUCCAGAAGGAACCUGUGAACCACUGCGUGACUCGUGAAGAUGGAGUUCGCGUUCAGCGCGGCGCGGUGGGUGGUGGGCAAGGCGCUCGCCCCCGUCGCAGACGGCUUCCUGGAGGCGUGGGCGGCCAGCAAGAAUCUCGGCUCCGAGGUCGAUGGCCUCAUGACGGAGCUGCAGUACGCGCAGGCCAUGCUCAACAACACCCGUGGCAGGGACAUCGACAACCCGGCCCUCAACGACCUGCUACUCAAGCUGCGUCUGCUGGCCUACGACGCCGACGACGUGCUCGACGAGCUCGACUACUUCCGCAUCCAGGACGAGCUCGACGGCACUUACCAUGCCGCUACCGAGCACGCCGGGGGAUGCGCCCGUGACCUCCUCCUCAAUGCUCGCCACACUGGAAGAUACGUUGCCAAUAAAUUCAAGCUCUCCUCAGGCUCGCCUGAUGCUACUCGUGGAAGACAAACUGCACAGAUACCAAAAUUGAAGUUUGAUAGGGUGGAUAUAUCUACAAGGAUGACAGAG